rnacentral:lncRNA from 1 species
AGAGAAUGAGCCCCAACAUUGACAUCUCUUAUCAGACAUUUGUUUGUUAACUUUCUAUCCAAUAUAAGUAAGGCACUAGUUUGUUCGAUUCUUAUCCAAUGUCAAUUCUUUAAAUGUGCACAUUCUUACCACACUGCCACUUGUUGCAUAAUCUAUGACAUUGCAAGUAAUCAUGUAAGAAAUUUAGGACCGCAUACCCUUUUGCCAGGACCAGCUUUCUUGCCGUUGGGGUUGCCCAUACACAAGUCGUCAACAUUGAGCUCAUCUGGGUCAGGCGUUUGCUUCUCAACACUAGUAGAAAUGGCUUUAUACUCCACUGUAGCUUCCUCACUUAUCUUCUCUUUCUUCUUAGCAGAUUCAGAUGGGGCCAUGGAGCUUUCACUCCUGCAAUAAUACCAAAAGAAAAGAGCAUAGAAAUUUAUAAGAUGGGAAAGAAUUUGAAAGAACCAUUUACGUGUGAGCUAAUAAUUAAUAUCGAAUACCAAUAACAAAUGUACUAACUGAUAUAUCCCAAAUGACAUGACUACUUUUGAUUAUCCCAAAAAGAACAAAGUAGUUAAAUAAUAUUCAGUUUUAAGGCAAAGGAAUGGACUGAAGUCAAGUAGCCAAAGGAAACCUCAAGCUGACUUCUAUUCAUUGUUUUGAAAAGAGUAUGCCGGAGGAUCUUAUAUAUGAAGGAAUUUAGUUAAAACCAUUUCAAUAAGAAAAGCUAAAUUUUACAGUAAUAUUUGAAUUGUGGUUAUAGGAUACAAAAGUGACUGGAGAAGGAUAGAAAAGUUUGUCAGAAAAUAAAUUUACCUGCUUUUUGGAAUGGCUGCAUCCAUGGCAGAAGGAUCUUGGAGAGGAGGAAUAGGUUUACUGAAAUUGACGCGGCGGCGAAUGAGGCGUAUAGGUAUUUCCGGUUUGGCAGUCACCCAAACAGCUAAUUUGCGUCCUCGCAUGUAGCUCCCAUUAAGUUGAGUCACGGUAUCAGCUACGUCUUUUCCGUGAACAAUAGCUGUAACUGAGCUGAAAAAUUAUCAACAAAAUACACAAGUCUGUCGUCGUUAAAAAGUAAUUUUAAAUAAAUUGAAAGUUGGGAAACAUGUUAGAAAGAAGCCACAAACCUCUUCUUGAAAAAAGAGAGGCGUGUGAUAGUUCCAUAUGGAGAGAAAAGUUUAACCAAAGCCCUGGAGAUUUGACUCUUCCUAAGCGAAGUGUCAUAUCCUUCAACUAUUACAAUAACCCUACUGCAGUAAUAGGAUAUUGCCGAAGAUGAUAAACAUUAUUAUUAUCAACAAAUCUUAUUUUUUAAAGAAAUCAGUGUUUACUCGUUUGCGUUUGCCGGAUACGGAUAAGCCUCAACAGAGACAUUCCAUCCUCCCACGUUACUUCCAGUAAGUUGCAAGGCCUUCUCUACUGCGUCUUGUCCCCCCAGUAAACACAUAACACCAUGACUGAAAUAACAACAACAACAACAACAACAAGUGAGCUGAUAUUUAACUUGAGCUGAUGAAUUGGAAAGAAAUGGAGGAGGAAGAAGCCACCAAAACCUGUUGAGACUCGUCUUAGUCUCAUCAAAUUUUAAGGGAAUAUAAAUCUCCCAGAUCUCUCCACAUGAAGAGAAAUGUUCUGCCAACGCCGUGUAGACAUCAUCAAGAGGAAGACCAGUGUCAUAUCCCGUAACCUUAAUCCUCCCAACGUCACUGCAAUAAUAAUACUAUCAACGUGACAUCUGAAAACAUGCAUCAUCUUACACAUGCCAAUUUCUCAAUUUACCUCAGUUUUGGAAUGUUAUUCCGUUUCGGAACCUAAAAAGUACAAGAGAUCAAAUCAGAAACACUACUAACUAACUUGAAGUAAUUUUCUCACAAACUUGUGAAGAAACCAUCAAUUGAGAAACAAAGAUAAGAAACCAGAGUGUAUCAGAAAAGCCAUAAGAGUAGAGUAAGAAGAAGAUUACCAUGGUGGAUGAGUACAUGGCUAACCCUUUUACAGAUUUAUCAAUUUAGGUCUGGUAUUUAUAAUUGCUUUUUUCUUUUGGGCCUUGAAUUUAGUUCUGGCCUGGACUCUAAGGCCCAUAUGGUCCUUCGACGGACUUUUUACCAACACAUACAGAUACAGUAGUACCCUUUUCAUGUUUUCGUGUCUUAAAUUUUUUUUUUUCCUAUUAAGAAUCUUAUGAGUUUCUUGAAGCUCUCUGUUCCAAUGUCCCUCAGUCCUUUGUCCAACCCUCAGACAAACUUUUGAAAGAAAGAGUUAGUGGUGUUUUGCAGAAACGGCAAUACGUAUUUUGCCUUUCAUGUUAUGUAAAAUUAUCAUUACAUCAAAUGGUUCUAAACUUUUAAAAAUCACAAGAGAACCAACCCUCAGACGAAACUUUUAGUUUUUAUUUGUUUUUAUCAUUAACCUAAAUUAUAUGAGUUCGUAUAUAUAUUUAAAAAACGAACGAUUGGGCGUUGAAUAUAUAUAUAUAUAUAUAUAUAUAUAUAUAUAUAUAUAUAUAUAUAUAUAUAUAUAUAUAUAUAUAUAUUAAACUAAAAGUUAAUCUAACUAAAAGUUAAUCUAACUUCUUCAAUUGACUUCCUUUUUCUUCUUAGAAGAUUUGUCUGGUGUUUUGGAGCUUUCACUACUGUAAUAAUACCAAAAAAAAAAAAACUGAGAAAUUUAUAAGAUACGAAAAAGUUUGAAAGAACCAUUAUUGUAACACGCAUGAAGACAUCUUUACUUGUGAGAUAAUCAUAUAAAAUCUACUACUAAUAAAAGGAACUCAUAGCCUCUCAAACCAUCCACAUCAGUUUAGUUGAGAGUCUUUUUCGUGUUGCCAUGUCAGCAAAUUGAGCCACAUCAGCUUAUUUAAAGACUAUAUAUACAAACUUCCGCCACGUCAGCAAGCUUUAAUUGGAUUCAGUCUUAGGAAGGUCUCGAGGGAUUAGAGGACAGCUUUAUUUAACAUUAAGCAGCUCGACAUCAAAGACCAGCCAAGAGUAAGGAGGAAUGCUACCAGCACCUUCCGCACCAUAGCUGUAGGCCAGACAAUUUUAUCAUCUCUCAUUAAAAAAGCUUAAAAUAGAACAUCACAUUACCAAAGAAAGAUAGAUAAGAGAUGAUUUGCAAAGGCUUUACCCCAUUGCUGGAGGAAUUGUAAGCAUUCUUUUGCCACCAACACGCAUUCCUUUGAAAUUUACAAAAAGAGAUCAAAACAACACCAUUUGACCAUAUUUAGUGAAGAAAUACCAGUAAGAAACUAGCUAGGUUACCAUUGACGCCAACAUCCAAUCCCUUAAUGACUUUUCCAGCACCUGUAUGUGUAACAGCAAGCACAUAAGUAUCCAAGUACCACUCACACACUAAUAAAGCUCUUACUUUCGCAUCAAGUUAUAAUACCAACCUAGACGAAACUUAUAACGUGAUUUUCCAACGGUGGAAUCGAAAAUCUUCCCAUUCCCUUGAAGCUUUCCAGUAUAAUGGACACUUACCUGCACUCAGAGACAAUAGAUUGACCUCCAACAAAUAUUUGCACAAAAACUCCAACAGUUUAGGACUAAAUGUUCAUACCCUUUUGCCAGGCUCAGCUUUCUUGCCGUUGGGGUUUCCCAUGCAUAACUCUUUAACAAUGAGGCCAUCUAGGUCAGGCGUUUGCUUCUCAACACUACUAGAAAAGGCUUUACUCUCCACUGUAGCUUCCUCACUUAUCUUCUCAUUCUUCUUAGCAGAUUCAGAUGGGGCCAUGGAGGUUUCACUUCUGCAAUAAUACCAAAAAAAAAAGAGCAUAGAAAUUUAUAAGAUGGGAAAGAAUUUGAAAGAACCAUUUACUUAUGAGCUAAUAAUUAAUAUCGAAUACCAAUAACAAAUGUACUAACUGAUAUAUCCCAAAUGACAUGACUACAUUUGAUUAUCCCAAAAAGAACAAAGAAGUUAAAUAAUAUUCAGUUUUAAGGCAAAGUCAAGUAGCUAAAAAAACCUCAAGCGCUAAAUUUUACAGUAAUAUUUGAAUUGUGGUUAUAGGAUACAAAAGUGACUGGAGAAGGAUAGAAAAGUUUGUCAGAAAAUAAAUUUACCUGCUUUUUGGAAUGGCUGCAUCCAUGGCAGAAGGAUCUUGGAGAGGAGGAAUAGGUUUACUGAAAUUGACGCGGCGGCGAAUGAGGCGUAUAGGUAUUUCCGGUUUGGCAGUCACCCAAACAGCUAAUUUGCGUCCUCGCAUGUAGCUCCCAUUAAGUUGAGUCACGGUAUCAGCUACGUCUUUUCCGUGAACAGAAGCUCUAACUGAGCUGAAAAAUUAUCAACAAAAUUCACAAGUCUGUCGUCGUUAAAGAGUAAUUUUAAAUAAAUUGAAAGUUGGGUAACAUGGGAGAAAGAAGCCACAAACCUCUUCUUGAUAAAAUAGAGGCGUCUGAUAGUUCCAUAUGGAGAGAAAAGUUUAACCAAAGCCCUGGAGAUUUGACUCUUCCUAAGCGAAGUGUCAUAUCCUUCAACUAUUACAAUAACCCUACUGCAGUAAUAGGAUAUUGCCGAAGAUGAUAAACAUUAUUAUUAUCAACAAAUCUUAUUUUUUAAAGAAAUCAGUGUUUACUCGUUUGCGUUUGCCGGAUACGGAUAAGCCUCAACAGAGACAUUCCAUCCUCCCACGUUACUUCCAGUAAGUUGCAAGGCCUUAUCUACUGCGUCUUGUCCCCCCAGUAAACAAAUAACACCAUGACUGAAAUAACAACAACAACAACAACAACAAGUGAGCUGAUAUUUAACUUGAGCUGAUGAAUUGGAAAGAAAUGGAGGAGGAAGAAGCCACCAAAACCUGUUGAGACUCGUCUUAGUCUCAUCAAAUUUUAAGGGAACAUAAAUCUCCCAGAUCUCUCCACAUGAAGAGAAAUGUUCUGCCAACGCCGUGUAGACAUCAUCAAGAGGAAGACCAGUGUCAUAUCCCGUAACCUUGAUCCUCCCAACGUCACUGCAAUAAUAAUACUAUCAACGUGACAUCUGAAAACAUGCAUCAUCUUACACAUACCAAUUUCUCAAUUUACCUCAGUUUUGGAAUAUUAUUCCGUUUCGGAACCUAAAAAAGUACAAGAGAUCAAAUCAGAAACACUACUAACUAACUUGAAGUAAUUUUCUCACAAACUUGUGAAGAAACCAUCAAUUGAGAAACAAAGAUAAGAAACCAGAGUGAAUCAGAAAAGCCAUGAGUAAGAAGAAGAUUACCAUGGUGGAUGAGUACAUGGCUAAAAUUUGUUCGACAAGAGCGAGACUCGAUAACCGUUUUAGGGAUUUAGGUCUGAAGAGGGUAUUUAUAAUUGCUUUUUCUCUUUUGGGCCUUCCAAACAAUUUUGAUAACAAAAUAAUGUUUAAAUAUUAGAGAGACUCUUAAAAAAGGAGAGAGUUGAUCCAAAAACUCUUAGCUAAGAACCAUUUUUCUUAUUUUAAGCAUACUUUCUUAUUUUUUUAUUAUUAUUUUGUUUAAUAUAAUAUUUUGAUAGUUCUUGUGAUAUUUUUAAAAACCUAUUGAUAAAGAUGCUCUUAUGAGUUUUGUGAAGCUCCCUAAGACAAAAUUCCAAACCAAGUAAAAUAAAAAAAAACUUGUAAAUAAAAUCAAAUUUCGAAAUGUAAAAUUUGAUCUCGUAUGUGUUGUGUAAAAAAAGAGAAUCAAAUAAUUUUGCAGAAAGUAAAAGCCACUCAUCAAAAUCAUAAUGGUCAACAAGUGGCGCCAAAGUAGGCAUCGCUUGAAUCUAAUGAUCGAUUACUCUCAAUCUCAAAAAAAAAAAAAAAAAAAAAAGAUAACAACCGUUAAAUACAAAACUAUUCUCAAAAGUAAUAAUAUCUCCCUCUUCAUCAUCAUUGUGUUUCCCUCCCUAUUUUUGUUCCUCAUCUUCACCAUAUUGGUUUUUUGUGACAUCAAGACUGUGAAAUUUGAGAUUCAAGAUUUGUGUUUUUUUUUGUAGUGUUGAGGAAUGAGGAUGAGAGAAUAAGAUUCCAAUUGUAUUUAUAGUUUUGAUUUCCCCAAUUUACCUUGAUAGAUUUCGAAAUUUUUAUAGUUUUUCUGGCUUGAAAUAACGAGAGAAAUAAGAAAUUAUAUUGUAUCUUCUUAAUGUUUCACUUAAUUAAUUUAUUCUUUAUAUAAACUAAUAAAUACACUUUGAUAUGCUUACUUUUACUUAAUUUUUCGUUUAACUGCACCAAAUUAUGUGUUAUUUUUGGGAUUUCUGCUUUCUAAUAUACUACACUUUUGAUAUGAAACCUAUAUAUCCACCGCAAAUUCACUUUUUCUGUAGUGGACAUAACACGAAUUCACGAAGUAUUUUGUCGUUUGUUUGUUAAUUCAAAAGUAUCUCAUGCCACAUCUUCUUCACAAAUUAUGUGAUCACAAAGGUUAUUAUGGUCGCUUGGAAAAUGUUGCAAAUCUAAAAUAGCACAUUCACAAAACUCACGUUGCAAAACAUGAGCAAUCCAUAACAAGCUAUUCUUUAUAAUAUUCAUCAUCAUGUAAAAAUUGGGCUUAACUAACACAUCUCUAAAAAUUCAAGAAGAUGGUUUAGGCUUGCAAGAGCAUACUUGGAUAUCAAAGGACAAGUAGAGGACCACUGCUUGGUAACGUUUUGUCUGGUUACCAUCUUUAGGAUCAUUGGCUUCGAACGUGAUGUAGAGCGUGAUUGCAGCAGAUGGGUGAAAAUUUGCUCUCAAAACCUUGACAAGUUCCAAACUUGAAUCCUACAAUCAUGCAUCACCAUAACCAACACACUUAAUAUAUAUACGUUAAUUAAGAGAUUCAUCAGCAAACAAGAGCAAACGUCACACUACAAGAAAUAUCUACAUUAUUAGCAAGAGAGAAGAGCUAUUAUAUGUCAUCAAUAGCGUUUUCAUAAACGCUAUCUUAUGCCCCUGUUAUGGUAGACCCCCCAUAUACGAUGACGUUUUUAGCAUGCUAUGAUAGACCCUCAUAUACGAUAGCAUUUUCAUAUUAUAGCAUUAAUCGAAUGCUAUACUAUACUUUAUUUUAACACCCGUUUAAUGUUGUUUUAUAUAAUAUCAUAACAUUUUUUUGUUAUAUAAAUUUAAUUUAUUAUAUAGAAUAAAUUUUAUAUUGGAACCCAAUUUUGUAAAAUUUACUUUUUAUAAAUUUUAUAAAUCAUCAACAAGUAAUAUUACAUUAACCAAUUAGCCAAACAAGUCUUACAGAACAUCAACCAAGUCUUAUACUAACAUCAUAAGUCUUAAACAAUAAAACUAACAUCAUAAGGACAGAGACAAACUUCGAUCUCUUCAAUUUCUUCUCAUCUAUCUAUUUCGCCUCCUCAUCAAAAGUAGAACACAUAAAACUUCAAUUUGAACAAUUGUUCCUAUUAGUACUCCCUUCGAUAUGCUACAUGAAACAAAAGAACAAGGGGAUAGAAGACACCAUCUUAGAACUCUUAUUGACUAAGAUGAAAAAAAAAAUCGACACAUGGGAAUACAUCUACCAAACAUACACAUAUGUAUACUACGUACUUGGUUAGUUUGAACAUAAUCAUGAUAGCCUUAGAAUUAAGCUAAUAUGGAGUUUAAAACUUGAAGAAACGUCUUACCACUUAAGCUCCUGCAACCACAUGCAAGCUCCUUCUCCUAAACACCUUCCUUCUCAUUUUGUAUGAAGCAAACAAACUUAAUUGAACAAAACAAAGAUCUUUAGGAAAAUUAAACUCAAACUUAGAAAGUAAUAUAUCAAUCACAGACAUUGACACUUAAAGUCAUAGAAAGAACAUAUCUUACUUGUAGCAAAACCACUCUUUUCAGCUGCUCACUUUGCUAAGGGGUUAUAACAGCUUUGAAAUACAAAGAAAAAAAAAAUCAACCAUAAGCAGAGAGCUAAUAAAGAAAGAAAAUAAAGUUUGAAUUAUGCAAUAGUAAAGCUUAUACCUUUCAACGACAUUCACACUAAAAGUUAAUUCCUACAUUCUCAAUCUUGGCAGCUAAAGCAUUAAUGAAAUAAAACAAAUAAAGCCCCUUUAUAAAAUAAGCAUCACAUAACCAAAAUAGUAAUAGCUAUUUUCAGUUCCGCACCUGAGCUUCUGUAACUUCUUUUUCUACAUUGGCUGCAACCAUUAGUUCAUCAAACUUCUCUGACUUUGCAAGCGUAAUUUCAAUCUGUAAAACCAAGACCAAAUUAAUAAAUUGAGAAGAAGGUUGAUUUGCAUAUGAGAAGAGUAAGUAUCACCAACAAACAAUGUAUUCUGAGAAAAUUAGCUUAAUCAAGUCAAGAAUCAGAGAAUACUGAAAUAAAAAUACACAUUACAGUAUCAAUAGAAUAUAUACAGAAGAAUAAAAAAAGAGAGGUUAAGAUCAUACAUACCCAUUCCAAGGGCAGAGAGUUCGACAUCAUUGUUUGCUGCAUAUACCUCUUAACAAAUCCAAACAACAAAAACUCACUUACAUCAAAAACACAAGUAAUAACCACAAAAACCUAAUCCCUAAAAAAACCCAAACACGAGAAUAAGCUAAAAUACUCAUAGAGAAACAGAUUGGCUCUUCCUAAUUGAAACAGUACAAUCAUAUAGAAGUAUAUAUAGAUUUCCAGAAAAAAUUGAGCUUCUGGACUUGAUUCACACUAAUAUCCUCUCGACCCGAAAGAGUCAAGAACUUUCAAAGCAAUCGAAUUAAACUAUGUACCUUGGCGAGAUUGACGUAGAAGAACAAUCGUUUCUUGGUGUUUGAAAUCUGAAUACGACUUUUCUUCUGGGAAUCAACGGCCAAGUUCAUGUUGUUCACUCCAUUGGUGAUCUCUUCCAUGGUUGCUAAUUCGGAAUCCAUAACCCUAACUUUUUCCGAGUAAGGGGACAACGACUAAACGAAAUUAAUCGACGAGGAGAAUCAGCGACGACAUCGGCGGCUAGGGUUUUGGGAUGAGAGGAGACGAUUUUUCUCCAAAUGGUGAUGGCGACGAAUCACCUGAGACUAAAGGAAAAAUGAUAAAAAAAAAAAAAAAAAAAAAAAAAAAAAAGGAAUGGAGGCGAAAUGAGGCCGAAGAGUUUCGUGGAGUCUAUGAAGAGAUCUAGGUUUUUUUUUUUUGGUCGUACAAAGAAAGAUAAUUUUUUUGGCUUUGGUAUAUAUGAUGGCACAAAAAAUUUUAGAUCUGAGAUAUGCGGCUCUUAAGUGUAUUUUUUUUGUUUAAGUAUUGGCAGAAUAUGUUAUUUUAGCUUCCCGCUUAAUGAUUUUUUAUCUUAGUAUUAUUUCAAUGCUAUUAUAUAGUAAUCAAAAUAAAACAUUCAUCUUUUAUAGCAGUUACGGAAAAUGAGCUAUCUUCAUGUGCUAUCAAUGUGGAUAUUUCUUGUAGUGUCAAUUGAUUCAUCAGAUUACUAACCGUCUUUUCGUUGUAGAAGGAGAUAGCCAUGUUUGACAACCUGUUGAGCAAAUCUCUGUUGGUUUCAUGAGGCUCGCAGAGUCGUCGAGAUUCACAGCUCCGCAACCGAAUGUAAAACCACCAUAAAUCAAAAUUAAUGAAUCAAAAAUUCAAGAGGGAGAUUACAAACCCCGGUCUUGCCCCACUCUUCAUCUAACAGUCGAAAAUCAUCUGACAAAGUUUCCAAAUCAUCCGAAUCAUAAUUAGGGAACCGAGGUUCAUCGUUGGCUGGCUCCUCUAACUUCAGCUUCUUAGGGGAAGGAAGUUCCGAUCUCUCAUUCUCAAUCGGAGAUAACAUCGCUGAAACGAAAAGGAGAUGGAAACAAACCCUAACUUUAUGAAUUGGUUUUUUUUUUUUUUAUAUCGUUCCUUGUUCUUAAUUAUCUUAUAAAUCUACAUCAAAAUAAGGUCAUGUAAUAUAUUUUGUGAUAGAAAAACUCAACUCUAAAAUUUGUUCAAUUUCAACUUAACUUCUUACAUAAAUCGUUUAAUCAACCGACAAUUUGAGUAAUGGUCUCUAUCAUAUCUUAGCUACACUAGCUGCUUUAUGAACGCACGAGACACACAAUUUCUCACUGGAUCUUAUCUUUUACACAUCAACUCUCUCUUCGAGAAAACAAAAAUACGACAUAAAGACAUUUUCACUCGAAUGAAUUGUGUAAGUAUUUGAAGUUUUUUGUUUGAAAACAAUUAAACAGAUGCAAAAAUUUUGAAAACAAUUUUUAUCCAAAUGAGACAAAUGGCUAGAGAUAAUUGGUGGCCAUCACAACCGUAAUAGUGUGACAUAACAUCCAAAUUUAUCCAUUGCUACGUCGUAUCUAAUUUGUCGUUAAUAUGAAUAACUAAGUUCUCUCACUCAAUAUUCCUAUAAUAUUUGCAUACAAUUAGUGUAGACACUUGGAGAAAUGAGAGCGGCAGAUCAUACAACUAGUGUUUUAACAUACUUGCAAAAGAAAAAAGAAAAAAAGAAAAAAAAAAUACACAUAGUUGCACAAAACAUAAGUUGAUAACAAAAAAAAAAUCUGUAGCCAAGUCUGGUUAUAGUAUUAAUGGUAGUCAGACAUUGUUCGAGGAAUCAUUUACUAAUCUUCGAAUCUCAGACAUUGUUCAAACUCUUAUCAUCUCUAUAGUAAAUAAUCACUAUAAAGCAAGCGAAACUUAAUUAUAUUUAGCAACACAAACUUGGCAGAAUUCAAGAAGAGGGUUUAGGCUUGCAAGAACAUACUUCAAUAUCUCCAGGCAGGUAGCGAACCACUGCUCGAUAGGGCUUUGUCUGACGAUUAGCAUCAGACAGAUCAUUGACUUGGAAAGAGAUGUAGAGAGUAAUUCCAGCAGAUGGAUGAAAGUUUGCCCUCAAAACCUUGCCCAAUUCCAGACUAGUUCCCUACCACCAAAACAAAUCAAAUUUCGAACAUAGUCGUCAUAGAUUCAUGAAAAAAAUGUUUCCUUACAUUGUCUGCGUUGUGCUUGGUGAGAGCCUGAUUGGAUAACAUGGCGAUAAAAUCUCUGUUUGUUUCAGGCUCGUCAACCAUUGUGCUGUCGUCAAGAUCCAAUGCUUUCCAAUCGAAACAGAAGUUAAGUUUGGAGAAGUCGAUUUCAAAACCCUGCAUAUCUCUCGGGAGAAUCAGUUUUGAAUCAUGUAAAAGCAACAAAACCAAGAGAAACAGAAGAAAUUUCAAAACCUGGCUUUUAUCCCACUCAUCAUAGAACAAUUGAAUUUCCUCCGGUGUGCCGUCUUCGGAAUUAUCCGAAUCACUGUCAUCGCAGAUUCUCUCCUCCAUCUUCUGACGCUUCCUUCGGGGAAGUCAUCACUAGAACCCUAAUUUUCUUCAAGAUCAAGAUCGGAUAGCCACGUGGCACUCUUAUGACACAGAGUGUAUCAUAUUAUUCUGCAUAACUUUGUUUUGUUGACAAGUGUUUAACUAUUUUUUAAAAUCUAGCAUAAUCGGGGACAUUAUUCUAGUUUUCAAGUUAUUUAUAAAUUAUAACAAAAUGGCAAAGCCAACAAUCAUGUCACCAAGAGUACAACUAACGCAUUUUUUUCUAUCAUUCAAUUUUUUUUUUAUUUUUUUUAAAUGGCAUGGUUGGCAUGGUUGAAACUUUGUCCUUACAUAGUAUGGUUGCUGAUCUCGAGAUUGCAACUUCCUCGAGCAAUGAUAGUCAAGCUUUUGUUUUUUGGUAUUAAGAAUCUCAUUGCUAAUGGCCAACUAUUGUUUGAUUUUGCUUAAUUAAAUGGGCUUUGAAUUCAUAUCUUCUUCUUCUUGUUUACUUUUAUUUAUAACUAACAUCCUAUCAGUAUGUAUACGUAGGACGACAUGCCUCUAGCAGUUGCUCAUGCAUAUGUAAUUGACUCUUGAGUGUGACAAACUCAGUCAAAAGACCAAGACUCCUUUAUAUAUUCACAUUGAGAUCGAAUUUAUAUUUCAAAUAUAUAACUCAAGCUAGCUUUUAAUCAAAGACACCAUACGGGCAUUGGAAAAUUUCAUAAAUCAUAACAAGCUAUUCUUGAUCAAUAUUCAAAUUCUAUGUCAUCAUGUAAAUAUGGGCUUAACUAAUACAUAGAUGUGGAGAUAUAACAAACCUCUCAAAAGUUCAAGAAUUGGGUGGUUUAGGCUUGCAAGAGCGUAAUCUAAUAUCCCUGGCCAUGUUGUAUACCACUGCUCGAUAUGGUUUUGUCUGAUUAUUUAUCAGACGGAUCGUUGACUUCGAAUGAUAUGUAGAAAGUAAUUCCAGCAGAUUGAUGAAAGUUUACCCUCAAAACCUUGCUCAAUUCCAGAUUUGUUCCCUACCACCACACCAAAAAACAACAACACAAAAAAAAGCAAGCAAAUUUCGAAACAGAGUCAUAUGCACAUUCAUGACCAAAAGUAUUUCAACAAAACAAGCCCUAACAUUGUCCACGUUGUACUCGGUGAGAGCUCGAUUGGACAACAUGGCCAUAAAGUCUCUGUUAGUUUUGUUGCUUUUAUAAAGUCUCACUCAAGAACAAAACAGAGAAUGCAAAAACAGAGACUUGAAAACUCAUACCUUUCAUUGAAAUCAAAUGGCCAUUAAAUAGACCUUACAAGAAAAAGAAACUGCAGCUACGAAACUUAUGCCACUGAUCUAACUACCCGAGUCUUUCUCCGACAAAGGAGGAGACUUAUUCAAAAACAAGAAAACGUCAAACUAAAGACCAAGCCUAAGAAGCAGAAUUGAAAUCCACAGGCCCAAACGGAUUGGGCUCUUAUUCUUCAUUCCCUCCCGUAAACUGAAACACUUCUCUUCCUUUCAGUUUACUCUUCUCUGAUACUUACUCCCAUUCUUCCCCGGAGCUCUUCAAACACCUCUCGUUUCACAGCCUUGGUCAUUAUGUCUGCAACUUGAUCAUUGGUAGAACAGUAAUCAAGUCUAAUGGUUCCUUCUUUCACCUGUUCUCUGAGAAAAUGGUACCUCACAUGGAUGUGCUUGCUCCUUCCGUGCAGCACAGGAUUCUUUGACAAUUUUAUGGUGGAACUGUUGUCACAGAACACGAGUGUACCUUCUUCUUGUCUGCAACCAAUCUCCUCAAGAACAUUUCUGAGCCAGAUCGCUUGACACGCACCAAACGCAGCUGAUACAAACUCAGCCUCCGUAGUUGAUAAUGUUACGAUUGGUUGUUUCUUAGAUGCCCAAGCAAUUGCUCCUCCUCCUAACAUGAACACAAAACCAGAAGUGCUUUUCCUGUCAUCAACAUCACCGGCAUAGUCACUAUCAACAAACCCAAUUAACUCUGUAGCACCUCCACGUUUGUACUGAAUCCCGAGAUCUUGCGUCCCCUGAACAUAUCUCAAAAUUCUCUUUGCCGCAAGCAAGUGCUGCUCAGUUGGACUUUCCAUGUACCUACUAACUAGAUUUACAGAGUAAAUUAGAUCUGGUCGUGUGGUCGUUAGGUACCUCAAGCUUCCAAUAAGCUGCUUGAACUCGGUUGAAUCAACCGGAUCACCCGCUCCCGCCUUUGUCAACUUCUGCCCAGGCACAAUCGGAUUCUUGACUGAGUUACUUCUCUCCAUUCCAUACUUCUCAAUGAUUUCUGCAGCAUAUUUUUUUUGGUUGAUGAAAAUACCUCUUUCAUCUUGUAUGACUUCAACUCCCAAGAAGUACUUCAUUCUUCCCAAAUCAGUCAUUGAGAAUUCCUCCAUCAUCGAUUUUUUGAAUCCCUCAAUCAUAUCCAGCGAGCUUCCUGUGUAAAUAAGAUCAUCCACAUAGACACUUACUAUCAAAACGUCACUUCCCUCCUUCUUCACGAACAGUGUGUGUUCACAGUAGCAUUUUCCGAACCCUUCUCUAACAAAGUAACCUUCUAUACGGCUAUACCAAGCUCUCGGAGCCUGUUUCAGUCCGUAUAAUGCCUUCUUCAGUUUGAACACCUUGCUGGAUUCUUCUUCUACUUCGAAUCCCUUAGGCUGCUCAACAAAUACAUCUUCCUCCAAGUCACCAUGUAAGAAGGCACUUUUUACAUCAAGUUGAAAGACCACCCAUUCCUUUUCUGCGGCUAAGGCGAGAAUCAUCCUGAUUGUAUCCCACUUAGCUACUGGAGCAAAUACCUCAUGGAAGUCAACUCCAUAUCUCUGAUGAUAGCCCUUUGCGACUAGUCUUGCCUUAAACUUAUCGAUCUCUCCUUUCUCAUUGAACUUUGUCUUGAAAAUCCACUUUAGCCCAAUCACCUUUGCUCCUUCAGGUAAUUCCACUAACUCCCAUGUGUUGUUCUCUUUUAUGGAUGUUAUCUCAGCUUCCAUAGCUUUUUUCCACACUUCCAAUUUCACUGCGUCUUCAAAGCAUUCAGGAUCAUCUGAUCCAACAAACAACGCAAGCAUCUCAUCUUCUUCUUCUUCUGCUAUGAGUAUCCUUGCGUUUCGGAUGACAUAAUCUUUCAUCCAAACCGGUUGUUGUCUUUGUCUACCACCUCCUGUUCCAACUGCUUGAGGAAUCUGAUGAGCUACUUCUUCCACCGUUUCUUCUUCUUCUGGUUCCUCAUGUUCUGGUUGCUCGAUGUGAUCGAUUUCUGGAUUCCUUUCACCUGCAGGUUCAUGAUCAGAAUCAUCACAAACGAGCUCUUGUUCCAGCGAUUUAUCUUCCCAUUCCCAGCCUUUGCUUUCAUCAAAGUGAACAUCUCGACUGAUUAUGAUUUUUCCUGUUGCUGGGUUAUAGAGACGAUAGGCUUUAGACUCUUUGCUUACACCGAACACCACACACUUGAUGCUUCUCUCAUCGAGUUUGGUUCUUUUCUGGUACGGAACUAGUGCGUAAGCUACACUACCAAAAAUUCUCAAGUGCUCAACUGAUGGUUUCCAAUUACUCCACUUCUCUUCUGGAGUUAUGUCAUUCAAGGCCUUCGAUGGACUCCUAUUUAGUAUGUAUACAGCAUACUGAACAGCUUCGGGCCAGAAUUUUCUUGGUACAGACUUUUCCAUCAGCAUACACCGUGUCAUGUUCAUCACGCUCCGAUUCUUUCUCUCUGCGACUCCGUUUUGUUGGGGCGUAUAGGCUGCUGUGAGUUGUCUUUUGAUCCCAAAUUCUUUGCAGUACUCUUCAAACUCUCUUGAGUUGUAUUCUCCUCCUCUAUCUGACCGCAAACAAACUAACUUUUGCCCAGAUUCUCUUUCGGUUUCAGCCUUGAACUCCUUAAAGAACUGAAAUGUUUCUGAUUUUUCCGACAACAGAUACGUCCAACACUUCCGGCUAAAAUCAUCUAUGAAAUUGAGGAUGUACCUUUUUCCGCUGACAGAUAUAGGGUUUAUCGGUCCACAUAUGUCCGUGUGAACAAGCUGCAGCACUUGAGUUGAUUUCCACGCACUCUCCUUUGGAAUUGAAUCUCGGAUCUGUUUUCCCUUCAAGCAAAUAUCGCAAUUUGUAUCUUCUUCUCCAUGAGUAAACUUUGGUAAACCAUUUACCAUUUCUUUUUCAGCUAACGUUCUCAAACCUUGAUAGUUGAGAUGUCCAAAUCUCUUGUGCCACACGUUGUCUGGUUUUUUUUCACUUGCUUGGAGACACCUCUGUUCCCCAGUCUCUCUAGCCUCCUUGACGACUGCAAAGAUCACAAACAUACGAUUCUUUGUCAUUGUUGAAUGCAUCACCAUCUUCUUCUCCAGCUUGUGCCACACCUCACACUCAUCACCCUCAAUGAUGAAUCUUAACCCUUUUUGUUGCAGCUGACCCACACUAAAGAGGUUAUUCUUCAAUCCCGGUACGUAAUACACAUCUGAGAUCACUUGAGUCCUUCCAUCAAUUUCUAAUCGCAGUUUCCCGAUUCCUUCUACAACCAUUCUUCGAUCAUCUCCCAGCUUCACAUUCUGCUUAAAGCCACAAUCCAACUCAACAAACCACUCUUUCGUACCACACAUGUGGUUGCUGCAUCCAGAAUCAAGAAACCAGACAUGUUUCUCCUCUUUACUGAUCUGUUCUACAUGUGCCAUGAGAAGUAGAUCUUCCUCCAUCUCCACAUAAUUCGCCUCUUUCUCCCAGCUUGGACAUUCUGCCUUGUAAUGUCCCAUCUUGUGGCAUUUGAAACACUCCACCGUGUCUCUAUUCACAUAGCCACGUCCUCUUCCAUGGUAGCCUCCUCUUCCUCUUCCUUGGGUUGGACUUCCUCUACCUCUUCCUCCAUCCGGUCUCCAUUGUGUCUCAGCUUUCAAAACCCUCUCUUCCACAUCGUGCCUCUUUAGGUUCUGCUCAUGUACCAUAAGAGAGCUUUGCAGCCCGUCCACUGUCAUCUCCUUGAUGUCGUUGGACUCUUCAAUGGCACACACAACGUACGUGAACUUCUCGACCAAUGUUCUGAGAAUCUUCUCCACCACCUUAGAAUCCGGCAUAUCUUCUCCUAAAUUUCGCAUAUCGUUAGUGACUUCCAUCACUCUGGAGAAAUAGCCCGUGAUUGUCUCUCCCACCUUCAUCUCAAGAACUUCGAAGCUCCUACGUAAUCUCUGAAGCUGUGCACUUUGUACCCGAUCAUUACCUUGAUACUUCCUCUUCAUGGACUCCCACAAGUCCUUCGACGUCUCUUUCUGCAGGAUCGUCUUGAGGAUUGUCUUAUCUAUCGAUGCAAACAGAUAGUUCUUCACUUUGUGGUCCUUCACCGUCUUCUCCGCCAGCUCUGUCCUCUGCGCUCCGGUGAGGAUCACGUUUCUCUCCGUCCUUGGAAUUCCCGUCUCGAUUACAUCCCACCACUCCUUUGACCUUAUCAGAUUCUCCAUGAGCAUUGCCCAAUGCUCAUAGUCACCAUCGAAUUUGGGUAUGAUAGCAGACUCUUUAUCACUCAUAGCGUUUCUCUCUUGUACCAAGCUCGUGACAAGCUCUGAUACCACUUGUUGCUUUUAUAAAGUCUCACUCAAGAACAAAACAGAGAAUGCAAAAACAGAGACUUGAAAACUCAUACCUUUCAUUGAAAUCAAAUGGCCAUUAAAUAGACCUUACAAGAAAAAGAAACUGCAGCUACGAAACUUAUGCCACUGAUCUAACUACCCGAGUCUUUCUCCGACAAAGGAGGAGACUUAUUCAAAAACAAGAAAACGUCAAACUAAAGACCAAGCCUAAGAAGCAGAAUUGAAAUCCACAGGCCCAAACGGAUUGGGCUCUUAUUCUUCAAGUUUGAGGCUCGUCAACCAUUGUUCUAUCGUCCAGAUCCAAUGAUUGCCAAUCAAAACAGUAGGGAAAUUUCGAGAACUCGGUUUCAAAACCCUGCGAAAAAUCACUUCCGGAUAAUCAAUUUCUUGAAAUAAAAUCAUCAAACUAUUGAGAAUAGAAAAUAAUUCGAAAUCCCUAACCCCGCCAUUCCUCAACUCUUGGUUGUCUCCUCCACCUUCUGACGUUCCGGGGAAGUUAGAUCGGUGAUGGCAUCACUCAAAUCACAGAUACGAGAUAUGUCCAAGGAACCCUAACUUUCUUCCCGAUUCUUAGGAGGGGUUAUUGGUUCAUAGAUUUAUAUGGAAUUAGAAAUCCAAACAAAAAUCAUUUGUUAUUCAAUCAUUGAUUUUAAAAUCCUAAUUAAAUUCAUGUGUUAUUGGUUCUAUGAUUUAUAAAUACUAGUUAAAAUCUUAUGUUAUUCGUUUAGUCAUUUGUUUUUGGAUUUGAGAAUCCAAAUUAUGUUUUAAAUGGAAUUGAAUGGAAUUGAAAGAGAAAAAUAGAAGGAUUCAAAUCCAUGGGUAAACACAUGUUAUUUCAAAAUCCAUAUAUCUUGAUUUCAUAAUUAAUAGAAAUUUUCAAAUUCUAUAUGGAUUUACAAAUUAACAAACUAAUAACACCCCCUUAGCUUGUGUUUGGCCAAUCUGAUUUUAACCACGAGAGUAAAAAAUAACAUUAGCCACGUGACACUCUCUCAUAACUAGUGAUGUUAAAGGUCAAAAAUAACCUUAGAAAAAAGGUAAAUUUUGAUCAGUUAACGAUUUUUUUUUCAGUUUACAAAUUCUGUCAAAAUUGAUUUGAUUUUUUAACAAUUGACAAUUUUGAAAAUUUUAUAUACGAAUAUGCGGGCCACCAUAAAACCAAGAGAUGUAGGGGGUGUUAUUGGUUUGGGAUUUAGAAAGACUUUUAAUGAGUUUAAAAGUUAUGUAGAAUAUGUUGUUAUUCAAUCAAAACUUUUAAAAACUCUAUUACAAUUUGGUGUUAUUGGUUUGAGAUUUAUAAAAAGUAAUCUAAAAUCUUUAUAAAUCUAGUGUUAUUGGAUUAAGAGUUUUAUAGAGUCAUUAAAAGUUUUGUGUUAUUCAAUUAAAACAAAAGAAUCUUGGAUUGUUGAUAAAUUAAAAUAUUAUGUUAUUGGUUUAGGAUUUUAUAUAAUUUUCUUCAUAAAAAAAUCAUGAAAACUCCCCCAUAAAAUAGAGAGAUUGUGAAUAGAGUCCAUGACUUUGUAUGUGUCAGCAAUCUGACACCGGAAUCGUCUCCGUCGCUGCUUCUCCUGUUCUCCAGCAAUUUCAAGUUCCAAAAUUGGGGAAUGGAGGAGACAAAGACAUCUGUUUAUGAGAUGAUAUGAUCUUUUUGUGUUUUUUGUCUUUGUCUUUGUCUUGGUCAUCUAUUUGUAGAUGACAAAGACAAAGACAAAAAACAAGAAAACCAAAAAAGAGGAAGAAGGAUAACAGAACAGACGUGUUCUGGUUCAAAGACUGAAAGGGUUAUCAAAACAACCCAGAAAAAUAUGAAACUUUGUUGAAAAAUAGUAGAGAGAUAUACGAAGCUACAGGAAAAAGCGGAACGUGAUUUGCUGUCACGGUCUGAAAGUUAUGACCAAUCUACCAAGACCGAAGAACAGAGCGACGAAGCUGAAGUGCACCAACUUCAAACUUUUUCUCAAGUCGACUCACAAGGAAUCAGAAGCUCAUCUUUAUACGGUUGGAAAUAUCUUGAUCUCAAGAUUUCAGAACAACUUUUAGAUCUCCAAACCGAGGUCUGAAUCAGAAGAUAUCAAAGGAAGAAGAUGAAGCAAAAACAAGACUAUCAAGACUCAAAACCGCAAAAUCGAAGAACCAAAUUAGUACAACUCUCUGGUAAAUAAAAACCAGCUCACGAUUCAAAAGUAUAUAGCAAGCUUCGUCACAAACAAUGAAACCAAACAAACCAAAGAUAGCAAGCUUCGUCACAAACAAUGAAACCAAACAAACUAAGAUCUUUGUCACCCCUUAAUCCAACACAGGCAAAGAAGAGAAAAAUAUUUGAAAAUAAAAACUUCAUGAUCUUCAUGGUAUGCUCCCUGUUCCUGUAGCUUCUGCCCACAUACUAGCAGCUAUUGUGUCUCUCCAAUUAUUAGCAUAUUCCCUUUGUUGAGAUUGGAGAGGUCCCGUAUCUCCAUUUUCCUCAUAAUUGUUUUCUUCGUGGCUCUCAUUGUUUUCUUCGUCGUUGUCACUGUAUUUUUCAGGAAGAAACUCAUCGGACCGACAUUCUCUACGAAGAAAGUUAUGUAAUCCAGCACAAGCUAAUACAAGUUCUGCUUGUACCUUAAGAGGAAAAGGCGGUGCUGAUUUGAAAAUCAAAAAGCGAGAUUUGAAGAUACCAAAAAUUCUAUCGAUCACAUUUCUCAAAGAUGCAUGACGCAAGUUGAAUAACUCAUUUUGAUUACUAGGAUCACAACCUUGACCUCUAAAGUCUUGUAGAUGAUACUUUGUACCUCUGAACGGAGCUAAAAAAUUGCGUCGAUUUGCAAAUCCACAAUCAACUAGAUAAUAUUUUCCUGAAAUUCAUAUAUGAUAGCAAUGAUAUUAAUAGUCAUAUUAACAAAAGAGAGGUAACAAUUUUCUGUGUAAUGCAUAAGUAUAUACCUUCAGGAACAGGUAGCUUGCUCUUACUUCUCUUUAAAGCAUCGCUUAAUACUUUUGAAUCGUGAGCUGUACCUUCCCACCCACUAAGGACAUAUAUGAACUCUAGAUCAAAGUUACAAGCAGCAAGAACAUUUUGUGAUGUAUAUCCUUUCCGAUUACGAUAGCUUGGUGCAUUAGAAGCGGGCACCAUUGCAUGAAUGUGUGUGCCGUCGAUAGCUCCAACACAGUCCUGUAAAAAUAAUGAAUAUUUUAAAUUGUGUUGAAGCGUACUUUAAAUUAUAGUUUGCAAUAAACAUACCUUGAAAUAAGGAUAAUAACGUGUGCUUUCUCUUAUUUUUGCUGGAACUGUGAGUCCAUGUUUGGCCAUAAGACUUGGUGCAAUAGUGGUUAAUGCAUUUAAAACCUUGUGAAAAUUUGUGCUUGCAGCAAACUUUGAUCUCUCAAAUGUGUCCAUUGUAUAAUUAUAUCUCGAAUUUUGACCAAUGGUGAGCAAAAAUGUAGCCACCAUUUCUUCAAGACAAGUCUGGCGGGUACCUCUUAAAGAUGUUUUUUCUUUGAUAAUAUCACAUAACUUCAAAAAAACGUCAGGAUACAUACGGUAUACCUUUCGAAAGCGGUCAUGAUCUUUCUUCAAAAGUUUCUCGAGGUAAAUGUAGCCAAUUCUUGUGAUAGGCUUACGAAUCGGACGCUCAAUACGUUUAUUCGUGAAGUAAGCUCUCGUCGUAUUUUUCAGUAGUAAUAGCAAAAUAUCCAUUUCUGAUUCGUCAUCUUCAUCCUCUCUUACAAUGGUGCUCUCCAUAAUUCCCUGCAAAGAGUAAUUAAAAAUCAGCUUAAAAUUAUAAACAUGAACACUAACGUAUACACAAACAAAUAAAGGAAUAUUUGACGUGUUUAUGUUUGACAAACGUUCACCCUACGUGAUCAUGAUAAGCAAAUCAAACGUAUCAAAAAAAAAAGACCAUUGACUUGUCACAAAACCAAACGUAUCACAGCAUAAGCAAAUCUCCGCAUGUAUAUAUUAUUAAACCAAACGUAUCACAUCACUUGACUUUUGCAAAUUUUAUUGAUUUUGGUGCUAGAGAAUCAAAAGAUCCAAACACAAUGAAAACAAUUAAAUAUUAUAUGAACAUACAAGAAUCUAACGAUCGACACACGAAAUUCAUAAGCGAGUAUUAUGAUAGAAGAAGCGUACCUCUGUAACUCUGAUAAACAACCUAGUAUAUAGAAGAAAACCAGGCCUACACAGAACAUGUUAUAUAGAAGAUAGAAGAUGGUCACUAGACGUUAAUAAAAAUUGGACAAGAUUUUGGAAAUAUUUUGUAGGAAAAGUUUGGAAAAGUCAUCAAGAGUAUACAAGAUUAUGGAAAAAAGUUUUAAAGACUUUACAAGAUUUUGGAAAAUAAAUCAUCAAGAUAAUAUAAAACUUUUUAACAAUCUUUUAAAAUCCUUUAUUAUCAAGUCACUAAAAGUCUUUCUAAAUCCCAAACCAAUAACACCCCCGUAAAUAGGCAGAAUUUUAGACGGACUAUAGAGAAUAAACAGAUAUAAACAUAGAACAUCCCCUAUAUAUUAAUAGAGAAACAUUUUUUAAAAAAAAUCUUACCAUCAUGUGUUAUUAACAAGAUUGUGCUAAUGUGUCGUUCUUACAAUGAUUUGGCUUCUAUUUAGAUAAUUACCCAAGAUUUAUUAGACUAUUUACAGAAUUUGCCAUUAGUCUCGUAUAUCCAUAUAUCCCACUUAUCAAAAACAAAUUUCUAAUUAAAAAUUAAAAAAAAAAAACACAAUGUAUACGAGACAAACUUUAUUAUUUCUAUAUUAGCAAACACAUAACAAAUGUUACAUUUUUUCUAUAUAUGCAUAACAAAUAACAAAUCUGUAUUAUCUAAUAUUAAAAUUUAAGACAUGCUACGUCCAAACUUAAACUUAAAAUCAAACAGACAUUUUCUAUUUCAUAAAUCGAGCAAACUAAUGGUCUAUAUAUUACUAGAUUAGUUACAAAUGUGCCAUGAUAUUCUAAUUAUUUCGUUAAUUAACAUUAAACAUCAGUAAUACAAACAUCAUAUCUCUAUCUAUACAUAAAGAAUUCGUGUAUAUGUAUAUAUAUUAAAUUGAUCUAAGGUCUAUAUUUUUAAAUCCAGACUAACAUAUAUAUAUAUAUAUAUAUAUAGAUAUAUUUAACAACUCAAACAUGUAAACCUAUAAUUCAUGUAAAUUAAUAUAUUUGAAUAUAUUUUUAUAACUUUUGUAAGUACAAAUUUUCCUAGGUUCAUAAAUCCAAACUACAUUUAUAAAAUUAAUUCUCAAAACUAAAUCUAUCAUAAAAUCAACAAUAAAUUAAUAUUUCAAAUUUUGAAGGCAAUCCAAAUUUCAAAAAUUAAACGGAACCCUACAAAAAUAUUUCUCUAUAAAUAUAUUCCCUGAUAUCAUCUUCAUCCUCUCAAAUUUACCAAACACACAUCUUCUUAGUUUUUGAGCAAUCUAAAUUUUGUAAAUCUUCAUCAACUCUUUUACAAAGAUGUAUAUGUGUUUGUUAUUUAAGUUACGUUAGAAAAUAAAUUGUCGUCUUUAAUUAUUUUACGGGUAAAACGAAUUCCGAUACGAAAAAUCGAUGAUUGGAAUAUAAAACGUUUUUUUAACAUGUUUCAUAAUACACUAACAAAUUUUGGAUUCCGGAUAAUAAUACAAUAAUUUUUAUAACUAAAACUACAAUGCAGUUCUUUAAUUGUCAUUUCAUCCCGCACAUAGUGCGGGUAAUUUAUCUAGUUGGUCGUUAAACGGGCAUGGCAUGGUCUAAAUGGCACGUAAAACUUUUUAUACAAUAAUUAUUUUAACUUUUUCAGUAAAGCUAAGAAUCUUACAUGAUGUUCACAUAAGAGAGACAUCAAAUUAAAAUUUAUCCUUGCGGCCCUUCUUCUCUUCUUUAUCUAUUAUUGAUUGAUCCUAAAAUUUCUUUUCAGUAAAAGUUUACCGAAAAUCUUGGAAGUUAUUAGAGGACAAAAAAAAUUUGUUAGAGAGAGACAAAACAAGACUGCAUGCAGAAGGAUUGGUUUGCAUUGGAUUAUUAAGGAAAAAAAAAUACAAGAAGAAACAAGAAAAGAAAAAAAAAAAAAAAGAAUCAAGAAGAUACAGAAAUCCCCAAAACCCAUCUUUAAUUUGGCUGAUACCAAACAAAAAAAACCUUGGGAAUUUCUGAAACUCGGUUAAAAAAUUUAGAAUCUUUGAAGAAUCUUUUUGUAAAGACAGGCUUCAUGUAUGGGUUUUUGAGGCAAGGAGCAAACAGAAAAUGCAGAGGGAGAGAAUGAGCAAGAAGAAGAUUAGUCAGGUUCAUUGCAUUCCCUCUGGUGAUCAUAUUCUCAUGACGGCUUCUUCUUCUAAACACAUCUCUCAUAUCCGAUUCUACAAAGCCUGGAAGGGUAACAACGUAAUAUUAUUUUCUUCCUUCCUUCUCUGAAACACAUUUCUCAAUGAUUGCAUGAAAUUGUCUCUUAAUGCCAAUAUUACAUGUUUUCUUUGCUGUUCCACCAGAAUGUGAAUAUUAUAUGAUGUUUGGUUUUGGUUUUGUUUCAUCAGAGAUUUUGCUGUGGUGGUAGACUAAUCUUUGGUCCUGAUGUAUCAUCUCUGUUCCUAACCUCCUUCUUGAUUGGUGCCCCUGCGCUUACAUUCUGUAUAAGGAUGCUCUUGUGGAUCAAAAAUGGAGAUCCUUUCUUCAACUAUACCGUUCUAGCUUCAGGAUUUAUCCUCACCAUCUUGGAUUUUACGUUUCUAUUGUUGACAUCAGCUAGGGAUCCAGGAAUCAUCCCAAGGAAUAAAACAUCAAUGAAUCUUGAAGAUGAUUCAGAUAGUUCCUUAACACAAUCUAUGGAAUGGGUCAACAACAAAACUCCUAAUCUCAAGAUUCCAAGAACGAAAGACGUUUUCGUCAAUGGUUACACUAUCAAAGUCAAGUUCUGCGAUACUUGCUUGCUCUAUCGUCCACCUCGUGCAUCACAUUGCUCCAUCUGCAACAACUGUGUCCAACGCUUUGAUCACCAUUGUCCAUGGGUUGGACAAUGCAUUGCCAGAGUAAGUUCUUCCUCACAGACUUGAACCUCAAGUCUUUAACUGAUACUCCAUAGAUUUGUACACUUCUUUGUUCGGAGAGUAGUUGAUUCUUGGUGUGAAACUUUUGCAGAGAAACUACCCGUUCUUCAUUUGCUUCAUCUCAUCUUCAACAUUGCUAUGCAUAUAUGUCUUUGUGUUCUCCUGGAUCAAUCUGAUUCGACAACCUGGGAAGCUAUGGAGAACAAUGUCUUAUGAUAUAGUGUCAGUCAUUCUUAUCGUAUAUUCAUUCGUCGCUGUCUGGUUCGUUGGUGGACUUACCAUUUUCCACUUCUAUCUCAUGUCUACAAACCAGGUACAUUCCUUACCUUUAUCAUAGGAUCACACCUAAAUCUUGUUAGCUUGCUUUAGCCUUGAGAGCUUUCUUGUGUUGUGUCUGUUUUGCAGACAACAUAUGAGAAUUUCCGGUACCGUUACGAUAAGAAAGAAAAUCCUUACAAGAGAGGGUUACUGAAGAAUGUUAAAGAAGUAUUAUUUGCCAAGAUCCCGCCUUCGCAACUAGAUCUCAGAGCGAUGGUCCCGGAAGAAGAUGACAUGACUAUAGCAUCUAACGGAUCCGAGUAUGAGUCAGAGUAUAGCUCCUCCGUGAGAUACGAUACAGAAAUGGGAGGCAAGCUCACUAAAAGGGAGAGUCCGAGGAAGCUUCCUUUGCCAACACGAAACUUAGAUGAUAUCAAGGAAAUUAGUGAUAACUACGACAGAUCUACGACAACUAGAGAUGAUGCUUCUGAGCGCGAUCCUUCGUUCUUCUCAUCUCAACUAGACUUGCCCAAGUAACUGCAAUGAACAAUCUCUCACUGUUGUAUCAUCUUUGUCUAUAUUCUUUCGAACAUUCUGAUGAAAUAUAGCAAGAAUUACAGACGACUGGUUCCAGAUGUUGAUGUGUCUUUUGUCUUAUCAAAGAUUACUCAGCAAAACCAGAUGUAGAUUAGAACACCAAAAUGUUUAACAUUCGGCUUCAUUGGCAAACAUUAUUAUUUCCCAGAAUGAGAAAUCCUCAAACAACAGAUCUCUUACAAGUAAAAAGGAAACAACAGUUUAGGUUCGAAGAGCGUAAGACAUCUGAGUGAUAGCAUCAUCAUAGUCUCUUCAAGCUUUUCUUUCUAGCGUCUACCUUCUUCUUAUCUGCCUGAACCUUGGCCAAACCUGCCUCCCUUUUCUGAGUCGUAGUGACCACACUUGCAGAUCCUGCUGUGGCUGCUACAACGACAUUAGCCAUGUGCUGUUGGUCUUGGGCACUCGUUGUUACUCUCUUUAUGUCUGUCACUGAAGAGGGUAUUGCAGUAGCAGCACUAGGCGUCUCGUUGUUUGUCUGGCCAACAUUUAGAGCGGUUGUUGACUCUGAGAUUGCUCCUGUCUUGAACUUCGGUUUUGGUUUAGCAUGGAUACCUGUGUAAAGCCUGCAUACAGUAAUAGUCCAGUAUAUAAGCAUUUCAUCUUUCGGCAAAGAAAAAGUAGAAGGUUUGACAACAUUUGAAACCAAAGUAGAUGGCUCACCUAGCAUGCCUCGCAUACUCGUCAUAGUUUUCAAGUAGCAUCUUGCCAGCUUGUUCAUUUAAUGCAGAUUCUGGAAAUGGCUCGAUUAAUAAGCACCUUACAACCUGUUAACAUGUACAAAACACAGAUCCUCAGUCUUCAGUUUUAAGAAACCGGUCAAAGAGAUGAAUACAUAAGGGGUUAAUCAUCUUACAGAGAGAACAUGUCUUAAUCCAAGACUAGGGUUCCAAUCCUUUUUAAGCGUGUUAACACAUAUCUCUCCAUUAGAAGCAACAUUAGGAUGGAAAAUCUUUGUCAUGAAGUAGCCUGCAAUGUCACUCAAGAAAUUAGAAACCAUUAAUAAAAAUUCUCUGUGUCUCUGCCUUAAAGUGACAUGCAUACCUUUAGGCGGUGAAUGUGGAAAAUCAUGUGACAAAGCCAAUUUCAUACGGAAAACUCCGUUCUCAUAAGGAGUACCAACUGAAUGCAAUCAAAGUAGAAGAACAUCUUACUUUACAUCAUUCAACAUUUAUAAUCUUGCACGAGAAUGAAAUAGAUAGGGUAAUAAGUGUGCACCUGGUCCUUCAAUAUCAGCACAUAUUUGUGAGAAAUCCUCGUCAUUUACCACAACCUUGAUGCCAUCUGGAGGAGAUUCGUCUAGACUCUUCAGCUCCUUGGCAAGCUGCUUGAUAACAUUGGGUGGUAGAUUCUCAUUACUAGCCUGAGCAUCAAAGAAGACAAAUCAGAACAGAUACAACUUCAUAGGCUUUUCAUAAGUUUCCAAGUAAGAACAAUUCUAAGCAAUGAAUACAGAGGGAGAGAUAGUUACCAUGGAGAAUUAUAAACGCUAAAGGACCUUCCCCAGAAGUUCUUGUCCUCAGACUCAGAUAAACAGGCAGAAGCACCAAUGUGAUAAAAUCCUUUACUGGUCUUCAAGACUCAAUUGCGAUAAAACUGUACCAAAGCCAUAAAAGGUUAAUGCGUUGAUUCGUCAACAGAAAUGACUAAACUAAGUGGUCUAAGCUACAAUAUCCAUUCACAGCAUUAAUGUUUCAUCAGCAUUUAUCCGAUUCCACACCACAAUGAACUAUUAAAAGUAAGGCAAUUGAGCAAAAUCGAUGAACAAAAAUCUAAACUUGAAACUCUUGGAGAAGAGUGAAGACACGAAUUAACUAAGAGUAAAGCAAAAUAACUGAAUCAGACCCUGAUAAGAACGAAACGCAUCCAAGACACAAGAACAAAGCCAACCAAUUGAUGAAUCAAAGAAAACCCUAAAUUGAAACAAUUUGGGAUCUCGUGCAAUCGACGAAGGGCUUCAAAGAAUAACUCAAAAUACCUAAUUGGGGUUAAUAUAUAAACGAAAAAUCGAAGAAAUCUUAGAGAGAACACAGAGAAAGCAAAGAAUCACAUCCCAAGUCGAUCAUUUCAAGAAAGAAGAAAAAGAAUGAUUUUUUCAUCAGAAAUCGCAACGUACCUUCUUGCCCAAAAUUGAAAAUACGCAGAGAGUGAGAAAAGGCGAUCCCUUUCUCUCUACCUCUCUCGAAGUAAUGAUUCAACUUGAAAUCGGAGAAGAAGAAAGAGAGAGGUUCAAUUAUUGAAAUUUUAUAAGAGAAAUAGAGACAAAAUGUUUAAUUUAAUUUAAUAAAAGGAGCGUAUCAAAAAACGGAAAAAGAAAAAAAGUUGAGGGUAUUUUUGUAAUUUACGUGCCAGGCUGGAAUUGACCGUUAGCAUGUCUUCUUCUUUUUCACCCGCUAACUACUAAAGUAGCCGUUACUUGUGUCAGGUGUUGUUCUUUAAUUUUACUGAUUUUGUUUCUGAUCAUCAAGCUUCAAAUUUAUUAUUUACUAGUAUUAAUCCCGUACUCCGUACGGGGCAAAACUUUAAUCAAAUUUAUUAAAUUUUUACAUAUAAAAGUUGUAGGAAAGAGCAAGGAAGAAAGAUAUUUGUAAGCUUUUUGUAUGAAAUAAUGUUGUUGUUCUAUUGUUGAAAAAGAGAGGCAUAGAGGAGAUAUUGAGAUCGUGGGGGUGAAGAGGGGAAACAGUUGCAAGAAAACUUUUUUUUUUUAGUCUUUUUUUUUUGUCGAAUAGCAAAAGUUUAAUUGUUUAGAAAUCUGAAAGUGUAAAAAUUAGGACUUAAGACAGGUGUCGGAUGGAGAGGAUUGCAGUUUUUUUAGAAUUGACUUGUGAUUUAUUAUAUAAAGAUUCCAAAUAUGAUAUGUUAACCAUAUUUAUAUAGUUUAACAAAAGCUUUAAGAACACAAAGAUCAACAAAGAAUAACUCUCUUUAUUAAUCACUUAGGAAAAUAACUCAAAACCUAAGCACUCAAUCUCUAUUCUCAAAACUCAUAAGUUAUGCUACACCUUAGCAUCUUCUUAUAUAGAGAAGAGUUUUCCAAUUCUCAAAAGUAAAACUUACAUAUUUAGAUAACUCCUAAAUAGUACUUUUCCUAAUCUCUCUCAAAGAUAACUUAUUGUUCAAGUAACUUCAAGCUUAGGCCAACAUUCUCCCCCUUAAGCUUGAAGUUAUCUUUCUUCAUAUCUUGAACUCCAAUAAAACCUCUCAUCUCCUUAAACUUGAUUCUACCAAGUGGCUUUGUUAGGAUGUCCGCCUUUUGCUCAUUGCCGGGAACGUGCUCUACCUCCACUUGCUCAUUCUCAACACAUUCUCUAAUGAAAUGAUAUCUUCUAUGUAUGUGCUUACUUUUUCCAUGAAACACCGGGUUCUUUGUCAAAGCUAUAGCCGAUUUGUUGUCGAUUCUCAACAAGACCUUCUUCCCUUCAAUGUUUAGUAUUUCACUCAACAACUCUUUAAGCCAUAUAGCUUGCUUUGCAGCCUCUGUAGCCGCCAUAAAUUCAGCUUCACAGGAAGACAUCGCCACGGUUUCUUGCUUUUGAGAACACCAAGUAAUAGGCGAAUCAUUGAGGAAGAAAAUGUGACCCGUUGUACUUCUACCAUCGUCUAAGUCAACAUUGUGCGAGCUAUCACUAUAACCCAUCAAAUCUAUCUUCUUUGUCCGUUUGAACAAGAGACCAAGAGAGGUGGUUCCACGUAUGUACCUCAAGACUUGCUUCAAUGCUGCUCCAUGGGAUUCUUUGGGCUCUUGCAUAUACCUGCUCAAGACACCAACACUAUAAGAGAGAUCCGGACGAGUGUGAAUCAAGUAACGAAGGCAGCCAAUACUUCUCCUGUAAUCUUUCUCAUUAAUACCCUUCUCAUUCUGAGACUUAGACAAUUGUAGGUUCAUCUCCAUUGGAACAUGAGAUAGAUUGCAGCCUUCCAUUCCUGUUUCUCCCAAAAUCUUUUCUGCAUACCUUUCUUGCUUGAGACUAAUGCCACCUUCAUGUUGAUGCACUUCAAUUCCUAAGUAAUAAGUCAACUUUCCAAGGUCACUCAUCUCAAAUUUUGUUGCCAUCUCUUUCUUAAAUUCCCGAAUCAACUUUAAAGAGGAGCCUGCAACAAGCAAGUCAUCUACAUACACUGCCACAAUAAGUAGAUGUCCUUUCUCUUCUCGUUGAUAAAGUGAUGGUUCCUUUGAGCACUUAUGAAACUUGAAUUCUCUGAGAAUUGUGUUUAACUUGUCAUUCCAGGCUCUAGGCGCCUGUCUUAGGCCAUAAAGAGCUUUGUUCAAUUUAUAGACCUUAUCUUCACUACCCGAAACAACAAAUCCUUCAGGUUGACUAACGUAAACCUCUUCUUUUAACUCUCCAUGUAAAAAUGCAGUCUUAACAUCGAGGUGAUGUAUUUCCCAGCCAUUAGAAGCCGCCAAAGCGAUAAUGAACCGAACAGUUUCAAUACGUGCCACAGGAGCAAACACCUCGUCAAAAUCAAUGCCGUGUCUCUGAACAUACCCUUUGGCGACUAGACGUGCCUUAUACUUGUUAACACUCCCAUCUGCAUUUCUUUUUAUUUUGAAGACCCACUUUAAGCCAAUUGGCUUAACUCCUAUGGGGAGACUAGUCAAGUUCCAUGUCUUGUUCUUCUCUAUUGAUGAAAGCUCUUCUUUGCAAGCAUCUAUCCACACUUUCAGUUCUCUGGCUUCGCUAAAGUCCCAAGGUUCUUCAUUGAUUACCAUCAGAAGUUUUUCACACUCUGUUUCUGCGAGAAGGACGUAAUCAUUCAAAUAUGCAGGCUUUACUCUUGGCCUUUCUGAUCUUCUCAGCGGCGGUGGUGGUGUUUGUUCCCUUUCAUCAUCACCACUGUCUCCAUUACUCGGAGCAUCACCAUUCUCUUCUUCUUCUGUAUCAUCUUCGACUUCUAUCACGUUUUCAUCCGCAGCUUGAGUGAUCCUUGUACCUUCCCCUGUUUCAAUGUCUCUUAUGCCUUUAUUACCAAAUUCUCCCAAGCUAAUAAAGAAGGUUCCGGAGGCUUUAUGAACUUCUCUUUCUCCUCUGUUCCAGAUCCAAGCUUUGUUUUCAUCAAAAAUAACAUCACAGCUCACAACUAUCUUCUUAGUUGUAGGAUCAUAUAAUCGAUAGGCUUUUGUACCAGGCUCUGUUCCGAGAUGCACUAACAUUCUUGACCUGUCAUCAAGCUUCUUUCUCCCAACAAUCUCUGUUCUUGCGUAACAAAUGCAGCCAAAUACUUUAAGAUGUCCAAGAUUUGGUUUCUUCCCUUUAAACACUUCAUAUGGAGUCAUUUCAGUUAAUGAUCUUGUUGCAAUCCUAUUAAUCAAAUAGGUGGCGUGUCUCACAGCCUCUCCCCAUAAAGAAUUUGGCAAGCUCAUGUGUUUAAGAAUACUUCUAGUCAUCUCCAAAAGAGUUCUAUUUCGUCUUUCAACAACACCAUUUUGCUGAGGAGAGUAGGGUGCAGUCAAAUGUCUUUGGAUGCCAUGUUCAUCACAAUAAGCUUGAAACUCUUUUGACACGAAUUCUCCUCCCCUAUCUGUUCGCAGUGUCUUGAUUGUUGCUCCUAUUUCUUGCUCAACAAUUGCUUUGAACCUUUUGAAUUUUUCAAAUGCCUCACUCUUUUCUCUUAAGAGAACUGUCCACAUAUAACGUGAAUGAUCGUCAAUGAGUACGAAAACAUACCUCUUUUUAGCCGGAGUGGAAGGUGUAAUCGGCCCACAUAGAUCUCCAUGAAUGAGUUCAAGAUUUUGACUUGCUCGAUAAGAAGUUGCUUGCGGAAAGGGCUUCCUCGUUUGCUUCCCAAGUAGACAUGACACACACGUUUCUUUCUCAACUGUGAACUUUGGUAUACCUGUUACCAAUUCUUUGUUAAUCAUCAUCUUCAUUGUUUCCAAGUUAGUGUGUCCAAGCCGUGAAUGCCACAUAGUUGACUCGGUUGGUGACAUCAAUUGUAGGCAUUUGAGAUUUUCAACUUCUAGUAUGACCUUGUAUAGACGAUUCUUGGACCUUGUUGUCUUCACCAGCACAUGUCCAGACCGAUCAUAAAGAGUUAAAAAAUCUUCUUUCAUUCGCACUUCACACCCUGCUUCUGUCGCUUGACCAAGGCUAACAAUAUUGCUCUUCAGAUCCGGUAUAAAGUAUACAUUCUUCAAAAUUUUAAGCACCUUUCCCUUUCCAUCUCCAAAUACGAACUGAAUUGACCCUUUACCUUUGAUAUCAAUGCGAGAAUCAUCUCCAAAACGCACCUUUCCCAUGACUGUAUCAUCAAGAUCUAAAAAGAAAGACCUAUUGCCACACAUAUGGUUGCUUGCACCAUUAUCAAGGUACCAUACAUUUUUUGUGUCUAGAUCGGCUUCAAAACAGCUUGGUUUUACUUUAUUUUCAUUAAGAUAAACCACCUCAUGCAUCAUUAGUUCAUCAGCUUCUUGUGUUGCUUCAUCCUUUUUUUCAACAGUUUCUUGUAACUUAAGCAGUCUAUCGGGACAAUCUGAUGCAUAAUGCCCUAGUUUAUCACAUCGAUAACACGUUAUCAUUGACGCAUCUCUUUCCCUUUGUCUGUAUGAACCGUUUUGAUAGUUGUUAAAACGUCCGCGGCCUCUACCUCGCCAAUUAAACCGACCUCCUCUGCCUCUUCCUCUGUAUCCUUCAGUAUAAGAUGCUUGUGAGUCUGAAUUUGCAUACAUCAGCUUAUUAUGAUCCUCUUGUUUCUCUUCAUCUUCAUCAACAAUCCUCUCUUCAUACACUUUUAAACGUCCAACAAUGUCUUCGAAAGUCGUUUUGUUCAAAUUAAGAACUUGUUCAAGAGCUGCGAUGAUAUGGAUGUAUUUUUUCCGAGGCAAACUUUUGAGGAAUUUUUUCACAAGCUUUGGUUCUUCAAUGGUUUCUCCAAGUGUUGCUGCUGUAGAAGAGAUCUCCGAAAGUUUCUCUACAAAAGCAUCAAUUGAAUCUGUCUCCUUCAUCUUGAUUCUAUCAAAUUCCGCCAUCAAAGUUUGUAACCUAGCCUCUCUAAUUCUCUCAGCUCCAACGUGUUUUCCUUUUAUUGCAUCCCAAGUUGCUUUAGCAGUGGUGUGUUUUCCAACUUGUAAAGUCAAGGCCUCUGGUAUAGAUUGGAACAAUAAAGCUAUUGCCACAUCGUUCUUCUCCUCAUCUAGGUCCCCCGGAUCUAUGGUGUUCCAUACCUUGUUAACCCUAAGAGCAACUUGCAUCCUCAUAGCCCAAUAAGUAUAAUUAGAAGAGGUGAGCAUCGGACACUUUAUGGCAGAGGAUCCGAUCUCCUUUGACGUUGCUUUUACGGUCGGCUUCUCGUCUUCAUCGUCAGACAUGAUGAAUCUCUUUCACGUUAAUGCUCUGAUACCAAAUAUAGUUUAACAAAAGCUUUAAGAACACAAAGAUCAACAAAGAAUAACUCUCUUUAUUAAUCACUUAGGAUAAUAACUCAAAACCUAAGCACUCAAUCUCUAUUCUCAAAACUCAUAAGUUAUGCUACACCUUAGCAUCUUCUUAUAUAGAGAAGAGUUUUCCAAUUCUCAAAAGUAAAACUUACAUAUUUAGAUAACUCCUAAAUAGUACUUUUCCUAAUCUCUCUCAAAGAUAACUUAUUGUUCAAGUAACUUCAAGCUUAGGCCAACAAUUUAGAUGCUAGAUUAAUAAAAAAACACAACCCUAAUCAAGGAAUUUAAGUACACUUAAUAAAAGUGCUUGUAUUUAUUUUGGUAGCAUUUGGCUAAAUGAUCAAAUCAUAAUCAUAUUAUCAUUAAUGAUAUAUAUCAACUUAGGUUGUUUCAGUUUUGGCCAAUAGAUUGAAAUUUGUUAGACAUUUGUUUGUUUGUGAGAUUCUUUUUUCUUUUGAGUAGAAAAUGAAUGUUGGUUGAGGUAAUAAAUUAAUGGGAAAAUUGGAUAUAAAGGACAAAUAAUUAAACUAUUGUCCAUCUAUGCAUUCUAUAUUCAAAUGUCACAUAUUCCUAAUAUACCCUUUGUAAUUAAUAUAACCAAUUUUUCAAAUAAAAUUCAAAAUAGUUUGUAGGCAAAUGAUAAAGAAGUCAUGGGGAUACUUAUAAAAUCAAAAAUAUAUCGUUUUUGUUACCGUUUUGGAUGAAUAAAAUAUGAUCUACGAAAUUUAGACUAUGCCUUCUGAAUUUAGAAUGUGUAUUCUAUAUAUUGUACAUGUUCUAUAAAAUCUAGAUAAUGUAUUCUAUGCACUCUACAUGUUCUAGAAAAUUUAGAACGCAUUUCUGUUCUACGGUAUUUAGAAUGCUAAAUUCUACGAAAUUUAGAAUACAUAUUCUAUACUUUGCUCUUUCUUCUAGAAAAAUUAGAAUAUGUUUUCUAACAUUUACCCAUGUUCUAAAAUUGUUAGAAAACACAUUCUUAUAUUUUUCUAUAUAUUCUACAAAAAAUAGAAAUCAAAUUCUAUGUAAUUUAGAAUGAUUUUUCAAAAAGGAAAAUAAAUUAUAAAAUAUGGAAAUCGAAUAUAAAAAGUUAAGAUUACGAAACUACACAACUUUUUCGUGAAAAAUCGUAACAUGAGUGAAACGUGUUGCUCUACUUACACAAAAUACAAAAUACGUAAUAUAACCAAACUCAAUUAUAAACUAACAAAAGUACCACAUUUGUGGAAAAUUGUGGUUUACUAUAGGCGUAAUAUUUGAAAGUGACUAACGUAAAAGUGAAUUGACAUGUAAAAAGGUUGCAUAAAUCAUUGUGUUUUUGUUUUUCACUCAAUCUCUAUUAUAUUAGAAUCUAGCUGUGGAGGUUCAUACUUUGCCAUUCGGUCAUGAACACAUGAGCAAAUGUUAUUUCCCGUAGAUCAUCUACAGGCCUUUGAUGUGCAUGUAUAUGUUGACAUCGUCCAACAUAUCGAUGGGCAGUCCCAAAAGAGAAAAUCAAAGAAGAAGUUGCCGUAAAAAAAUAGAAGAAGAAGAUGCCGUAAAAAAAAAGAAUUAAAGCGGAAGAAGAUUUGAAAUUAUCUACGGCAAAAAAAAAAUAGAAAGUAAUUAAAUAUUAUUUUUGUCAUAUAUUUUCUCCAAAUCAUUUUUAGAAAAUAAUCUAAUUAAUUUUGGAAUGUUAUAGUUUAGCAAGAUUUAAUAAAAAAAACUGGGGAUAUAAAUGGGAUUUUAAUUAUAUCAAAGCAUAUAUGACCAAUUUUAAAGCAUAUAUGACCAAUUAGGAAUAUAGAAUGCAUAGAUGAACGAUAAUUUAAUUAUUUAUCCUUUAUAUCCAAUUUUCCCUAAAUUAAUUCUCCCACCUUGCAUAUUUUGUGUUUUGAUUAGAUUGCAUAUUUAAUAUGGCUAUAAUGAACAUUCUAUAAAUAUCUAAUAUGGCCUACUAUUCAAGAUCUUUGGUCAAUUAUAAGAAGAAAAAAAAAGUGAAGAUCUCGAAUCCCAACUCCAUGUGUUUAAAAUACUAGAGAUUAUCUCUAGCGAUUGCAGAAAAUUAAGAACACAUUCGUUUACAAAUUUUCAUUGAUUACCGUCACGUGAAUUUUACUAAUCACGAUUAUUUCGAUUUUGCAGUUUUUCAUUGUAUUAAUCUUUUGAUCUUCAAAAAUAUCAUUCAAUUACAAAGGUUGAUUCCAAUAUAUGAAACGAAGAGUACCAGUUUACCAAAAAUAUUUAGUUUUCAAUUUAUUUUCUUUGUACCUAUGUAUAUGUUGGUCGCAAACUAGCCCAUAGGGCAAUGUCAUCUCGUGAUCUCAAUGUUAAGAAUGAUAUUUAUCAAAGAAAAUGUCAUUAGACCAUUAAAUUUAUUUAUUUUUUAAUCUAAAGAGAGAGAAAAAGAUAGAAAUUGAUGUGAAGUUUAAAUGAUUUUUAAUACGCUAUCGUUUUGUGGUUUAUUUGAAACUUUUAAUGUUUAUUAUAACAAAAGUUUUGUUUUUUCUUAUAAAAAUGAAAGUCAAUAAACAAAAUAUUAGGUAAACUUCCACAUUAUAGUUUAAAAUGAUCCCAACUAAGGAUAAAUGAUCCCAUAAUCCUUAGUUCAUGCACCUUGAAACAAGUAGUUCAUCCUAGGUCUAGUGAAAUUUUUGUGCAAACCAUACUUUGACAUGUAAUUUUACUAUUAUAGUUUUUUAAUCAUAUAAUAGUUUACUGUAAAUAUUGUAAAUAAAAUCUAUUUAUCCCUGAAAUAAUAGAAAGAUAUAUUGUCACAAAAUAAGAUUUUUGACUAUUUUAAAAAUAUUAGAAUAAAUUAUAUGUAAACACAAUAGUAAGAGCAUGAUUCUUAACUCAUGUGUUGUGGUACAAGUUUGUUGGAUUGUUCGCCUUAUGUCAUUUUUCGUCAAUUUGAAGGUGUGUUAAAACUUGUUGGAUAAAUUGGCAUGGAAAAGGCGUGAACGGGGUCAGGAGUCAGGACAUUCAGGAGACCACAAGGCUGCAGGUAAUUUCUGUCUUUUAAAACAAAAAAAAUCGGAGAAGCCACAUGUCUCAUAUGUUUUGUCAUCUACUUAAAGACACCAUCUGUUUUUUUUUUUUUUUUCUUCUCUGCAGAAACUUGCUGUCGUUCACGAAGAGGAUACUGAUGGCCGUGAUGUUAAUGGCAAUGGGAGCCGCUGUUUCAUACUAUGGUUAUAAGGGACUCUUGUGGCUUUCUGAUUGGAUGAAAGAAGUCGAAGAACAAAGACAAAAGUCUAGAAGAUACCCGCGAAUCUAACUGGUUUCGAGAGUUGUUACUUCUCAAGCUUUUUUAGCCUGAUACUGGGCAGUGACAACACAGUUAGCUUCGAGACAUUUGGUCUUUCUUUUUGGUUUAGUCGAUGAUAGUCACCAAAUAUAUUUCAAAGGGGAGAUUAGAAAGAUAAUCAAUUUGUUUGUUUUAUUGAUUUGUGCUCUUGCUUUUAGCUCUUUUUGAUAUUUCGAGACAGCAAAAAAUGUUGUACUUGUUCUUCUUUUUUCUUGCAUCUCUUGUUUCUUCUUCUUGCUUGUUUUACCAGAUGUUGAUCAAUUCUCACUCUGUACAUUAUGUUUGUUGUGUUGUUAUAAAUAGUGAAUUUGUGUGUGUACAUACACACACUCGAAUGGGACAUAGGAAAUUAAUUAUCCAGUGGAUGGUCCUGCCUCCAAAUCUUCCCCAGCUAGUGCUCGGAAUCAACUUCGCCAGAGAUGGUAUGCAGUGUGACAUGACCAUUGGCUCCAGUUAAUUGCUGUCCACGGUGAUUGUUGGUUUCUCAUGGCUGAGUCGCUAUGAGAGGUACCCUAUAUGUGAUCCUUUUACAUAUGGUUCUUGCUUGAUAUGCUAAGUGAGUCGCUUUUAAUCCCUUCUUUAGUUUUGCUUAGUUUCUAUAUCAUUAGGUUAGUUAUAUUUUAUUAACAAAACACUAGAAAUUAACACGCGGUACACCGCGGGCCUAUAAUUUUACUAAAUAAUAAAAUUAAUUUUUCUUUUUCAGGUUGAGAGCCCGCGGUAUACCGCUGGAAAUAUUAAUUUUACAUGUUGUGACAUUGAUUUUAAUAUUGUAUAUUUUUAGUAGAGAAAAUUGUGUAGUGUAUGAAAAAAUGAUAAAUUGUUUACAAUAAAAAUCUGUCAUAUUAAUUAUGAUUUAGCGGUAAAAUGGAAUUUUGAAAUCUUGGUAAUGAAUGUUUUAGGGGUAAGGAAAAUACUAUGUUUUUAGGAAAACAUAUACUUAGACACGCCGCACGCGUUUGUAUUAAACAGAUAUCAAAACAAAAAAAAGAAUUAAAAUCGUAGAAACAUUACAUCAUUAAUAGAAAAUAGAGAAUACACAAUGAAAAUAAAAAUUAGAUUGCUCAAAAACUGAAGCAUAGAUGUUGAGAUAUCAAAACAAAAAAAAAGAAUUAAAAUCGUAGAAACAUAACAUCAUUAAUAGAAAAUAGAGAAUACACAAUGAAAAAUAAAAAUUAGAUUGCUCAAAAACUGAAGCAUAGAUGCUGAGAGAAGUUUGUGUGGAUGAAUGAAAAAUGAUUUGCCGAAUAGCAGAGCCUAUAUUUAUAAUGUUUAGAAUUAGGUUGCUUUAUUAGGGUUUUAAGAAAAACAUAUUCUGCAAAUAUUCUAUAAGUAAUUAGCGUAGAUAUGCUAUAGUUAAUCGCAUCAGAAUAUCUAAACGAAAUUAAUUUUAGUUUCUAUCGUUAAAGAUCUUAACAUAUUUGAUUUGCGCUUUCGCGAUUUUUAUAAUUUUGCAGUAAACCAACUUUAUGACUUUCCAUAGUUCAAGAUCGUAGAGAAUAUUUGAUGGUUAAUCUGAUAAUUAGAAGAUUCUAUAUAUUUUAGCGAAAUUUUUUCCCUAAAUAACGAAGAAGUUACCAUAUACUUCGGAAUUGUAUUUGUUGAUUUAAUAUUCGAUUUUAAAUUGAAUAAUUUACAUAGAAGUUACCAUACAAGUCCGGUAAGGUUUCUUAUUUUUGCUGUCAAAAAUACUCAUAUAUCCGAUUAUCAUUAUUUCUAUCAAAAAUACCCAAUUUAUUAACUACAUUUAUUUUAUAAUAAUUCAAAAUAAUAUAAAUAUAACAUCAAAUAAAAGUGAAAUGAGAAUUAUAUAAUUCUGUUUAAAUUAGGUCGAGAGAUUGUAAAAAAUUAGCUCAAAUUUGUUAAUUAGCAUUAACUCAUCAUAUUUUAUAUAUUUUUCUGUAAAAAUCGUGAAGAAUAUAUGUCAUAAAUAAAGAGUUUAGAUAUAGAAAUAGUUAAAAAUAUAGAUAUUUUUAGAGUUUAUAAAUUAAUUUCGUUUUGGAUAUUGCCAAAAUUUAAAGAAAGAUCCAAUUGAAUAUUUUUGGUCACAAAAAAAAACCUACCCAUAAAGAUUAAAAUUUAGGAUUAUAGUUAUUUCAAAUUUUAAACUAAUUUAGAUUUUAUAAUUUUCAUAAAUACGAAAAUAAUUUGUUCACCUAUAUCAGAAAAUAUAACUAAAACAAAUUACGUAAUAUUAUAUAAAAAUUUAAAAUAAAUAACUAUUUUCAUUUUAUGGUGUAGACAAAUUAUUAUUAGUAUUUAUGUAAUUUAGUUUCAAAAAUAAUUUAGAAAAAUAACAAACAUUAAAUUUUAUAACAAAACAAAUUAUUUUCGUAAGAAUUUGUCCCCAAAUUAAUAUUUACAAACUAUUUAUUUUAAUCACAUAUUCUUUCUAUAUAAAAAUAGGUAGUUAGAUAAUUAUGGUUAGAAGUUGUUAAGGUAAAUAACAAAUAUGGUUAGUUUAGAGAUAUCAUAUAUAUAUAUAACAAAUAAGAUUAUUUACCAUUAAAAUAGGUAACUUAUUUGUUUUGUUAUACGCAUAUUCUCUUAAAGAAAAUUAAUAAUUAGGUGUGGGGAGAAGUUAAGGAAAUUAACAAAUAUGAAUUAAUAAAGGAAUUAAUUUCGUUUUAAUAUUGCCAUAAAUUUUUUCAGUUUGAAAUUAAUAAAGGCUUUAUUUAUUAGUUUGAAAUUAAGACAACAUCCCUAAAAUUGCUUAUCCAAGAUCCGAAUAGACUAAAACCGGGUCAAACCCGGAUCCAAAAGAAUUAAAGCAAAAAAGUACUGUAAAAAUGUAUAUGUAGAUACGGGACCAAAAUAUGAUAAUCCCCACUUGACAAAACAUCAGGUUUAAGACUUUACUUCCAUUACCUGGUGUAUAAUUUUCCUCUUACAGAGUUCCAUCUACAUAUACGUUUACUAAAAUUGUUACGAGAAUAUUAUGUAUGAUAGACAGAUAAUUCGAAUAUACUCAAUACCAAAAGCAAAAGGUACUUCAAGUUUUAUUCCACAAAAUGAUUAUUUUUUAAUCAAGUGUAAAUAAGUCAGGAAAAGGUGUCUGGAAGAGGAAAACAACAAAGGUAAAACACACCUAAAAAACCCCAUCAUGGAUUCAAAUCUUAGGAAAGCUUCCUUACAGAGAAGUUUUAACGAACAUAUUAAGUCUUCAACAGUGAGACUAUCCCUUAACUUUAUUAUCCCUUCUUCUGAGACUUGAGUUUGAAAGAAACAUCACUUAACUUACUUUUCUUCUUCUUCUUCUUCUUGGAAGAUUUAUCUUCAACAAUGAGACUGAAACAAAAAUGUACACUCAUAAAGACAUAUUUAUGAGAGACCUAAUAAUAUCAAAUACCAAUAACAAAUAUACUUAAAUAACAUUCAGUUUAAGGCGAACAGAUGGUUUUGUGAUGUCAAUUAGACAGAGACCAAUUGAAUGAGAAAAGUAGUCAAUUAGAUAGAGCCAAUAUCGAAUAACAAAAUCAUAAAUCCACUUACUGAAAUUUCUCACAAAUGACAUGAAUACUUUUGACCAUCCCACAAGAACCAAAGUCCUUAAAUAAAAUUCAGUUUACACGAAAAAGAUGGGUUGAAGUCAAGAAGCCAAAAUCCUCAAGCUGACUUCUAUUCAUUGUUUUAAAAAGAGCAUUUGAAUAAAGCCAAGCUAAAUUUUUACAAUAUUUGAAUGGUGGGUAUAGGUUACAAAAGUGAAUGGAAAAGUUUGUCAGAAAAUCAGAUUAUCUUCUUCGAACCACAACAAAUCAGAGAAUAAACUAUCGCUUAUUAUAAUGUUAUCUAAAAGUUAGUAUGGAAACUAACUACUGAUUCAAUAUGAGGGUGAAAAGCUAUAAAGCCAUGCUAUAUGUGUGGCUUUUAAUUAGGACCAAGCAAUUUUAAGAUUAAAACAAAAAAAAAAUCAAUAAAUUUACCUGCUUUUUGGAAUGGCUGCAUCAGUGGUAGAGCUAUCCGAUUCUAAAACAAACCACAAAAGUUAUCUAGUUUGUUAUCAAGAAUCGUUUGACCAAAAAAAAAAAAAAAAACAGAAUCAAGAAGAAAUUUCUGUACCUCGGACCUCGGUGCACGCAGGAGGGGCCGCAGCGGAGGUAUCUGUGGAAAAGGGUAAUUCCCGGUUUAGAAGUCACGCGAACAUCUAAUAUGCGUCCUCCCAUGUUGCUCCCAUUAAGUUCAGUCACCUUAUCUGCUACGUCUUUUCCGUAAAGAUACGCUACAGCUAUGCUGUAAAAAACAACAAAGGAAAGUCUUUUAGGCAUUAGAGAUUGACUUUAAUAACCUGAAAGUUGGGAAAAAAUGGAAGGAAGAAGCCACAAACCCGUCGAAGAACAUGACAUCUUUGAGCUUUCCAUAUGAAGAGAAAUGAGAAAUCAAAGCGCUCUCGAUAAGUAUCUCAUGAAGCGAAGUGUCAAAUCCUUCAACUUCUAUAAAAACCUCACUGCAAAAAUAGAAUAUUGCAGGAGAUGAUAUACAUUAUUAAUAUCACACAUGGAAAAGAACACAUAAUAAGAUACAAAUCUUAUUUUUAACAAAAUUCAGUGUUUACUUGUUUGCGUCUUUGGGAAACGGAUAAGCCUUAACAGAGACAUUCCAUCCUCCAACGUCAACUCCAUUAAGUUGCAACGCCUUAUCUACUGCGCCUUCUCCCAGAAAAUAAAUAUAACCACGUCUGUGAAACAACAACAACAAGUUUUUUUUAGUUAGCAAUAUUUAAACUUGAGCUGAUGAGUUGGAAAAAAAUGGAGCAAGAAGAAGCCACAAAACCUCCUGAGAGUCUCAUCCCCAAAACAGACAAAGGGAAUACAAAUAUUCGUGAUAAUUCCACAACAAGAGAAAUGAUUUCUCAACGCCGUCUCAACAUCAUCAAUAGGAAGAUCAGUGUCAUAUCCCGAAACAAUAAUCCUCCCAACGUCACUGCAAUAAUUUGGUUAUACUAUAUAUCAACGUGACAAUUGAAGACAUGCAGCAUCUUGCACAACAAAAUUUUAAUUUUACCUGAGUUUUGGAAUGAUACUACCCUCACCAAUCAGAAUCAGUCCCUAAAAGUACAGAGAUGUAAUCAGAAACUCUACCAAGUUAAGUAUUUUUUUCUUACAAACUUUUGUAAGAAACCAUAAUUAUAGAGUGAAUCAGAAAAGCCAUAAGGGUAAGAAGAAGAUUACCUUGUCGGCGGAUUCGUCCAUGGAGAGAAUUUGUUUGACAAGAGCGAGAGACGAUAACCCUUUGAAGAUGUUUUUACAGAUUUAGGGAUUUAGGUCUGAAUUUAGUUCUGGUCUGGACUCUAAGGCCCAUAUGGUCCUAAUCUUCCGAGCCGUCGACGGAAUUUUACUAACUCACUAUAUUUUAACCCGCGGUAUACCAUGGGAUGAUUUAAUUUUAAAGUUAGUAUAAAAAUAUUUUGUAAAUUGUAUCUCCUUAUAACAUAUUUAUUUAUAUUAUAGUUUACAAUUGUUAUUAAGUAACGGUAUACCACGAGUCCACGAGAUAAUUAUUAAUAAACUGAGGAUUUAACCCGUAUUAAAGCGGUAUAUAAUUAUUGAUUCAAAUUCGUCCGCCAUAUAAAUCAUUUCCGAAAUAUAACCCGUUCCGUAAUUUCUUAACCCGUCCUGUGAUUUGUAUUAAAAAAAAAGGAUUAAAUCCGUAUUGAAGCGGCGGAUUAAUGAUAUUUUAAUCUUUUUAUUAUUGUUGAUUCAAAAACCCGUCCCGCCAAAAAACUCAUUUAUUUUAUUAAUGUUCUUAUUUAUGAUAUGAUUCUGAAUCAUUGUCUAAAUAUUUUAAUCGAUGUAGAACGUUGAACACACAUUUUCGUCAAUUGGAUAAUAUAUGUCCGUUUUUUAAAUUUCGAAUCACAGUAUAUGCAGAAAAAAAAUUGAUUUUUUUUUUACUAUAUGUAUUAUAUGAUGAUUCAAAACAGUUAAAAACAAAUCAAACAAAGAUGAUAGGAGAAUCAUAAUUAUAAAUCUUAAUCAAAUCUUCUAAAAAUCUAAAUUAUUAAAUAUGGAAUAUCCGGUGUAUGAGUUGGGUUAAAUAUAACCCGACCCAACAAAUUUUUUGUGAAGGAAUUUUUAAAAUGGGUCGGAUAUCCGAUAUACCCAAAAGCUUUUUUACCCACCCGUCACAAAAAGUGCUGCGAUUAUACUAGUAUAGAUAUAAUGUUUUUGUGUAUUCCAAGUAUUGUGAAGUCACAUUACUACAACAACUAGGAUCGGAUCCGCGGUCCACCGCGGGAGAAUAUUGGUUUACAUACGUUGCGUUUAAUAUUGUGUGUGUUUUUUAGUAGAACGAAUUGUGUAGUAUACUUAUAAAUAUUCAUAAUAACGAAUUGUAGAGAAAAUGUAAAAUUGUUUAUAAAUAUACCCAUCGUAUUUAUUAUGAUUUACAAAAUAGAAUUUUGUGUUUUAAAAUUCUAAAAUUAGACGAUUCAUGGGAAUUAAAGCAGUCAAAAUAGGUCAAAAACCGCGGGUCGAGCCCACAUCAUCUCACUAUGGGGCAGAUUUGGGAAAAUAUAUUAAACCCGCAAAUAAGCGGGCCACAUGGAUUAAUUCGCAGUGGGUCAUAGGUUUAAUCGGUUUUCAUUCGCGGGUUGGCGGAUCAGCCCGCAUAUUAGUAUUUAUUGAUAAAAUUAUAAUUUAUUCAACAUGUGGUAAUUUAAACAAACUUUUAAUAGUAUUUUUAGUUAUUUAUUUAUUUUAGUAGUAUUUUAAAUUUUGGUUACUUUAAAAUUAUUUAAACAAAAUCCAUGGACAAUCCCGCAAAUCCGCAUACAUUCGCGGAACGGGUUUGUAUUUCAUAUAUGCUACCCGCGGGUCGUGCGGACCGGCUAACUACAAGUCAAAAUAUUUUUUGUCUAUCGCAAAACGGACUUAACGGGACGAAUCAACUCGCUUUGACAGUUCUAAUAGGAAUAUUAUUUAGUCAUACAACAAAAUGAAGUUUGGACAUAGUAAUAAUAGAAUAUGUAUCUUAUUUGUUAGAUGAGAGAUUGAAAGAUGAAGUAUAAUGAUUAAAAAUUAAUUAUUAUUUUUCAUGAUUCACAAAAUUUAAUAAAUAUUUAUCAUCUUGUUGAAUAAUUCUAAAAUCAUAUUCAAUAAAUCUUUAUAAAUUGAAAAUUAAACUUCUUUGGUAAGCUAUAGGUAUGAAAAUAUCAUAAUUUUGAUUUAAUCUAAUUAAAUUAAAAUUAGUUACAUGGAUUUCAUAUCUAUUUAAUUUACACGACCAAAAUAAAAAUAUCUAUUUAAUUUACACGACCAAAAUAAAAAUAUCAAUUUAAUUUAUAAAACAGAUGGGUUAUUGUGAUAAAUUUUCUAGAAACUUUAGAAGCAAAUAAAAUAUCUUUUAAUUAAUGAUAAUUGGCUAAAAUGAGCGAAAUUAAUGAUAAAAACGUUGAUUGUUAUGGAAUUAGUCCCAAAAUAUAUGAACAAAUUUAUUAUACGUAAUUAAUGUAUAAUAUUGUUCGGAAUAUGCUUUUAUUAUUAGUUACCAUAAGUACAAUCAGAUUUUAUUUGAUUUCCAUAAAUAUUUGAUUUUAUUUCGAUUUUUCAUUAUUAAUUCGAAUUUAUAUUCCAAAAAAAAUUCAAAGAUCCGAUUUCAGAAUUUCGGAUCAAUUUUCUGAUUUUAACCCGACCCAUUUUCAUUUGUACUUCUCUUUUAAUAGUAUAGAGAUUAGUAUGUCCAGUAUUUCAAGUGAACCUAUUUGUCUGCGAUUGAACAGCCAAUAACCCAUCUUUAACUAUAAAAAGAAAACGAAUGAUCAACUCAACUACUCAAGUAAAAUAAAUUUUCAUAGCUUUGAAACCUAACUUGUUUCGUAGUCACUGCAAUCUUGGAUUCUGGCGACGCCUCAUCUACUCUUGUAUGUAAUUAUGAUCUAUCAAUAUAAUCCAUUAAUUACUCCUUUUUUGUUAUUUUUUUUUAUUCUACUUUCUUGAAUUGAAUUGUUCAUAUAUAAAUUUCUUCCUUUGGUAGGUACACGUAUAUCUGAGACUUCGAGACCAAACCGAGACAAUCGUACGCCAUUCACAUACACUCUUAAUUUGAACCUUUUCCAUAAUCGUACGCCAUCAUUCCGGUUGUCCUUCAUAUUGACAUGUGUGAAAAAAAAAAAACAUCUAGUAAACGGAUUUGAGUAACUAAUCAAAUGGUUCUAAACUUCUAAUAAUCACAUGAGAAAAUUCCAAACCAAGUAAUAUAAAAAACUUCCCAAAUUUCGAAAUGUAAAUUUGUAUAUCAUAUAUGUAAGAAAGAGAAUCAAAGAAUUUUGCAGAAAGUUAAUUAGUAAAAGACACUAAAAAUCAAGUGGAGACCACGCGCCAAAGUAGGCGUCGGUCGAAUCUAAUGAUCACUCUCAAUCUCAAUCUCAAACAAACAAACAAAAAACAGAUAACAACAAUUAAAUAUACAAGAAUCUUCUCAAGUCUCUUCACAAGUCUUUGCCUCAAAAUCAAUAAUAAUUUUUGUUCCUCAUCUUCACCAUAUUAAUUUCUUGUGAGAUCAAGACUCCGAAGUUGAGAUUCAAGAUUUGUGUUUUUUUGUUAGUGUUGAGGAUGAGAGAAGAAGAUUCCAAUUGGUUUGCUAAAUGGGAAGAAGAGCUUCCGUCGCCGGAGGAACUCAUUCCUUUAUCUCAAUCUUUAAUCACUCCUGAUCUCGCCAUCGCCUUCGAUCUCCACCGCGACAACUCAAACUCCGGUCAACCUCUACCCCAAACCACGCCGCCACAACCCAAUUCCUCAACCGAAUUCGCUGGAGACUCCACCGGAGACGAACCAGCAAGAACGCUAAAACGACCGCGUUUAGUAUGGACGCCGCAGCUACACAAACGUUUCGUAGACGCGGUGGCUCAUCUCGGGAUAAAAAACGCGGUUCCUAAAACCAUCAUGCAGCUUAUGAGCGUCGAUGGUUUAACCAGAGAAAACGUCGCUAGCCAUUUGCAAAAAUACAGACUUUACCUCAAAAGAAUGCAAUCCGGCGGCGGUGGAGGCGGCGGAGGUGAUUCCGAUCAUCUCUUCGCUAGCUCACCUGUUCCUCCACAUUUCCUCCAUCAGACAAGUAGACAAAGCUCUGACCUUUUCAUACCCUCUUUGGUCCCAAUUUCAACUCAGCAGCAACAUAUCGCAGCACCACCGUCUCAGUUCCUCCACCGACAAAUGUCCGCCGUUAAUUUCACUUCUCCGACCAAAGCUACCGACCAAGCAAUGUUCUUGGCUAGGCAGCAGAGUCAACUACAGCAACCAGUUUUCAGACCAUCUUCAUUGCAUUUGCAUAGUCAAGUGGCUAAUUACACUCAAGAUUUGGAUUCAGGAGCCAAAACUGUCUUGACUCUGUUUCCAACUCGAGACGAUUGAAUUAUAGUAAACAUUCACAAUCCGAGUUCUGCUUUUUUUUGGUCCUUGCUUUUGUGACCAGAUCUUCAAUGUUUCAAAGUGUGUCUACAAUACAAUCUUGAGGAACAUUUGGUCUCCUUUUAAAGAUUGAGUUUACUCUGUAAAAUCCUGAACUGCAUAAAAAGAAGUGAUCUUUUUCACUUGUUUAGAUUUGAUUACACAACUACUUUCUUGUUUUUUUUUUUUCUUUUCUUAUGGGUUCAUAUUUGUUCUUAAAAGUUGUUUGUAACUUUACACUGAACAUCAUAAAAGUAUUUGCAGGUACUAAAAAUUCUCUUCCUCUUCUAAAAGUCAAGACCCAAAUGGCCAAAUCCAUUUAUGUAUAGUUGAAUAUUACAUGAAUAUUCAUUAGUACAGUGUACAAAGAACAUGAAACAGCCAAAAAGCAAGGACUAGACCGUGCCAGUCAGAAAUUGAAUCCCAGGAUCUGAUGCUCUCAUAUCCUUAAUCAUACCUUAUUUAUUUAAUUAACUUUUUAUUCAUGUACGUAGAAUCAGUUAUGGGACCAAACCCAAUCAAGAUUUUUUUCUAUUAGUUAUUUAUUAUUUUGAAAAUAGUAUAAUCAUAAUCGUCUUGAUAAAGGAAACUAUAGGUUAUUAUUUGUUGGGUUGGGGAGGGAUCAAUUAAAAGCCAUCCCAUGAUGGUGGGUUCAUUAGCUGGCAUGUUUGUUUCUGAUCUGUUUCUAUAAAAGUCAUACCCUUAUAAAAAGUCCUUCGAAUUAUUACUAGUAUUUUUGUUGGAAAAUUUAUGAAUCCCAUUAGUAAAUAACAAGGCAGAUUUCAAACUACUAUUUUAGAAAUGGUUGAAUAAAAUUUAUAUCAUUGUUGGUAAACCAGUGUAGUGUACCUGAACAUGAACUCUUAAGUGCAUUCAAUCAGAAGAAUCAAAGAUAAUUUUUUUUAUCUGAAUUUUGGAAAUACGUUGACUCUGUUUUCUAUGUUGACCCAUACGAACAAGAAAAAUUUCCACAACUAUCUACCCUAAAUGGGCCAUAAGCUUUACAGGCAGACCCAUUUAGAGUACCUAGUACAAAAGGGAACGAACGCUUGCAGAUUUUGGAUUUCACUGCAAAAGCUUGAUAAUAAUAAUAUUAUAAUGUCUUGUGAUAAGAGUGGCCAAUGUUUGCAACAAGAGCAGAAAAUCUAAAGCUACAUCAAUAAAACCUGUUUGGAUACAAGACAUUGUGCUGAACACGACAAAAGGUCAAGGAUUCGGGUGCCUGCAACCGCAAAAGAAAAAGACAGCACAAUGGUCAAUGCAAGAGACUUGAGCGUUUAACAGAGAACAUGAAGAAAGUUUCUUAAGAGUGAAAUUAACCUGAAAUGAUGUGUGUCUGACGCAUUCAAUGUUUGUGCAUAAGUCAUAGUGGCACUAGGCCACUCUGUAUAAGAAGGUGCCGUCAUUGCUGGGUUUAAGGGAUGUCCAUAGUUUAUGCUGGCUUGAGUUCUUGGCGUCUGUGGGAAAAUUGCGUCAUGGAACUGAAGCGGAAUUGGUAUCGGAUUGAAGUUUUGUACCGGUGGCGCAACCCUCACAUACCUGCAACACCGCUAAAUCCAUUAAAUUUGAUGAAGAAACUAUGGCGUAAAGGCUGUUAUUAUUAUUAGAGGCAACGGAGGGAUUAGUUUAACCUGUUACGGUCAUAAUCAGGAUCAUAACGAUCCUUCUCUCUAUCUCUAAUAAUGGCAACCCGAGAAGUACGUCCUGAGUCUCUGAAAACACCAUUCCUCUCUACAUCAACAGGAUUACUAUUAUGAUUAAUCACCACUUCGGACUCAUUUCUACUCGGACAUGUACUAUUAUGUUUUGAGUCGAGACGAGGAGGGGGAGGAGGAGGAGCUCGUGUUGAAGAAUCUUCGGAGUCUGAACUGCUAGGGCUAUUGAAGAUACGAGCCCGAGCUCUAUCAUACUCUUCUUUCCUCUCCUCAACGCUUCUCAAAAGAUUCUUUUCAACUCCUGAUCCACUACCACUCCCACCAGAUCCUCUAUUGGGUCUAGGCUUGAUGGCGAUUUUGAAACCCUCAGGCUUGCCAUGAAUCUCAGGUUGCUUAACAGGAAUCUCAGACAAACAGACAUACGGGUAUCUACUUUCCGCCGUUUUGGUCGCCAAGAUUCUGUUCCCUGAGCCAUCAACACCACCACCGUCUAAAGCCGUUGUAAACAGCCCGUAAUGCUGAGCAACACGGUGAGCAAUAAGACGAAGAUAAGAUGUAGGCAAAGGCUGGAACUCAUAUUGUUGCUGCUCUGGACUUUGAAAGAACUUCUGUAUAUCGAGCUCCAUACGCAAAACUAGCAUACCAAGAAAAGAAAAAUAAAUAAGGAACAUUAUCAUCCAUUGACCAUGAUGCUUAUAGAUACAAAGAGAGAACAAAAUGAACAUAAGAGUCUUCUAAUCAGAGCAAUUGCAUUCUUAAUUCAGCUAAAUUGAGCUAAUGGUAGAGCCAUGGAUCUAAUCAUCAAGUACAAAAGCCAAACCCUAAUUCCUUAAGAAAUCGACAAAAAACCCUAAACAGGACCUCCAAUUCGAGAUUCAACAAGUCAAUAAAGAACUCUAUAGACGAGUAAAUAACCAUAAUUCAGAUCAAAUCCAACAAAGAUAAAAAAAAAUUAACUUGGAAUAUAAAGGGCUUGCAAGAGAAUUGACUUACUGGUGAGACGAUGACGAGGGUUCUGAAGAGCCUCGACCAAAAAAGGAUCCACCAUAGCUUCCUUGUCGCUCAUAGCGGCCAUCGAUGGAUGGAUGGAUGGUUUCUCUCCCAAAAUUCUUCUUCUCGAUAUUAAUUAUCUUAGAAAUCACCAAGGAGAAAAAAAAAGGAUUGAAAUUUCCCGAGGAGAUAUGAAUUAGAGAGAUUGAGAAGCAAAUCGAUGAGAUGAGGAAAUCGAAAUCGAAAUCCAAGAGGGUCAAGGAAACGGAAAAGACCUUAUCGACCCUUUAUCUCUCUCUCUCUCUCUCUCUCGGACACAAACUAGUGGGGAGAAUAAAAUAAAGUCGCAGCCUUUGAUUUUAUUUUGUUUGUUUUCUUAACCCAAAAACUGAAAAACGUUUCCAAUUUGAAAUUUCCCAAAGCUGUUGUCUUUGGGGCCAAAUACUAAAGAAGACAACUUUUCCUUUUGAAGCCAAAAGAAUUUAGUUUAUUCACAUUCUCAUGAUUUGGUGUGGUCGGUUAUGACUCUAGAUUUCAACAUUUUCAAACACAUAAUCAUAUCAUCAUUUUUUUACAUAUAUGAAGUCAUGUAUUUAUAUUUACAAGAAACCCUGUUUAAAGCCAAACAAGCACCAUGUUUAUUUUCAUUACAUAGCAGUUUUUAGUAUAUACUCCAUUCACACAUAUGUCACACAACCCAAAAGCUAUCUGCAACUUCUACUGCUACUUGCCGUUUUGAUCCUUCAUCACUUCUACCAUGAAAUUUUCCAGUUUGUUGCCCCUCUCUAGCUUCAGAAGCAGUUCGAAUUUCACACGGUUUUCAACCACCUGCGCGUAAAAAUAUCAUUCCUUUGCUUAAUUAGAUGCAUGGGUUUGGUGAUUAAGAAAGAAACUGAUAGUGAACAUAAGAAACAACUCAACCUUUGCCCUGGCUAGGAUUAUAUCUAUGAGUUUAUAGGGGAACAGUGAAUUUGAUUUCUGUUGAAGUGAUUUCAUUGCUUGCUUUGCUGCCUCUUGUACUUCAAGGUUAUUUGUUGAUACUGAUCUCCAGUCAAAUCCAUUACCAUCUGCCUCAAACAGAGCAAAGAGAUCAAGAACCAUAAAAAACUCGCUAUGAUCAAGAUCGAAAAGGAAACAGUGUUAUACAUCCCAAAGAUUAAACUACACGGUGAAAAUCAUGGGUGACUGUGACUUUAACUAGCUGAUCACAAGCAGAUUACGAUUAUCAUAUUACCAAACCAGACACGGUGUGAUGAUGUUCACUUCAAAGUUGUUUACCUGAUUUCAAGCCAAGGUCAGAGAUAGUGAAGGAGGGGAUAACAUUCUUGAACUCCUGAAGCUGCUUGAAGUUCAUCCAUGGCUUCACCCAAACUUUAGCUUCAUAAAUCUUCUUCUCACCAGCUUCAAUAACUUCAAGAGUAAGACGAUAGAGCUUGCCAGCAACAACCUGCUCUGUUGCCUUUAAUACUCUAGCAAGCUCAAGAACAACAUUCUACUCCAUAAAAUCCAAAAAACAUAACAAAGAAUUAAACCACAAGCUGAUUAAACCAUAUAGCGUGUAGAGAUAAACAUCGUGAACAGAGAAACCAUAAAAUUCAUCAAUACUAAAAAAAUCCUUAAUCUUUAAUCUUCAGUCUAUAAAUCAAGAACAAUCAGACACGCAAAUCACUAAAAUCCCAACCCUAAUUCCAGAGAAUAUACUAAUUAGGUUGGAGAAAACCAAACCUCUCGUCUGUUGUGUUCUUGAACAGCGAAGAGUGCAAUAUCAUCGAUCUCUUCUCCACCGUUCCGAUCAUUAGUGGAAUCGCUAAAUCCACCAAGCUUCAUCUUUACAACGUUGUUGUUGUUGUCGUUGUACGUUCCUUUUUCUUCACUGCAGAUCACAAACUGACCAAAUCCAGAAAAGAGAACCAACGACACGCAAAUUAACAUCAACCACGCCGAUGAUCGUCUCAUAUCCAUUGUUCCCAGUGAGCUUCUCUUGUUCCCAAGUUUCCGAUCUAAACGCCGAUGAGAAUUUUCUUAACAGUCGAGGAUGGUUUCUUUCGCCGAUUAAAGACUCUUUCCGUUUAAAAGAAGCAAAAAAUCUCAUGGGCCAUUAAAUAUGACUUUCAAGCCCAUUUUAGUUGUUAUGGACUCAUCUGAAAGCCCAUUUUAAAUCAGUCUGUUGUCCCUUUUUUUUUUUUUUUUUUAACUUAAAAAAGAUAUAUCAAAUUUGGCUGUAAUUUGUCAUGCUUUCAGCAGUAGAGACCAAUUUUGCCAUUACUAUUAUUCGUCAGGAUUUUUUAGUGGGUUUCUUCCCUUGGUAUUUAAUCAAAACAAAUGGUACAUCUAUACUAUUAAUUGGGAAAUAUUGAAUAUUAAGUAACCUUUAAUUUGUAGAAUAUUACAAAGAAUGCUAUUGGUAAUUUUUAAAUCAAAGAGUAAAUUAAAAAAAUUGGAUAAGGUUAAAGUGGACAAAUUGAUCGGAUACAUAACGUGGAUCUUGGGUUUGUUUUCGGAUAAAACGCGGACCCUAUCCAGCGUUAUACGGUCUGGGACGCGGAUCCUCGAUUUGACCCGUUUGGGUAACAAAUCAUUAAGAUUUUACUCCGAUAAUAUUCUCUUGUGCUGUUACACAAAAUAAUUUCGAAAAUCAUUAAGACAGUUGCCAAAACAAUCAACAGAAAAUCAACGCAAAAUAAUUGCCAAAUUAAAUCACCAAAUAUAAGGAACAUAACCAAUUUUGUAGGAACUGUUUUCAAUAAGAUCUAAUCUCAUUUAUUAUAUUUGCCUAAUUUCAAAAGUAUAAAAUAUUAUAUUCCUAUCAAAUGAAGCAUCUACAUAUACAUUUUUACAGGGGAUUUUUGCAAAAAGUCUUUUGGAUCCGGGUUUUACCCGGGUUUAACUCUAUUCGGAUCUAGAAUAAGAAAUUUAAGGAAGUUUGUAAUAAAAACGACAUUAAUUAUUAAUUAACACCUAAAUUAGAAAUAUAUAUAAUAUAUCUAAACUAACCAUAUUUGUUAUUUACCUUAACUACUUCUAACCAUAAUUAUUUAACUAUUUAUUUCUAUAUGGAAAGAAUAUGUGAUUAAAAUAAAUAUUUUGUAAAAGAUUGAUUUGGGGAAAAAUUGUUAUUACGAAAAUAAUUUGUUUUGUUAUAAAAAUUAAUAUUUGUUAUUUGUAAUUAAAUUACAUAAAUAGUAAUAAUAAUUUGUCUACACCAUCAAAUGAAAAUAGUUAGUUAUUUAUUUUUUUAUUUAAUAUUACGUCAUUUUUAAAAAAUAAAUUCAACAAUAUAAUGUCAAUGAGUUUAAUUCUAAAGAUUUGAAAAUAUUAAAAAGAUACUAACCAAACAUUAUCUAUCCUAAUUUGUUUCUAACAAUUUCGACACAAAUCUUUCGAAAAUUUAAUGUGAUCACAGUUUGUUACUAAAAUCUCGAUUAUAUGCCUAAAAUCUCGAGAAGAUCUUCCUUUAAAUCCGCAAAUUAUAAUUUUUGAAUUAAAUAAACUAACAAUACGAAUAUUCCUAAUAUAUUCGAGUACUAAUAAUCCUUAUUAUAGUAUAUUCCUUAUCUAAAUACUAAAUCUUUUAUUUUUAAUUCUAAUCAAAAUUUAUGAAAUCGGAAAUCAAUUAUGAUUUCUUAAACAUCCUUAAAUUUCGAAAUAAUCAACAAUUCGAAUAUGCUGAAAAAUCAUAACGAAAUAUCUUUAUUUACUUAAAUGUUUUAGUAAUCGUUAUAGCAAAAAAAUCAAUUCCAGCGCUAUUGGUUCUUUAAACUUUUUGAUUUACAUAGAUAUUUUGUAUUCCAUAAUUAACUCAUUAAAUUCUUUGAUUUAAAUAACUACAAUGUGAAAAUUAGUAUAUGUAAUAAAUAUAACAUAUAAUAUUUACGAGAUUUUCAUAUACUUGAUCCCCAACCCAAAUUGACGAAUAUAUUAUUUCUCAUAAAAUAUCUUUAAAAGAUUUUUUUUUGUUUCGUUUAGAUAUUAUUCAACAAACUUCCUAAAACAAAUGGAAAUAUCUUUAAUUAGCUUUCCUCAUUCAUAAAUCCCACCAUGCAUAUAGACGUUAUUCAGUUGAUAAUACAAAAUUGAAUAUAUUAGGAAUCAAAUAUUUAAUUUUCCAAUAUUUGCAAAAUUGUUUUAAUUUUUAGAUCAAACCUAAACUUCUCGAGUACUUUUUAUUCAUCUAUAUAAAAAAGAUAUUUUCAACCAUUGAUCCACAAUACUAAACGUUUUCGUAAUAGAGAUUUAUAUGGCUUCUUUUAAACAAUGUUCUUAGUACAUUUUAUAUUUCACGUUUGUUUUCUUUUAAAAAAUUAAUUGUCACCUACUUUUCUUAUGUUGCAGCUUUCGAUUUUAAGAUCUUUGGAAAUUAUGGACAUCAUCAACUCCGUCUCCAAAGAAACUAUCAAAUAAGGUAUGCAUUAAAAGGUUAGUUAGUCCUUCUUCUUAUCUUCAGAUACGAAUUUUUUUUAAUGUCCAGUAUUUUUUUACAUUUUCAUAAUUUCAUGUUUCUUCAUAAUGUUUGUAAAUGAUUUUUUUUUAUAGGCUAACAUAACAAGUCCAUUCUAUUAAAAUCUUUUUCUUUAACGUAAAAAGGAAAUGAAUUUGUUAAUAAAAUAAAGUUCUUAUUCUUAAUUUUCAUUAUUCUAAUGUUAUGUAUUUUAAUUGUUUUUAUGAUAUAUACUUUUACUAAAACCUGUGGAUCCGAGUUUUGGUUGGUAAGUGUAAUUUUUCUAAUCUUUUAAAACCUUUUACAACAAUUACAUGUUUUAUAUGGUUAACAAUCACAUCAUAUAUAUUUUAUUUUCUUAUCCAAUGUAUUUCAUGUUUAAUGUUUUCUAAUAUUUUUUAUUGAAACUUUUAAAUAGUUUCAAAAUAUUAUAAACAUUUAAACUUUAUUAAAAGUAAAAUAUUAUAAUUAUUUAAACAUUUAAAAAAGUUUAUUUUUAUAAAACGUUUUAAAUAUUUAUAAUAUUAUGAAUUUUAUAAAGUUUCAAAUAUUAAAUAGUUGAAUUUUAUAAUAAUUUAUAAGAAAUUUAAACAUUAUAAAUAUUUACAAAAGAUAAUAAUCGGGACGGUAUAUUACGGGUGAAAUCCUAGAUAUAACAAUCAAAAUACUAUUAUGAAUUUUGGGUCGAUAUUAAAUGAAGUUUCGAAUAUUAGAAAUAUUUGAAUUUUAUUGGAAAAUGACAAAAUGAUGUAGAUUUCACGGGACAGAGUUAUAUGGUCGGACGGAUUUGGGGUGGAUAUUAAUACAGUAUGAUAUACUACAGGUGAAAUCCUAUAAUUAACAAUCAAAAUAUAACAAUACAAUCUUAAACACUAAACAAAACUAAACAAAUAAUAUUAACAAAACAAAUAAAACUUCAAAUUUUAAAUCUUUAGUUAUAAAAUAUCGUGUGUACCAUACAUUUAAAUCAAACAAAACAAUAGCAUAUAUCUAUAGAUCAUCUUAAAAAAAAAUUAAUUUUAUUAUUAUUUAAUAAAAUUAUAGACCCGCGGUGUACCGCGGGUUAAUAUCUAGUAUUCUAUUAAUGAUUCUAUUAAAUACGGUUACGCAAAUAUAUUUUCAUAUUUACAAAAGUAAACCCUAAAAAUGAGAGUUGUAUCUGUAAUAGUAUAUAUAGUAAACUCGAUAAUCAACUUUCAUAACACAAUCCUUCAAAUCUUAACUUCAUUAAUUUCUUCUUUUUUUUGGUCAAAAAAAUGGCUGCAAAUCUUCCUAUCACGGAACUUGCUAACGUGAAACCUUUUCAAAACAAUCGUUCACUCAUAGACUCAACACACUCAAUUCACACGAGAGACAAUGAAAAUGAUUCUUGCUACUGUUUCUGUAAGUAUUUUUAACUUUCUAACUUCAAACCUUUCAUAUUUAAAAAGGAUUAUUGUUUUGCUUACUACAAUUGUGAAUUUUGUAGGCUACUUUGAUUCAUGCUACUAUAAAUAAACAACAGAUGAACAAGCUGCAAAGGUUUAUCAACUCUGGAGAGUGGAGAUUUAUUAAAAAUUUACUCUCUCAAAAUCUAUGGGAAAGUACAGAGCUACCAAACAUGGUUGCAAAAUGUCCCUCAUGAACACUACUAUUAUCACUCGGUGUUCUUCUCUUUCAGAUGAUGUUUUCUUCGAUUUGCAAACUAUCAAGAUAUUUUGAAUGAAUCACGAUUGAAUGCGAAUAUCUUUAUAGGUUUUUUUAUGUUUAGUUAUAGCUUUAUCUUGCAUAUAAUUUUUUUUCCUUAUAUCUUUAUCUUGCAGGAUCUUCAUCGUUGUUAUGAUAUACUACUUUUGAUUAAACAUACAAAGACUAAUAUGAAUAAACAACAGUAUAAAAGUCACAUGAGGCACUAACCUUUUACAUAUAUAUUUCUGGAUAUCUCCAAUGAGGCAAUGACUAUAUAACUCUUCCCUUCUCCAUAUUUUUAUGUUAAUAGAAUCGAAUGCUUCACAUUAGAACAUUGAAUAUUGUUAUUAACAUGUUAAACUUUUUAAAGUAACUCAAUAACAGUAAGUAAAGCUGCAAAUCUGAGAAACAAAAGCGUAAGAAUUGAGAUUUCACCAACCUUUUACAUAUAUAUUUUCUUAUAGCUACACUGACAAAAUCAUAGAGCUUCUCCCAUAGUCUCAUUGUCUGUAUCGCAAAUCAUCCUUCACAUUAAAUCGUUAAUACACAGGCAAGGAUGAUUUUGUUUUAAAAUACAAGAUCAAAACAAUGUGCCAUAUAUAAAGUAACGUAUCUUAAGCUCAAUAAAACCAGGGAACUCUGCAAACAUAAUCAACAAAAUUUUAAAAAUUAAGAAUCUUACUAACCUUUGACACAUAUAUUUAUGAAUAGCUAUAAUGACAAUAUCCCAUUGUCUCCUCCAUUGUCUGAAAUUACUUGCUAAUCAUCCUUCACUAGAAUACACAACCAAAAAAAAUUAAAAAUUCAAAACACAGUAUACACAAAAUAUACUCAAUUUAUUGCUUUCAAACUAUAAAAAGCUACGGAUACUCGAGAUUAACUGUAUACAGAGCUACUCUAUACAACAAUUCAAAACCACUGUAAAUCAAAUUCGUAUACAAACCUUAAAAAAAAUCUAUCAAAAACUAAUUUUAAAUCAGCCUUAAGAGAUCCGGCUUCUUGUAAAUCCUUGGCGAUUCUAUACUAUUAAAACAAAAAAUUUCAAAGAUUGGAAAUUGAAUCUGACAUAUACAAAAGCUGUACAAGUAUAAAUUUGAUUUAAUAAAUAGAUUACCUCUUCGUAGAAUUCACGAAUUGAAACCCACCAGAGGUAUAAUAGGAGACGAUGAUGUUCCUAUGAGAUUAUCGUAUUUGAUUCUGGAGAUCGAUCGAUGGUCUUCGUUAUUUUCACUAAAAUUCCUUUUCUCUUUUUUUGGUAAUAAGACAACAAAUUGUUCACAGCAAAUAUCUGUCCAAAUACACUAAUAUCCCGUAUUACGGUAAAUACAUAAAAACAAAUGGAAUACUAAAUAGCUCCACGAGGUUUACAAUUGGGCCUAAAACAAUAUUUUAAAAGCCCAUUCAAUCUAGAUCGGAAAAAAUAUUUGGGCCAUUAAUUAACAUAUUGGCAUUAAAGAAUAUUAAUACAUAAUACUCGACCAUUAUCUACGGGUAACAAAAUUAUAAUAUCCUUUACCCGUCUUUAGGUCAAGCGUACCUUUUUUCGAAAUAAGUACGAGUCGGGUAACAGAUCGAAUACAUGGAAUGAGUAUACAAUGCCCAACCCUAUUAUACUAUACAAAAAUACAUAUACGAACAAAACCCCGCAUGAAUCUUCAACCUUAUCCUUCCAAAAUCCAACUAUUUUUUAUACAAACUAUACCCAAAUACAUAUUUUAUCGACCAUUUGAUUUUUUACCAUACCAAUAUAUUCAAUCAUGUAAUAUGUCACACAUAAUCUAUUUUUAAUAAUCAUCCCAAAUUCAAAUUGAUAUACACACAUUCAAAACCUAUAUGACAUAAGUUCUAUACUCAGAAAAUUGUAUGUUAACAAAUUCCCACACGUAGGUGCGGGUCCGGAUCUAGUUAUAUUGUACAACAUAAGCGUUAAUGAUAUAGACUAUAGUUCACACAAACAUUACUUUUUUUAAUUAACAAAUAAAAAAAACAUUACUUUGUAUUUCACUAAGGCUUGUUUGGCAAUUAUACGAAAUUUUGUUGUUUUAUAUAGAACACAAAUCAUUACUGUAUUUUAUUUUUGAUUGUAGAAACCAUAUGAAAUGUCCAAAAAAAUGUGUUUUUUUAGUAAUUUGAUGAUACAGAGAUUAAAUGAAUAAACAAGAUAGAAUGUUUUCUUUUGUUCUAUACCCUUUCUUUUUCUAAUGUUCUAUAUAUGUAGUAAACAAAACCUUUUACUCAAAACGAUUAAAGACGCACUUUCAACCAUUAAUUCGAUCACCAAAACCUAGCUAGCCCACCGUAACCCUAAUCCGCAUCUCCAGUAGCUAGACCCAAAAUGGCCUUACGCUAGCUACUUUCUUAAUUUUCCAUGGUAUAUAUAGUGCCAUAAGCUUCAUUUUAUCAUUGAACUGGGUUAUUGCUGCAAAUGACCCUUCAAAAAUUGCACAAGCUUGCAUUAGGAAGAAGCCUAAGUAACUCAGAUGCAAAUUGCACAAGAUUGCAUUAGAGAUUUUACCUCUUCAGACACGAGAGAUUUAAAAGGCAAAGAGAAAAUCAGAAAGCCGUGGUUAAUUUAUUCAUUCAGACAACCCACCAAACCAUGAGUUUCAGUUGCGAAAGUGUGUUGGAUAGCCUGAGGUACCUAUGCAUCUGACUACUCUAGUCCCCUUUGUCUUCUCAGGUAGCUCAUAACCAAUCAAUAUCUUUGCUUUAAAACGAGCGACGGGGCGUCGCACCAACCAAUCAACGUGAUUCAGGUUAGGGUAGAGUUUGCGGACGUAUGCAUCAGCAGCUGUAUAGCCUUUAGUCCUUAGAAUAAGAUCAAGCUCGCAAGUAGUCAAUGACACUCUCUUCCUCUCCUCCUCCAUCCACUCAAAGAUCUCAAUGGCAUGGUAAUGUUUUCCCUCCUUGUCCUGUUUACCCCAUUUAAGCAGAUCUUCUUUGGUGAUGGCAAAACGCUUUGAUCUAAACUCAUUUAAUGUUUCUGCAGCUACACCUACUUUCUCUUCUUCCUCCAACCUACGAAACAGGAGAGAGAUAUAGACCUUACCGUCGUCGUCGCCAUGUGAUGUGAUGAUUGAUUCUUGCUAGCAUCAUUUACCAAAUUAAGAGUCUCCUUGGCGGAUUUAUCAUCGCCGGUUCUCAUCAGAUGCAUAGCCCAGCGUAUCAGAUCUGAUUUGGUGACGGAGUCGGGCUCCUUCUUCUCAAUCAUCAUCAACUUUCUUAACGUGUAUGCUAUUAUUCCCUCCGGCUCAGUCAGAGAUUGCAUGCAGUUUCUCGAACAUGAUUCUCUUCUUCUCCAUAUCCGCCUAUUUUCCACUUUUGCCUUCGCUAGUGCUUCGACCCUGAUCGAAGCCGGAGCAUUCUCUGUUAAACAAACCGUUUUGAAGAGAUGGCUACCAGGACCAAUGAAACGGCGGAAGUUCAUCGUCUUUCCAAGCCCUCAGAGUUCACUAAACCCUAAUUCCAUAAUAUAUAGCUUUCAAAAGUUUAUUAGAAUAAUAAGGGUUAGCUUUCUUAUCUUUAAUUUCGUUUUUAAGAGUUGAGAAACUAUAAACUAAAAUUUUUGACUAUGUCUGUAAUCAUUUUAAAGCCAUGUACAGUAUAUCAUAAGAAAGUGUGCUAUAUAUAUAUGUCAUACUAAAUUUUUUUAAGUUAAUACUUUUGAUGUGAAGAUCAGCAUUAUAGAUUUGAUUGUAAAAUGCUUUAAUCUGUUUAUCUACUCUUAUUAAAAGGUAGCCAAAUUUAGUUUAAUUACUUACUUUUAAUAUAUAUUUUCACUUAUGUUAAUAAAAUAUGAAAGCUAAUAAUGUUAUUUUUUAUUACCUCCAAAGUGAUGUAUAUAAAAAUGCAAGCAAUGGAAAUCACUUUAAGAGUUGAGAUAUAAUGUUCUCAAAGUUGACUACAUAAUGACACUAAUUAAAUCCUUAAAUCAUGUUUUCUAAAGUUGACUAAAAUAAAAGAGCUACUAAUUAAGUCUUUAAACUCUUCUAAAUAAUUUGUUUUCAACUAUAUCUUAAAUUUAAUAGGGCAAAAGAACCAAAUUCUCCCAACUCACUUUGGAAAUAAGUAAUGUUUGGAACUAAUUUUGACUAAAUAUAAGUGCAACAAGUAUUAAUUCAAAACAAAUUUACUACGCAAAUUCGGCAAAUGUAAAAUGUCAAAUAUAUCUAGUAAUUAAACAUGUUAACCUUAUGUGUGAGUUGUCGAAAUGAUAAACUAGAUUGUUAAGUACUUCAGUUAGUCUUUGUUCUUCAUCAUUUUUCUCUAUAAGUAAGUCCCUUUCCAUUUUCAUCAAUAUGCAUUUAUCUUAUUCAAACAUCAUAACAUUACAACAUAUAACUUUCCUUGAUAUUAAAAGUGCAUACAAAGUAUCAAAUAUUUAAAUACCUAUCCGGGUGCAAUCACAUAUCCAAGCCAUCAGACCUAAAUUUGCAAAAGCCCGAUGGAUCCGAUCGACAACAAAAUGUUGUCCUCUGAUUCGAAUUACGCUAGUGAUAUUAGCGACAAUGCCUCCGCCACCGGAUCGAUAGAGAAUCCAAUGUACAAAUGCAAGUAUUGUCCUAGGAAAUUCGAUAAAACACAAGCAUUGGGUGGUCAUCAAAAUGCUCACAAGAAGGAGAGAGGGGUAAAAAAACAACAUGAAGCAUUUUUGGCGCAUUUGAACCAACCGAAACCAGACCUUUACUUGUACUCGUAUUUGCAUCCGCAUUCAUUUCCUAACCAGUACGCACUCUCACCGGGAUUUGAACAACGUCGUUACAAAGUUGAUAGAAUUGACAAUAUGUCCAUGGUCUACAACCAAUAUAUGGGAUCUUCAAGCUCUGGCUUUUUAGGACUACGAAGUGAUCCAAGUCAAAGAAUGGACCGGGGUUCGACCUUUAACGGGAUCUCAUCCCAAACUCAACCUCAACCUCAACCGCUAUCGUCUGCAUCGUCACCAGUGUGUUUAGAUCUUUGUCUUGGUGUUGGUAGCUCCCAAACCCAACCACAACCUGAAGAACCAAACGAUGCAACAGAAGAGAUGGAUGCUAAGAAAGAAAAUGAUGGUUCUUCUCUUUCUCUCUCACUCAAGCUAUGAAGUUGUAAUGCUUCCCUUUUAAGUAUUUUUCUUUAAUUUUGAUUUAGUUUUAGAUUCACCACCUUUGUUUUCUUGCAUAGUAUCGGCUUGUGUCAAAUCAGUACUUGUGCACUUAAACAUUGUAAUAAACUUGGUUGUUAUUUGCAUUUGAAUUCAUAAAAUACAAAAACUUUAUAUUGUUCCAACUUUUGGGGUGUAAAAUUCUAUUUAUAAGAAUUUGAGAUGCAAUCUCAAUUUAGUUAUUUUAUGAGUGAUACGAUACAAGACAUCAAAAAAAAAAAAAAAAAAAAAAAAAACACACACUCUUUCGAAAGGAGGCGGUUUUUGAAACUUUCGAGCUCCUUCUUCUCUCCGUCAUCGUUCCUCUCCCAUCCCAUGGCACAGUUUCUUCGACACUUCUCUUCCCCUCCCAUGGCGAACGAAGACGAAUUUCAAUCUCCGGUAGAACCAUCGCAGCAAUCUCAGGACUGUGUUUCAGAGUCUUAUUUGAUAGGGUUUGUUAUCGCGAACAUAGUAGGGUUAAAGUACUAUUCCGGCCGAAUCAACGGUCGAGAGAUGGUAGGUCUGGUUCGAGAACCCUUGAACCCAUAUGAUAAUAACGCAAUCAGAGUACUGAACACACGAUCUGAGCAAGUGGGUCACAUCGAGCGUACGGUAGCAGCCGUUCUCGCGCCGUUGAUUGAUUCUCACACGAUCAUCGUCGAAGGUAUUGUACCCAAUACUCGUUCUAACUCCAAUAGGUUUAAAAUUCCGUGUCAAAUUCACGUUUUUGCAAAGUUAGAAGCCUCCUCUACUGUCAAAUCGACGAUUUCUAGAGGUGGGUUAGUGUUGAUUUCGGAUUCAGAUACAGCGUUUGGGUUAUCUGAGGCUGUUGUGGUUAAGGAACAGAUGGGUAAUGGAGAUAAGAAGAGUGUUGACAAGAUUUUCAAAUUGGUUGAUAGGAAUGUGAAGUUAAAGGGGAAAUUGGUAGCGGUUGAGCCGCCGAGGGAAGUGAUAAAGUCUGAACUUUUUGCUCAUCAGAAGGAAGGAUUGGGUUGGUUACUCUACAGAGAGAAAUCUGGAGAAUUGCCUCCGUUUUGGGAGGAGAAAGAUGGAGAAUUCUUGAAUACUUUGACGAAUUACCGCUCGGAUAAGCGGCCUGAACCUUUGCGUGGAGGGGUGUUUGCUGAUGAUAUGGGGUUGGGUAAGACCCUUACUUUACUUUCCUUGAUAGCUUUUGAUAGAUAUGGCAAUGCAUCCACCAGUACGCCAACCAAAGAACCUUUGGAUGUUGAAGGAGACAAGAUUGAAAAGAAGGGUAAAAAAAGAGGAAGAGGCAAGAGCAGUGAAAGUAGAACUCGAAAGAAGCUUAAACCUGAUGAUGUUGUUGGCAUGAAUGUGUCUCAAAAGACAACGUUGAUCGUUUGUCCGCCUUCUGUGAUUUCAGCAUGGAUUACACAGUUAGAGGAGCAUACUGUACAGGGAAGCUUGAAGGUGUAUAUGUAUCAUGGUGGCGAAAGGACAGACGAUGUUAAUGAGCUUAUGAAAUAUGAUUUAGUGCUGACUACUUACAGCACUUUAGCUGUUGAGGAAUCGUGGGAAGAUUCUCCUGUCAAGAAGAUGGAGUGGCUGAGAAUAAUUCUUGAUGAGGCACACACCAUUAAGAAUGCAAACGCUCAACAGAGCCGAGUAGUUAGCAAGUUGAAGGCUUCUCGCAGAUGGGCUGUCACAGGAACUCCUAUUCAGAAUGGUUCAUUUGAUUUAUACUCUUUGAUGGCGUUUCUCCGGUUUGAGCCAUUUUCGAUUAAGAGUUAUUGGCAAAGCUUGAUACAACGCCCGCUUGGUCAAGGGAAUAAAAAGGGUCUUUCACGUCUGCAGGUAAUAAUAUAUUACUCACAGAUAUGCCUCUUUAUGUUUUGCUCUUUGGUGAAAAGUUAUUCAAUUACACGCUUUUCAGGUUUUAAUGGCGACAAUUUCAUUAAGGAGAACAAAAGAAAAGAGUUUGAUUGGUUUACCGCCUAAGACUGUUGAAACUUGUUAUGUUGAGCUUUCUCCAGAAGAACGUCAGUUAUAUGAUCACAUGGAAGGAGAAGCGAAAGGUGUUGUGCAGAAUCUUAUAAAUAAUGGAAGCUUGAUGCGCAACUACUCAACAGUUUUAAGUAUAAUCUUACGGCUUAGACAACUUUGCGACGACAUUUCUCUAUGCCCUCCAGAAUUAAGAUCUUUUACCACUUCUACAUCUGUCGAAGGUAAAAACAAAACUGAUACAUAUUCUUACUUUUGGGUUCAUAGCUUAAAAAUCUUUGUGCCUUUGUGAAACAGAUGUAAUAGAUAAGCCAGAGCUUCUGCAAAAGCUGAUUGCAGUAUUGCAAGAUGGUGAAGAUUUUGACUGUCCAAUUUGCAUUUCACCACCAACAAACAUCAUCAUCACUCGAUGUGCUCACAUCUUUUGCAGGGCUUGUAUCCUUCAAACCCUUCAAAGAAGUAAACCAUUGUGCCCUCUUUGCCGUGGCUCCCUUACCCAGUCUGAUCUCUACAAUGCUCCGCCGCCUCCUCCGGAUGAUUCCAACACCGACGGAGAAGACACCAAAUCUUCAACCAAAUCCUCAAAGGUCUCAGCUUUACUAUCACUGCUCAUCGCAUCGAGACAAGAAAGCCCCAACACAAAGUCUGUUGUGUUCUCUCAAUUCAGGAAGAUGCUGCUUCUACUAGAAACUCCACUAAAAGCUGCGGGUUUCACCAUCUUACGCUUGGAUGGAGCAAUGACUCUGAAGAAACGCACCCAAGUCAUUGGAGAAUUUGGGAAUCCGGAGUUAACCGGACCUGUGGUGUUGCUAGCGAGCCUCAAGGCCUCUGGUGCGGGCAUAAACCUAACUGCAGCCUCAAGGGUUUACUUGUUGGACCCGUGGUGGAACCCUGCAGUUGAAGAACAGGCCAUGGACAGGAUUCAUAGGAUUGGGCAGAAACAAGAGGUUAAAAUGAUAAGGAUGAUUGCGAGAGACAGUAUCGAAGAGAGAGUCCUUGAGCUUCAGCAGAAGAAGAAGAAUCUAGCUAACGAAGCUUUUAAAAGAAGGCAAAAGAAAGAUGAAAGAGAGGUUAACGUUGAAGACGUGAUUGCUCUCAUGUCUCUCUGAAACUCUCAAUCAGUGCUUAGCUCCUUAACCGGAUUUUUUUGUUCCCUCUAAGAUUACAAUAACCGGUUAUUUACUGCUUUUGGUACGUAACCUUAACCGAUGUUUAUGUUGCCUUUAUCAACUAGACUUCUGUCUCGGUUAGUUUAAUUUAAUUAUGGGUUAGCUUGAAAUGCUUUUUCUGGUUUCAGGCCGGUUUACUUUUGGAUCGGUCUAGUUUGGUUUAACUUGACCAAAUUAAAAGACAGGGCAACGACGGUCGUCCGAUACUAUUCAGUUCAUGUUUAUUUGGUCGUUUUUAAUGACCGACUUAAGUGACAUUAAGUUGGGCGUUAGAUACUUAUGAUGAGUCCUUCACCAACCAUGUUUACUUGACGUCAACACAAUAAUUCUCGUUUUCUAAUCUUCAUAAAGUCAAAAGAAUCAAACGGCGUCAAAUACGAAAGGGUCAUUUACUCUUUUCCAUAUCGUUAAAAGUCAUAACACAAAAAGAAGAACGUAUAAAUAAAUUAUCAAAGUAAUAAUAAUCAACGAUACAAAACACAAGAAAACCGUAUAAAUCCAAACUAAUUUUACGAUCUCUGUUGGUUCAAAUUUCCGGAUGAUAAAAAGAUGUACUAGUAUUUAGUACAAUCAAAUUUAAACUUUGACCAUUUUAGUUUGUAUAGUUGAUAUUUGGAACAACACAAAAUCACAAUUUGGUAUCCACAUUUGAUGACACAACUACAUAUUCGGUUUAUAUAUAACGGUACAAUACAAUUUUUUUCUUAAUAAAGAAAGUCAACAAAUUUGCUCUCCCCAUUUCUGCAUUUUGACAUUUUUCUAUCUUUUGAUUAUUUUCCAGCAAAGAAAACAUUUUUUGUCAACAAUUUAGAUUAAUGUACGAUAAUGUGUGAGUUGUAAACAAUUAGACACUCUAUUGAUAGUUGCUUAGAUAAUUUAUACACUACAAUUUUAGAUACGAGAGUGACACAAACACACAAUAAUUUGUUUAUAUUGCAAGAUAACCGAAAGUCUUUAACAAGAGAAAAAAGAUAAUUGUUAGUGAUGGUGACAUAGUUAGAGCCGCUAUAAACUGAAAACAUAUGAAAAGAGGUGUUAAAACACAUUGUGUUUACUUUCAUUCCUAGAUUAGCCAAUUGUAAGGCUGAUUUUUUUGCUAAAGACGCUCUUGUGGCGUUUGUAAACUCUCUUAUUCCCUAAGUUAAUGGAGUCUUGUUCUGUUUAAAAAAAGAGGUGUUUCACUUUGAAUUUUCAAUUGCUAAGAGAUAUUAGUAAGGUAAAUAUUAUUUUAAACUAUGAUAUUAUGAAAAUUUUAGCUAGCGAAACAGAAAAGUAAAAUUAUUCAUUCUUUUCAUUUUUUCCGGUAUAAAUGUAAAAUUUAUUAAAAAAACAUUUGUAUUUUAUUCCUUUACAUUUUAAUAAGUAAUCAAGAAUAUUAAAAAUAAAAAUAAAAAUCUGACAGUCUGCUUACCACUUCAAAAUGAUGUUUAGCAUUUGAGAGACUGUUUAGCAUUUUUGAUAGUAUUAAUUUUCAUCUAUAUAAUGAUUCCAUCAUUACACUAUUAGCGUAAGGUACCAACUACCAAGUAAUUGAUCACAACAUAAAAUAUAUCUCACCUCAGCUUUGCGCUAGCUGUGACGAUAUCAAAAGGGCAUAAAAGUAGUGUAAUUAUAUUGGUCAGAACAGUUCCAUAAUGUUGAAUCCGGUAUGGCAUUUUCGAUUAUAUAUUAAGUUAUGGCUUGGACCUUGGAAUAAAGUUACAAACUCGGAUAAAAUCAUUAGUAUAUAUAACAUUGAUUCAACAGGUAAAACAAAAAGUUUGAUUCGAAUUCUUGUAUAAUAUGAUGUUGUGGACAAGAAAAAUUUGAGUCUUGUGACUCUUGUUGAUCAUGUUUUGGAUUAAUUAAGUACACAUAGCUCUAAUAUACAAAAAAUGAUCAUAUAUUUUAAACAAUCCGAAAUCGCUCACAUUUCUUUUACAUGUGGUCGUAUGGAUAGCAUAGAAUAAUAUUUAUGUUCUGUUUUGAUAAAUUUGAUGAAUAUUACACAAGUAAUAACUUUUUUUUUGGUGGGCAUAUUACACAAGUAAUAACUGAUUAGACCUUUAAACAAAUGUCCGUUUUAGAACAAGUAUGCCACAAUGAUACAAAUAAAUACAUGCAUAUAUAUAUAUAUUGAAUAAUUUGAGGCUAAAAAUUCCAAUUUUUCUUUCCAACUUGGUCUAAAAAGUGUCAUUUUAUGAUGCAAUAUAUUAUGAUUUAUAUUUUUAUUUGGUAUAAUAAAAAUUGUAAUGAGAUCGUUUGUGGGUAGAUGGAUUUGUUAUCUCUUCCACACAAAACACGCACCAGUUUUCAUUUCAGUAGGUCCAAUAGAACACCGUAAAGCAGCCACUAUAUCUGCUGACGUGUCGGCUAAUCAACGUCUGUCACGUAACGGUGGCUGUGACAAGCCCGUGAGGUUAGCACUCAAACGAGUCCCAGUGUUUUCACGCGUUUAAGCGUCAAUUGAUUCUGAUUGGCUUUGUAAUCACCACCGCCCCAAAUCCCGUACGACUUCGUUUUGUCACGUAUAACAUAAAAAUCAAAUAAUUAAUAUUUAUUUUUGGGGGUCGAUUUUGUUGACCAACAAUUAAUAAAUGCUUCAAAUUCCACUAACAGAAACUUCUGUUUCUCUUAUUUUUUUAGCGCUCUAACAAAACAAGCUAAGUUUAAUAGUCCAAUUUAUAUGACUUUGUAAAACACAAAACAAAUAUCUUAACUUUUACUUACUUAUAUAUACCUAUUAUAAUUAAACAUUUACGAUUGUGGUCUCAUAUAAAGAUAAGACACGCUAUUAGAAAAUGCAUGUUAACAUAAGCGAAUUGCAGACACAAAGAAAAACAAUGGAUAUUUUAUCAACAACAACAAAACAUAAGACAAUAAUUAAUGGAUGUCAUAAUAUAUAAUAGAUGUUAUGUCUUUUUGGUAAACUGUGAUACAGUGAUAGUAAAUUAUCUAAAAUAAAUACAUUAUGACUAAGUUAACGUUUGGUUGGAUCCUACCGGAAUAAUAUGAGUCAGGUUUAGAAUUGUAACUUUUAUUCAUCUAUUGUAAAUAAACUCUACACAUCUUAUGGCCUUAAAAAGUAUGGUUAUGUUGGAUAAAAAAACACAAGUAUGGUUAUUGAGAAAUUGUCCAUGAAUUAAUGAAAAAGCCGUGAGGGUAACGAGCUUUAUGGAAAUUGGGAACAAUUGUAAACAAACUUUGUAAAAUCAUUUUGCACCUAAUCCAAAGUACAAAAUACUACAAAAAAAAUUGUAUAAUAUUUUAAAACCAUUGUAAACAAAGUAAUACUUUUCUCUGUCUUACAAAUAUGAACAAAGUACCUAAUCCAAUUACAUAUAAAAAAAACAUGAAUUAAUAGUGUAACAUGAAACCAUUUUGGUUUGGAUCGUAGUUAGUAUUUACCAAAUAUUCUAUAUCACUCUUUGACUAGAGGAUAAACGCUUUUUAUCAGCAGCAUUAAGAAAUAGUUCAAAUUUCAAUUCAGAACUUCUCAUUAAAGUCCUUAAACAAAUCUCAUUAGUAGAAUUUACUUUUGACAUUUUCCAACGUAAUAUAUAAUCCAUUAACAACUUAUUGUAACAAAAAAAAAAAAAAAAAAACGAGUUUGACCUUGUUUCACUUAACUUGUGUCGUCGUUCAAGUACAACGCAUGUGUGGGUGAAAAAAAGAAUAAUGUUUUUAAAGUAAUAAUGAAAAGCCAAAUAAGACCGAUCAGGUCAAAAGAAAGCCGUAAAGAAAAUCCAACUUAAAAUAAAUAAAUCUCUUUUACCAAACAGAUACAGAGACUUCAAUCAGAGAAUUAAUUUUUUCUCUUUCUUCUGAAUUAAUAAUAAGAAAAAGAAGAAGCUUUCUUGUUGAAUUGAAUUUGUAGCUGGUAUAACGUAGUAGCACUUGGGUUUUAAGAUAGACAACGUAACCAAAAACUGUUUCAUGUUUUGUCUGUUUUUCCUCUUUUGGUUUUUUUGAGUUUCCUCUUUCUCAUCUUUGCGGUGCAUUUUUCUAAUUUUCUCGGGAAAAUCCUUUGUGGGCUUUCCGGGAAAGUUUUUUGUCAGAUUCGGAAACAGAUUAAAAGCGGAGCCAAAAAUAAAAUAAUAGAAAUCCAUAAGAACUACCAAACAGAUUUUGUGUUUAUCUUUAUAGAUUCUUUUGAUCUCGUUUGAUCAUCUUCAAAGUCUCAACCUUUAAGAUUUUGAUCCUUUUAUGGUAAUUAAGACAUUGAAACAAAUCUUCUGGGUAGAUUUUGGCUCUUCUCUGAUCUUCUCUUUUCUGAUUCAAUCUUAACGAUCCCAAUCUUCUUCUUCUUCUUCCUUUUCUGGGAAAAUUUUGGCUCCUUCUGAAUUUUUGUGGGAAAAUUGAAUUGAAUCCGAUUAGUUGGAUCGACAAGAAUCGGAUUCGAAUUUUGACGAUGAAAGCAUCAGGUUCGUUAGAUAGCUGGAGAGAAUAUUUCCGGCGAGGAGAUUCCGAUAUUUUCGGGAUCAUCGAUCAUGCGAUCAUGGUGGCUGCUACUGAUUGUCCUAACAAAUUCAAAUCCAGAAGAGACAAAAUCGCCGAGCUUUUAUUCUCCUGCAGAGUGAGCCGCUGCAUCGGAUGCGACCAUCUCGAAUUGUCUGUUCCCGGAGACGACGAGGGUAAUCGCGGCCGUGGAGCCACCGGUGACGGCGGUGGUGGUACGGCGGUUGAUGAAGAUUAUGAGGUUGGUGGUAGUAAAGAGAGCAAAGCUAAUAGUAGCAGAGGAGAUAAUAAUCAUAUCGAUGAGACGAAUUUGAAUAGUAAUCAGAUUGUUAGCAAUUAUACAUUUGAUGAAGCUGAGGCUUUGAGUGAUGAGAUUGAAGAGUUUUCUGUGGUUUCUAAGGAGGUUGCUAGGAUCAAAGAGAUCUUGCUCAACAAAGAAGAUGAGGUUUGAUCUUAAGUUCUUGAAUUUGCAAUUUGUUAAUUUCAUCAAUGUGAAGAUUUUUUUUUUCUGAUUAUGUUUCUUGUUCUUCUCUUGCAGCCAAACUCGGUGUUACUCGAUUCUUUAAGACAUCUUAAGUUGAUGUCUUUGAAUGUGGAUAUUCUUAAGGUUGGUUUCUUGGUGGAUAGUGUAUGAUCCUUGAGGUUUUCGUAUGGAGUGAGUGAUUUUUAAGGUUUGCGGUUAUUCUCGCAGAGUACUGAGAUUGGAAAGGCUGUUAAUGGCCUGAGGAAACAUGGUUCUGAUAAGAUUCGACAACUUGCAAAGACUCUUAUCGCGUAUGAGUUUGAUCUUUUCCUUAGGCCAUAAGUUUGGCACCUCUUACUCUUUUUGCACUUUUGGAAUGUGAGAUUGAGUUUUUUUUUAUGAUGGGUUUAUGCAGAGAGUGGAAGGAGUUGGUGGACCAAUGGGUGAAUACCACAAAGGAAAUUACUGGUAAUUGCGCUCUCUCUCUCUCUCACAUUUCGAUUCUUUACGUCUUAUAGACUACAUCAUGUCUUACAGUUUGGUUUCUUGAAUUAGAUCCAUAGUCUUUGGUUCUAAUUUUGUGUUUAAAACAGGUGCUGAAGGUACACCAGAGUCUGCAAACCCGUCUGUCGUUGAUGAAGAAGAAGCAUUUCCAUCGCUUCCAUAUGAUGUCGAUAUCUUUACACCAGAACCAAACGGAUUUGAAAUCUCACACUUCUUUGAUUCCUUGGACUUUGAUGGAAGUGAGUUUGAAAAUUAUCUCUUGUUUGUUUGAUACCAUGUUCUUAGCUACAUAUAUUCGGUUGAUUGAUUUUCUCGGGGAUGUUUGUUUCAGAUCCUCGUAACUCUAAAGAAUACAACACAAGCCGAGAGCACGAAAGAAGACCACAAAAUAUCGCCAAGAGAAAACCCGAGGGAACACAAAUGAGGAUACAAGAUGCUCCUUUUAGAUCUAUUAAGCCAUCAUCAGAUGCUGAUUUUGAUGGGACUAGAAGACCUCUAAAGCAAAAUACAGAGCAAAGGAUGAAGAACGAAACUGUAUCUGUUCACAAGUCUGAAAAACCCAUGAUCCAAAGGAAACCGGUUGUUACAGAACAGAAGCGGAAAGCUCCCGGACCUCAACAAGAAGUGAGUGUGGAAACAAAGCUCUUGUUUUUUAUCCUAUUCUUGAACACAGAAUUGAUGGUGUUUAUUUUCUUGACCCUUGCAGAAACUUAAAGGUCUUGAUGCAGACGCAAAGUUUGAGUUUGCAAAGAGGAAACUUCAAGAGAGCUACCAGCAUCAUGAGAAUGGUUCGUUUCAUUGCCUUUCUUUUGUUUCGAGUUUUUCGAUACAUUCUUGAAAACAAAAGAACUGACAAACAUAAAAAUGUUUGUGAUCUUGCCACAGCCAAGAAGCAGCGAACGAUACAAGUACUUGAGAUGAUCCCAAAGCAAGGUAGUGCUCAGAAACCGCAACUCAAGAGACCUGGAAUGAGCAACAGGAAUUGGGCUAACGGGCGGAAAUAGCUUCUUCUCUGUCAAAAUGGUGAAUAACUCUCGGCAAAAGUCAUUUUACUCCAUACUUACCACACAUAUCUCGCAAUCUCUGGUGCAAUAAAAGGUAAACAGAGUCAAGUUCCACAAGCUGGAGACAGUAACAAGCAGAGGAGAAGGAACAGAAUCCAACAUAACUUUACUUUGAACAAACUGUUUUCUCCUCUGUUUUGUUCAGUCUUGGAUUCACCAAUUGCAGCAAGAUAGGGAUACCAAUUAUUGUUUCUUUUAUGUGUUCUUACUACAUUCUUGAGACUUUCGGUACAGUUUCGGUUUAGUCGGGUUAUGUUCGGUUUUGGGACAAGGAGAGAGGUCCCUUUACGUAUAUCUCAUACAGUAUAAAAUAUAGUAAAAGAGGGUAGAAAAGCUCAUUCGAAUUGACCGGCUCUUCACCUAACUUUGUAUAGUAAUGUGAAAUGAUUUGGGACACAAUAUAAGGAUGACGACAUUUUUUUUCCCAAAUAAAUAAAUAUAUUUAAUGAUAUCUAAUUGUUAUGAAUGAAUGUGAUUGUGACCGAAUGUUGUCAUUUCUUAUUAUUUAUGUAUAGAAAAUAAGAAAAUAAGAUGGCAUUGGAAAGGCAUAAGGAAGGUGGGUGGAUAAGAAAAGAGGAGAAGGUAGUGGUGGUGGGAGCUAACGUGGAUGGAUAGGAAUGUUGUUGCAUUGUGUUCUUUGUGCGUGUUUGUAUUAUUAUUAUUAUCAUCUCGGCGUUACGCGUUCACGCAUUUCACCACAUGUACCACGUGGACUUCUACAACUUCUAAUCUUUCACCUUUCUAUUUCUAUUGGAAACUAAACAGUUGGAUAGAGAAAAAUCUAGUUUUAUGGUCACGAUUUUAUUUUGUGAAAAGGAAACUUUAUAGUUGAUUGAACAAGUAACCCAAAUAUAUUGUUCUACAAAAACAAACGUAAUGAUUUUUGGCGUGAUUGUAUAUUCGUAAGGAUCUGUUGGUUAUUUUAAGUUUAGCAUGUGAAAUACAAAUAAUUGUUGUCUCUGUACAAAACUGAAACGACAUUUAACAUUUAGUAAGUUUCAGAAUUAAUACGUUAAAUCAUACAGUACAUUAAACUUUAAACUGAGCAAAAACCGUAAUUAAUUUUAAGGCUGUAGAAGUUCAAUCUUAAACGAUCAGCGAAGUUUUUUUUUUUUUUUUUUUUGUCAUCUGGAUAUUUUAUUUAUUGAACAAAGGUAAAAAAACUAUACAACAUUGGAAAUAAACUUCCCAAGAACAAAGCCAACGGAAAACAUAAUUUCCUUGGAAAUAAAGCUUUUAAACGAGUUAAACAAACUCGAGUGAAAUAGGGCAACGCAGAAACUAAUUGAACGAAGAAAUCGAACAGAAAUUCAACAGAAAAUAUAAGUAAGGGUAAAAUUAAAUCUCUCACUUAAUCCCUAUCCCAGGAACAUUUACACUUAACGCGCGACCCGGUAGAGCCAUGAGUGCAAUCUAAUAAACCCUAAACUUCUGAAAGAUCUUCACUCAACAAGAUCCCAAAUCAUGAAACCCCUUCUGGAAACCAAAGGCCAAUAAAUCUCCCAACGUAACACAACGAAGAUCUUUGCCUUUUAAACAAACCCAAACCAAGGAACGAAAAUUUCAAAGAUACACAUAUCUCUUGAAAUUAUUACCUUCGGUUUAAACCAUAAACCAGAAACCAAAGCCGAUCGAACUCACCUGAUGAGAUGGCGACGAGAACAUCGGAGAUAAAGCCAGCCAACUUCGCUGAAUAAGCCGAACAGGCCAGAAACUUAGCCGAACAAAACUCACUAUGAAAGCUGGGUUCGUCGGAGACAAAAGCCAUCUGAUCUCGCUGAUGAAGCCAAGAUCAACGGAGACAAUUAGAAAGAUAUAUCAAAAGCUUCGUCGGAAAAGCAAGCCAAAAUUCUUUCUCUGAAAGAUUUGUGAUGGAGAAGAGAAAGACUUUCUGAUUUGCAGGGAAGACAAAAGCAAAUGAAAAGAAACUCACAUACUAGAUCCAAUCGGAGACCAUCUCUCUGAAAAUCAGCGAAGUUUUUAGUAAUAUCUUUUUUUUUAACUCCAUCUUUUUAUAAAAUGGAAAAACAUUAUAUGAGAUCCGUAAUUAUUUUCUGGAACAUAAAGUGAGAAAUCAUCCACCGGAUCAAACAAGAUCUUAGUAUAUUUUAAGAACAUAAAAUUCUAACUUAAAAUCAAUUAAUAGUGAAUAAAUUGGCUUAUAUUCAUUACUCCCUCCGUUUCGUUUUAGUUGUCGUUUAAAGUUUUUUCACACAAAUUAUGAAAAUCAUUAAAUUUUCUGUUUUACUUUUUAUUAAUAUAUUUUAUAAAAAAAUACACUGGCCUAAACAUUAAAACAGUAGGGAUAAAACUGGAAUUUUCACCAAACAUUUGCAUUGAAAACGUAAAACCACAACUAUUAUGAAACAAAAUUUAAAUCCUAAAACGACAAUUAAACUGAAACAGAGGGAGUAUAUACUAGUACUAUAUUAGAUUACACUUCAUUUUUGAUGUGAAACAUUCUAGCAGAUCAUCAAUGACUCAAUAUAAAUAGAAAAUGUGCUCUUAAUUAAUGAUAUUUGGUUCCUAGUCAUUGGAAUUGGAAAGACUUGAAAAGUAAUUAAGCAUGAGAAAAAAAUUAAGAAAUGCUAUAUAGAUCCGAGAGAUUUUGACUAUUUUCAUUAAUUGACCAUAAAGAAGAAGGCAUCUUGUUUUUUUUCAUGCAGAAAAUCGACAUGUUUUUUUUUUCGACAUGUUUUUAGACAGAAGUUGACAUGAACAAAAGAAAACAAUAGCAUCAAUUCUGCUGCCGACACGAAGUAUUUAGGUUACCAUUUUAUAUUUUAUGUGCAGUUUAGAUAAAUAGACAGCUAAUCGUUUCAAAAUUCCUAACGUCGUUAUCAAUGGUGAGAUAAAAAAUAAGGGUUGACAAAUGCAAUAAUUUGGAAAAAUAGUUGAGUAUCAAUUCUAUGGUUAAGGGUUAUGCACACGCAAAUUAUCAAAUAACCUUUUAACCUCUUACAUAAUUUGUGUGUGUGUUAUAAAAGUCCUCUUACAUAGACAUGCAUUCCUUUGAAACAUUUGAUUGAUGGAAUCGCUUAGGCCAAAAGAGUGUUUCAACAUGCACUCAUUUGAAACAUUUAAAUAUAUUGUGGAAUUAAAAGGCAGAUCUAAUACAGUUUGGUACAGUUACCACAUUUUCGCGUUUUGACACAAGUGAUUCCUCUAUUUUUUUCAUCAUUUAUAGAACGUUCAUCAAAAUCUUCAUGGGUUUUGAAAAUUGAUUAUACUAUAGUCUAUAUAAUGGAGUAACUCAACUUGUUUGAGUUUUGUUGAGUCUUCUUCGAUUUACGAUCGGACAAGGUUGGAAACAUUAACAGAAUUAUGCGCAAAUUUAUUUAUACAAAACCUUCUCAUAAAUAAGUAAAAUUUGAAAGAAUUGAGUUAAUUGUUGGACAGUCUUAGGUUUUGAUUAAAAUGAUCCACCAUUAUGUUUCGUUUGGUUGAAGUCAUCAUUUAUAACAUACAGCAUCAAUAUUACAUGUGAUAAGAAUCAAUAUUUAGAUACGAUUACGAAUUUGAACUUAUUUCAGAAAAUGGUUUUUUAUAAACUUUAUCCACGAAAUAAACUAACUGAUAAUAUAGUUAUAAAAUCUAAAAUAUCAAUGCAUAAAAGUGAUAUAGCAAACAUAUAUAUAUGAGGUUUUAUCACUCCCUAGUUUAUUAAGAAAUCAACAUUAUUCUUCACAAGAAAUAUAGAACAAGAAAGAAAAAGGAUAGUACUGGUUUGAUGAGUUUUAAGAGAAGAUUAAUUAUUACAAGAAGAAAAUGCGUUGUGUUGAUCACAUCAAACCCAUUGUGUCGCCCGUCUCUUGCAAGGAGAAGAAGUAUUUGUGUUCCAAUUCCACCAUCUGCCCUCCAUCUGCUUGAUCAAAUUUGCACCUCCUGAAACUUCACAUUUACGGGGGGAUGAUUCCGACAAUUAGAUGAGGAAAACAGUCAGACUCCAAAAAGAGCCAAAGUGAAGUCAAGUCAUAGAAACCAAAGAGAAAAAGCUUACCUUCCAUCGAUGCCUAGGAGAAGAACAGUGUUCUCUGAUCCAAAACCUACAAUGAACUUGGUGGAAGCUGGCAACGAGAACUGAGCAAACGACCGUUCAUUUUCGUACAAGUACUUCGGUAAGAUCCCUUUCAUGAAUGACGACGAAGAAGCCAGAUUAAAACUAAGAAUGUCAGGUCUCAAACGAAAUACAUGGAGAGUCCCUUUUUCACUUGACGCAGCGACCCAUUUCCGAUUUGAAGAGAUUGCAACGUUAUAGAUCUCUGCUCUUUCCAUUCCUCUCCGCAACUACUUCACCAAGAAAACCAAACAUAUCAAACUACUUAAGUAAUUAACUAACCAUAAUCACAAAUAAAAACAAAGCCUAAAAUUUCUCUAGGGUUUAGGGAGUUUAAGAAAAAAAAAUUUAGGUUUAGGGUUAAUUACCUCUUGUAAGAGAGUACCAUCAACUGCGUUAAAAAUCCUGAUCAGGGUUCCUUUCGUGCUAGCGGUUGCGAGGAGACUUCCAUCGAGAGUAAAAGUCAUGCAAGCAAUAGCAGAAUCAUGUGCUUUGAUGAAUUUGAUUACAUUCCGUCUCAAGUUGUGGACCUGAACUUGUCCCGGAUGAAACCCGGGACAAGCCAAGACUGCUUUCGACUCAACGUGAGUGACGCAACACAGUCCUUUCGGAUUCAUGAGAGUUUCGAUCAGACGGUAAACCUUAAGGUUGUUGAAAGUGUAGACAUAGAUGUUUUGUUUCAGGACAACCACAAUGUGUUCUCUCGUUAGUUUCACGGCGAUAACUUCUGAUUUAAAAGCGAGCUCACGGAGGCAGCAAAAUCUGUGAUCGUCCCAAACGAAGACUUUGUUAGGAGGAUACUCGGAAUUGUUAUAACCAUUUCCAACAAGAGCAAAUAGGUUAGAAAGGAAGAGCAUCUCAGCGACUUUGAAGCCUGAUUCGUGCGGUUCACGGCUGAUGCUUUUCUUGAUCAUUGGUUUGCAGCUAUAUACAUUGAACCCGCGAUUUGUUCCAACUAUGAAACCACUCCAUUCCUGGUUCCAAGCUACUGAUAACACCUUCAAGUCACUCUUGGCUUCAUCAGAUGGCGAAUUUGAAGUAUCAGAUUUUGAAAGCGUGAAUAUUCCACGGACAGUGGAGACCAUCGAAUUCAUUCUUUCUUUUUUCCAACCAGAUUCACAGAAGAAACGAAGAGACAAGACUUUAGAAUAUCAAACGCUUCUCAUGAAAAGUUGGCAAAUCUUUGUUUAUAGUUUGGUAAUAUUCACGAGGGUAAAAUAUUCCUAAUAGAGUACGAAUAGGAAGAGACUCCAAAGUCCAAACCAUAUCAAAUCUUAAAAUAAUACUUUAAUCAAAAUUAAAAACCAAAAAAAAAAAACACGUCUUCAUUAAGACAUAUUUUUGAUAAAUAAAGACACCAACCACUUACAUGAAGUUAUGUUUAUUUAUUAGUUACUCCUAUUUGUGAAAGGGUUUUCAAUAAAACUAAAUGGAUACAAUGUUUUGGGUCAAAAAAAAAACAAAAACCCUAGGCCUUACAAAUUAAAGAAAAUGAUUGAACCAAAACCUACUUACGGCUGGCUUGAUGAAACGAAGGGGGAAUCCUUGAAAUCAAACUAGUAGAAUCUCAGAAGCUUUUAGAGGCAAAUUAAGCAAUGACUUAUGAAUGAGGCUUUGUUGCGAAAAGUUAUAUGGAUCUUCUUAUAGAUUUUGACUGUCGAGACUCGAGAGUCUGGCAAAAGUUUGAAUUCUAGAGUUCCUUUCUCUCCAUACUUCACAUAUCAUAUAUAGUCGGUUGCCAAGCAAUGGUCCGUGUAAUAAAUGGAUUAAGUAAGUCCUCAAGUUUCAGAACAGAAGAUGUGUUUUGUCCUAAAUCUAGAUAUUUGAGGGAGAAAGGUUUGGCAUCGAUGGUUGCUGCAAAAUGCAUUGCGUUAUUGUGUUAACAGUAACAAAAGAACUCAAUCAUGAGUCUUUGAGGCCCAGGUGAAAAAUCAUCAAAAAUCAUAUUACUAAUGUCACUUCAUAGUCAAUCUUCAUGGAUUGAUAAUCCAUCAUUAUUCAUCAUAUUCGUUUAGUUAGACCAACCCAACCUAAUGAAUUGGAGGGACUUGUAAAGCAAAACUCAUAGUACAGCCACACAGUGUUAUAUCCUCAUAAGUCAAUCUUUGAUUCUCUCUUGUGUAAUUGUGUUCUUCAACUUUAUGCACCUAAUUCCGUUAAAUGCAAUUUAUCAAAUUUAAACAUGCACAGACCCCACUUGCAGUGGUUGGUUUGGUAAAUAAUCUCUCCAUACAAAAUUCACACUUUACUCUUUUAGUGGUUAAAAAAAGUCAUGCAGAUGGGUCUCUUCAAAACACAACAUCAUUAAACCAACUUUUUUUGGUAAAUGUUUUAGGACAACUUUUAUAUCAAUUUUGGUGUCUCCAAAUAUAUGCACAAAAGCAGGAUCGGAUACUGUCAAUGACCAAUAAAAUUACAACACGAGACAGAUCAUUAGGUUAUAUUUUCGGUUAAUUUUGAUAACAUUGUUGAAUUAUUUGAUGAAAUCGAUCACUACCCUUCUGCAUGCUGUAUCAUGCAAAGAAAAGAAAAAGCAAAAUAUUCCUUUAAUUUGUAGUGUCUUUUGUCUCUUAAAGAACAAAUGAAAGAAGCAAAAAAUGGGAUGCUUUUGCUUUUCUUUCCCUCCUUUCUUUGCGGUGUCUUGCUUUUUAUUUCCUUUACAUAUUUAUUUGAAUUUGAAUCUACUUUUUGUUAUAUUAAAUACAACCCAUUAUGCUUACUUAACAAUGGAUAUAAACCAACUAAUCAUUGUUUUUUUUAUCUUAUUUGAGCUCACUUUUUCUUUUUAACUCUCUUUACCACAUGAAAACAAACACUAAGAACAAAAUUUUCAUAAGAAACUCAAUUUCAGCUUUCUCAGAUCAUUUCAUGGAGUGAGUAACCAAAAGAUCUCAACCAUGACUUCUUCUCACACCACCUUGGCGGCUGCCUCCUUCUUCUUCCUGUUACUCGCAGCAACCGCGGUUUUGGUUUCAGCCGAUUUAGCAUCAGACGAAGAAGCCCUGCUCAACUUUGCAGCAUCAGUCCCACAUCCACCCAAACUCAACUGGAACAAGAACUUCUCUCUCUGCUCCUCAUGGAUCGGCAUUACCUGUGACGACUCCAACCCCACCAGCCGCGUUGUAGCAGUUCGUCUUCCUGGAGUUGGCCUCUACGGCUCAAUCCCUCCUGCUACAUUAGGUAAACUAGACGCUCUCAAAGUCCUUAGCCUCAGAUCCAACUCUCUCUUUGGAACUUUACCUUCUGAUAUUCUCUCACUCCCUUCUCUUCAAUACCUUUAUCUCCAACACAACAACUUCUCCGGCGAACUCACUAAUUCUUUGCCGUCGAUCUCCAAGCAUCUUGUUGUCUUGGACUUGUCUUAUAACUCUUUAUCUGGUAACAUUCCUUCCGGUAUCCGGAACUUGUCUCAGAUCACUGUAUUGUACCUUCAAAACAACUCUUUUGAUGGCCCCAUUGAUUCUCUUGAUCUCCCAAGUGUAAAAGUUGUAAAUUUUAGCUAUAACAACUUGAGUGGACCCAUCCCUGAGCAUUUCAAGGGAUCGCCGGAAAAUUCUUUCAUCGGAAACUCAUUACUACGUGGUUUACCUCUGAAUCCAUGUUCCGGAAAAGCCAUCUCUCCGUCUUCAAAUUUGCCAAGACCGUUGACAGAGAAUCUUCAUCCUGUUCGGAGGAGACAGAGUAAAGCUUACAUAAUCGCCAUUAUAGUCGGAUGCUCUGUAGCCGUUCUUUUCCUUGGAAUUGUUUUCUUAGUUUGUCUGGUGAAGAGGACGAAGAAAGAAGAAGGCGGUGAAGGAAGGCGAACGCAGAUAGGUGGAGUUAAUAGCAAGAAACCGCAGGAUUUCGGGAGCGGAGUUCAAGAUCCAGAGAAGAACAAGCUGUUCUUUUUCGAGAGAUGCAAUUACAAUUUCGAUCUUGAGGAUCUCUUGAAAGCUUCUGCCGAAGUUCUCGGUAAAGGGAGUUUCGGAACGGCCUACAAGGCCGUGCUUGAGGACACAACCGCGGUAGUGGUGAAACGUUUAAGAGAAGUUGUGGCGAGUAAGAAAGAGUUUGAACAGCAAAUGGAGGUUGUCGGGAAGAUUAACCAGCAUUCGAAUUUUGUACCGCUCCUUGCUUAUUACUAUUCGAAAGACGAGAAGCUAUUGGUCUACAAGUACAUGACGAAAGGAAGCUUGUUCGGGAUUAUGCACGGUGAGUCAUAAAGAGACCAAAACCUAACUUUUUUUGGUAAUGUAAAGCUUGUGGGUCACGAAAAAGAUUGUUCCUUUUUGUAUUUUGUCGGACAGGAAACAGAGGAGACAGAGGAGUCGACUGGGAAACGCGGAUGAAGAUCGCGACUGGGACUUCAAAAGCAAUCUCUUACCUUCACUCUUUGAAAUUCGUUCACGGAGACAUCAAAUCGUCCAACAUACUUCUCACUGAAGACCUUGAGCCAUGUCUAUCGGACACAUCUUUAGUCACACUCUUCAACCUCCCAACUCACACACCGCGAACCAUCGGCUACAAUGCUCCUGAAGUUAUUGAGACGAGGAGAGUCAGUCAAAGGUCAGACGUUUAUAGCUUUGGUGUGGUGAUACUCGAAAUGCUAACCGGGAAAACACCUUUAACUCAGCCUGGUCUGGAGGAUGAGCGUGUCGUCAUUGAUCUUCCGAGAUGGGUUCGGUCUGUUGUGAGGGAAGAGUGGACUGCAGAAGUUUUCGAUGUAGAGCUCUUGAAGUUUCAGAACAUAGAAGAGGAGAUGGUUCAGAUGCUUCAGCUAGCGUUGGCUUGUGUCGCAAGGAAUCCAGAAUCGAGGCCAAAGAUGGAAGAGGUUGCAAGGAUGAUUGAAGAUGUGAGGAGAUGUGAUCAGUCGCCGCAGUUACAGCAAAACAUAACAUCCUCAGAGGCUACUUCGAAUGUCUCUGAAUAAGAUUUUCUCAUUCCCACCAAAACUUCUUUGAUCAAUUCUACUUCUAUCUUAUUACUUUGAAUCGUAGUUUAGUGCGUCUGAUCAAAUUCUCCUCCUGUGAUUUUGUUUCUCUUUGAGUUUUUGUUAAAAUAAUUUCGCUUUGUAUCGUAGUUUAGCGCUUAUGAUCAAACGGAACUGAAGUUAACUUCUUUUCCCUAAGCCAGAAAAUGUCAAUAUCCAAUUAGAAAGGAAAUUAGGUCGACAUGAAGAAUGAAAAAUCAUAACUGCUUGCAUUUUCAUUACAGAAACAAAAAAUAUUCGCUUUCACUUUAAUUAUAACUUUUCAUAGUAACUAGAGUAAGAUAUUCUACACAUAAAUUUAUCACACCAAGACAGAAGAACGAACAGACAAUUACACACAACAAAAGUAAAAAAGUGAACAAAUAAAACAAUGAAAAUAAUGUAAAUUUUGUGUUUUUUUAACCCUCAAAACAAGUAAAUAUUUGCUCACUUCUCAACAGUUGAUUCCACAUUCCAGAAUGUCCGGGCCAGUGACUCGGCUAGUGAAGGGAUCAAUCCUAACCCACAACAACGAGAAGAUGGAAGCCAAGAGAACAGACCAGACCACAACAAUGGUAGGAGUCCGGUUCUGUCGACCCAUCAAACCCUUAAGGAAAGGGUACAAGUGAACAAUCACCCAAAAGGCAAAGAACAACUUACCAAAGAGUGGUCCCCAUGAUUGGUACCCACUGUUGAUAGCAUAAGAGACUCCUGCAACAACUCCCACUAGGUUUACAAUGAGCAGCGUCGUUGGCGGAAUCAGAAGUGUUGUCCAUUUGAACAAGUAGAGCUCGGCAAAGUCUCCAUCUUCGUCUGAAGCUUUUGAGGUGACUGUGAAGUUCGUGUCAAUACCAGCAAGGACUUUCAGGAUACCUUGAAACACGGCGAAUAAAUGAGCGGAUACUCCACCAAUGACCCAAAACUGCUCGUUUCUCCACCAUUCGUCUAUGCCUACACCACUCCACCUCAUUUCUAGUAUACCCGUGGCGAAAAUCGAGAGAAAGAGAGACAGAAACCAUAUACUUGCAAUGUUACUAAUCUGCAAAAGAGGAACAAUAGAGCCAGCUAAUCAGGUUUUGAAACCGUAAAUCUCUUCAAUUUGCUGUCUCACGAAUCAAUGACAAACAUAACAUGGUUUUAAAUAAAGCAGACCGUAAUUAUGGUUUGUUAUAAAGAUCGGGAGAGAAAGAGGUGUCAAACCUGAGGAAUAAUAAACUGGUUGGUGAAGAGACAAACGGCGGGCAAUGUACAAUACAUGAGAAGAGGAAUGGAGGUGAUUGGGUAGAUGGUGGUGUUCACAUAUGCAAACCUCUCAAGAAAUUUCAGCCUCCCAUUGUAGCCAUACCAUAUUGGACAAUGCCGACUGAAGAGAAUCUCAACUGAACCUAGAGCCCACCUCAGCACUUGGUUCAGACGAUCUGAAAGAUUGAUAGGAGCAGACCCCUUGAAAGCUGGAAGCUUUGGCAUACAGUAAAUGGAUCGCCAUCCACGGGCAUGCAUUUUGAACCCAGUCAAAAUAUCUUCUGUCACAGAACCAUAGAUCCAUCCAAUCUGAAGAAAGACAGCGUAGAAUACAAACAAACUGAGUGCCAAAGUGGAUAUGUCAGAACAUUGCAGUUUCAUAUAGGAGUUAAAAUGAGAUAAUACCUCCAUUCCCCAAUCUGACUUAUCCUCGUAACCACAACUAAUGACAUGGAUAGCCUCUUUGAGAAGGUUUUCUGGAGUUGCUGAAGGAGGAACACCCCCAUUUUCCAUUAGGGUAGAAGCAACAAAAACAGCAGACUGUCCAAAUCGCUUCUCCAGGCUCAUUUGCGACAUCAAGAGCGCCUUUUCAUCAUCAAAACCAGCACCUGAGUUUUACAAAUGUCAAAUAAGUUAAGACAUGAUGAGAUAUCUAUCUGGAAACUAUUUAGACAACGUAAGCAUUUUGCUCAAGAUCUUUUCUUCAUGAACUGUCAAAUAUAAAUAACCCCCUCCCCUGGAUCAAUAUCUCAAACAGCAAUAUAAGGGUAUAACGGAAAACCACAGAAGAAAUAAAAACAGUUGUACCUUCAACUCCCUCUUCUAUGUCAUCGAGGUUGAAUACAGGAACAGUUGAGUCAGUAUGCCUGCCUGAUUUCUUUUUGUCCGAUUCUUUCUUAGCUUUGGAAUUCUUCUUUCUUGAUCCACCACAGAGCUUAGAUAAAAGACUUGGCUUCUUGUGUUUUACCUUUAUUGGAGGUUCAUAACCAUAUAAUGCUGUUCUGUUGAAAACACAACCAGUUCCCACAUACACAGGUCCUUGAAUACCAUCUAAACCUCUCAAGUUAAUCUGGAAAACAUAUCACCAAAAAGUUACAACAAAACUCAAGCAACUGUGUUUAAUGUAUAUUCGUGUCUAAAAGCAAUUUGAAAGAACAGAAAAUUAGACGCAAGUAUAGAUAAGUGUGACUUACAUCAAAGAACACAGUAUUACGAUUAGCAUAUCUAUCGUUCUUAUCAAUACCAUCGAAUCUUUGUGGGAACUGAACAUAGCAAACUUGCUUUCCGAGGUUCGGGUCCAUCAGGAAGCACAUUGCUUCUCUUAAGGCUUUGCUGUUAUUUAUGUAAUGAUCACAAUCAAGAUUCAAGAUGAAAGGUCCAUUGGUAAGGACUGCUGAAACUCUAACCUGUUCAUUUGAAAAGUACCCAGGUUAGACUAACAAAAAAAAUUCAGAGAAAGAACAAGUCAAAAUUCCGAGAUCAGAAACCUACAAGUGCAUUCAUAGCACCAGCCUUUUUGUGGUGCUGGAAUCCUGGUCGCUUUUCUCGAGAAACAUACACCAAACGCGGAAGCUCGUUCCCCUCUGCAUCAAGUCCACCAUUUUGCCCUAAGAAAACCUGCAUUCAACAAAUGGCACUUCAACAAUGAACCUCUGAAGAGAUCGAGAUAGAAAGAGAGAGCCUUCUCGAUUUCCAUACUUAAACCAAUUUCUCUUACCUGGAUCAUUCCUGGAUGGUCCCUUGUAUUAUUUCCAGGCCACGGUGUACCAUCUUGCAUAACCCAUCCUUCUUCAGGACAUUUUAGGGCCUUGGAAACAAGUGCAUUGAUUCGGAUUUUAAAUUCCUCAUAUUCCCUCUGCAAGAAAAUAAAAGGUCAAUAUGCAAUAUACUGAAAUGAAAGUAAGGGUGACUGCAUGACGAAAACUACAAACUUACCUUCAUAGCUCUACGAUCUUUGACAAAUGAUGUCUGAACUUUAUCCUUCAAGUAAUCUAUUUUCGCAGCAAAGUACCAUUCUGGUGCACGAGGCUCAAUGCAAUAUUUCUUGCAGAAUGGUACCCAUUUCCGAGCAAACUCUGAUGUUUCUGCAAGUGCUUCAAAUGAUAACAUAGCAGCACCAUCAUCAGAAACAUAACAGGACACCUUGUCAACCGGGUAGUCAACAGCCAGAAUGGAGAGAACUGUGUUGGCUGUCACAAGGGGUGGCUCCUUCAAGGGGUCGACAGUACUCACAAAAAUGUCAACUGCGGCUAACUGAGACGGCUCACCUUCACGAUCAUAUCUGUCCCAAAAUUGAGCAUGAUCAAAUUAAAAUGGGAAAUCUUAUAGGCAGUCAAUUCUUUGAAUAAUGCUUCAGAAGAAUGGGGAAAUAUAAUUUACCUUAACGCAAGCCUGUCGAGGUAGGUUUCGCGGUUCACAGGAAACCACUUGGGAAACUGAUCCAAAAUCCAGGAUAGGGCAAACCAAAUCUCACAUAUCACAGAGACCAGCCAGAGAGCAAAGGCAUUUGGCACUGGAUUUGUGAUACGGUAAUGCAAGAAGAGACAAAGGAUAACAAGUCGCAACAUAAUAACCAUUCUGUAAGGAUUGAUCCGUGAUGAAGGAAUUGAAACUUUCCUUGACAGAGGCUGCCUCGCUUCAUCAUUCCUGCAAAAUAAAUAAAAUUGUAAAAUAAGCAUCAGGACAUUGCUUAAUAGGAAAGAUGCUCAGAUUGUGCAAUGUCAUAACCCUGAAGCAGAACAGGACCCACGACUGCCAAACGAGAUAACAGAACAUGAACUCACAGCAAAGCCUCAUCUGCGAGGAUAUCUGUGCUGGCAUCAAUAUCUCCUCCACCUCUUUCAGAAGCUGCCUGCGUGCUCACAGGACCAGUAUUCUUCUCUUGCUUCAUUUUCCAGCCAUCAACCCUCUCCUUCCAAGCUACAUUCCCUAGUCCAACCGGAUCCACAAUUCUUCUAUUUGCUGCAGCGAGAAUGACAACAACAGAUUUUAUUGUUUAGAGUUUUGACACAAACGAAAAGCCUCGGUACGAGUAAAUGUGUUGGCCGGAUAGUAAGAAAAUAAGGAUAUUUACGUGAUUGAUUAACAUCUGAUGAAUAGGGAAGGCGCUUUCCACCAGCUAUAGUAGAAGAUACAGAGAGGCGUUCAGGUGAGGCAGCAGAAAAUUCUCCUGAAGUCUGUAAAUAAACAAAUGACAAAAUCAGAUUCCAAAACUCAAUUACGCGAGAGGUUGCAAAUGCUUAAGAGGGAAGAAUGAACAACAAUGCCUUACAUCUUGUCUGCUUGUGAGACGAGGAAGAUGAUUGUGAGAGACCUCUUUAUCAUACUGGGGUUCCCUCAUAUCCUCUCCUUUCCCACGAGUAAGAUGCCAUCCAAGCAUCCGCUCUGAAAUCUUCUCCUUCUGCGGGUAGUUGAACUCAACGGUACCUUCCUCAGCUAAGCCAUCCUCGUCUUUAUCACCAGGAAUAGCAGGACUACCUAGAAUCAGAAAUUAGCAAAUUGCUAUAAAUACCACAAAUUCAAAACAUACUGAUAAACUAUCGAUGAACAAUGAAGACAGUUAAUGGAUCAAAUUUCAGUAAUAGUGAGAUCAAAAGUAAACCUUUGAGCCUCUUGUAUCUGGUUUUGCACUGAGGACAAGAUUGAUUCCCAUCUUUCCUCUCAUACUCAUAGCAAGGCCGACAAACUGGGAAUGAACAAAAAUCACAAGCCACAAAAGGCUCUCCAUCAACAGUCUUGCCAACAUUGUCACUACAGAUCUGGCAAAUCUGCGGAACAACGUUCUUCAUCGGCUUCCCCUACAAUUAAGUCGAAUCAAGUAGCCAAAAUUAGAAACCUUAACAGAAAAUUGCAACCAGAUCUCUCCAAUACGCAAUUAAACAACCAAAUCAAUCAACUUCAGUAUCUAUAAUUCCUGAUUUCGAUAAAGGAAGUAUGAUGAUGAAGCUAAGAGUCAAAAGCAUACCGCGGUUUCUCCUUCGGAUUCCAUUCGUCGUCACUUAGUUGCUUCCAACACCGAAACGUCGAAAUAGUUCAAAUCUGCUCGGAUUUAUCAAAAACAGUAAACGCGAUUAGAUCUGAGGAGAUCCGAGUAAAAGGAAGUCAAAUCUGAGAAUGGAUCAUCAUGAGUGAAGAAGAGUUACCAUGAGAUCUGAAGAUGGAGUGGUGAUGUGACUUUCUGAAUCUCUCUCUUUCUGGAUCCGAGCUUUCUUCUCUACAGAGAGAUAUGUAUAAGUAAGGAAGACGAAGAGGAGAAUCUUUAGAGGAUGCAAAGAGCAAGCUAUUUGUCUCUCUGCUCGUCACUCUUUCUGAUUUUUAAAAUAUUAAUAUAUUUGUCACAAAUCAUAAUCCAACCAAGCAACAACCACCACCACCACCGACAACUUCCACAGUCGAUUUUUUUUAGUUACAGUUUACUGUGACUGUAAAAAAGUGAAAAUGGCCGAUAAAUCUUGAAAAUAUAUAGGAAAAUUAUUAGAUCAUCGAAUUAGUCUAGACAGUGACUAAAUCAAAAUAUUAAUUGAUAGUGAUACUAAAAUAGUAGUGUGAAGAACAAAACAAAGCACAAGUAGUGGGGUUAAAGGAUAUUCAUCGUCACUUACUUUCUUACCUAUAAAACUCAAAAAAUAUUUGCCGACAAAAAAAAUUAAUCAACGGAUUAGUCUAAAAUAUAUUAUUGAUAGUGAUACUUUACUUACUAGUAGUAUCAAAUAUCAAUAUAGGCUAAAACCAGCGGGCCGAAAAGCAAAGGUCCAACGUCAGUAUCAUCAAAGCCCAACAGAAUCGACAAAAUGGGUUUGUUGCACUUUGCAGACAAAAUUGGUAUAUAUAUAUAUAUGUUCGGUUUACGUUAUUUACGAGAGAAAACUAAAUAGAACCGAACCCAAUAAUUAAUAGGUCAAACUUGAUAAACGGGUGGUGCAUGUGAAGAUGUGUGGCCACUUGGGCAGCAAAGAACAGACUGUCAGAUAAACAAAAGAAGAAAAUGGCAAACAUUUGAAUCCCAAAGAGCGCCACUUUCUCUUCGCUACUCGACAAAUCUUCCCUCCUCUUUGUCGUCCGUCCCUUUAUACCUUUUCACAUUCUGCUUCGUAACUCUCAAACCCUAGAAUCCUCUACUUAAACCUUCCUUUGUUUCCCCAUCACUUUCCCUGUUAAUCUGCUCUUUUGUUCCCUCGAUCAGAUCAAUUUUUCAAGGUCAGUGAAUCUCAUGUUUAUUUGGUCCUACGUAAUUCAGGGUUAGAUCUUUGCUUGUUCUGUUGAUGGGUUUUGUAGAUCUUAUGAUCUGAGUUACUUACUCUGUUUUUCUGAGAUUUAUGAAGGGUUCUUCUAUUUUCUUCAUCUGGUGAUCAAAUUUGUUCAAAAGUUUAUUUUUCUUGUUGCAAACUAUAGUUAUUAUUUCUGUUUACAUGUAGUGAAAAAGUACAAUUUUGUUACAUAGAAGAAGAAAGUCUUAACAUUUACGAAACCCUAGUUUUUUAUUCCUGAGAUUUCGAUUAGUUAGCUCUUCAUGAUAGUUUAUUAUCACAAUUUUUAAUUUGUUUUUUGGAAAAUUUUAAAUGACAAUUGUUGUAGCUAGAGAUAAUAUAAAUACAUUUAGUUAUAGCUAAAUCUUAGGAGUAUCAAAACAAAAACAAAAAAUAUCUUUUCAUAUCUCGUAUAUCUCUCUAUCUUAAUCUCUUAUCUUCUGUACUUAUAGGGUUUUUCUAUUACAUCAUCAUGUUCUCGUUAGUUUGAUUUUUUCCUUGAUCUUGAUUAGUUUUCUUUCGUUUAAGUGUAGAUGGAUUUUACAACAGUUGAAGUCACGAAAGAUUCACCACAUAAUUCUAAUUCUUUUGUGGAAAUCUCAACAGGUAUAAUCGUAUAAUUCAUUCAUGUAUCUUGGUUGUUUGUGUUUCUCUUCAAACAUAAAAGUCUUAUUAGACAUAUCAAUUGUCAAGUUUCAGACCACAAUGGAUCUUCUCCUCCUGUAACUCCCAAGUCUGAUACAAUGGAUCAUGAUUCCGACUUUUCUUAUUCCGAGUUAGAUUCGGAAACAGAGGCCUUUUACUCAUCUCUUAACCAUCACCUGGUCUCACCAGGGGCAAUGGAUAGCCAUGACUUAGCUGCUGAAAAACAAAUGAAUUAUGAUGACUUGAUGAAGAAAUAUGUCCAGUGUGAGGAAGAGCUAAGGACUACGAGUUUGAAGCUCCAAGAAUCUGAACAAGAGAUUGAGAAGCUUAAGGGUGAGACCAAGAAGAAAGAAUCUGAUGUUCUGCUUACCGAGAAUCUAUGUGCUGAGCUUGAAACUGCUCAGGGAGAAAUUGAGACUAGGGACAUAGCUAUUGAGGCUGAGAGAAGACGAGUUCUCCAGGUGCAAAGACAGGUGGUUGAUUUGGAAACUGAACUUGAGGUGAGUAGGGACUGUUUAGAUGUGUCAUAUGCUGAGAUCUCCAAGCUAAGGGAAAUGUUGUGUGAUUGUCAGCAAAGUUUUUCUAUUGAGAUAACAAAAUUGCAGACUGAUAUUGCUGGUUUGUUAGAGAACAAGACUUCCUUUAAAGCUCCGGUCAGAGAAAUCGAAUCACACGGUGAGGUAUUGGAAGAUCAGAUUAAGCAUUAUGAGGCAGAGAAAAUGGAGAUGCAGAGAAAAGAGGUUGAGUUGCAAGCUGAAAUCAAUGCAUUGAAGACAGAUUUGGCUACACGUGGUGAGCAUAUUGAAGCAUUAAACAAAGAUUUCGACAAGCACAAGCUGAGGUACGACAUGUUAAUGGCAGAGAAAGAUGGAGUCUAUGCUGAAGUAGACAAUCUAAAAGCAGAGAUGAGAUCAAGAGACAUCCAAAUUCAGCAAAUGGAGGAGCAACUUAACCAACUGGUCUAUAAGCAGACCGAGCUUGUGUCUGAAUCAAGAAAUGCCAAGAACACUGUUGAGCAACUGAAAGCUGUGGUUAAAGAACUGGAGAAUGAAGCAGAGAUGCAGAGUAAGGCUAAGAAAACUGUGGAGGAACUGAGAGCUACGGUGUGGGAACUGGAGAAGCAAGCAGAGUUGCAGAGGAAUGCGAUAUCAGAAGGAGAGGAAGAGAAACGAGAGGCGAUUAGACAGCUUUGUUUCUCUCUGGAUCAUUACAAAAGCGGAUAUAGACAGCUUUUGAGGUUUCUUUCGGGUAAUAACCAGCAACAUCACGCAACCAUCGUCGUGUGAGUUUGGAUUGAAUACUCUUUAUCAUUUGUUUACUCGUUAGUCGUUACAGUCUUAUGUCUCUUUUCUUUGUCUCAUCAUGUUUGAGUCAUUGUGAGUUAUGUUCUGUCUCAGACCUUAAUCUUCAGAUUCUUUAGUAAGAAUUUAUAUGAAAUUCUAGCUCGGAAAUGCUUUUAUAUAUGUGGUUUUGUGUGAUUAUUUAAGUAAUUUUGAACUUACUACAGGUGUUUCUGUCUGAAGUUUUUAUUUGUGCUUAUGACAUAAUGACGUAAAGCCUAAGUAAUUAAAAGCGAGAGAAGAAAAGGUCAAAAGCCAAACACAAACCUAAUCCUCCAAUAUCGCAACUUGGUUGACUCUCUCAAUGCAAGAAUUGGAGUUAAUGUGAAAUACUAAGGACUCAAUUAUGAUUGACAUUUAUUCCUGCUUUAUGUGUUUUGUCAAGAAAAAUUUAGUGAACACAAAAACAAAUUAUUCUUCUCGCUCGAACCAGAGAAAAAUAUGAAAAUUAAAAACUAAAUCUAGACCUGAGAACUAAUAUGACCAAAAUCAAAGUUGAAUGAGUCUGGUUUUUAUUCUGCGUUUAUGUAUAUGCUCCGAAUUCCAAUUCUAUUUCGUGGUGAAAUAUUUUGUGUCUUGGUCAAACAGAUUUUCUAUUUGUUUUUUUUUUUUUUUAAUAGUUAUAUUAAGGUUUGACUAUAUCAGGAAUGGUCAUCUUCAACAUGACUUUGUUUCAGCUUAUAACCAAAUAAAAAAAUGAAAAUUUCUCAAGUUAUACUUUGAUAGGUCCAUUGCGUAAAUUUUCCUCCAUAUCACCAUAUGUAACGAUAAAUGCUCGACCGCGUAAUGAAGUACGCGCAUGCAAAUAUUUUAAUUUGAUUGCUUUAGUUUAUGCUUUCAUGGUAGUAUUAAAGUUGUAAAUGUGAUUGCAUGUGUGAGUGUGUGAAACGACUUUGCAAGACCGCUGGCUACGAACUUUAUUAGUUAGAUACAACAACAACAAAAUCAAUUAUCAAUCUUAAAAGAUAGCUAAAGAAAAGGUUACUAUGGGCCCUUUUUUUAUCUUACUUUCUUUAAUUCUUUCAUAUGGAAUCUAUUAUUAAUUAAAGACAUGUAUUUAAUAUAAAGAACUUCAGAUCUCAGGUGUAAAAGAAUUGUUUUUUUUUUUUUGCUUUGAGUUGUCUUCUUUAUUUAUAAAUCGGAAAUUUUCAAGUAAAAAGAAUAUAAACACUCCAAAACAUAGAUAGAAGAAUUGGAUAUUCUUAUCAUUUAAAUCGUCUACAGUAGCCAGUUAUGAUUGCAAUCGUUGUGCGAAUAUAAGCAUGCUGUCACAAGUUUUUUAGUUAGUAAAUUUUUUAUUAUUUCAAGAACUUGAUCAAUAGAAUGAUUUUUAAACCAAAAACUAAAAGAAAAUUCAUCCUAUUCAAUACCAUAAGGUCCAUAACUUCAUGUGUUCACGAAACAUAAUGGGAACACAGUAAAUAGAAAAUAAUAGCAAUUUAGAACAAUAUAUAUAUAUAUAUAUAUAUAUAUAUAUAUAUCUACAUAUAUAUUUUUACAGGGUUUUUUUGCAUUAAUUCAUUUGGAUCCGGAUUUUACCCGGGUUUAACUCUAUCCGGAUCUUGGAUAAGAAAUUAUAGGAAAGUUGUCUUAAAUUCAAACUGAGAUAUUGCCUCUAAUACCCGAGAUUUCUUCAAUCAUUUAUUGACUCACAACAUACCAUUUCCGAUUUUUCUUCUCUACAAUAUCUGUAAAUAAACGAUUUUAAGAAACAAAGUUAUGACUCUUCUCCAUAAAAAUCUCUAUGGUUUCUUUCUAAAAUAUAUAUUCCAAGAUUUCGUAUUUCAACUAAUUAAUCAACACAUUCAUUUUCGGAUUCAUCUUUCAACUAAUUAUACUCACCACCUUCAUUUUCGGAGAUUUUUUUUCCGCAAUAUCUCUACAAAAUCGAUUUAAAGAAACAAAAUUUUGACUCUUAAAAAUUAAAAUCUUGGCAUAUUCCAAAAUACUAACGAAUCCAAAGAUUUUAUCUUUAAUUUGUUGCUACAUCGAAUAUUUUUUGCGUGAAGUGAUAGGGAUUAGUGACCUAAUUUUGACCCUAUAAAUACUCUACACCUAAACGUCAAUUAACAUCAUCAAACACAAAUAAGCCACGAUUUACAAAAAACCAUUAAACACACCUUUUUCGUCUUCAUAUGGCUGCUACUUUUGAGUCUCUGGUGAAUAUAGAUGUCGAAGGGAGAGAUUGUUGCAACGGUUUGUCAUCGAGCUUCAGGUGAUGUUGUGUACAGGUAGGGAAUGGUUGUGACGGCGACGGUGAGUUGUUGGUGCAACGGUGGUCGGUGGGUAAUAGAGCUUCAGCUUGGUGGAUGAGUAAAGGGAACGGUGUGACAGUUGCGGUGAGAUAUGGGUUGCGACGGUGGUGGAUACGACCGGAGGCGGUUGCUUUUGUCGGCUAAUGGUGGGAGAGUGGUCGGAGAGAAAUAGUUUUAGAUCUAGGUUAGGUUGUGUCGUGGCCUCGUGGGUUAGACAAAAUAUUUGGGUUGUAUGUGAUGGAUUGGUUUGACAAAUUAUUUAGGCCCAAUUUUAUUUAUAUGGGGUUGGGUAGUUUUAGUACUAUAAAUAAGUUGUAGUAUUAGUACAAAACAUUGUAAUUGUAAUUGUAAUUGUACAAAACGUGAAACUUAAAACAUUGUAAUUGUACAAAACAAUAGAUUAUAUAUAUAUAGAUAAUCUAUUAAAAUUUUACAUUUUGAUUUUUUUAUUAUUUUAUUUUUCUCUCACUAAGUUUUAUGGUUGUCGGUUGUUUGACAAAAUAAUUGUCUGAAUAGAAACCACAAAAUAUGCAUACUAAAUACAUGAAAGGCAAAUCAUUAUUUUUCUAUUUAACGUUACUUGCACCAUAACAUAGUAACCAGAGUUUUCAGAAUUUAUAUUUAAAGAUUUAGAGAACAUAACAUUGAACAUUUUAUUUUAUCCCACAAGAUUAAGCUAUGGUAUUUGUGGUGUCAGUAAAUUAAUAUAUAUCUUUUAGUAUGAGAAAUAAUUUUAAAUCUCACCAAUAUAAAAUUGUUAUCCGGUUUACUCCGGUUAUUUAUUUUUAAAAAUUGAAACUUUGAAGAAGUUUCAAGUUAUUAUAAAUAUAAAAACUUUAUUAAAAGUUAAAUAUGAUAAUUGUUUAUACUUUUAAAAAAAUUAAACUUUAUAAAAUGCAUAAAUUAUUUAUAAUAUUAGAACUUUUAUGAAGUUUCAAAUAUUAUAAAUAUUUAAACUUUAUAAAAAUUUAUAAGAAAUUUAAACAUUAUAGAUAUUUAAUUUUAUAAAACAUUUACAAUAUUUAAAUUCUAUAAAAAGUUUAUAAUAUUAAUAAUAUUUGAACUCUACAACAAUUAAAUAUAUAUUUAAAUUCUAUUUAAAGCAAACUUUUAAAUUGACUCGGAUUAUAUGUUUUUUAAAUAAAAUAUUAUUAAAACUGAUAAAAUGAUGUUUAAUUUCACGAGACAUGUUCUAUGGUAUGAUGGGUAUUGUUAGAUAUUAAUAUGGGACUACAAUAAUACAAUUUUAAACAAUAAACAAACAAAUAAUAUUAACAAAACAAAUACAACUUACUUUAAAAUUUUUAGUUAUAAGAAAUCGAUCCACGGCGUACCACAGGUCAGUCCCUAAAAUGCAAACAACAAAAUAAAUUCAUAUUCAAAUCUGCUAUAUAGAGUUGCUUAAUGAACUGUAUGUUUUCGUUUCUAUAUCUUAAAAUUGAAACCUACAACAUACUAAGCGUACACUAUAUAUAUAUAUAUAUAUAAUAUAUUUAAAUCAAACAAAACAAUAGGUUAUAUCUGUAGAUAAUCUUAAUAAAUUAAACUUUUAAUUUAUAUUUAACAAAAAUAUAGGCCCGCGGUGUACCGCGGGUUAACAUCUAGUAUAUAUAUAUAUAUAUAUAUAUAUAUAUAUAUAUGAAGGUUUUCAAAUGAGAGUUGACCUCCAAUAUUAUCUUUUAUACAUUUGAAACUUUAUUUUUGACUUUUUUUAGUAAGAUGGUUUUUGUUCAUGUCCUGAAUUUUAGGUAACAGCCAUUUGAGAUAUAAAUAAACAUUUACAAACCAUGUAGUGGUCCAAACUAUUGACUCUAUUAAAGAGUCAACACAUAAUCGAAUUUGUGUAAUAUGUGAAGAAGACUCGAAUGAUUUGAUUUGAUUUGAUUUGUGGAUCGUAUCCCGUUGUCAUCGGAUUGUGCAGAGAAAACAAAUAUUGAAGUAACCUCUAAGUCUACAAGGAAAUAGGAGGACACCACAACAAAGGUUGACUUUUUUUAUAGAAUCACAAAGCCAAAACGAUAAUCUAGAAAGUAGAGAAACUAGACAGCAGAAAACGAUAAAAGACCGAGUCUGUCGACCAUUACCUUAGUUUUUCAUAUUGUUAUUAAGAAAUAUAAUGUAAUAUACAGAUAGUUAAUACUACUUUUGAUAGCCCUACAAAACUUGUUUGUAUUCAUUUAUUUUUCAAAAGUUCCCUAUAACUUUAUGAACCAAUUUGAAGAUUAAUAUUUUGUCACGUUGCUAUCGAUUUCAAAUUCGUUGUAGGUGCUAUAUAUGAUAAUCAUCGAAAACUGGUUUCAUACCUAAAAAGGUUAUGAACCAAAAGACUCAAAUUGUCUGGUUAAAAAUAAAAGUUAAGAAAAAGGCCGUUAGAUUGGACCAAUGAUAUAUGUAUGAAAAAUUUAAGAAUCAUUAUGCUUUUUGUCAGGUCCAAGGAAACCUUAAGUUUUUUUUUGUCGAAAAUAGAUAUGUGGAAGUGGAACACAACUCUUUUCAAUAUUCACGGUAAUAUACUAACAACUCUUUUCAGGAAAAGUAAUAUGUGGAAGAGUAAUAUUUUAUUUUCCUUUUAAUUCAAACACACAACAGAACUAAAAUCAAAACUUCCAAUGUCAGAAAAGAUUUAAGAAUGUAAUGGUAAAAGUAAGAAAAAAAGGAUAUGGGAAUCAAUAAAUGAUAAAAAUGGAAGUAGUAUAGUAUAGUGGGGCUAAAUUUCUCUAUCCAAAAUAAAUGAAACAGGCGCCGACAUUAACAAUGCCAUUCCAUUUAUAACUCUUAUCCAAAAAUUUAUUAGGUGAGAACCCAAUUUACUCUUUCUCUUAUCUUCUUAGACUUCUUCGAACAAAUCUCUGUUGCAGAUGCUUUCUUUUAAAACAUUGGGCCAAUACAGUAUUUUGAAAAGAUCAACAAAUUGGGUUUUGUUUAAGAAAGAAUAUUGAUUAGAGAACGAGUCGUUGAUGCUCUUUUUUUUUUUUGUGUGUCUAAAUUCUAAUUGACUUGCAAGAAUAAAAAAGAUAUCGAAAAAUUCCUCAAAAGAUUUUAAAAAGAAAAAACUUUUUUGACACGGAAAAAGAGAGACUUUUCUCAGAGGAAAAAACAAGAAAAGAGAGAAACCAUAAGUAAAAAAAAAAACAGUCCGUCCAACGAUUUGGUUUUAAGUUUUGUCUCUGUUCUCUCAAUUCCUCUUCUUCUUCUACUUCGCCCCCACGACAAGAAAUUCUCCUCUCUCUCAUUCUCUCUCUCUAUAUAAUCUUCAACUUCUGGGUUUUCUUCUUCUACAAUCUCUCGAGUUAAAAGUCUCUGCAAAGAGUUUUACUUUGAUUCUUUCUUCUGUGGAGGAUCUUAUGAUAUCUUUUAUCAUGGCUUCUUGAAUCAUGUAAUCUUUGCUUCUCGCCAUUUCUCAUCCCUACCCGGAUCCGUAACCAGCUCUCAGAACCGGGUUAUACCAUUUCUUCUCUUCAACAAACUUUAAAAGUCACACCGCGUUGACCUUCUUCCUCUGGUCUCCGCUCCAAUUUUUCUGUUAGAAACUUUGAACAACUUCACAAAGUUUCAAUCUUUUUUACUUUGGUUCCUCUCUCUCUCUCUCUCUGUUUAUUAGGGUUCUUGGUUCUGUUGAUGAUGAUUCUCUGAUUAAGUAGGUGUAGAGUUAGUUAAAACCAAAAAAGAAAAAAAAAAAAAGUAGAGUUAAGUCAUUGAAUUUGGUACCAACAAUGGCGAGCCAGAAGGGUCAGAAAAUCCGGUUGGUGAAAUGCCCCAAGUGCUUUAAGAUUCUACAGGAAGACGAAGAUGUUCCUGUUUAUCAGUGUGGUGGUUGUUCCGCCAUUCUUCAAGGUCUUUGUUUUUCUCCAAUUCUGCAACUUUCCAUUUCGAUUUUGCCUCUGAUUAAAAUGUGAACUCUGUUCCUAAAUCUGGCUUUGUUCUAGUCCUGGUUGGUCCAUCUGUUUGGAUUUCCUCUGUUUUUUCUGAGCUCAAACCAAGUUGUGUUUUGUGGCAUGAUCUCUAUCAGUUAUUGAAUUUGUUUGUUGCUUCUUUGAUUCAGCGAAAAAGCGAAACACUGCUCCAAACAGUACACCAAGUGCAGGAGAGACAGAGAGGGCUCAAGCUAAUGAGCCGCGAAGCGUACCUGAAACCAACAAUAUGUCCAGCAGCUCGGGGCAGGACACGGUUCUUCCGUCAUCCGCAGGUCGUUCCGCGGGCCAAGAGAAUGAGGAAGGUAGGAAUGCAUCAAUGGACUCUACGGAGAAGGAGCUUGAUGAGUUAGAGUUAUCGAAUGGAGAUGGGACAAAUGAAAUUCAAGAGCAGGAACGUUCAGUUGGUGAUUCUGAGAAGAAUGAAGGAGGAGACAAUUCCAGAUUGGAGUCUCAUAUGAUGAACAGCGUGGCAGAAGCUGCAGGAUCUGGGGCUAGCUCUGGAAGCUUGAGUGUUGAUCAUUUGGUGGCUGCAAGAGCGAGUAAUCCAUCUGGUAACGCUAAAAUUUCACCAGAUGCUUCCCUUGUUGAAGAGGAGCAAAGCCAAGUUGAUUUUCUAGCAAACAAGACUCCUGCUUAUGAUGUGGUGGCUGCAAGAGCGAGUAAUUCAUCUGGUAAUGCUGAGAUCUCACCUGAUGCUUCCCCUGUUGAAGAGAAGCAAAGCCAACUUGAUUAUCCUGCAAACAAGACUUCUUCUGCUUAUGAUGGGAGUGAGUCUUCGUCUGAUGAAAGGGAAGACCAACUUCUCGAUGAUAACGAACAAUGGAAUGCUCUUCAGAAAAUAAGAUCAGGCAAAUUUGAGAUGCAUAGAUAUCCUGGGUAUAAGGAGCAAGGCGCUAGUUCCUCCUCCCCUUUCUCUGAGGAUAGGCGCAAUGGGAUUACCACAUAUAACGAGCGGCAUCAGAACAGGUCUCUGCAACUAGAGGGACCAGGAGGGCGUCUUGGCAGACAAGGGAGGAGACAUGUGACAGAACAAAUUCGGACCUGACAUGCCUUUCUAUCCGAGAGAACCAUACACACGUGGAAGCCCGUCAUAUCCGUCACAUGAUGAGUUUGAUCGCUAUUCCCGUGCACACUCGCUUCAAAUGCCUUCAUACGCUGGAGGCAUGAACCACGAAUUUGUUGACUAUAUGUAUCACAACAACCCGAGGGCAAGAGGUCAGGGCCAAGGAAGUAGGAUCUCAGGAGAGAUGGGAAGAAACCAUGGCGGUUGGUAUUCAGGUCAGCUUCAUAAUUCUUACAGUUCAUAUUCUGCAAGUCCACAGAGACCAAUGGAACAACCUGAGUAUCAUCGGAGAUGGAGGCGCGAGAUAGUCUCAGACGUGGAGGAUCAUCAUCGUAAUAGACAUGCUGGCCACCACCAUGAGUUACAGACCCGUCGUCUAAAAGAGAGACAACGUGUGGCCAAGCGUCAUGUCCGUCCAACAGCUGGUGGGGCACCUUUUGUUAGCUGUUACAGUUGCUCAGAAAACCUGCAGCUUCCUGUAGACUUUCUCAUUUUCAAGAGGAAGCAUCAUCUUCUCAGAUGCGGCACUUGCACCUCUGUUCUCAGAUUCUCACUUCAAUCCAGAACUCAUUUAGUUCCUGCAGUAACACAUGACAUAAAUGCUAAUAGGAAUAGCAAUUCAACAUCAGAGUCUCCCAGAGACAAAGCUCCCUCCAAACCUGAAAAGCUGAGAUCCUCUGUUCAGGAUGAGGAGCUACCUGUGUCUAGAGGUUCUCCGCUUCACCGACUAAUGGGAUAUUCUACUGUAAGCCAAGUCUUUAAAGCUUCACAGCGUCCUCCUUCUGUAUAGAUCUCUGCUUCUGAUGAAGCAACGAGAACUAUGUACUUCUCAGAUGGAAAGUUUUGCCAUUGGUUUAUCAUUCUUUUUUUCACAUCUGUGUAUAGGUAAAAGAUUUGUUUCUGCACUUUUGUUUAAAGUAGAAACCAUGUCACUUGUGCAAAAUUAUACAAAAAAAAUAGAAGAAGAUAUGAAGAAGAUAUUGUUCAUCUGUUGUAUAUAGUCAUGAUAUGUUUGUAACAAGAUUAAAUUCAUCAUUGUUCCUGGCUUGAUCAAUCUACUAUAACUUUACCACUAGUAAAUAAAUAAAAAGUUUGAAUAGGUUUAGUGAAGUAUAUCUGUAUGAACUUAUUUGAAGCUGUGCUUAUAUCGAUUCGUCCUCUUGUUGGACGCGAUAGAAAUCCGCUGAUCCUGCAGCAUGUUCAGGUUUGGGGCUAACAGUCUCGUGUAUCGAUCGAAAUACAGAAGUUGCUUCAACAGAAGUGCAAACUCUCUCGGGAACUUAAGCCCAUAUGAUUCGCUAACACGCACCUACAAGAGGAAGAAAACUUAUUUUCAACUCUAUGCACUCUCAAACCGGUGUUUAUCUUAACUUGAAUCAAUGCAACUUCUGUAUCCUAACAUCUUUCAAGCCAAAAAAAAAUCCUUCAAGUUACGCCUAAUUAGUGCUUACCAGGUCGAGGAAAAGAGCAUUCAUCUGUCUCUCAUCCAUAACUACGUUAGCAGCAACAGUAGUUGUGUCUGAAUUUGUUCCACGAGCUGUAGCCACUACUAUCUCUGUAUCUAGUUCCUGCAAGAAGAGAUUCACUUUUCUCCAUAAGAUUAGCGAAAAUUGUUGUAAUUAUUUUGCACUACAGUUCUGAAAGCAAAUCAAGCUGGUUACAGAGGGUCAUCUUAGUCAGUGAAGAGUAAAAUUUCUUGCCUGGAUAGAUGAGAACAUCUUUUCCAAGUCUUUUGCAAAAGCUUUGGCAUCAACAUCUCUGUUUGUGGCGCCCAUUUGAAUCAAAGCUGAGGCCAUGGAGUCAUAUUCUUCAGUUGAAAUAGACGCUAAAAAUACUUCCAUAGCAUCCCAUGUUUUGGGGGAUAUCCGACCAACAAUGCCUGAAAAAAAUGUGGAUACUUGCUUGAAUACACCAAAAAUUACCAACAAAAAAAGGAAGACUAUUGAUGGGAUAAAAUUGCAUUUUCAUGCAUUAAUAGAUGAAUCAGAGGUGGUAGGGUCGCUCCGAGUAACUGAAUAGUCACAUGCAAUGCAAGAAAUGUUGCACUGAUUAGGCUUGAGAGAGUAUGAUUUACCAAAAUCAAGAAACCCAAUCCGCCCAUCACGCAACAGCCAUAAGUUUCCUGCAUGUACAUCAGCAUGGAAGCUUUCACAAGCAAGUAAACUUCCAAACCUGCAGGUUACAUCAUAUGAAGAUCAAUGUUACUAACGGGCUACAUUUGGGAGGAGGAACAAUCUUAAUUUUAAUAUUGAAUUUCAAAGAUCUUACCACACAUUAAGCGCGGUAAUAAGGCUGUUCUCAGGACUGGAAACAAGUGAUCUUAUAGAGUCUAGAUCAGUCAGAGGAACUCCAUAUAGCCUCUCCAUUGUAAGUACCCGCCGGCUGCUGCAGAACUUGUACACCCUUGGAGCAGUAGCUUGCCCAGUCAACCCCAUGGUUUCAAGAUAUCUCUUAAAGGCCUCAAUGUUUUGAGCCUCCUUAUUGAAAUCUACUUCCUCAAGCAUUGACUCACGAAUGUCUUUGACAAUACCAACCUAUCAAUAGGGUAUAUGGUUUAGAGAGUAUCUUAGGAGCGACUGCAAAUUAAGUACAGAGGACUUUACCAGUGAAGUACGGCUAAACUCAGGACUAAGGAACUCAAAUAUACGAGCAACAACGUAGAUAAAGUUCAAAUCUGCCACUAAGAAAUCUUCUAUCCCAGGCUUCAAGACUUUAAUCACUACAUCCUCUUGGGAGCCUCUAAGCCUUGCACCAUGGACCUGGUCAUGAUGAUUCCCUUAAGCAGAAGAAGAGUACAUGAAAAAAAAGAAUUUCGAUCAAUGAAGUAGAAGCAGAAGAACACACCUGUGCUAUUGAGGCUGAUGCAAUUGGUGUAGGGUCAACAUAUUCGUAUACACUUUCUAUGGGUCUCCCAAGAUCCUCUUGCAAGAUUUUACGAAUUUCUUCAAAUGGCACAGGAGGAGCUUUGUCAAAGCAGUUCUGAAAUUCUUUGACAUAUUCUGGUGGGAACAAAGUUGGCGCAGAUGCUAUAAACUACAAAUUCAAAAGAUACAUUAUAGAAUGGGAAAUAUAUUGAGAAACAACAAAAUAGGCUUACUUUAGACAUACACUUCACAUGUUUCUAGAUAUUUACAUGACAUCAUCAGAGGAUACAAUAUGCUUUACAUUUAGCAACAUGAUUUACCUGGCCCAGCUUAAUGUAAGUAGCUCCCAUGCGUUCAAAGAGUCUCCUCAAGUAUAGAGGAGACAGUAGGCCAAGCUGCAAUUCACUUGGUAAUCCACCAGACGCGCUUGUAGACUGCAGCGAGUGAGAAAGUAGUUAGCAAUCAAAGAUAGUUCGAAGCCAUAAGAAAGAAAAAAACAUAGUUUCAGCUGACAGGAAGUGUCAAGUGUUAUGAACAAAAUUUAAGAACUUUUUACUUGAAACAUAUAUGAAACCUAUAAAUAAGAUUAACAGGCACCUUAGAUAAAUCAUUUAGCCACUCUCCUCCAACCCCUACAAAGGCUUGAACGCCUUGGACAAGGCGUGUCACACCGCGUGGACCUGUGUUUAUCGAUGUCUGAAUUAUAUCCUCAACCAGUUUGGGCAACUUCUCUAUCUGGCCUGCAUCAAAAGCCAUGUAAACAAAUACAUGGAUCAAUUAACCGUCUUCACAAAAGCAACGUAUUUCUGAUAAGUAGAUUUACAAAACAAAUCCAAUUAGCAAAAAAAAACACCCUAACGAGAUAUAAUUCAGCAUCAUAAAUGUAAACAGUGAGAUUCAGUUUACAAAAAGCAGGAAAUUUCCGUACUUUGAAGACGAGAAGUGAAAAGGUCCUGCGUUUGCGAAUACUGAGCCGAAAUAACAAAACCCUUCAAAUUCCUGCUUCCGAUCAUCUUCUUAGACGUUCGUGAUACAGUUCUCGCGACGGGAAACUGCAAAAUGAAGCUAUCGAGAUUGAGCAGAGAAGUAAAAGGAGCUAAGCCUUAAAGAGCAGAUAAAGGAAACGACUUCAGGGAAGGAAAGUGAGAAUAGAAAACAAGUAGACCUGAGAAUGGUAAAAUAACGGUAACCGCGUGCCACGGAAAGCUGAGACCGCCAUCGCUCGCCGGAGAUUGGAGCAAAAGACAAGAAACUCCGGUCAAGCUAGCUUUUUACUCUCAAACGCAGAGAAAAGCGACACCGUUUUGAUCAUUUUAAAAACUGAAAUAUCCUGAAGCGGAGUGAAGGGGAAUAUGCCACGUGGAGACGUGUGAGAGGUGGUUUCCUUCUCACAACAUAUUCGUGCAAAACUUCUCGGUUCGAUUCGAUUUCCGGUUCACCACUUUUGAAUCCGAUUAAACCGAACCGUUUUUGGGGCGCUGGAGGAGAGAAGUUGAGGUAACGCAUUGACAUAAAUACCCUCAUCAAAAUUGAGAAAUAACAAAACCAUUCAAACCCUAACCACUUUCACGGAACCUCCUCUUCUUCUUCGUCUCUCUGUCUUCUUCUCUCAACGCCGUUGAUUCGCCAUCGUCGCUACAGGUGAGAUUUUCCUUCGAUUGUCUUUGUUUUUUCUUCCUUUCUUCCAUCAAUUCGUUCUCUUUCCAUCUGGGUUUGUUCUUUUAGCUCAAGAAAAUUGAUUCCAGAGUCAGAAUCGUUUAUAGUUUUGAGUUAUGAUGAUUCCUCAAUUGAUAAGAAAAACUUAAAAUUGUAUUAGUUUCUACGAUUCAUGGUUGUUCGAUUUAGGUUUCUUCUACAUUCUAUAGGGUAACAUUUGUUUCUUAUGCUUGUUUUUGCAUGCUUCUUAUUCUCUUUACUUAUCCUGAGCUUGUUAUAUUAGGUAAACUUGCUCUAUUAUACUAGGGUUUCUGUUUCUCUUCUGGAUAAUGAAUGAGCAUAUUUGCUCAAGAACACAAAUUGAAAUUUUGUCUACAAAGUCAUCUUCUUUAGUUCUGUAUCUAGUAAACGAGUAAAGUUUGUGUCUUUUGAUGUGAUUCAGUAUUUGUACUAGCUUAGCUAUAGCUAUGCAUAAUGUAUAUCGAAAAUACAUAUCUAGUCUUUCACAGUUAUUAAUAUUUCCUGUUUUAUUGCUGCAGCUUGUCUUGAGGUUUCCGACUUUUUGGCUAAUCUCCUCUGUGGAGAGCAAUGACUAAAACUCGUGGGACUGAUGUAAGUUUUGAUUUCCCCAGUAAUUCUUGAGCAUUCGAGUAACUUUUUAUUAUCUCAUAUUUUGUUAAUCCGCCAUGGUAAGUUGAUUCUACAGUUUUUAUGUGUUAAUUAGCAUCUGAAACUUGACUAUGAGUCCUUAGUUUGUUAUAUGUCAAUUCUCCGAAAGGGCUUUUUUUCUGAUUGUGAUUGGUUUUGGUUAUUGUUGUAGAUGGCAAAGAAGAAGGGUAAUCGUGAUUCUGGAUUGGAUUUCAAGACUCAUCAGCAUACUGAAUUUUUCGAUAAGUUGAUAGAGCUCAUCCCUGCAAGAUUCUACUUACCUGAUGAGACAGAAAGAAAAUGGUUUCCAGGUCUUAGCAAGGCUCGAAAAGCUAAAGCCAAGAAAAUAACAAAUGAAAACCUAAAGAAGGCGAAGAGAGAUAAGUUGGACCCAGAGAAGUCUGCUUUGACGACUCUCGAUUUACUGAAGGAGAAGAUAGAGAAGGAAAGAUUGGCUUCACUGAAGCAGAAGCAAAAGAAGAAACACGCGGAUUUACGGAAGCAGAAGUUUGACCGGCAAAACUCUGGUACUGAGCUUCCUGAUGAUGACAGUGAGGAGGAAACAGACAACAACAGACAAAAGGAUCAUCAAUCUGUUACGUACGAAGAGCUGAGGCAACGUCUCCACCGCAAAAUUGAUGAGCUCAAAGGUGGUCGUGGAGGUUCAGAUAGACCAAGAAGCAAUGAGAGAAGGAAGAAGAUUCUGCCAAAUAAGAGAAAGAGGGAUACAGUUUCUGAGGAGAAGACUGUGGAGGAAAAUAAGUCAGCAGAUAAAGGUAAGGGUAAGUUGGAUGUGGAGGAGGCUGCUAAGGACCUUACAUUUGGUUACGUCAAGAUUGAUGACGAUGAAGAACACGGAAAAGAGAAAAAGAAACGGAGGCUUUCAAAGGCAAAAGAACUUGAAAGGGCUAUAAAGUUAGAGGAUGCAAAGAAGGAUCCAGAAAAAGGAGAUGUAAUUGCAAAGAAGCACUCAUGGAAGGCAGCUACAAGCAGGGCAGCUGGUAUCAAGGUUCAUGAUGACCCAAAGCUAUUGAAGCAAAGCAUCCACAAAGACAAGAAGAGGCACGAGAAGAACGCAGAGAAGUGGAAAGAGAGAGUUGAAGGGCAACAAAAGUUCAAGGUGGAGAAGCAGCAAAAGAGAUCAGGGAAUAUUGCCGAUAGGAUUGAACAAAAUAAGAUGCGGAAAAUCGCCAAGAGAGAGAAAAAGCUCCUGCGUCCUGGCUUUGAAGGCCGCAAAGAAGGGUUUAUCAAUGAAGGUGGAAACUAAAAUUCAAAUCUUCCAUACGCCUUUUGUGUUCCAACAUUUCAACGAUGUGAUCCUCACAAAGGCUGUGAAGAGGGUUUGCACAUCUGAAAUAGAAAAACAUCUUCUACCAUUUUGGGAAUUUUCAUCUAGUCAAGUCCCUAGCUAUAUCUUUUAUCUUUUAGUUCGUUUUCUUUUGCAGUUUGUAGACUUAUCAGAUGUUCCAUUUGCUACUCAAUGUGUUGUUGCUUACAGUGAAUGCUCUUAUCAGGCAGGUUUUGAAACUAUAUAGAAUUUGCAGGUUUUAGACAAACUUGUCACAGAAAUUUGCAUAUUUUGAAUGCGAGAAUACAAAGCCUAGGUACCACAUUCAAGCUAAAAUCUGUAUGCAAGUUUUGAUCUGAAAUCAUUUAUGAGAAAUCAAACUAAACCGAGUCGAUGUGAUAAUAAAACUUUAGUUGGAUCCGGUUAGGUCUGGUUCAUAUUACAAAACUCAAAAAUGAUCUUUAGGUGCAAGUUCUAGAAGUAAACAAACGUGUCUGAUUUUGAACAGUAAGCUUCUUUUUUUGUCGGCGAACAGUAAGCUUACUAUACUAAACAAAAGCUUGGAUAAAAGCCUCUGAAGAGAGUCAAAGUAGGUCGGCAAAAGAAUCUCGAGACACGUGCCACAAGAACAAGCUUGGAGAAUCUCGAAAACUCUCUUACUCAUCGCCACUCCCACACGUGUGAUGAAUGCCGUGUGUUAAUGGGUCACAUUACCCAAACCUUAUAUAGACCACAAAGAGACCCAACAGAACUCCAUCAGACAAAACAAUGGAAGCUAUCUCUCAAACCUGCACAAAGAUCAUCACCAACUCAUCUUCGAGAACAUAUAAAACCUCAUCUUCGGUCACGGCAAUCCCACAGACCAAGCUGAGCCUUAAAGCCAAGAAGGAGAGGUGGGUUGCUGCUGCUAGAUGCGUGGCUUCGGGGUCGGGUUAUGCGGCGGCAAUGGAGCCAAUUACACCGGAGGAAGAGGAGGAAUUGACUCAGAGAAGAGGUAUAUGUGGCGGAGAAGCAAACAGAGGAGUAUGGGAGCUCUUGGAGUGCCUUGAGAAGGAAGCUAUUAUGGGUGAUGAUGAUGGGAGAGACCCUACAGAUUACAAUAGAAGAGCGAAGAUUUUCGACAAGAGUUCUAAGAUCUUCAAGAACUCUAAAGAACAGAGAGAUCAGUCUCCUGUGGAGUACCUUGAGAAGGAAGCUAUCAUGGGGGCUGAUGAUGGGAGAGACCCUAAAGAUUAUAACAGAAGAGCAAAGAUUUUUGACAAGAGUUCUAAGAUAUUCAAGAACAUCAAAGAACAGAGAGACCAGUCUUCUCCAGAAUAAAUAUAAAAAUUGUUGUCUGUUUGUUAUGAUCUGAUCUCAUUAGUGCUUGAUUCCUUGUAUGGUUGUACCUGUACUUUUUUUUACAAGGAUCCUCUCAUUGUAACACCAUCUUAAUAAUAUUCAGUCAACAGGAGAGACUAAUUAUUGAACGCACAAUGAUGCAGAAUCUUUGGAUCCUUUUUCCAUUCAACUUGAGAGUCCAUAUAAAAAUAGCUUUCCAACACCCACUUUAACCAUAGUCUGUGUUCCAAGAAUCCUGAAAGUUCUCAUAAUCCAAAUGUUAUCUAUGAUGAUUGGAUCAAGAAUAUGAUUAACACUAAAACAUCUUGAAAACACCAUUAAUCCUCUUGAUGGGAACAAUGAAAUCAUGAGUACUAGAGAAAAAUCAGAAAACCUGUCCCGAUGGAUUUACUUAUGUUUUAUAUUGAUAUCCAUCAAACAUAUUUAGUCCAACAAAUCUAGACACUGUUUAUGAAGAACAGAACAAGUUCCAAUGGCAGUUGCACAAAAGAUAUGAUAGAAUAAAAGAUUAUCUUUAUACAGUUGAAACAGGAAUAUUGUUGGCUUAAUGACAAGUUCCCAUCUAAAUCCAUAGUUUAUACAUGGUGAUUGAUAUCUAGUAGCUUCAAUAUAGCAGUUGUACAGUGUUCUAAUAAGGCAAAACAAUAAAUGAUUUUCAGACAAAUUAUUUUCGGACACACGAAACAACAACAGUAAAGAGAUAAAUUCCGUUGACUUCUCUUCCGCACACUUACUUUUGGAUCCAUGGGCCCGAUAUAGAAUCUGAGCCUGAUGUCUGUUGUGGUUGAAACGUCACCGUUUUGUUUUAGUUUAUCUUCUCUCUAAACGACGUCAUGUUGCUUCCCUCUUCUUCUUCUUUCUCCUCUUUUAGUCUUUUCAUUUGAUCGCUGAAAACUGAAACUAUUUCCCCAUAUCACUCAUCUCUCUUCUUCAAAAUUCCUUCUUUGUUUCACAAAACUAAACCAAACCCUGAUUUUAGCUUCUUAAUUGCUUAAUUAUCUUCAAUUUUUGUUUAAUUUUUAGGUUUUAAAUCAUUUUCGAUCGUUUGAUUCCAUCAUUCCAUGGCCGGAAAAGGGCUAUCAUCGGCGCCUUUCAACGCGCCGCCGAUGAUUGUCCAAGACGCUGACCCGUUACGUUUUCGGGUCGGCGAACAAGACCCUAAAACCCGUGAAUUCGCUGCUUUUAUCGGCGACCACCACCGGUAUUUCGCGGCGGCAGCAGCAGCAGCCGCCGCUGCAGCUAAUCCACACCCUCAUCUAGAGUUCCGUCAGAAUUUCUACUCGGAGAAACCCAUUAUCGGAAACCCUAACGACAGUGGUGGGUCCGACGGCGAGGAUGACGUUGACGUGGAAGAAGAAGACGAGGAUGAUGACAUAGACGGAAAUGAAGGCGACAUGGGCAUGAACAAAGAUGCUGGCGAAGAUUCUGUAUCUGCAGGAGCUGGUAAGAGAAUCACACAAAGUUUUUUGUUUUUUUGGAAUUCUAAGUUUGAAAAGUUUCUACUUUUGGGAGUAUUGAGGCGGUGGACUAAAAUGGUAAUGCAGUGAUAGUGGUUGGACAAGACAACGCAGCUUACUACUCACAGCAUUUUAAGACGAUGGAAACGACUUUUGCUUCUAGGAAUGAGGAAUCAUCUAUCGCUGUGGAUAAUGGGUGUGAUUUCAGCGGCAGAAGAGACCCUUCUUCUUCUUCGAGCAAUUCAAUCGAGUCCUUGAGGACCAUUUUGUCUGAUCCUACAACGUAUGUUCUUUUUUGUUUUGGCUUGGUUUUUACGGGUUUUUUUUGUGGUCUUAAAGUCGUUAUUGAGCUUAUAGGACUCUGUUCUAAACUCUUGAAAUUCGUUUAGUUCUUAAAUUCUCCAAUAAUGGAAGCAAAUAUGUAGAACUUUCUGAAUCUUGGUGUAGUGAUAUAUGGUUCCGGAAUUACAAAGAGCUUUUAGUGUUAUUAACUUAUUACCUCGCCAAGAAGUUAGUGUGGACGUUGAUACUUUUUAAGUUGGAAACCAUUGGAUUGGUAUUUGAUCAUGCUUGCGUUUAAUCUAUAGCCUAUUUUUUUUGUUAAAUGUGAUUCUCUUUGCACAAUUGCAGAGGGUCUUUGAUGGCUGAUGCUAUGAUUUUACCUUGUGGACACACUUUUGGAGCUGGAGGAAUUGAACAAGUGAAACAGAUGGUACAGAGUUUUGUUUCUGCUAUUUGCUUUUGUCUCUUUUCUUUUGCUUAUGAAAUCUAUUUUCCGUCGCCUUCUCUUAGAAGGCUUGCUGCACAUGUUCACAACCAGUCUCAGAAGACUCAAUAACCCCAAAUCUCAGUGAGUUACUAGAGUUCAUGAUUUCUGUAUUUGGUAUAGUCUCAGAGAACUCCUUGUCAUUAUUUUCGCCCGAUUUUUCGCAGCUUUACGAGUUGCGGUACAAGCAUUCUGCCGAGAAGAGAAUUCACAGUCAAACCAUUCAUCGAAGAGAAAACGAGAAGGAUUUGAUCAAGUAAUUCAAUACUACUAUUCAUAUGACCUCUCACAUUUAUUUAUGUAUCAAACAAGAGGUUCCUUUUCCAUAUACACAGGAGAGACGUGCAUUUGGUGUCACUAAUCAUUCAGGUCGAUCAAGGAACAAAAGUAAUCAUUUCCCAUUUGCUGUGGCAGAUCGAGUUAUAAUAAAGGUCGGUCCUUUCUUUUUUUUCCCUGCGAUUUUUUUCUCUAUCGUAGGUAUUUUCUUAUGAUGGAAGAUUGCGGGAGUUGCUAACCGAUGGAGUGAAACAUGAAUCAGGGAAAUAAGAGGACACCACCUCGUUUUGUUGGCCGGGAAGCUGUUGUGACUACUCAAUGCUUAAACGGCUGGUAAACUCUCAUUUCUUUCUUUCUCACUGCAAACUUUCUUGUACACUGAUAAAGGCAUCACCUGUACAACCCUUGAGCAAAAAUCUAUACCAACUUUUGUAUAAAUGUUUCUGUUACUUAAGAGCUCAUUUGCUACAUUUGCAGGUAUGUGGUGAAAACACUGGACAACGCAGAGAGUGUGAAGCUUCAGUAUCGUUCAUUGGCUAAAGCUCCAGAAGAUCCAUCUGCCAAAGCAACACCAAACAAGAUGGUCUCUAACUGGCUCUAAACAAAGCAACCUUGUUUUCAGCAUGAUGACACCAGUUUCUGCUCCUAGGUUCUCUAUGUAAGAUCCAAAACCUUAUUUACAGAUCCAGAUCACUGUUACAUAUUGUAAAUUGUAGUAGUUACUCCAUGUGUGAGGUUUGACUUUUUGGGGAAAUUAGGCUUAGGGCAAGAUCCAAACUUUGAAUAGCCAGAACAUAUUCGGAUCAUAAUACAAUACAUAGUUAUCUCAAGAUUACUUCUUUAUUCAAGAAGAGAUGUUAAUAACUUUCAGAAUCUUAACUAAUUUAGCAUACUAAGGUUCUUACUGUAAAACAAAUGGCUGAAAAAUGAAUCUAUAAAAGGAAAUAGGAAAAAAAAAAAAAAAAAAAAAAGAAGGCUGAUGAGCAUAUUGCUCCUAGUGUUACAGAUGGAUAUUACAAAGAAUAACUCUGCUAUGAAAGUUUACACUAAAGUAACUGGGAAAAAGUUUUCAACUAAAAGGCUUAAAUCAGAUACUGGUCAGAGGUUUAAAGGAUUUCAGCUACAGGUUAUGUUCUCCUCCAGAAAACUGCAGGUCGAGAAUAUAGAGGCUGCAGCUGCUUUAAUGACUAAAUCCUUAUCUGACAUCAGCGCGUUUACAGCUCUGCAACACAAUUUGAACAGCAGGAAACUAAAAAUUUGGAUUGGGGAAACAUAUUAAACUGGUAAUGAGAUGAAUAGGUAGUGAAAUGGCCAUACCUAGAGUCCAGUGGCAUCCCUAAGUGUAAGAAAUUCUGACCAGAACUCAAGCUCAAGUGUUGCAGACCUUGAUCACAAUGUGAUUGCAGAUAUCUCACUUGGUUUAACCAGCUUUCCUGAAUAUUUUCAAAGUUCACAAACUCCAUAUCAGAUGCCAAUGAAAAAAGGUAAGAUGUGUGGUUAGGAAAUCUUAAUUCUAUUACCAAUUGUGACUCUUCUUCUGAGAGCUUGUGUUCGAGUUGCUUAAACAAAGUCAUCCAUCUGGUCUUGUGGACAUCGACUGUUGAAGCCCUUGAAGCCCCAUCGAAGAGUAAAGUUGGGUCAUUUUCUUGAUCGGGUGGAAACUCUUUCGUUAUUAAGAAAGGUAGCUCUGUCGUGACAACUGCACGAACCCUCUUCUUGCUACGUCGAAGAGCUGAAAAGAACCAAAAAGAGAUUUAAAGAACAGCCAAGUACUAAAGUUUUCAUAGCAUGAAUGACCAUAUAAGAGUUUUGGUUACCGGAAACACGGCCUUUGAGGUCCUGAUGAAGCAAUUCCAACCAUUGAGAAGCUACAGUAGCCGCUGCAAAUUAGAGAUGAAGAUCCAUCUAAGCCACAUAUGAUAGUAUAAAACCAUGCACAUUGUGUAUUGAAUUCUAGAACAUACCAUUAACAGUGAGAACACUAGCACUGUUAAGAUCUGAUGCGUCCUCGCUCGACAAGGAACUGGCAUUUUCUGAGAACUUACCUGCCACGUGAAACCUCGACCUAACUGUAUUGUUUUCUUCACUUAACUCAUCAUCUGCGCAUUUCUCAUCGUAGUAGCGCAUAGAGUACUUACCUUUUGGCAUGGCAUACUUGAAUCCUUGGUUAAAAUCAGAUCCGAAGGCAUCAGUGUUCACAUCUCCCAAGUUUUUCCUAGGACUCCCAACUGCACUAUUACUAUGCCUCAAUGUAGAAUGAUAGAAGUUUCCAGCAUCUCUUUCAGACUUGACAAUGUUUUCGAUAAUGGAAAGUACUUGCUUUUUGUUUCUCACAUGGUUAAUAAUUCCAGGGUUCAAUUCAUUAAGCAGUCCACUAGGAGCAGCUAGCCUAGCAAACCUGUCAACUUCUUCCUUCCUUGCAAUCUCUAUCUUUCUCUUCUUAGCCAUUGCAGCGUCAAUAUUAUUCUUUUUGCGUCCACGUUUCCUUGGAGCCGGUAUCCCUCCAUGAGAAGAGGAUACGAGACAGCUACUUGAUGUCGUUGAAAUCCCACCGUGCGGAUUAGAGAGAUACCCGUUCUGUUUCAUUUCUGUCCAAACCUUCAUUGGAUCUUUUUUCGCAACAGGACCAUUGGAACUCCCACACUCUGAAUAAACAUCCAUUGAACUAGUUUUCUGGCUUCUCCUGGACGAGCAAACCGAUGUUAAAUCAUCAUUCAAGCAGCUGGAAACAGCAUCCGCAUUAUCACAUCUCUUAAGCAAAGCUCUCUUAUCACAAUCAACAUCUGCGUUGAGAACAAGCUUACUGGAAGAAGACUUGACCUUUUGACCUAACAGUUGAGUCUUAUUAGUCAUCCCUUCUUUAACAAAACUCUCUGAAACUUUACCAACUUGAGACAUUUCAUUGGCUUUUUCAAUGUCCUUAGAAGCAGUGCCACCUGUAGCAACGGAUGUUCAAAUUACAUUUGAAUCAAAGUUUAGGCUAUCUAUUCUAUGCCUUUCUUAAACUUCAAUCUCAUUGAAACCAUAAUAUGAAGAAUCAUAAAACGAUGAACAAUUGAAUGAAAUUGGCUCGGCUAGUAACAGUAAAUUACCUGAAUUUAGAGUUGGUGUAACAGGUUGAAUUUUACUCAACUUCAGUCUUUCAUCCAAUUCAGCGCCUCCGAUCUAAAAUCCCAGAAAUCGAAAAAGUAAAGCAAUGUAUAAUUAGAUCGAGAAAUUGAAAGGCAAAGUAAAUCAGCAAACGAACAAAAUCAAUUCAACAAAAAUCCAAUGAAGGAGAAGAAGUAAAGAGGUUACCUUUAAGUCGGAUCUGGGAAUCGGAGAAAACCCUCCAGAAACAUUGUCGUGUUCUUCCAUAGCGACUCAAUUAAAACCACGAAAGCAAACCCAGAAAUUUACCUUCGAAUAUUUGACCAAAACAAAAGCCAAAAAGUUUCGAGAAAUGAGAAAACCCAGAAAAUGGUGAUAACAGAUUCUCUGAUUCCUCGAGGGAAAAAUACUCGAAAUGGAGAUCGAGGGUUCGAGUGAUGAAGUCUAGGGUUUUAAGAUCUGAUGGUCAAUUAGUAAAGAUCGGAAAUGUUGGAUUUGAGACCCUAGAAAUUGGAGAAGAGGGAAGAAGAAGAAGCAGAGGAAUGAGGUGUGAAGAGCGCGCGAUGUGGGCGUAGUUUAAUCAUUUCUGACAAACAACAAAUGUUUUAAUUCUUUUGGGUUUUUUUUUUUUUUCUGGGGGAUCUUUGAGGUUUUUCAAAUUCAAACGAGGCUUAAACGCGAUUUGGAGGGAAUAGUGAAUUUGGGCCUUUAUAAUCGAAUCUUUUGAAUUUUUGUUAGCUCAUUACUAAUUUCGUAAAGGCCUUUUUCACUUUUAUUGCUAUUUUUUAAUAAACCAACUACUUAAACCGUAAAUUACAAGAAGGCUCCGCUUGCCAUUUGAAUUUUCAAUUUAAGUAACAGAUUAAAAGCUAAUCAUAUUUAUAAGUAUUAAUUGCAUAAAAUAUUGUAAUUGUGAAAUCUUGUGUUAUUCAAUUCUGUAUUUUGGAAAAUAAUACGUUUACAUUAUUGUAAUCUACAAACAUUAAAAACAAUUGUUAUUCAACCUCCAUUUAAUUUUGUUACUUUUAAAAACAUAUUUGAUUUUCUUUUACUAAAUUAAGUUUUUAAUAAUAUCAACAUAUUUGAUAUAGUAGAUUCAUACGAUGUCUUAGUAGGCUCUAUGACUCCUUCUGGGCAGAGAAUUCUACGCGAAAGACCUGUUCAGCCGUCGAUCAAAGCUCAGGAGGUACAAGCGUCCUCUAAUGCUCGGGGAAGACAUAACCGUGGACGGGGUCCCCGCGGACGCGGGAAUCGAGGAAGCGGUCGUGGACGUGGCUAGUAUCUCUCCUUUGCUUAUUUAUCAAGCUAAUCGAAGCGGAAGAUUCGAUUACCAUCUUUACUCAACUUUAUUGUACUUGUAAUGUGAACUUUCUGCGCUGCCUUUAUGGUAUGCUUUUAAAAAAAAUUAAUAAAAAAAAAAAAAAAAAAAAAAAAAAACAAAACAAAAAAAACCAUAUUGGAUAUUUGACCCAAAUUUGGUCAAAUAUUUAUUUACAAGAUUAUGCAAAGGGCUCCAUUAUCAAUUUCCCACAAGCCAACAAUUCCUAAGCUGAGAUUCACUAGUCUCUCUAAAACUUGACACCUUAGCUAAACAGAAAUGCGUACACCGCAUACCCAAACCCGACCCGGAUCCUGACCCUGACAUUGACCCGACACGGGUCGUCUUAAGCAGAUAACAAACCGGCCCACACUCAACUCCUUUCCCUUGUACCACCAACCCCCACGCACGUGUGCCGUCGCCACCGUCAAAACCACAGCCACAACUCUCCUCCGCCGCUCCUAACUGCUCCACGAACACAAUUCCUUCCGGCAUCUCCGCCUCUCCUCUCUCCCAUCUCCCUUUCACCGCCGCCCAUUCCUCCGCUUUCAUCACAACCACCGUUCCCUCCUCCUUAUCUCCGGUGUACAAAUGGACUAACAACGGCGCUUCACUUAAAUUCUUAACGAUCUCCGUCACCGAUUCCUUCAUCCACCUGUCUAGCUUCUCACGCUCCGCCUCCACCGCUCUACUAUCUCCUCCACCUCCUCUGCUUCUCCCUCCGCUUCUUCUUCCACCUCUCUGUUUCUCUAUCUCCGUUACGGUCUCCGCUAUCGACGCCGUGAUCGUUCCAACGCUAGAUCGCCGAGUACCGCCUAGAUUGAUCGGGAACGACGAUGAAAGCAAUCUCGCAUUAUGAUCGGAUCCACAUGGAUGCUCCAAUGAGCCGCGUUGCACUAGAUAACUUCCACCGUAACCGAUUUUUGCAUACGCCAUCUUUCCCCGGUGAUGAGAUUUCCACGUCAAUAAAAAAAAUCUUAAAUCACAAAAUCCGGAGAUUAAAUCCUCCCUAGAUUCGCUUUAAUGUUUCUAUGAACAAGACGUUAUGAAACAACGGCGAGGAUUCAGGCGGAGAAAUAUAUCUAGCGGUCGGAUGAGUAUAGGAUUGUAGGAAGAACUUUAACGUAAGAAGAUGACUUGAUAUAACGCUAGGUUAUUAAAAUAUGCUGACGUCAGUUUAAACUGAAACCUGUUUGACGAGUUGUAAUCGGGUGUAACUCAAUCCAUGCUAAGUCCCGGUGCGUAUAUGCCUUUUACGUUUAAGUGGUUGUUAGUGAUUGUAGCGGAGUAUACUAGAGAAGGGAACAUGGUUGCACAGUAGGAAUCAUGUAGAGGAUUAUUGCCCUUUGAGAAAGUGGGAUGAGGUCAAUGAUUAAAGACCUUUAACGAAAUAACGGCGUUUUUUAUAAUCUAGAACAGACGUAUUGCCGUCGAGUGUUGCUUGAUCUAAGCCGUAGGAUUAUAAGACAAUGCUUCAGAGGACCGGAUCGGACGGUCAUCAUGAGAUGUAGAACUCGAUAGGCACGUGGGAAUGUGGUUUCGGUGUGUGGGGAGAUCGGAGUAACACGCGACACUCGUCUUCUUAAUUAAGUGGAUUCCGUGCUCACCACGUGUUUGCCACGUCAGCUUAGAGUCCACGUUGGAGUCAACUAUAGCUUAAAUAUAUUUAUAAGCUUUUCAUAUUAAUAUGGGUUGCCGCAUUAUUACGACCCGUACUAUUUCUAUUCUCACGAUUUCGACUUAUACUUUUCGACCUUUUAUAAAUAGAUAUAAACUAUAUUUAUUUUUUACAAAACGACCUGAACUUUUUUUUCGGUCCAAAUGUCUACACCUCCAAUCGAAAUAGAUAAUCCCGAUUUUAAACCUGAUUAAACCGUUAAAUCGCGAUUACUGUCUCGUGUUUGACCAAAUCCGACUGUUUUUUCUUUGACUCGAUAAGCCCAGCUUAAAAACGACGUCGUUUGCUAAAUAUGAAAAUCACUCAAAAUAUGUUUUCCCCAAAUUUCCUAUUCACUCGUCUAUCGAUUUUUCCCCAAAUAUGAAGAACCCUAGAAGCGAAUUUAAUUCUAUCACCAAAACAAACUAUUUGGUUUUUAAGCUGGAUUUAUCGGGUCAAAGAAAAAAUAGUCGGAACUAGUCAAACGCGAAACAGUAAUUAAUUGCUAUUUAACGUUUUAAUCGGAUUUAGAAUCGGGAUUAUCUAUUUCGAUUGGAGGUGUAGACAUUUGGACCGAAAAAAAAUUCAUGUCGUUUUGUAAAGAAUAAAUAUAGUUUAUGUCUAUUUAUGAAGGAUAGAAAAGUAUAGGUCGAAAUCGUGAGAAUGAAAAUAGUACAUGUCGUAAUAAUGCGGAAAUCCUAUUAAUAUUAUGGUCAAAGUUGUGAAUUUUGUUUUCCAAAUUUCUUUUACUAGUUUUUUCUAAGAAAAAUCCACCAAAAAUAGAUAAAACCUACAAUGUUUAAAUACAAAUUCAUUGAAUGAUAAACAAACAAUCCUUUCUUUUUUUUUUGGAUCAAAACAAACAAUCCUGUAAAGGUAAUAAAUCCACAAUUUAUUAAAUCUGUUGGAUCUAGAUAGUUAGUCUAUUAGGAUCGCCCCUUCAAAUUUUUAGAUGCAUAAAGCCAAAAAGUUAUAUUAUUUUCAUUGAAUGAUAAACAAACAAUCCCAUAAAGGUAAUAAAUCCACAUUUUGUUGAAUUUGUUGGAUUUAGAUAUUUAGUCUAUCUGGAUCAUCCCUUAUACUUUAGAUGCAAACUCCAGAACUACAUCUACAAUAUUCGUAAUAGCUUUUUCUAGAAAAACAGUAAUCUUUACUCUCUCAAUUAGGUUGGAUACACAUGUGGAGCUAGACGAGGUGUUGCAACCGCGUGUAAUGGUUUUGCCAUGAAAAGGUCACUCUUGCUUUCCGAAAUAUCGAUCUUACUCUCACCAGGCACUGGUGACCACGUGAACCCUUGAAUCAACCGAGCCAACAACAUGUACGUCAUGGCUGACCCAAUGUCCACACCCAUACACCCUCUUCGUCCCGCACUGAACGAUAUUAUAUUGAGAUCAGGCUCGUUUGGAUCCACGCCUAUGUUAUUGAACAAAUGUCUCUCCGGGUCGAACUUAAGAGGCUUGUCCCAUACGCUAGGGUUUCUCCCAAUCCCCAUACGACUAAUCAGCACAUGGCUUCCCUUGGGGAUGAAGUAACCGUCUACCACAGCGUCAGCGGUGGACAUGUGAGGGAGGUUGAACGGUGCCACGGGGUGUAACCGGAAUGCCUCUUUCACACAAGCCUUCACGUAGUUGAGAUUUGGGAGAUCGGACUCAAGGACAAGGCGGUCUUUUCCAACUACCCUAUCGAUCUCCUCCACGGCUUUUUGCAUGAUGCUCGGCUCGUUAAUCAUCUCCGCCAUAGCCCACUCCGCCGCAUUAGACGGAUUAUCCACCGUCGCCAACAUUAGCUCCUUCAUAGUCCAAUCAACCACCAAAAAAGUUAGAGGUGAUCAGAUAAAAUAUUUUUUUUUUGUAAAAUAAAAUUAAACCUUUUGCUUAUGAAAAUGCAUCACUAAUGCAUGGAAUUCCAAAUUGAAAAUAUUUAGAGCUUUGAUUUUCUAAAGAAACUCCAUUACAAUGUACCAUGAUCUUUGAAGUAAUCAUCAGUUUUAAACUAUCCCGGUUUACUUAACUGGUUAGAGAGGUGUUGUAAUAGUUUUACUUUUACCAGUCCUAAGUGCUACAAAACAUUCAUAGACAAAUGAUUUACAAUUGUAGACACAGUACAUGUACUAAUAAAGUCAGGUCACUAUUGGUCACGAAAGGACGAAACUUUUUUGCUAAAAAAAAAACUCUAGGUACUAUAUUGUAGUAGCCAGAUAUAAUUCGAUAAUUAAAAAGAUAUAAUAUUAAGUCCAUAAUAUGCAUACCGUCACUUGUGCUUUGAUCUCUUCGUCCGACAGAGUAGGCUUCCCGUCAGUGUCUUUAGCCAUUAUAAACAUGUCAAGAAAAUCUUGAGGCUCUUUCAUGUUCCCAUUUCGCCAUUGCAUAAGUCUUUCAUCAACAAAAGGAUCGUUAUACUUACUUACCUUUCUCAUUGCAUCACUCACAAUCUUCUCAUGCCCUUCCAAGUCCAAGAACCUUAGCCACGGGACAUAAUCUGACAAUGCAAAGGCGUAAAGAUGGGUUAAAACCGUAAACAAAGAUUCCACAUGUUCAAUCUCUUCGAACCCUGGUCCCGAUCCAUCUUCACUUCCGUUACCAAAAUGCCUUAUACCAAACAUCAUCUUCCGAGCUACAUUUCCGCUGUAUUGCCGCACCACAAGCCUUAAAUCAAUAACCACAAAACCAUUACCAUUACCACGGUUUUUGACACUACGGUUAUUGAUGUACCGGACGAAGUUAUCAGCCUCUUCGGUUCUCUUUUGGAGCGUCAGUUGGAAGCUCUUCUUGCUCGUCACGUGAGAUGCCACCACUCUCCUCAUCAUCUUCCACUGCUCUCCUUGUGGCUCCACCGCAACAGUCAAGUACCCGCGGCUGCAGUACUCUGUCCCCAUUGUUAGUGGUCUAGUGGCGAAAACGGAGUCUUGCUUCUUCAGAAUCUCCCUUGCAAUUCUCGGGGAUGUCACGGGGAUUACGUGAGUAUUCGCAAGACGGAUACAUGCAAUAUCGGUGUUGAGUUCUUUCAUAAGAGAAUGUAUCCAACGGAACACCGGUCUGUUCCUCCCUAGUAUGUCCGGUAAGUUUCCGAUUAGAGGCCAAGAUUUCGGCCCGGGAGGGAGAGAGAGGUUUCUCGUGUGUCUAGUCAUUAACAUGGUUUUCUUCUUCUCCUUAUGCUUCAUAGUUAAUGCAAGAAGAAGCAAACCUAGAAUAAACGCAAGCAGUGGGGUGGAGUCGAGCAUUGUUUUUAUCUCAAUUUGGAGAAAUUAUUUGAGGUCGAAAAAGUUUACUUUUUUCUUUUCUUAAAUGAAAUGAUGAGGAAUAAGCUUAUUUAUAGCCAUGACACGGCAAUGAAACAAUGCUUGUGGUUAGGUGUAAUCUGUGGAAAAUAAAUGUGCUUUAAAUGUUGAAGGAAAAAAAUGUUAAAGGAAUCUGAUAGUGUAUCAUAGUGGGCUUGGAGAAUUGGGCUAUAAAACUGUAAAUUUUAUUUACCAACUUUUUUAGCUUUCCAAAUUCGUCUAAUCAAUCUCUAAGGAUAAAUUUGCUUAUUCCUUAUCCCUUUUAAAUCUUUAUGUUAAAUUUUUAAUGCAUCAUUAUGAAUAUUUGUCCCUUUUAGGUAGCGCCACGUUUAAAAGACUAUGGACUUGGAGAUUUGGGCUUGUAAAACUGUAAAUAGUUGGCCCAUUUUAAAAAUCGACUCAGCUCUGGGUUCAGCUUUUGAAUCUAAUCCAAACUACAAUAAGCGAUCAUAGCCGUUUCUUUGUCAUCAUCACUUUUACGUUACUGAUUUCAAUAGCCGUUGUGGAGAAAGGUGGCUGCUUCUAAUUUUGUAUCUAACUUAUGUACGCUUUCUUUCACUGAUCUCUUUACUGUAUCAUAGUAAUACAAUUUUAUCUCUCUUAUUUUACUUCUUUAUCUUCAUUUGUUAGGUAGAACGAGUGGUUGUGGGCUGACUGCUUGAUCUAAACACGUGGCUUUCUGGUGGAUCGCUAAACAAACAUAUUUCAUAGACAUUCAAUGAAAGAAAUAAAGUUGUUUUGGUAUCAAAAUAAUUCAAUUCAUCAAAAGAAUACGUCUUCUUUUAGAUCACAGGCUUUGAACGUUAGCAAUAUGUUACCUACCACCAGUCCCUGGCUUAAUAUAUAGAUAUUCACAUUUACAUGAUAGAUAUUCUUUCUCUAUGAUCAUAAAAUAGUACACCAAGCCGUUUAUAAAUUCCUUCACUCUCAGUUUCAAGUAAAUAUAAAUUAGAAAGUAAGUCUACACUCUUUGCAUUGUUUAUAAUUACAAAUUUUUAUCCACUAAAGGAAGAUUAUCAGUUCUAGAAAGUUUCUCAUUGCUUUUUCUUAAGAUUUGUGUUUCUUGUUUAUCAAACAGUGGGAACAGAGAUGGUCAUGGUUCAUGAUGUUCCUUUUCCUCCACAGAUCAUCACUUCCAAGCCACUCUCUCUUCUGGGCCAAGGUUUUUUUUUUUUUUUGGUCUAAGAUAACCAUAUUUUCUUUUUUGCUUCCAUAAUAUUUGAUACCUUAAUAAUGCAAUAAAAUCUCAGGUAAUAAUUUAAUGUGGGUUGUUUUUAUUCUUGUUAUAGGGAUCACAGACAUCGAGAUCCACUUUCUUCAAGUAAAGUUCACGGCGAUCGGAGUUUACUUGGAUCCUUCAGAUGUUAAAACCCAUCUUGAUAAUUGGAAAGGCAAAACCGGCCAAGAACUCGCCGGCGAUGACGACUUCUUCGACGCCCUUGCCUCCGGUAAUCUUAAUUAGUCCUUGUUACGUUUCAAAUCAAAUUUGAAUUAGGGUUCUCCGGUUUUGAUGAUUUCUGGUUUAGAUAGACUACUUGGUUAAAUAUUGGUUUUGGCUGUGUGAUACCAAAAAGUGUGAUGAAAAGAACUAGUCAUAUAAUUCGGUUAGGCUUCUUUUUUUGGUUUACUCCGGAUAAACUCCGGUUUACUUAAUUUAUUUGGUUAAGUACGUGUCGAAUAAAAUUGAACCGGUUCGUCUGAUGACUAUAUAUAUAUUUUGGGUCUCUAUUUAUUUCAGCGGAGAUGGAGAAGGUUAUAAGAGUGGUGGUGAUAAAGGAAAUAAAAGGAGCUCAGUACGGAGUGCAGCUAGAGAAUACGGUGAGGGAUCGUUUGGCUGAGGAGGAUAAGUACGAGGAAGAAGAAGAAACCGAGCUCGAGAAGGUCGUUGGCUUUUUCCAGUCUAAGUACUUCAAAGCUAAUUCCAUCAUCACUUACCAUUUCUCAGCCAAAGAUGGCAUUUGCGAGGUAUAAUCUAGAGCCUCUGUUAACGUCUAUUAUUAUAUCGAAUUCAUGUCUUCUUAGAAAUAAAAGUAUGUUUAGUCAUCCAUUUGCAAAGCAUCAAAUUCACGUGGAACAGAGGAACUCUGUUUUCGUUAUACUAAUGAAUUUGUUUGAAAUAGAAAAGAAAAAACCACAUUUGAAUGCAAUUUCUUGCGUAUAUGAAACAAUCAAGGUCCUAAAAUAAUUGUUUAUUGAUUGGUGGUAGAUCGGGUUUGAGACGGAAGGUAAAGAGGAUGAGAAACUGAAGGUGGAGAAUGCGAAUGUGGUGGGGAUGAUGCAGAGAUGGUAUUUGUCCGGAAGUCGAGGAGUCUCACCGUCGACUAUUGUCUCCAUCGCUGAUUCGAUCUCUGCAGUUUUAACAUAAGAACCUUGGCCCCUUACAUAAAUAAACAUUUGUAUGUGUCAUUUGUGUGUGUGUUUUUAUGUCGUUGUUAUAUGAGACAUUGUGUUUGGUUAUCUUUAUAAAUGAUUAAUGCUUAGUCUACAAAAAGUGUCUUGAUUUUGUUGAAACUUAUAUAAUCAUCUUGUCAUAACUUCUACCAUCAAGAUUUUAUUAUCUGUAAGUACUGUACUAUCAAACAAUGGUCUUUCAUUCAUCUUGAUGCAAAGAAUGACUUUUUCAUAGUGGAAAACAAGGAAAUUGGUUUGACUAGAAGGUGUGUUUAGAUUUUGUUUCCUCUUUCGUACUUCCAUGAAUUACAAACACCAGUUUAGUAACUUAUGGAUCCGCCUUGACCAAAUCCUGAAUUUGUAUCAUCAAACGUAUACUAUAAAGUUUGAUCUAAUCGAACAAUAAGGUAAUCUCAUCACAGAAUUCUGAAAAAGCAUGUGGAUGAAUCAUGCUACAUCUCAAUUUAAACCAGCUUUACUCGUUUAGAUUCAACAUUGGAAGGAUACUUAAGUAGGUUUUGUGGAGCUUACUUUGGCUGAUUGAACCAAUUUUGUUGAUUUCUACUGUAGUCACUUGCAAUAGACGAUUUGGGAUUGGUCUUUGGUUCGUGAUGUAGUGUGACUUCGCUUUUGUUGCACUAAGCAGAUACAGAGCAGCAAACUACAGAGGAGAAAUCGACGCGAUGUUGGUUUAACAGUAACUAAGUAGAAAUAUAGCAACUGAGAAUUACACGUGGUAAAACCUAUGACGUCACUACAAAAUGGGAAGUUUUACCCGAACCAUCUGACUAGCCGUUGGUUUAUCACCGAACCUAAGGUUCGAUUUUGCUCUGGACUUCCCAAGCAAAAAAAAUGGAAAUAACAGAAGAGUAAAAGAAAAGGAAACUUGAGUCCCAAAUCAUCAGUUUAUAAAUAGUCUAAUCGUUGUAGUAUCAAAUUUAACAUUUAAACACAAAGAAGGGAUAUGAGAAUAAUAUUUUUAGCCACAACCAUGUUAAUUUCACUAUUACUUUUCAAAAUUAGUUUAAGUGUUAAAUUUUAAAAACGUCAAAAACUAACCGCGCCUAGGCAUUCUGUCCUUAGUUAGUCUGUAAGCUUUAGUUUUCGAAGUUCGGCAUGUUUUCACGUAAUAUAGAUUUAAUUUAACACUUAAACUCAUUUUUAAAAAUUAAUAAGUAUUUUAACUAAAAUUUCAAACAAAUUUAACACUUAAACUUUUUUAAUAUAAUGAUUUUAACCAAAACCAUGUUAAUUUUACUAUUUUUUUAAAAAAAAUUAGUUUACGUGUUAAAUUUUAAAAACGUCGAAAACUAACCGCGCCUAGGCAUCCUGUCCUUAGUUGAUCCGUAAGCUUUGGUGUUCGAAGUUCGGCAUGUUUUCACGUAAUAUAAAUUUAACACUUAACUCAGUUUUAAAAAUUAUUAAUUGUUUUAAUUAAAAUUUAAAACAAAUUUAACACUUAAACUUUUAGAAAAUAAUGCUUUUAACCAAAACCAUGUUAAUUUCACUAUUACUUUUAAAAAAUUAGUUUAAGUGUUAAAUUUUAAAAACGUUGAAAACUAACCGCCACUAGGCAUCAUGUCCUUCGUUGGUCCGUAAGCUUUGGUGUUCGAAAUUCGGUAUGUUUUCGCGUUAUGUAGAUUUAACACUUAAACUCAUUUUUAAAAAAUAAUAUUAAUACUUAAACUUGUUUUUAAAAAAUAAUAAUGAUUUUCACUAAAAUUCUUUUAAAAUCCUUGUAAAUUUUUAAAACCUUUAUAAAUCCAUUUAAACCUCUAAUAGAAAUCUUUAUGUUUUACAUUGUUAAAGUAGAGUUAGCAUAUAAAAUCUUUAUUUAUUUGAAAGGAGGUUUGAAAAUAUUCACAAUAUUAUAUGAGCUAGACUCACAAUAUUAUACGCACACUCUGUUCCCUUAUAUCUGAUACUCUAUUCGUCUUCAUUUUAUAUAAUUAUAUGUGGUGAUAUCUGAGGUAAUUGAAAACCUCUACAAAGUCUUACAGUCUUAGUGUAACGUUUCUGACUUUCUGUGCUUGGCCUUUUUUUUCCAGUUGCCUAAUGGCCCAAACUUUUUUAUUAACUUCUGUUCAUCCGAAUGAACAAUACAUUUAGGUCACAAUCACAUUAACUAAAAAAAACAAAAUUGAGUACAGAAACGAAUCGAAGCAAAUCAAUUUUCUCAAAAAAUUUAUUUUAUUCAAACCUGAACAAAAAACUGACUGAGGCGAACCGAAAAAAGAUUUCGUUAAAGGCUAAACAAUUCUGAAAACCAAAGUCAAUCAAAAACCAAAUCAAACUUGAAAAGCCAAAACUUAGAAGAUUAUAUAAGUAAAUUGUGGAUAAACUUCCCUAAUUGUAAACAGUAAUUUACAAACAAAACAAAUAUAUAUAUAUACCAAACCAGAAAGAAAAAAACCUACUUAGGUGAAGCAAAAACUCAACAUUGAAAGUGACCUCAUGAAGCUCUGUUACGUUGCCACGUCAUCACCCCGCCGGGAGCCAUUAGCUGGAGUCUGAUGUUCGAGGAGUGAUUGUCUGCAAGUGGGGCAAGAGGAAUGUGACAGCAACCAAGUGUCGAUGCACUUGACGUGGAAGCCAUGGUUACAUUUGGGCAAAACCCUAACUGUCUCUCCUUCAACAAAAUCUCCUAAACAGAUCAAACACUCUGUGGCUUUCAUCUUAAGCUCAAGACUGUAUGAAUCAACCGGAAUAAGCUUCAACGCCCGUUUCUUGAUCCCCUUUGCUACGUUUACGUUUGCGUUAGUGUCAACUGGAUCUUCGUCGGGAGUGAACCUUCUUGUGCAGCGUAAGACACAGCGCAAGACCGAAUUGAUGCCAAGAGCACAGAUCAAGGCGCAUAGAAGAGCGGCUAGUACGAUCACCAUGUGUGUAUCCAUGCUAGCUAUAUUCUUCUUGUUGCUGACAGAGUCUCCUAAGGUUCUAGGAUUUGCAUCAGUAGCUGAAAUAGUCGGGGUAGCUUGCGUCUCAAGUAAGAAUCUAGCCAUCUGUAAACGCUUUAGAAACAGAUGCACAAAUCUUUUUUUGACUCUCCUUUAAGGUUCUUCUUCUUCUUCUUAUUGCUCUGGUUUAUGUUCGAAUCGGACUACAAAAGAGACUGAGAUGAGAGAUUCAAGUUUCUUCAUGCUAUGAUAAGCACAAGAUCAGCUUUUGUUUUCUCUUUUACUCUGAGGCUUCGAUUCCAGUCUGAAACUCAAAGACUUGAUAAAUCCAUGGAGAUAUCAAAUCUCAAAUCCUUAAUGAUCUGUUUCUUUAUACAAGUUCUUAUUUGAGUUUUACACAAAAGGAAAUAAGUUGUUCUAUAAGAGUAGGAAAUGGGUAGACUAGAGAAAGAGAGAGAGAGGGAUGAUGAUGAGAUGGUCGGUCCAAGAAAUCUUUGGUUAGAUUUGCUGAUAUAUAUAUUUGAUAAAUUAGAGAGAUAAUACUAUGGCAUAUAAUCUUGUUGCAUUUGUAUAAUUAGUAACAGGGACAAACGUAAAGGACAAGGCCAAAAAGACAACUAAUAAUGCAGAAUAUAUUGUUGAGUAGAUAUUAAAAUUGAUGUAUAACGAAUUCUCUCAAUUAGUGGUCUUAAGAACUUUGGAAUCAAGCCAGAUGAAAUCCACUCUCGUAUAGAAAGAAAUUAAUUAGUGAGAAAAGAAAACAUUCGAACAUUUAUUUUGUAUAUAUAAACAUAAGUUGGGGUAUCAUAUUCUCAACAAAUCAUGAUGAUUAUAGCAUAAUGCAUUUGUUCCAUCAUUUACAAUCUUUACUAAUUAGAAUUUAUAAACUUAAUCUUCAAUUAAUAGAUAUUUCUAGUUUUUUUUUUUUUUUUUUUUUUGGCUGCAACAGAUAUUCAUAUAUAGUAUCAUGUUUAAUAUGUGUAACAAGAAAAUGUAACUAAUUACUUCAAUCAUAAGAAGAUGCAACUAUUACGUGGAUGUACACUUUUCUUUUUGCCUAGCUAGUUUCUAAUGGAAAGCAAUUAAAUAAUUAAAAGAUCUACAGUACAAAAUAAAGCGAGUUUAUCAAUUAAUCUACUAAUUUACUAUCUUCGGGGCACAUUGAAACGUAGUUAAUGUUACCGAAAAUGUGUAAAAUAUUAGUUGGAUUUAAAUUGAAUGGUGUACAUAAAGGGAAAAAGAAGUAUCUGGGUGGGAUCUCUGGUCCACAUAUUAGCAACAUCCAAUUCAACACUUACUGAUGUACAAAUCAAACAUACACACAAGUUCUCACGCAAGAGACACAAACAAACACUUGUCUCUCUUAGAUCCACUACCUCCAUUAUCAUACAUAAUUACUUUAUAAGACGAACUGACCCAUCAACCAAUACGUGUGUAUUCUCAUAUACGAAUGUGUAAACAUGAUUAGCUUUCCUAUUUUUUUUUUUUAAAUGAGAUGGAAGAACCAAAAAAAUAAGAAAAGAAGAUAAUUGUAUCUGUUUUAUAGUGAUGGAUAAAUAGCCGAUGCUAGUUAAUUACAUAACAAAUUUUUGGGCAACACUAACAAUAACAAUAAGUGAUGUAAAUUAGGUGUGACUAGGCUCUGGGGGUAGAAAAAACGAUUUAAUUCUAUCUAUAGACGUUAUUGUCGGUGAGCGGGCUUUUGGGGUAUAGAAUCUAGCUCUAGGAUUAGUGUUAUAUUGGUCCACAAAUGUUUUCCAUUUCAGAUUGAAAAGUGGUUAGGUCUAAAGCUAUAGAAUCAACCCAAACUAGAAUCCUGCAAUCAAAUCAAAGUGGUAAAGAAUGGUGGAUACGACUAGAAAGCGUAAGUCAAAGUUUGUUAGGUUAAAUUUCGAUUUGGUUCGGUUAAUCUUGAAACCAUAUGACAAAAAGAAUAAACAGUUGAAGUCUAGUGUUGGACUGUUUUCAUAAGGUUGGUUGAUAUUUCAUUGGGCAGGCCUUGAUGGGCCGAAUCACGCUCCAUAGUAGCCCAACUAAGAGGCGGCUGUGUACUAGCUAGACUACUAGGUGGUUGUGAUCUGUCCCUGGUUCUUAUUUCUUAAAUCUUAUGACGUAGGUGUCUGCAUCAUACGUGUAUACGGUGUAUUAUACAUGCCCGAUCACGAGGACGAGCCACACAACCGGUGGUGUAGAGCUUCUGAUCAUACUUGAUUUUUUGGACUAUUUAGUGGUUUUAGAUAUGUAUUCAAUUCGUAAAAUGCAAUCAAUUUUCUCUUGAAUGUGUUAAAUUACUUGCAAAUUUCAAAUAUAUUAUCGAAUUUUCCUGCUGUGGCUGUUCUUUUUCUUAUUUCUAGUUUUAAAAAAGAAAUUUUUUAUUGAUGUGUAUGCAUAUAUAACGAAGAAUGUGAAAUGAUGAUGACAAACUGAUAAUUGACUGCAACUUGAAAGAAAGUCUGUUACCGGAAACAACGGGAGAUCUCAUGUUCUUAUAUAUAGUACGUCAUGCUUUGAUGAUCUCAUUUUACAUGUUUCUUUCUUCCUCACAAUUCAUAUCUAACCAAUUAACUUAUGACUAUAGUCUAUAUAUGAAUUAUUCAAGUGUGCGCAUGCAAUUGUAGGAAACGAACUUCACUUGUGUAUUUUUUCUUAAACUACAAAUUUAGGGAUGAAAAAAGACACAAUUUUUAGACUAUGAUAUUGAUUAAAUAGGUAAAAGCCAUAUAUAUAGUUUAAAAAGAACAAAAAAAGCUGACUAUAUAUUUUAAAACUAUGAUUAAAAACAUCGAUUGGAUUAGAAUUAACUAUUAAGUGCCUAACCGUAGUCACAUUUCAUUAUUUCUCUUUCUCAUGACUGAUGACAUCUUAUGUCAGAAAUUAAAUUAAAGAUCACUAAAGAAUGCAUGAUUUGUUCACCGAUUAAUAUAUUAAAUGAAGACAUGUGAAUCUGUGACGUGGGUUUCGAUAGAAAAAAAAAACAAGAAGAAGAGAAUAAUAUACGUUGACAAAAAAAAAAAAAAAAAAGAAUAAUAUACGUAAUUAGUCCACGUGGCAUAAAAGUAGGGGUCCAUGCGGUAUAGCCGUUGCCCGUUGGAAUGGUUAAGCGCUAACGGAAUUGCAUGUGAAGACUUGCAUAAUGCAUAACCUACGUACGUACACACGGAAUUCCUGGGAAUUAAGACCGAUCCGAUUAUGUCACCUUCUUCCAUUUUACGUUUUGUCAAAAACAAAUAUAUUUGUAUCAUAAGAGAAGUGAUAUCUAGUAGUAGUGAACUCCAUAAUCAAUCCCUAUAUAAGUGAACGAAUUAUAUACCAACUUCACUCAUCUCCUUUUUCCACUUCUUACUUCCUCCGAUCCUCUUUAGCCCCUCAGCAAAAUCAUGAAGCUUACAGAAUAUUCCCAUAUUUUAUUUCUUUCACUAUUCACCAUCAACUUCUACAUUAUAAACUCCGACGACAACGGAGGCUGGGAGAGAGGCCAUGCUACCUUCUACGGUGGAGCUGAUGCAUCCGGCACAAUGGGUACUUGAAACAUUUUCUUUCACUCGCACCCACACAUAUCAUUAAUUAAGUCAGCACAAUUGGAUACUUUUAACAUAUUUGACCGUUCAAGUGUUGAUGUUUUUUAGGUGGUGCUUGUGGGUACGGUAACUUACACAGCCAAGGCUAUGGGCUACAAACCGCGGCUUUGAGCACGGCUUUGUUCAAUAGUGGGCAGAAAUGUGGGGCCUGCUUUGAGCUACAGUGUGAGGAUGAUCCUGAGUGGUGCAUCCCUGGUUCCAUCAUCGUUUCAGCUACAAACUUCUGUCCUCCAAACUUUGCCUUAGCCAAUGAUAAUGGUGGUUGGUGCAAUCCUCCUCUCAAGCAUUUUGACUUGGCCGAGCCUGCCUUCCUCCAGAUCGCUCAGUACCGGGCUGGAAUCGUUCCUGUCGCAUUCAGAAGGUAAAAACAAAAUUUUAGCCAAAAAAGGACAAUUCAGUAUACGUUUUCUUAUAUAAAACGCUCUAGGUAUCAAUGUAUAUCAUUUGUCCUUUUAUAAUGAUAGGGUUCCAUGUGAGAAAGGUGGAGGGAUAAGGUUCACGAUCAACGGGAAUCCGUAUUUCGACCUCGUGUUGAUCACAAACGUGGGUGGUGCUGGAGAUGUUAGGGCCGUCUCUUUGAAAGGCUCAAAGACUGAUCAGUGGCAAUCUAUGUCAAGAAACUGGGGACAGAAUUGGCAAAGCAACACUUACCUCAGAGGGCAAAGCCUAUCUUUUCAAGUCACUGCUAGUGAUGGUCAGACUGUUGUGAGCUACGAUGUUGUCCCUCAGGAUUGGCAGUUCGGUCAAACUUUUGAAGGUGGACAAUUCUAGAUUAUGUACCAAGAUAAAGUAAUAGACAUUAUACGAGAAGAGGCAAUGAUUGUGUUUAAUUAAGACAAAACUCUGUUUUUCAUUGAUCAUAUCCACUCUUUUAUAGUAAUAACUCAUAAGAAAGACAAUGAAACAGUUAAUUUUGUAUUCGUUUAGCAAACAAGGUCUAUCCCCAUUUGAAAUAUCUACUUGAUUAUAUUGUAGGGAAUUAUUGACGUACAAAGCCUAAAACCUAAAUAUAAUUUCUUCAUUCUUUCUAUUGAAAAGAACCAAUUUAAACAUAUUAAUUACUUUUAAUAGUAACACAAGUAUAGUAUUUGAUAUUUACAAAAUUCUAUAAAACAAAGAAUAAUAGUAACUAAAAAAUUGUCAUUCGUAGUCAACCGAGUGACAAAGAUAGCAGUUUUGUUAAGUCUUGACGUAGUUGAUUCUCUUGCUUGGUCCAGACGCCGGAACUGACCCUCUCGGAAGAGCGUUCAACACCAACGACCCAAAUUUUCCGGUGACAUAUGACGCCGUGAAGUGAUCAUCCUCGCCUUCGCACCCUACCACCGUCUUGGAGACAACAGAGAUCUCCCCGGGGAAGAUGACGCCAUCAAUUACCGACGGAAAUUUCCUAGCAGUUGAAAACGAAGCAAGCUGAGAGAAGGAGAUGAAUAAAACUAGAAUCAAAGCUCCAAUUCUAGCCAUUUUCUUGUUUGUUUAUAUAUGAGUGAAGACUUUGUUUUUUUUUUUUUUUAACUUCUUCGUCAAUGUGUGAUUUGGUGAAGAAGAUCCGUGAAAGUACAUGUCUAUAUUACUAUAUAUAAUGUGAAAAUAGAUAGAUAGGUCACUGGUCAGUCAAUGGCAGUUGCAUAGAUAACGCGGCAAGUGUUUGGACUCAAAAGAGUUGAAAGACUAGGUCAUUAUAGUUUCCGGUCCAAUUGAAAUAUCACUUUAAUUAGUACGUAUUGUCAAAAUUUGUAAUUACAUUUUCUGAAUUUUAAAAUCUAGAUGUGAAUAAACGAUUUGGAGAUAUAACACAUGAUUCAUUAUGUUAAUAUGUUGAAAAGACUAUAUGGAAAUAUAUAUAUCUAUUUUUGUAUCCCUUUAUGUUAAUUGACAAGUAGAGUGUUGUUACUUGUUACAGACAAUAGUAGAGAUUGUAGUAAUGAAAAGUCAUGUGUUAGUAAAGUUUGUUUAGUUAGACACAUCCCAUUCGAGUUUGAUUAGUAGUAGUAAUGAAAAGUCGUAUGUUAUUUGAUGGGCCUUUAUUGAGCUAUUCUGGAAUGAAAAUAAGCCUUUCAGUUUUCAGAACUUAUUCACUAGUUGCCGUUUCGAGACAAUGACGACACUUCUGAAUGAGAGAGAGGCUCUCUGUAUAUUUCUUUUUGUCUCCUCUCUCUUGUCCUGUUCGUCUCUGACUACUUCUCCGAUUUGGCUUACCAUCGGUCUUCGGAAACGUUGACCUUGGAGCUCGAGGGUACCAAAUGGCAGGCAGAAUUCGAUUAGAUGCGGUUAUCUCCACGGUAGUCACGGUGCACCCGCACGAGAUUCCGGCGUUGCUACACUCAUCUUCCUGCUUCUUCUUCGUACCGAUCUCCUUCCCUCUCUCUCUUUCUGUUUAACCAUUCAUCUCGAGUGUCCAUUAACUUUUGUUCUCUUGAAUCAGAUUUUGAGUGCGUAUUUCGUAGUUCUUCCACUCCGCGAUGAAGGAGCAAUAUCGCUGGGAUUAUCAAAGCUCCCUGGCCUCUUCGUCGGAUCCUUAUUUCUCACUCUCAUUGCUGCUCCUCUUUCCACCUUCAUCUUCUCUUUGCCCAAUUUGUCCAAAUCCAAGGUAACUCUUUCUUACAUUUUCUCUUUCCAAUUUGUAAUCUUUUGGCCAUCUUAUAUACCAUGCUUUUCGAAAUUUGCAGGCUUUGGUUAUAAUACAUAGAUUCUUUAGUCUAUCACUUGUUCUAUGUUUCCUUCUUUGGAUGGCCUCCCCAACAGAGUCUAUCUCAUCUAAUUCAAAGGUAAGAUAGGAGAGUUCGAUUAUUCAUAAGCUUUCUGGAAGAAGUCAUGUCUCAUGGUUUAACACAUACUACUGCUUCAAAGGAUGCAGUUGAAGCGGCAUCCAGCCUAACAAAAGUUGGUAUCGAUGGAGCUAAUGGAUGGGACAACCAUAGCUGGUUUUACAUUUCUGUUCGAGUUGGAUUUUUCCUUUGGGUAUGAGUAUGACUAACUCUUUGUUUUUUGGAUUUUUCCUUUGGGUAAGUUUUGAUGUAGCUGGAUACGUGAUACUUCUUUUUUGUAUGUUUCCAAGGUUGCGUUGCUUAAUCUUGUCGCUAUUUCUUCAACGUGGGCUAGAAUAAUAGACGUUAUGGAUAGUGAGGUAGUUUCUGCUGCCCUGUACUUUAUUUCUAAGAACUGGCUAUUGUUUCCAAGCAUAUAACAUUCUUCAAUUCAGUCAGGUGCAAGAUUGUUUGGUUUUGUUGGUGCUGGUGCUACCCUUGGACAGCUUUUUGGAUCUGUAUUUGCUGCUGCCACUGCUUGGAUGGGUCCAUGUAUGCAUCACAUUGUCUGAUGAUUCUUCCAUUUACAAUCUAAGUACCUAGAUAGAGAUAUUUUUUUCUGCUUUUGUUUGUUCCAUGUAUGCCAUUUUGAAUUCACUCGAAAAUCAUUUUGAUGUUCGUUACAGAUCUACUUCUAUUUGCUGCUCUUCUGAUGGAAUUGGCUGCACAGGCUUCAAAAGGGAUCACCAAUGACAUUUCCCAGUCCUCUGAGGAGUUGUCUCCUCUAAGGUUAGCUAAGCUACAAUCCGUGUCCAUAUGUGUAAGAUGAAUUUGAUUUUUAAACCACCCUUUGUUUGCUAUGUUUUCCUAUCUUAUGUUUGGAACAAUAUGUGGCUAUGUAUGGAACCAAACGAAAAAUUGAAAUGAUUUAUCUGGAAGUUGAGGUUGGUCUUGGUAAUGCUCAAGUUUAAGUUUUCACAAUACAAGCGAGAUGUGUGCGUACUCAAUUUAGGUUCUGGGCUAGACUUAGUGUGAGUUUGACUCAGUUAUGCUCAUGGUUGGUCGAGAAGUUGAUUUUUGUUGUUGGUUCUGUUAGGGGAACUGAUAAUGAUCAUCAACGUGAGAGAAAACAGGAAGCUACUUCUCCAAAAGUUGGUUCUCCAAAAGUUGCUUCUCCUAAAUCGCCUAUCUCCACAAGCAGACCUCAGCUUUGGGCCAUCUUCGAUGGCAUGAGACUUAUACUAGCAUCGCCUUAUCUUUUGCUAGUGUCUUUGUUCCUCUGGCUCGGUGCGGUCAUCUCCUCAUUCUUCUAUUUCCAAGUAAGACAGAUCUUUAUAUAUUGAAUGAUUUCUAGUUUUAAGAUUAUCUAAAUCAUGUGAAGGUAAUAUCAGAACUAGUUGACAAUGCAAUAUUAGGCUUGUCAUGCGAACCAUCUCUGUGUUAUACUAUUCAUUUACCUGCUCUUUAAAGAACUAUGAUAAUUAUAACCAAGACUCUUUGUUCUUCAACAGCCAUUUGAACAAUAUUUCACAACAUGAAAAUUAGAAUAUCACUUUGUUACUAGUGCGAUUCUGAUAUGAACCAUUACUUUAAAAUUCCUUUGUUUUCUUUGAGUUUAUAGAAUCAAUUUUUGGACUUAGCAAAAAGAAAGCUGAACUUCUUACGGUCCCACUGAUGAAAUAAAGUUAAACUGCAGAAAGUGAAUAUAAUUGCCACGACAAUCAAAUCAUCCAUUGGUCGAAGAAGACUGUUUGCCCAGAUAAAUAGCUUCGUUGCAGUUUUCAUACUCAUUGGACAACUGACUUUAACGGUAUGUCAUAUGCGAGAUAAAAUUCACAGAUUGAUUCAUAAUACCUGGAUUUUUUAUUAUUAUGGUCCAUAUAUAUCAGUUCAUAUGUUAAAUCUUACAGGGCCGGAUCUUGACUGUAGCUGGUGUCACGGUUGCAAUAUCUGCAUCUCCAUUUGUUGCACUUGGGAAUUUGGUUGCUAUUGCCAUAUGGCCAACUUGGGUUACAGUUGCUGUAUCUGAAACCUUGAGAAAGGUCUGUGGCUUACAACAAUCUCUCUCAUGUUGCCUUACUGUUCCAUUAAUUACACUUGACGUUUUAUAACUUGGUAGGUGACAACUUAUGUUGUAACUAGACCUGGAAGGGAACUCUUGUUCACAGUUGUCUCGCAAGACGAGAAAUACAAAGCUAAGGUACUGAAUCUUUCCUUUUCUCAACUUCUAGUUAGAAAAUCAGUUCUGCAAAAGGGAAGGGUUACACUUUGGUCUAUUAUUUCACAUUAUGUGUGCUAUGGUUUCAGGUAUGCAUAGAUGUGAUUGUUCAACGGCUUGGAGAUGCUGCAGCGGCGGGACUAUUUGAAGUCCUGACCAUUGCUCUUGGCGGUCAAACAUCAACUGCUUCACUCUAUGCCUUGCCAGUAUAAUAAAAGCUUCAUCCUUUUAGACAAUUCAUCGUGUAUGUUAAUUUUCCAUGAAAAUCCUCAACAAGUCUGCAUUGUUUUCUUACAGGUGUGUUUAAUAUGGAUAGUCACGGCGUUCUUCUUGGGACGGCGACAAGAACAAUUGGCGAAACUCCAGGUGGGUUCAUCUUCGUAGGAACAAAAUCUUAAAAGAGUCUCACAUUAAUACAGAAGAUGAGAGGCUUCAACUUCAUAUGUAGGAGUUAUGGGAAAGCAACUUAAACCCCACCGACAUGAAGGAUCACAAAGAACACAGAUUUUGGAUUCUGCUGAUAAAUAUACAAAGGGAUAUUUCGCGCUUUCUUUUGAGAUUGGAGUAUAUCUGUAUUUGUAACCGAAUAAUUUUUUUUUCUUUCAGAUAGAGCAAUUGGAAAUCAUUAACUUGUAAGUAGAAAAAUAUUCAAUAAUUUUAAAAAGCGCCAAAAAAGGCUAAACCAACCCCAAAGAGUGAAAGACCAACACCGGUCACUUACCAAAAAAAAAAAAAGAGUCAAAGACCAACUAAACCAAGCGAAACCAAUGCACGCAUUAUAGAUGACGUGGCAAUUUUUUUUAUAGCCAUGAAACAAUAAUGCUUGUGUCUAGGUGUAAUCUGUGGAAAAUAAAUGUGCUCUUAAGUAUUGGAAGUAAAAAGACGUUAAUGAAUCCACGUUUUUCAACAGCACAUUUCUAUUUACCAACUUUUUUUUACUUUUCCAAAUUCGUCUAAUCUCUAAAGAUAAUUACUUAACGAUUCAAUAAUAUGGUUAUUUGGUUAAUUUGCAAAGCAUAAACACAAGCAUUAAGUUCAUGUGGAACAGAGGAACUCUGUUUUCGUUAUACUAAUGAAUUUGUUUGAAAUAGUAGAUGUUUUAGUUUCAUUUGAAAAAAAAAAACACAUUUGAAUGCAGUUGCUUGCGUAUAUAAACAAUCAAUGUCCUAAAAUAAUUGUUUAUUGAUUGGUGGAAGAACAAGUUUGAGACCGAAGAUUUUGACAUGUGUCAUAAAUGAUUUAAAGUUUUUCUUUAAAGAAAUAAGUAAAUUAAAAAAAAAAACACAUUUACAAAUACGUCUUCGGUGUUAGGGUUUGUUAAGAAUGAUUCACUGACAAAUGCUCAUCCAUUGCAAGUUGUCUAUCGAGUUUUAGAAGACCUUCAAAUUGACGGAUGAGAGCAUAAGCCCAACAAAUCCAAAGCACUUGUUUAGCCAAGCAUGAGUCAAGAAUGCAUGGCUUCUUGAUCCUCCAAGUUUGGAGUGUGAUAUUCUGAAGACUUUCACUCAAAUGAUUUCUCAAACUUUGAGAAACAACAGAGGGAAGCAGUUCAAAAAAUCUUACUCGAUCACUCAACAACUCAUAGGACGGCCACUCGGUAACAUUGUGAAUAGCUUACGAAAACAAAAUUUUCAAAAAUGCAUAAAAUGAAUUCUGGCUAAGAAAACAGAGAUAAGAAUGAAAAAAAAAAAAUUCUAACAUCAUCAAUCCUACUUAUCAACAAAUCGGAAUUCAAUUAAAAGGAGUAAUGAUUUUGAAAUAAGAAUCAUUAUUUGUUAUUGAGGUUAUCACUUAACUUCCUUUUCUUCUUAUUCUAGAUGAUUUAUCUUCAAUAAUUGGAUAGAACAAAAAAUGUACAUUCAUAAAGACAUACUAGAUAAUCACUCGUACUAUAGCACAUGUUAAAUUUCUAUUUUUUGAAUCUAAUGUUAAAUUAUAUUCAAAGAAAAAAUAAACGUUUAUACAAAUGAAUGCAAAUUUUUUAUAAAGAAACUACAAAGAAGAUUCCUUCAUUGGUGUUGUCUUGAUGCAAACCAAUCUUGUAAUCCUCUUGCGUAUUAUACAUGUUACAUUUCAUUUCGUACAAAAUUUAUAUAUUAUAUAUUUUAGAAUAUAGUUUUGAUAUAUUAUAGUAGUAAGUUUUACAAUAUUGAUUUCUUUUGUCAGUCCAUAUAUAUAAUAUUAGAAUGAAUAUAUUUUUAUUUUUGUAUAAUAUUUAAUUAUGGAUAUUUUUAAGAUAUGAAGGCAAAAAUAAUAUUUUUUUUUUUAAAGUUAAUAUUAUUUGAACAAUGAGUUUAUUUAUGUUGACAAUUAUAAAAUGAGAUUCAUAUAAUUUAGUUAGAUAAAAAUCAAAAUAUCAUAAAUAUAUAGCAUGUAAGCGAAACAAAUGCACCCCUGAUGAGAUCACCAAAAAAAAAAAAAAUGCACCCCUGAUGAGAUCACCAAAAAAAAAAAAAAUGCACCCCUGAUGACGUAGCAAUUUUAUCGCUUUAAAAUAUUGGGCCUCUUUUUUUUUUGGGUAAAAUAUUGGGCCUCUUUAAUGGGCCUUAUCAUUGAGAAGUAAAGCUGAAUUCAGUUUUAAAUCUAUCAUGAAAGAAAAGACAACAUAUUUUUUGUUACUUCUUGUAAGUCCUCUGUUUCUGAUUCUGAUGAUUUCGUAUCUGUUAAGGCACACGAUAUGGUGCCAGUCUUAGGAAGCAGAUCAAGAAGAUGGAAGUGAGCCAGCACAGCAAAUACUUCUGCGAGUUCUGCGGAAAGGUAUACUCUCUCUUAUGAUCUCAAAUAUCAUACGCUUGAUGGUUUUCUCUUCUUUGAUUGUUUGGAUUUUACGAUGCUUUGAUUUGUAAAUUUCAGUAUGCCGUAAAGAGAAAGGCUGUUGGUAUUUGGGGUUGCAAGGACUGCGGGAAAGUCAAGGCCGGUGGUGCAUACACUAUGAAGUAAGAAAGAAAGAUUCAUCUUUUUUCUCAUUCUUCCAUUAUUUAUUUGUGAUGAUUGAAUUUUUAAUCUGUUGUCUGCUUAUUCGUUUGGCAGCACUGCUAGUGCGGUGACAGUGAGAAGUACCAUUAGACGGCUAAGAGAGCAAACCGAGAGCUAGAGACUGAACAGUUAGAGAGAAUUUUCUUCAUCUAUCUAUAAUACAGAGCAUAAACAAGUUCCUUGUGGGUUACGUUUUCCAUAGAGAAGUUCCAAUUGGAUUUUGAUUUUCUUAAUUGCAUUUGGCAAAUGCCAAUACACUAGAAACAUUGUAUCGAAUAAUAUAGCAAUACACCAAAAAUAUUUGAGAAUCAUUCAUGGCUAAGGCUUCCACAGUUGAAAUGAGACUUUUUCAUCAGCAACCAAGAAAGGAAAGAGGACAUGAACUUGUCUCUGAACAGGGUCAUCCACUUGCCUCUGCUCUGCUGCAUGAAACCUACUGUAUAUGAUGUAGUUAUAAGAUCAAUGCUUCUCCAUUUCCUUGAUCCUGCAUACUUGUUCAAACCAUCUUCAAUCCGCCUAUAACUCUCGUCCUCAUACCUGGAAUUUUUUUUUAUCAUGGUCCAUAUUAUAUCAGUUCAUAUGUUAAAUCUUACAGGGCCGGAUCUUGACUGUAGCUGGUGUCACGGUUGCAAUAUCUGCAUCUCCAUUUGUUGCACUUGGGAAUUUGGUUGCUAUUGCCAUAUGGCCAACUUGGGUUACAGUUGCUGUAUCUGAAACCUUGAGAAAGGUCUGUGGUUUACAACAAUCUCUCUCAUUUUGCCUUACUGUUCCAUUAAUUACACUUGACAUUUUAUAACUUGGUAGGUGACAACUUAUGUUGUAACUAGACCUGGAAGGGAACUCUUGUUCACAGUUGUCUCGCAAGACGAGAAAUACAAAGCUAAGGUACUGAAUCUUUCCUUUCCUCAACUUCUAGUACGAAAAUCAGUUCUGCAAAAGGGAAAGGUUGCACUUUGGUUUAUUAUUUUCUUAUUAUGUGUGCUACCGGUUCAGGUAUGCAUAGAUGUGAUUGUUCAACGGCUUGGAGAUGCUGCAGCGGCGGGACUAUUUGAAGUCCUUACCAUUGCUCUUGGCGGUCAAACAUCAACUGCUUCACUCUAUGCCUUGCCAGUAUAAUAAAAGCUUCCUACUUUUAGACAAUCCUUCGUUUAUAUUAUUUCUCCAUGAAAAUCGUCAACAAGUGUCCAUUGUUUUCUUACAGGUGUGUUUAAUAUGGAUAGUCACGGGGUUCUUCUUGGGACGGCGACAAGAACAAUUGGCGAAACUCCAGGUGGGUUCAUCUUCAUAGGAACAAAAUCUUAAAGAGAGCCUCACUUUGAUACAUGAGAGGCUUCAUCGUCGCUAAGAUCCAAUAUUUUCUCGCAUCGUCUUCCUCCGGUGCUGUAUCGUGCCGUCUUUCACUUUUUCUGCGUUCAAUCAUGGGCUCGUCAGUGCUUAGAUCUACAAGCCGCGCGUGCAGUCACGCGACCUUCUUCGAAUCCGACAGAACCGGAAGCUGUCUGGAACUGUCCGAAAUGUAGAUCGUCGAAUCAGAAAUCGAAUAUUCCAAGGCGCUACCUUUGUUACUGCGGCAAGGAGGAGAAUCCUCCGGCGGAUAAUCCAUGGAUCUUGCCUCAUUCUUGCGGCGAGGUCUGCGAGAGGCCGUUGAGCAACAACUGUGGUCACUGUUGCUUGCUCUGGUGUCAUCCUGGACCUUGUGCUUCCUGUCCCAAGCUCGUGAAAGCUAAAUGCUUCUGCGGCGGUGUUGAAGAUGUUCGUCGAUGUGGACACAAGCAAUUCUCUUGCGGAGACGUCUGCGAGAGAGUCCUGGAUUGUGAUAUCCAUAACUGUAGAGAGAUUUGUCAUGUGGCAAGUGUCCACCGUGCAGAUAACGCGCGGUUUACAAGUGCUGUUGUGGUAAGGAGAAGGAGGAGAAUGAUUGUUGCGAGAGAGUCUUUAGGUGUGAGGCUUCUUGUGAGAAUAUGCUUAAUUGUGGCAAACAUUUAUACGGGAGAGGAUGUCACUCGGGAGAAUGUGGAUUGUGUCCAUAUCAGGGAAAGAGGAGUUGUCCCUGUGGCAAGAGAUUCUACCAAGGCUUGUCUUGUGAUGUUGUGGCGCCUUUAUGUGGUGGCACCUGUGAUAAAGUUCUUGGUUGUGGCUACCAUAGGUGUCCAGAGAGGUGCCACCGCGGUUCAUGCCUUGAGACUUGCAGGAUUGUGCUUACUAAGUCUUGCAGAUGCGGGGGCACGAAAGAGCAGGUGAAAGAGAGCCUUUUUGAUACUUCAUGAUGCUUUGUUAUAGUUAAAUCAAAUGUUGAUGGAAAGAUUUUUGGGAACUUAAUUUAGAGUAGGUUCCUUGCCAUCAAGAGUUGGCGUGUGAGAGGAAAUGCCAGAGAGUGAGAGAUUGUGCACGUCAUGCUUGUAGACGCCGAUGUUUUGAUGGUGAAUGUCCACCAUGCUCAGAGGUAUGCUGUGUCUCAUGGUCCAGUCUAGUGACAUUGUUCACACUUGGCUUCUACUUUUUUUCGUUUGAAAUUUUCAGAUUUGUGGAAAAAGACUCCGUUGCAGGAAUCAUACAUGCUCUGGACUUUCUUUGUCCUUCUGGUGUCAACUUUGGAACUAUAAGACUGAUUAAACAUUGUGUAUUGUAAGAUAUCAACUCAUACACAUGGAAUAACAUUACUUGUUGUGUGUUCAUUGCAGAGUUCCAUGUGCUCCUUGUCCAAUAAUGGUAACAAUAUCUUGUGCUUGUGGUAAGACGCAUUUUGAGGUGAGAAUUAGGAUUUGAACGUGAAUAUGGCUUCCUACUAUCAAGUCGUGAUAUAUAUAGUCUUGUUACUUUUAUUUUUAUGGUGGAUCUAUAGAAAAUUUUUAAUUUUGUGUAGAUGCAUCUGAUAGAAGCAGGAGAUGUUACUGACAUCUAACAAGCGAGACUAUCAGCUUAAACUUACUAAAAUCUCUUCGGAAAAAAUGAUCUUGAGGCCUUGUUUGGUCUAAGCCUGAGAACCAGAUCUGAUGACUUUAUGCCUACUGUUAUAAUAUUUUCUUUGCUUCUUCUUUUUGUGUCCAUAGGCUUUUAAUUGUUUGCUACUUCUAAUAGAUUCUGGUCCUUUGAUAGAAAAUCUGGUACCGUAUGUGAAACCUGUAUUAACAACGCAGUUGGAUGUUUUAUGUUGUUCAGGUACCUUGUGGCACUGAAACAAAUCAGAAACCUCCUUGUGGUAGUUCACAUGUUCCCAAGCUUCAUUUUUUACAUUUUCUGAAUAACAUUAUUAGAAAACCACACUCUUGAAACUAGAGGAUAUUGUUGUUGCAGAAAAUUGCCAAACUGUACCCAUUUGUGUCCGGAGAUAUGUCAUCCUGGGCAGUGUCCAUCGCCAGAACAGUGUGGUAAAGAGGUAUUACUUCCAAGACUCCAUGAUGCAACUGCGUUGUAAAGAUAUCCGCCUGCGAGUUUAUAUCCAUUUGGGAUGUUGUCUCUGGUACAAAUGUGAUCUUACUUGUCUCGAUUUUUGUAUGGAUCAAGGUGGUUGUUAGUUGCAAGUGCCUAACCUUGAAGAAGGAAUGGGUAUGCCAAGAUGUUCAAGCAGCUCAUAGGGCCACAGGUUCUGACCCUAAAGAAGUACCAAAGAACCAGUUCGGUGUUGACCCUUGCGAUUCCAACUGUACAGAUGGCUGAAUCGGUGUUAAAGCAGCGCAAUGUCAAAGAGAUUGAGGUAAACAGAAACAAUAAAAAGCUCUCAGAAUUAAUCCCACUCUUAAAGCAACUAUUACAAACCUUUAUUUCUAAUCAAACAUCUUAGGAGGAGCCUAGCGGGAAAAGUUCAUCAAAGCGAAGGAAAAGGCGUGAACGGGGUCAGGAGUCAGGACAUUCAGGAGACCACAAGGCUGCAGGUAAUUUCUGUCUUUUAAAACAAAAAAAAUCGGAGAAGCCACAUGUCUCAUAUGUUUUGUCAUCUACUUAAAGACACCAUCUGUUUUUUUUUUUUGUUUCUUCUCUGCAGAAACUUGCUGUCGUUCACGAAGAGGAUACUGAUGGCCGUGAUGUUAAUGGCGAUGGGAGCCGCUGUUUCAUACUAUGGUUAUAAGGGACUCUUGUGGCUUUCUGAUUGGAUGAAAGAAGUCGAAGAACAAAGACAAAAGUCUAGAAGAUACCCGCGAAUCUAACUGGUUUCGAGAGUUGUUACUUCUCAAGCUUAGUGACAACACAGUUAGCUUCGAGACAUUUGGUCUUUCUUUUUGGUUUAUCACCGAAGGGGAUUAUGGUAAGACCGUAAAUGCUGGGAAUCUACAAAUAUAAACAAUUAUCACCGAAGAAAAGAGAAAGCAAUUAUCACCUAGUAUUAAAUCUAUAGAAUCCAGACGUUAUGGUAAGGCCGUAAAAUCUGGGAAUCUACAAAUUAAUCUCCUUAAUCAAAGUUUCUGUUGACCGAAUCAUUAACUAAUAAAAAAAGAGAGACGCAAUCGGGUAAGAUUUUUGACAGGUGUGAGACAUUCAUUGGACCUCACGAUUCCCACUUGUUUACUAAACUAGAUUUUUGUUGUAGUACAAAAGAAAGAAGCAGUACAAAAAAAGAAGAAGGUAUUAAUUUUUUUUUUAUGCAUUAGAAAAUGGAAAGAAUAGAGUUCUAUCUUUUGAAUUCAAACACUAUAAAAUGCACAGACGUGUAAAGUUUAGACUACAGCUUGCAUGUAUCGAACUUGUGGCAUGACCGCAUGAGCGGUCCACCGUGGACCACAACACUCAAAACAAUUUACAUUUGUUAAAACACAUAUUUUAAUAUAAAGUAGAAAAAAGAAAUCACCGGGAAAAAAACAAUUACCACAUUAAAAUAUAAUAAAAUCGAGACGUUUUUGGUAAGGCCGUAAAAUCUGGGAAUCACAAAUAUAAAUAGUUAUUACCUAUUUUAUAAGAAAAGAAAGGAAAAAAACCUGAAAAAACCGCCAUUUAAUUUUUUUUUUUACCGUUUAAUACGUGUAGUAUUAAAUUUGAAAUAAAAAUAUGUCAUUUAAUUUCGAUUGUUUUUUAAAACCUUCGUUUUAAAAAAAUUGGUAAAAUCGUACCUCCGAGUUAACGACCGUUAACUUUGCUAACGGAAGCACCAACUGUGGUUAAAACUUAACCAAUGGUGUUUAAAUAUAUAUAUAUAUACAUUCUCUUUGUUUAAUUAGACGAAUAUACUGACUUAGUCAGGUGGUUAAUGUCUGUGGACUUUCCAUCAUUUCCUGGGUUCGAGUGCCCCUCUCUCAACAUCUGUUAGACGUUUUUAAAUGGGAAAAAUGUCAUUAAAAUCCUCAACUUAUUCAAAACGUUUAUUUAAAUCCUCAACUCACGACGAAACGAAAUAAAUAUCAAACUUAUGUUGACUUUCCAAAUAAACACCAAACUUUCAUUGACUUGGCCAUAUUAGGCAUGACGUUAAGUGAGUUAACAGACAAUGUGAAUCACGAAUGUACGUACGUAAAGUUGUGUCUUUUCGAUUAACACAUGUACGUAUACGUUGUUUCGUGUUGUAUAAGUAGAUCGAGUCAAACUCAAUAAUAUCAUUGUGUGUAAUACAUUUUAUCUUAUCAAUAAGAUCCAGUUUCUUCAUACUCUGUUAAAACAGAGUUCGUUUGUUGAUCAAAACACUAACAAGUAUUCCUUCUAAACAUAAAACGACGUUGUUUUGUCGUAACUGUUCAAUAAAAUCCCGAGUUUCAAAUCAUACUCUAUUUAGGGUUAGGGAUAAUGCUCGAUUUGGGGAUCUAAGAUUGACUUUAGGGAUUUAAUUCAAUCGUUACGACAUAACGACAUCGUUUUGUUGUUAUAUGAAACAAUGUCGUUAUCAAUUAACAUAUAUGUUAACAGAAAAUUACCUCCGUUAACGAGAUCUAUUAACCCACUCAACGUCGUACCUAAUAUGGCCAGGUCAACGGAAGUUUGAUAUUUAUUUGGAAAGUCAACAUAAGUUUGAUAUUUAUUCGCAAAGUCAACAUAAGUUUGAUAUUUAUUUGGAAACCUCCACAUAAGUUUGAUAUUUAUUUCGUUUUGUCAUGAGUGANNNNNNNNNNNNNNNNNNNNNNNNNNNNNNNNNNNNNNNNNNNNNNNNNNNNNNNNNNNNNNNNNNNNNNNNNNNNNNNNNNNNNNNNNNNNNNNNNNNNNNNNNNNNNNNNNNNNNNNNNNNNNNNNNNNNNNNNNNNNNNNNNNNNNNNNNNNNNNNNNNNNNNNNNNNNNNNNNNNNNNNNNNNNNNNNNNNNNNNNNNNNNNNNNNNNNNNNNNNNNNNNNNNNNNNNNNNNNNNNNNNNNNNNNNNNNNNNNNNNNNNNNNNNNNNNNNNNNNNNNNNNCUUUAGUAUUUCCCUCCGUUAACAAGGAUCUCGUUACAUUUUCCAUAGGUGAAUUCUCAAUUACAAUUUCCCAAAAAAAAAGUAAACACGAUUGUUGCAUUCUCUACCGAUUGAGUUUUUACUGGACGAAUCUGCAGGACAUGGAUUUGCUUGAAAAUUGCAACGCAUCAAAUUUUCGAUCUCUGAAUUUCUGGGUUUAUGAUUUGGUCUGGAAAGCCAUUGUUCAGUAGGAGAAGAGAAAGCCAAAAGAGAAGAAGGGAAAAAAAAAAAAAAAAAAAACGUCUAAAAGGUCCGAAGGGGAUUCGAACCCUAGAUCAGAUGAAAAGUCUACACACAUUUAACCACCUGACCACAAGAAAUUCGUUAAACUUGGCAAAGAGUAUGUAUAUAUAUAUAUAUAUAUAUAAACAACUAUGGGUUAAGUUUUAACUACAGUUAGUGCUUCCGUUAGCAAAGUUAACAGUCGUUAUCUCGGAUGUACGAUUUUACCAUUUUUUAAACAACGAAUGUUUUAAAAAACAACCGAAAUUAAGUGACGUAUUUUUAUUCCAAAUUUAAUACUACACAUAUUAAACGGCAAAAAAAAAAUUAGAUGGUGGUUAUUUCGGGUUUUUUCCCAAAGAAAGAAAGCAUUACCAAAAAAAAAAGCAUUUAUCACCUAGUAUUAAAUAGGAGUAUAAAUUAGAGACGUUUAUGGUAAGGCCGUAAAAUCUGGGAAUCUACAAAUGCAAACAAUUAUCACCGAAGAAAAAAAGAAAGCAAUUAUCACUGAAGAAAAAAGAAAGCAAUUAUCACCUAAUAUUAAAUCUAUAUAAAAUCUUGACGUUUAUGGUAAGGCCGUAAAAUCCGGGAAUCUUUAAAUUUAUCUCCUUAAUCAAAGUUUUGUGUUGACCGAAUCAUUAACUAAUAAAAAAAAAGAGAGACGUAAUCGGGUAAGAUUUUUGACAGGUGUAAGACAUUCAUUGGACGUCUGCGUUGGCAAAGUUGUUGGCCUAUCUUACCCCCUCACGCUCUUUCUAUAUAAUAAACCAAUCCUCUCGUCCUCUUGUUAUCUAUAAUCUAAUAAUCUUCGACUUCUCCUCUUAAUUCAUAUCCUACGUAGCAAGUUUUAGAUCUCCCUUCAGUUCCCAUCCAGUUUCAAUCCCCACCGAUGGAUAAUCUUGGUCAAUCUCCGCCGAUGGAGAACCGCGGUCAAUCGCCUCCAUUGGUGAUCAGUCUUAUUGACAGAUUAGGCCUCCUCCUCUACAUGCUAAGUAAUUUUUGUAACCAUUGUUCUGAUUCUUAUUUCAUAAUCAUCACGCAUUUUAAUUCUUCUAAUUUCAUAAUCAUCACGCAUUUUAAUUCUUUUUUCAUACUAAAAAAUGAUUUAUUUUCCAAUUUUUUUUUUGAUUCUUUUUCAAGUUCUCAAAUUUUGUUUUAGACACAAAAUCAUACUUGAAGCUUUGGUCUCAUAAUUACUUUUGUCUUUGUAUUUCUUAUUGUUAGCAUUGCAAGCCCAUAUGAUCCAAGAACAAAGCCUAACACACUAAUAAGGAGCAAGUCAUUUUUCCCCAAACCCUUAGAACCCUAAAUCUCUAUCCGGUUCUGUUGUCACUCUCUCUCGACGACCAUUUUUCUAAAGAAUAUGUUGAAUCUGAGCUCUCCUUUGAUUUGUUAAUGGAUCGACCAGCUUAUUGGCAGAGUAACUAGGAAACCAAAACACACUCACUGUCACUGGUGAACACUUAAACAUCUUUUCAAGUAUCUGAUUCCACCUAGAGACUGACUUAGCAUAGCUGGAGUUAGUAUGCUCAGUGUUCGCGCACCACAGUACUUACCAUUUGUCCUACUCAGCUACUUCUUAGUCGAUAAUACACUCUACGNNNNNNNNNNNNNNNNNNNNNNNNNNNNNNNNNNNNNNNNNNNNNNNNNNNNNNNNNNNNNNNNNNNNNNNNNNNNNNNNNNNNNNNNNNNNNNNNNNNNGGAUUGGGGCCUAGCCAGAGACAGAAUUUCCCUAGGUGAAAAAAAAAGAGAGUUUUUAGUAAAGAAUACCGAAAAGAAAGCAAACAUUCAAUACUUACCAAGGGUAUUAGAGGUCCAAGGGUAAGUAUUGAAUGUUUGCUUUCUUUUUGGUAUUGAGUCUUUACUAAAAAUUCUCUUUUUUUCUCUCUUAGGGAAAUCUGUAUAGAGCAAAGUCUAUGCACGUUCAAUACCAGGGUGCUAAGUCAGACACUAGGUGGAACCAGAUACUUGAAAAGAUGUUUAAGCGUUCACCAGUGGCAGUGAGUGUGUUUUGGUUUCCUAGUUACUCUGCCAAUACUAGUGGAGCCGUAAGAUCCUGCACUCCAGGCAGUUACCAGAAUCGAAUCUUUGCUGACAAGAUUAUAUGAUAGACUCACUGCCCGGCCUUUACAUUCUGCCUCCCGAACAGCGAAAUCUUCAUCUCCGUCGCCACUAGAUGCUUUAUAUAAAGGGCCCUGUACACAAGGAAAACAAGAGAUCAGCAUUACAAGGCAAACAGUAGACAAACAAAGAACACUUAAGGGUGGUCCAUGUGUAUUUGUGUCAUCUCUUUUGUCCCGUCUGUGUUCCGAAUCAAGUUAAGGAGGGGGUAUAAAUCUUUGACGAAGACCACUGGAUUAUAAACCACAUAUCUAGAACACUGGUGAAACAACUAAAAUCUACGAGGAGCACUUGAAAAAUCUCACGUAACAACCCCAAAAGAUGAGGAAUCCAUACCUGUAAAGCCAAUGAUGCGUCAAGCAAAGCAUAAGGAUGAGCUUUCACCACCAAUAUAUUUUCACCUCUAGUUCCUUGCAUCGUUGUAAAUCUCCAUUACCGAUUCCCAUUUGUAAACACUGUUGCAAUAUACAUCCGAAGUAAUCUCAGUCAGCCUCAAGGGCAGUUAAACACAAAACAUCACAACGAACUAAAACAUCUUCCAUGACUUAUAAAAAUUGGACAUAAAGAGGAUAGUCCGUGGAAGGAAUGCAUUUGUAUACAAGGCAUCCCCGCGUCAGCAUGAAUAAACUAUUUGAUAUAUCAAAGGAAUACCCCUGAAAAGCUUCAAAUGAGCUAGUGAGCCUAGAUUUGGGAUCUAAAACAGCUUAAUGAGAAUCAUUCAUAUCGUGUUCAAGAAACCAGAAAACCAAAAUGUUACUAUCUUGUAAACUUAGCAUACCAGGUACAGCUUCAAGCGAUAAAAAACUUAUUAAUUAACUGCCAGAGAAGAAUGAAAAGGAGAAAGAACCAUUAUCCUACCUUCCAAAUGGCACAACUGGGCACAGGAUAUAAAUUGAACCAUCAGUGAAUAAUAUAAAGAACUGCACCAUUGAAAGAUUUGGUGAAGACAUAAACAUGUAAUCCUCAAAGCUCUAUUUGACAAGACAACUAAGCAAAAUCUCUGUCAGUUUUCAAACAAGAAUUUGUACUGAACUUACAGUGAAUCUAUCCCACAGAUGAUCUCCUCAGAAACUGAAAUCAGCAGGAUAAAUUGAUGAAGCUGUUCCAGAUCUUCCUGGCUCACCAGAUCUCCUUAUAAUCAGCAUCUGAAGACAAAUCGAAUAGCCUAGCAAAAAGUUUAGCACGCAAAUUACUUUUAGUAAGCCAAGAAGCUCUUAAAUCAGGAUUAAAUGGAAUGAUUCGACUCCUUAUAAUGAGAUAUUGGACCAGAAGGUAACAUAGUAUGUCAUUGCAUAGCAGAAAUUAAGAAUCUACAGCCUUUUUUACUGAAUUUCUUCUACAAUUUCUUUAACAUCUUUCCAUAAUGAUAUAGAUCAAUAUAUUGACAUGUACAUCCACCUUCAUUAUCAACCAAAAAGAUUGUUACCUGAAAACUGCAUCCGAGGAUAGAAUUUCCAAAUGGGUGUCACUAUCAGGGUGCCACAAUGCUUGUAGCAAGUUUAUGGCAUUGUCACCACUAGUAUAGAUUUCUGAACCAAUAGAAACUACCCUGCAACCCAUAGAUUAUGAAGUGAUAACGUAUAAGCAGAGAGGCCAUCAAUUUAAGCUAGGUAACAUCAUAAUCAAGAAUAUAAAUGCAUCUUAUAAGGGCAACGUUAAUCACUACCUGCAAAUGAUAUUGUAUUCUACCACAGAAGCACGUCCAAAUAGGUACAUCACACAUAUUCCAUCUGAGCCGGCAAGAAGUACAGCUGAUCCAGACUUAUUAAUGGAGAUUUUGCUAACAGAAAAUGUCAGUUGAAGGUCUGGUUGCAUCACCUAUAAUAUCAUUUUUUACUAAAACUUAGUCAAUCACGAAAAUAGCAGAACCUUGGACAUUCCUUACCAGCAAUGUACAAGUACAUCAGACCAAACAAUCACAUUAUUUCUUGAUCAUUUUUCUCCAGUAGCUCCAACCAAUAAAACUUAAAAGAACACAACUAAGACAACUCUUUCAAAUCCUUACAAUUAGAAGGAUAAUCACCUAUAGCGAUCGGUCCCCAAGCUUUUUAUUCAAACAAUCAUCAUCUUAUUGCACAUGCCAUAAAAAAAGACACUUCCACAUUUUAUCACUAAAAUUCAUCUGUGUAGCAGACCACAGAGGAAAACUAUAGGUUUUUGACACUAAUACAUAGCAAGAAGAAAAGAUCUUCCUAUCAUCCAUCAGUAAGAAAUCUAAUUUCUCAAACUCUUCCUAAACCUAAUUUCUCAAAGUCAGUAAAAUGUCAGCAACAAUCGCACUAAGAAAUCCGUUUCCGCUUUCGAUAAAUCUUCUUCUCAAUACUCAUUUUGGCCGAAUUAGCGGUGAAAACAGAAAGAGGGAGUAAAUGACCUUGGACGGGACUGCGGCGAGGACGGAUGAUGGUUCAGGCUCACCCAAGCGCAGAGAUAAUCGGUGAAGGAGAUAUCGUUUAGAAUCCCAGUAGUAUAGGCGCCAGUCUCCGUCCCAAGCCAUCAAAUUUCUCGGAAAACGCUGCGACGCGGCGAGUUCAUCCUGGGAGGAUGGAAGAGAAGCGAAAACCGGGUGGCUCUGGAGAGGAACCCACCGAACCGGCUCUUUAGGCAUCGGAUAUCGCCGUGAAUCUGGCGUAUCCUCUGGCUCCUAGAAGUUAAAUUUCAUACUCUCUCUCUCUCUCUCACUCACUGUAUAUGUGUUCGUCGGCCAGGGCGUAGAUGUAGAAGAGCAGGAAGAGAACAGAGAGAAGAAGCAGAUACAGUUGAGACUUUUAAUGGGCUUUUCUUCGGCCCAUUAAAUUUCUCUGAAAUAAAGUGUGCUGUCUUAUAAAAAAACUGAAAUAAAGGACUUAUUUUAAAAUAAUAUACAAAAAUUGAAUCUGAACCCUAAAACUUAAUUUUUAUUGUACCUUGAGGUUCAAGCUAAUGCAUAAGGUCAUGUUAAUUAGUUUUGGAUUCUGAACAAACAUGGUGGAUUAUUGGGGAAUUGAGUUGAAAAUAGGUUUGAGAGCGUAAGGGAUACUCAAGGUUUUUUUGGUUUGAUUCGUUCAUAAUUCAUUGUUUAUCAUUGACAAGCAGAAGCUGAAUUCAGUUUUCAACUCUAUCAUGUCAGUCUUCUGUUUCUGAAUCCUGAUGAUUUUGUAUCUGCAAAGGCACACGAUAUGGCGCCAGUGUUAGGAAACAGAUCAAAAAGAUGGAAGUGAGCCAGCACAGUAAAUACUUCUGCGAGUUCUGCAGAAAGGUACUCUCUCUUAUGAUCACAAAUUUCAUAAGCUUGAUGGUGCUCUCCUGGUUUCUUUGAUUUGAUAAUAUGCUUUGAUUUGUAAUCUGCAGUACGCUGUGAAGAGAAAGGCUCUUGGUAUUUGGGGUUGCAAAUACUAAUAAACCUCUAAAACACUGUCACACUUAUCCAAAAAAAAACUAGUAAACCUCUAAAAGGCACAUAUGAAGGAAAUAAGAUCAGCAGCCUCCCCUCUAUAGUUUUUCUCUAUAUUUACAUAAAUCUCCCAAAAAGAUCUCUAAACCUGUACACUACCAAAAGGCCAAAACCCUCUCCACGAAAUCGGGAUCCUCAGUAGUCGAGCAGAGUAUCGUCUUCCCUGUUUGAAUGAAAGUAAAGGUGAGACCACAAGAGCCAAGAACAAGGGAUAUGGUAAUGUUGUAUUAUUCAGAGCUUAUGUAUUAACUCAUACCAAAACUCAUUUUCGAAAUGAUCAGAUGAAUCAUAGUCCUCCUCCUCUUCAUAAUGAACGUAGCUCUCAUAGAACUGUAAAGUAGUCGGAAAAUGAAAUGAAACAUAGUGACAACUGAUUAUGCAAAAGACGGAAACACAGACAAUGCUUCUUGGUUUUGUAAAAUAAAAAACACAAUGACUCUGACCUUGUCAUAUCUCCCAACAGUUUUCGAAUCUGCCUCAUCAUCUGCCUGCAAAUUGGUCAUCACAGUUUUUAACAGUUUCAAAGGAAAUCAAAUGCAGAUGAAGCAACUCUUUUUCGAAUAAUUAUAAAUUGAGUAAUAACUCCAUAGAAUCUUCCAAUGUAUCAAUUUAUGAUCCAGGGAUAUAAUCGACCUUAUCAAUACUUUUAGCUUCUUCGUUUAACUUUCUGCUGUGUGCCAAAUCAACCUCCAUAGCACGGGCAUUGAAUGGUUUUUGGUCCUGGAUACAAGCAACAAUAAUACAAAAAUCCAGCUUAUAAAACAUGGUUAGCAGUAGAAAUAAGAAGCUUUUUGAGUACUUUAAGAACAAACUGAUACCUCUGGUAACAUGUUCUUCCAUACAUUGAAACAUAUUCUGCUAGCAUCCACCAAGUUUCCAUUGUACUUUUCCCUAAAAUCCUCUCUAGAGAAAGAAGAAACAAUAAUAGUUACUGAAGAUUUAAAUCACUAACUACUCAGAUUUCACUUCUCACUAUCAAUUUCCCCACGUUUAUUGCAUCACAGCACCAAGAAGGCAAGAACCAACAAAAGGAUCAACCUUUCACUUAAAAGGAAAGACAUUGACCAUAUGAAGUAACAUCAUCACUCCCUUUUUAGACCUAAAGCAUUCAAAUUCUUAAACCCACUCAAAAUCCACUUUUUAUCUCCAUCUAAUUCACCCAAGAAAUUGAACACAAUUGCAUUAAGAAACAGAGUAAAAGUCUUUGGUUACUGUACAAGAAGAAGACAAAUGGUGAUCUGGGUUCAUCUUCAAAGCUCCCAAUUGGUUUCGAGAUAUUAAUGACAUUGCCACUGGCAAUGUACUUGAAUCUCUUCACUUCCCUUCUCUUCUCACCGCACUCAUGCAUAUCAAACAGACCAAUCGCUAUCAUAACACCACAUUCUUCACUGUAAUAAAAUCCCAAAACAGAGUACAUCACGAAUCUAGAUAAAACCCUAAAGAAAUCUGAAUCGACGAAUCCAAAAACUUAACAAAAAGAGAAAUACCAUUUUUUAAAAGCGCUUCCAUCAGCAGCACGACGAACUGCUUGAACCCUUUUACGAGUUCUCGGCCGAAUCGCCAUUAAUGCGCAUCAAAGAUUUUUUCUAUUUCUGACAGAGAAUAAAAAGAGGUUUAACCUUUUUGUUUCUUUACUGUGUUGUGUGCACGAGAACUCAACAGGCAUCGGAUCGCUUACGUGUCAACUGCACAUUUUAGCGUUAGUGGAUUUUCUGCUAACGUGCGCUUAACAAAUAACACGCGGGACAUAACUGGCGCGUAAUCAAAACAGAGGAAAUCUCUCUCCCGCUUCCAGGAUUAAUUAUUUAUUAUAACCAAUAUAAUUUAGACACGUAACCACGCGGGGAAUAUGCGAAUAUAACACUUCAUAAUUGGGCAGAUAUAUAAGCUAAUUUCAUUGGAUUUUAAUGCGAAAAUAAAAUACACACUUCAACACAAAGCAAGAAAAGGAACAAAAAAAAAAAAAAAAAGACAUUAAAUGGGAUCUUCGAAAUUUUUGGAGAAGAUCAAUCUUAUUCUCACCAACUCAAAUAACAAAAUAAAAAAUCCAAUAGGAAAAGAACACGUGGAGGAGAUUUGAAUCAGUUGGUCCUCCCGCAAACCUUGCGGAUUUCACCGCUACUACCAGUCAACGGGCUGAUAUCACCCAUCUUGAUCAUCGCCGCCGCGAAGUCAGAGUUAAAGCUCGAUGGAUUGUUGCUGUAUCCACGGACAAUGGAGUCAGUGGAGCCUCCGUUGAAGAGCACUUGGUCGGAAUGGAGGAGACCUCUCUGAGUCAUGAGAUUCUUGAAGUAGUUGUUGUCGAAGGAAGCCGCCGUGGUGACGUCUAGUGGAGCUAGGUUUCCGUCGCCGGAACCGGUGGCUCUAGGGCAAGUUCGUUGACGUGUGGUGGCGAAGGCGGCGUUGAUGUUUGUCUCGUUGUAGAUUCUCGCUCGGAAGUUCGUGCAACGGGAUUGUCCGAUCGUGUGUGCGCCUGAAAACAAAAACAAAAAAGUUUGAAUGAUUAGUUUAAUAGUUGACUUAAUUAUUUUAAGGAUCAUCUGAAUUACUUUGUCGGUGUUGCGUAACAGUAAUUUAUAUGAUUACGUAAUUUUGGGAAAAAAUAUGAUUACGUAAUUUUGUUUGGGAAAAAAAAAAAACAGAAAAGUCGGUGGUGCGUUACAAAAAUGUGUUGAAAAAAAGUCGACAAAAACAAACAACACAAUCAAAUUAUAUUAUUUUGUGUCGACUCUGUUGACUGUUGUGUUGGUCCUUUGAAAUAUUUCUUUUUAUGUUUCUUUUUGUUAAACAAAUUGGUGAACGAAUAAAAUUUAAGAAAUAUUCACAGAUUAAGAAAUAAUUUUUGUCACCAAUUUUUAGCAAUCUAUUAGUAAUCGAUGUUUGAAAAAUUGCAAUCAACCUUAAUCUGUGAUACAUAUAUAGUUGCGUAAAUAAUAAAUGGGAAUUGGGUUAAGCAAGAAGAGAAGUGAAACGAACCGGAGAGAGCAACCAUAUCUCUGGUGGAGAGUCCAACAGCACUGAAACUACUAAUGAGUUGGCUCAGACUCGAAGUCGGGGCCGGAAUGUUACUAUUCGCUGCCGCUUGACUCGCCGUUCUUGCAUCUCUUCUUCCUACUUUAACAUUCCAAUUCGGCCCUCCAAGCUUCAACAAAAUAGAGACAAAUUCAUGUUUUAGACCGGUUUAAUCUUUUAAAUUUUCAAAACCAGACUAAGAGAGGAAAUAGGGAGCUUACGACUACGACGGAGUCUCUAGCUGCAAUGGCUAAGAUAUCAGCACAAGACACAACCCCGGGACAUGCUUUCUCAACCGCUGAUUUGAUGUUGUCGAUCACAUUAAACCCACGAGCUGAAUUGCGGUUUGGGGCCGCGUUUUGUUCUCCUGUGAAGCUCGACGUGUCAUCUAGCAGAAUCGAACCGUCACAUCCCUAUAUAUGUAAGCAUGACAGUGGUUAGAAGUAAAGAACCAAAAUAAAAAUUAUGCUAAGUUUCUUGAGAUGCAAGGAAAACAAAAAAAAGGUAAAAGAAAAAAAAACUACGUUGACGAAGCAAUCGUGGAAGAAGAGACGGAGGAUAGAUGCACCCAUUCGAGCCUCGCUGUUAACGGCAGAUUUAACGGCGCUUUGGACGGUGGAGAGGAGGUUAGGGCAAGAGGUUGAGUAGAAAUUAGUCGUGAGUUGUGCUUCGACGACGUUAUUGUUAUUACCUUGGAGUAAAAGUGUAAGUACGAGAACUAGAAUAGCAGUAAGUUGAUUUGAAGCCAUUGUAGGUUAAAACAAAGACUUGAAUAUAAUAGACUUAGAGUUGAUUAUUGUACUUGAAGAACAAAGCAUAACAGAAUCGAGGUUUAUAUAGAGACGUGAAGGAUGUUCUAAAGUGAAAGAUAGGUGACCUAACGCGUUGAAAAAAUGUGUAACUCUGUUAUUUCUUUUGGUUUUUAGGGUUGAAUUAUCAUUUUUGCAUGGAAUUGAUUUUGUAACUAUCUACGUCGGAGAGAGAAGUAAAAACCAAAUUUAUCAGCGAUAAUAUUAUUUUCCCAAAUGUCAAGUAAAUAGUAUAGCCAUCAAACUAAUUAGCCGAAGUCUCAAAAUAGUUGACUUUGAAUAUGGGUGAGAAAAUAAGAGAUUAAUGGGGUUCAAAAAUAAAACAGAUGAGUGUUUAUUCUUUGGUGGUCGUGAUAAGCGUGACACUGUUACAGAAUAAAUUGUUUGUGCUAAAUAUAAUUAGCUCGUCUAAUACUAUAGACAAGACCCGAUUUUACAUUAGAUGGAAAUAUAUCGAAUUUUUGUUGGAUAUAUAUUACAUGAAUGAUUAAGAGAGAUUCUGCGAAAAUUCACACACACCUGGUUGUAAAUUGAUGAGAUUGUGUAUAUAUGAAGUUAUAAACUAAUUAAGCAGAGAGAAAACAAAUUCCUUUAAACAAUGCUUUCAGAUAUUUUUAGUUGAUAUCGUUGUGAUUGUUUGAAUAUUUGUAAUUUUUUUAAUGUUUUUUUUUUUGAAUAUUUUUAAUAUUGUGUUCUUUUUUCUUGCUAACAUCAAAUAUUAAUUGUUUAACCAUCUUACUGAUUUUUUUUUUUUUUUGUCGUCUAGAUUUAUUAUUAAUUGCAAAUUAUGAGAACUGUUACAUAGAUGAUUCUACAACUGACAAUUCUUUCCGACCCUUACUAGAUUCACGACAGACUACACUUCAUUCUUCGUAAUCUUGAUGAAAACCUUCAAUGAUCCACGACCUGGCGACACUUCCUUCUCUGCGUAGAAUCUUGGCGAACGGCUAUAAUUGUACAUCGCUGGAGAUCUCUUGCACACUUGCCUCCAUUAAUCUGCAAAUUUGUUAAUAAAUCGCAAUAUCUGGGACUCGAACCCCAGACCUUUUGGUGUAGAAGCAUUAAUCAACCCUUUGUCAACCAAUGAGCCAAGGAGGCUUCCACAACCAUCUUACUGAUUAGUUAAUGAGUCGAUACAUAUUAAUAAUUUGUCUUUUACCAGCAUAUAAUAAGGUAACUAUUUGGAAACGCAUCUUCUUUAAGAUGGAUCUACACAUAUGUCGAAAUCUGUUUUAUUUUUGGUCCAAAAUCUGUCUAUCUCAAAUGUUUUCAAACUUCAAAAAAGCAGAACGCGCGAUAAGGUUUUAGAGAUUUUCGAUGUCCAAAAAAAACGUUUUUACAAAAAUUUAAUCACGAUAAUCAAUCAAAAAUUCAAAAUCAUGAUUGAUCUUUGAAAAUACAUGCCACUAAAACUGUAGUACUUCCGAUUCUAAAAAUGGCAGCAAAUAGAAGAACAAUAAAAAUCAUCAAUCGCGCGUGUUUAACUCAUAGAGUCAUGGUAAUUGAAGAUGGAUUUUUACUGUUUAGUAAGUGACAACUAAAUACAAUAAAAAAAUAUAUCAUGAUACAGUGUAUUGUCCUUGCACAAAAAAAAAAAGAAAGAUAGAGUCAAUUGUCAACUGAAUUUAUUUUUUUCUACAUUUUUGAAUAUCAAACUUCUAUUUAAACAAAGUUGAAAUUGACGUAUUAUUUUUGAACAUAUAUACAAUCAAUAUUUAUAUUAUUUUAUUUUAUAUUUUACUGAAAAUACCGUAUCUGUUUGUGAUUUAUAUACAUUUAAUUCAGAUAAAUAAGCCAUGAUAUAUUUGUUUUCAAAAAGUUUUGGAUCUAGAUCCAUAUAUAAUCUCUUCAUGCUCGGGGUAGAGAAUAUGUAAGCAUGUUGAAAUAGUCAUUUUCUUAUCGUAGAUGUUGGGACAUGAAAUUUUGAAGACUCCUUUUUUUGGUAGCUAACUAGCUAGUGUAUGCCGGAAGAAAUAGUAUUUAAUUUCUUUUUGUUUAAUUAGCAGUGGGCGUCUAAGACCAAGCGCAGUGGCGCAUGUAGGCGUCGGAUGUAUGUAAUUUAAUAUAGAAAAAUAAUGCAAAAAGUGGCUUUUCAACAACACCCACAUGUAGAGUUGCAUUCGGGUGUGGGCAUUAUAAAAAGGGAAAAAAAAAAUUUUGUCUCUAUCUCUCUCUUUUCUCUCUCUCUAAAUAUAAUACUAAAAACUUAUUUACAUCUAUACUAACACAUUCACCACUGUGGGUGCUCUAAGUCAGUCUUAGCACCCGACUAAUCGUGGAAGGUGAUAGCAAACAGCUUGUCUGAAUCCCUGAAUACCUAAGAGCAACCCCAUUGAUGGUUUUUAAACAUAAGUCUCUUAUUUUAGAGAGAAAAAAUAUAUUAAUAAAAAAAUGUGUGGGUUUCUUAAAUAGUGAAGAAACCCUCUACAAAGUAUGUCAAAGUACCUUAUAUAAGAAAUUUUAGAGAGUGUUUCUUCACUAUUCAAGAAACCCACACAAUUAAAUAAUUAUACUUUUGUUGUCUUAAUGUUAAGAGACUUAGUUAAAAAAAACACUCAUUGGGUUGCUCUAAUGGUCCACACACAUAUCAAUGUUGCGCCAAUAAAUUGCAACCCAAAAAGCAGAACAAAUUUACGCUUUGAUCCCUAGAUUCUCAGUCUCCAGUCUUUACCCUUACGCCAUCCCUAGCUACAUGGGUUUAUCACUUGGUGCUUUUCGUAUGUUUUUACACGCUGAUUUUGAUGCCAUAACUAAUUCUUGUUAUCUUCUAGGUUAGAAGUCGUAAUAAUAAAUAAUAAUGUUCAAAGUCGCCAUAUACAGUUAUAUAUUAUGGAUUAGACAUACAUCUUUUUCAGCAUAUAUACCACGAGAAAAUAUAGAAGAGUUUGUUAGAGAGAGUUGUCAAGAAUAGUGGCCUCCUAAUUAUUUAACUAAUACUUUGGACCAAACAUUUGAUUUUAUGGAAAGAUAGAUUACAUCACAAGAUUUGUUAAAUUUUUUAUCUUUUCCAAUAUAUUCCCAGCAACUCUUUAUGUUCUUGACUUCUAUUUGAAGAAAUAUAGCAUUUCAUAUUUACAUCAAGUUUACACUGUAGGUUUUCUUCUCUAUUUUUUUUUCUGCUCACACUAAUAUACGAUCGCUUUGAAGCGAUUAAUUAGAUUAAUAAAUUGUUCAUUUAGUAUGUCAUAAUCCAUUACGGCAGACUGGAUUAUCCAUGUAUGGAUAGUUAAAAACUUCCAAUUAUAAAGCCAUAGAGGUUAGGUAUACAAAAUUAUCAAGUACAUAGAUAAUAGAUUUAAUCUCGCACAGCCAUUUUGUUAUCCAUUUAUGAACUAACUAUUUUCAAAUUUUAUUUUAAUGUAUACUAAUCGAGUGUGAAGAUCUUUCUCGUAAAACGAAUUAUAUGUUUAAAUAUUUGGAUUAAAGACUAAUUAUAAAACAAUAAUUAAGGGAAGAAGAAGUCACAUACUUUUAUAACACUAUACGCGGCUUUUACUUUUACAGGAUUACUUUCCAAAGGAGGCACGAUGGUCACUUUCAAGAUUACUAUAUGAGUUACAUACAAAAUCAAACUUAGUGGAAUUAAAAAAAAAAAAAAAAAAGAAGUUAGAUACCUUCUCCGGUCUCACUUUCACACCAACCUAUAAUUAACUUACUAAUCAAACCCUCUUUAAUAAUCUAUAUAUAGAAGAAACAGGCUUCUAGAUACUUACUUAACUUAAGUUACUUUAAAUUACAGGAAUGUUCAUUGGAUGUGAAGUUUAAUGAAUAUUAUUUAGCCACUUUAAGCCUUUAAGCAAAUGCUUGUUUAAGCUGACUAGGAACUUUCCAUAUUUUUAUUUGUUAUUGAGCCAUUUCAAAAAAUCAUAAUUAUGCUCUUCAUAAAACCACAAGAUUACAAUCACGUUUAUUAACAUUUUUAUAGAAUCUCAAGAACAUUUGAUUUCGUGAAAAUCUCUCAUAUUUUCUUUAUAAGUUAAAUUUUUUUUUAUCACACUAAAUUAUAUACAUUUGGUAAUCCUUAUUGUCAAAUGUCAAUGCCACCACUAUAUAUGUGAAUUUACUUUAUAUAUAUACAAGGUAGGCUUGGGCACGAAGCGGAUAUCCGGAAAAUUUGGGAUAUUCGUUAUUCGAUUCGAUUUAACCGAAUACUUGAUUUUGUGAUUUGCUUUGAUCCAAAAAUUUCCGGAUAUUCGGAAUAUCGAAUAUCCGGAUUUUUUUGUGAUAUUUGCGGAUAUCCGCUUCGAUACUUCUGUACUUAUUAAAACCCUAAAAACCUAAGCGCUCGCAUUUAAAACUACGAAGAAAAAUAGAAAAUUUGGGAAAAAGAAGUCGUCACAGGAUUUCAACUUCUUAUUUUUAAGGGAUAUUGAUUUUUUUUAAAAAUAAAUUUCACUUCACUAAUAAAAACUAUUAAAUUGUGUCACAAAUACAAGUCUGAAAAAUAAAAAACUGAGUUUACAAAUACAAGCCAAAAAUAUAUUACGAUGUACAUAUAUAUAUAUAUAUAUAUAUAUUUCUAAUAUAUAUCAAAAAAUACGGAUCGAAUCGGAUAUCCGACUUUUAAAAAAACAAUAUUUGCUAUUUGCUUCGGUUUUUACGAAUACUACAUUUUUCUAUUUGAUUUUCUCCAAAAUAUUACGGAUAUUCGGAUUUUUCGAAUCGAAUCAAAACGAAUACCGAGUCAACGCGGAUCGAAUAUUUUGCCCAGGCCUUACAAGGAACAAGAUAAUAAAUGGGUUGAACCAAAAGGGGUCACCUCAAUUGGUAAACAACUUCAAAAUUAAGAAAAGAUAUGAACCUCCUUGUCGGAGUCAAGAAUUGGAAAAAGUUGUUAAUGUGAGUAAUUGCUAGAAAGAAUUUUUAAACACUCUUUGCAGCAUAUAUUGAAGAUUAUUAUUUGAACCGUUAAUUACAUAGAAAAUGCCAAAGAAGCUAGAUUAGUCACCCCAUGACAUGAUGGGACAAUUUUAAAUACAGAAUAUUACCAACAAGAAAAUAAGAAAGUUAAUCGUAAACGUAAGUAAUCCACAUGUGACGUAUCUUAGUCUCGAUUCAAAGGCGAAUGAAAUAAAAUUUGAUUUGACAACGAUAGUCGCCUCUUCAGAGUUCUAGUUUUGAGUUUGAUUGAGGAAAGACCGAAAUGAAGUGUUUACAUAGCAGUUUGGGUAAACCGCCUGAGAUUUGAAUAUAAUGUUAUGUUUGAAGAGUGCUUUUUGUGGUAGUGAAUUAUGAAAUAUAUAAAAAUGAUUAAGAGUUUGGUUGUUGUCAUUGCAUCGUUUAUUUGCAUCCUAGGUUUGCAUUUAAAUGUAGAAUAUUUAUAUUCAUGUAUACAUUUACAAUCAUAAUAUAAUAAUAACAUUAGCAUGUAUAUUAUAACACAAUCAUUUAUAAAUUAAAUAAAAAUCACGAUCAUAAAUAAUAUGAUAAUUCUGAUAGUGGUUUGGCUCCAAUAGCUUCUACGUGUAAAGGUAUCUCAAGUCUUGAGAUUCCUAAGCUUUCUAAUUAUGUAACAUUUUCGAAACCGGACAAGGUCAACCAUAUUUGUCGUCUUCCAUUAUUUUAGUCAAAAGAUUACAAAAAAAUAAGAAAUUAAGAAACUAAACUAGGUGACAUCAUUGAUAUUUGACUCAAUGCAUGCCUAAUAUGUUUCUAUAUUAUAGCUUUGGAUAUGAAUGUUUGACUGUAGAACCAAGAUGCUGCAAAUUCUUUGAUACACACACGUAUAAUUAUUACUAUAUCAACGUAACACUUCGGUGGGACGAAGCUAAAACACUUUUGGAUUUUGGUGGGGUGGGUGGAGUAAAAUAACAAUACGAAACAAUACAAAAGCUGCAGUCACUGACAACAUACGAGUCAAAAAUUCAUAUCGUGUAGAGCGCCAAUUCAUGAGUAUGAAUGCCACGAAAUAGUUGAGGUUUUCAACUUUAUUUUACCGUUUAAUAAUCGAUUUAAACACUAAAAUCAUGCUUCACAACAACAACAAAAAAAAAAAAAAAAAGUGGGUCUGUGGAUACGUAUCCUAUUUUUUUCAAGAAUUUGUUUUUGAAAAAAUGAUAUUUAUGAAAGAAACAAAUCGAGAUUUUUAGCACUAUAGCAGUUGGAAGUAAAUUGAAAUUGGUGUUCCUUUACUCGAAUUAUUUAUACAUAUACACUAUCAAUUUAUUUACAAAUUUUGGCACAAUUUUCAUUCGAAAAAAAAAAACAAAUUUUGGCACAAUAUCAAAGCUGCGACGACCAUGACAUGGAUUUUUAAUAGUUUGUGCUAAUUUUAUUCUUAUAACACCAUUUGAAAUCGUCUACAUGUUAUUGAGAAAACAAAAAGAGACAAUAUAAAGUACAACAACAAUGUUAAAUGCUAAUCAGAAUUGUUUGAGUGGACUGUAAUAUUGUUUUCGUUCUCGACAUUUAGGUGUGUGAGGUUUGAAACUGAAAGUCCCCUUAAAAAACCAUUCAGACGCGUCUCCUUGUUGAACCAUAGUCUCUAGAUUCUUAAUUAGUGUGACAUAAAUUUUUAUGCAAAAAUGUUAAUGGGUCGGGUUUAAGUUUUGAAUAUGGGCCUAACUAAUAUGGGUCUCCUUUUAAUUUGAUGUCUUGUGGGCUAAAACUCUAAUUCAGAUUAUUGAAUUGAAUCCAUCUCUAAACAGUCUAAAGUCCACACAUUGUAGUAGUUUUUUGAAAUUUUAACUUUUUACGUUUUGAAAACUCAUACAACACUUGAAACUUCCAAUAUUUGUUCAAACAUUCAUAUUGGGAAUCAAUGAAUGACUAACGUAUGUUACAUAUGUCAGAAAACUUGUAAUUAACUAGAUAAUUAUCAAUUGAUAGUUAAUUAGUUAUUUUUGCGUAUGUUACAUACUUACAUUCAUUAUUAGGACACAUAAUGAAUGACUAAGAAUGUUUUUUUUUUGCGUUAACUUAUUACUCCCUCCGUUUUAAUUUAGUUGUCGUUUUAGGAUUUAAAUUUUGUUUCAUAAUAGUUGUCGUUUUAGGUUUUCAAUGCAAAUGUUUGGUAAAAAUUCCAGUUUUAUUCCUAUUGUUUUAAUAUUUUGGCCAAUGAAAUUUUUUAUAAAAUAUAUUAAUAUAGGGUAAAACAGAAAAUUUAAUGUUUUUCUUAAUUUAUGUGCAAAAACUUUAAACGACAACUAAAACGAAACGGAUGGAGUAUGUCUUAGAUUAAUAAGUUAUUUAAUAGUUUAAUUAAAAAAUAUAAUGGUGGCAUGGCCCUGACCGGCAUGUUAAUAGUUUCGAGGAGGCAGAAGUAGAAACCGCUCGCUCUUCUCUACCAAAAACUUUUUCUUCUUCCUCUUUCUUCGAUGUCUCUCAUCAGUUACCAAUCACAAUCUCUUGCUUUAAAUUGAUCCUUCUUUCUCUGUGUAAUUCUCCACUGAAUUCAACUUUAGUUCGUCUCUUUCCUUCUGGGUUUCUCUGCAAUUCCAAUUCUGGGCAUGUAAUUCGAAGAUUUUUCCCUCUUUAGUUUUCAAUCUUCUUUUGUCAAAGUUGAAGACUUUGUUCGUUUUGAAUCUGUCCGCUAGUAGAAUCUUCUUCUUUGAAUCGCUUUCAUAUCUCUGCUUUACGGGUUUUCACACUUUUGCCAGCAAUGUCUAAGCUUCCAAGCACAUGCCUUUGACUAACUUUUCCCGGUAAAGGAUUUGCUUUUACUUCUUUUUUCCUGGCACGAGAAAAUGGGCUCAACUGAUGAGGUUGAGAAAUCUAAGACUAGGGUUUCAUGUCCUCCUGCUCUCUCAACAUCUCAUAAGAUUCUUAUCAGUGAAGAGAAACCUAGGAGAUGGUCGGAGAGUUCGUUGCCUGAUGUCUCUAAUAGGAUUAAGCUUUUGAAAUUUGGUUCCGCUUCUGCUAGAUUCAAGAGAAUGGCAGAGGAAAGAGAUGAGGUUUCACGCUCUGUUAACAGCUCAAGCAGCCACAAUUUCCGGGAAAGAAUCAGUGUGGUGUUUUCCCGGAAAAUUGAGUGGGCUUGCUUGAUGAAAAUGGGUAAGCAAUGGCUACAAAACCCGUUGAACAUGGUUCUUUUCUUGUGGAUACUUGUGGUUGCUGUCUCUGGUGCGAUUCUGUUCAUGGUUAUGACCGGCAUGUUGAACCAUGCUUUGCCCAAGAAAUCACAGAGAGAUGUUUGGUUUGAAGUUAACAAUCAAAUCCUCAACGCUAUGUUUACUCUCAUGUGUUUGUAUCAACACCCGAAACGGUUUUACCACCUUGUGCUUCUCUGUAGAUGGAGGCAAGACGAUGUUACAACGCUUAGGAAGAUUUACUGCGAGAACGGGACUUACAAGCCAAACGAAUGGAUCCACAUGAUGGUUGUUGUUCUUUUGCUUCACUUGAACUGUUUUGCUCAGUAUGCGCUUUGCGGUCUUAACUUAGGGUAUAGAAGAUCCGAGAGACCUGCAAUUGGUGUAGCUAUAUGUAUAUCUAUUGCAAUAGCAGCUCCUGCGAGUGCGGGUUUGUACACUAUUCUUAGUCCACUUGGGAAAGAUUAUGAUCCUCAAGGAGAUGAGGAGAAUCAAGUGGAGCCUGUGGAAGAAGGAUCCGUUACUAAUCACAAGUUAUCUCUUGAAAGGAGAUAUUCAUUUGCUUCUGCAGAUGUGAGUAAUCCUGAAUGGAGAGGUGGAGUUCUUGAUAUAUGGGAAGAUAUUUCAUUGGCUUAUCUCUCUCUGUUCUGCACUUUCUGUGUGUUUGGUUGGAACAUGGAGAGGAUUGGGUUUGGGAACAUGUAUGUGCACAUUGCGACUUUUAUUCUCUUCUGUUUGGCUCCUUUCUUUAUAUUCAACUUGGCUGCUAUAAACAUCGAUAACGAGAUGGUAAGGGAAGCACUUGGAUAUACCGGAAUUGUGCUUUGCUUGUUUGGUUUGCUCUAUGGUGGUUUUUGGAGAAUACAGAUGAGGAAAAGAUUCAAGUUGCCGGGCUAUAACUUCUGUUGCGGGAGACCUGCGAUUGCUGAUUGUACACUCUGGUUAUUCUGUUGCUGGUGCUCUUUAGCUCAAGAAGUCCGGACCGCGAAUUCUUAUGAAAUAGUGGAGGAUAAAUUCUGCAAAAGAAGUGAAGAAAAUAGUAAGAUUGAUGAUGAGGUUGUGGUAUCUUCAUUGCCUCGUGAUGACGGUGUGUUUGAUCCGAGUUGCUCGCCUAAGAAGAUGACCACGGCGAUAGCUAGCUCGUCUCUUAGCCCGAGCAGACAGAAAUAUGAAACUUGCUUGGGAGAUAAAAGUGAUGAAGCUCUAAGUCCACCUUCUCCUCCAUUCAUACACAGAAGCUAGUUAGAACUUAGAACUAACAGUUAUUAAUCAAAGUUUGUUUCAAAAAAUUUCAGGUUUAGAAAAAUAUUAAACAAUGUAAAACCAGAUCUACUAUGGAUCUGUUUAUACGGUUCAGGUAUAUCUAUAUUUAAUUGGAACUAAAGUUUAAAUUCGUCUUGGAGUUUAUGAAAUUCACGAAUUAUAAACCAUGUAAAACAAUUCUAGUUUUGUUUGAAAUUUCAGUCAGAGAAUUAUGUUUCUUCUCAUCAUCUCAUGUGAGUUUUUACCAUAAACGUUUUUUUUUUUGUUUCUUCUACGAUGAACCACAUUACAUUGAUUUGGACCUUAAAGUGAAUUUAAAAAACAACAAUAGUUUACUUCAUGCUGCUUGAUAGGCUUCCUACCAUGUCUCGCCUUGCUUCUUGGGGGUUACAAACGUCUACUUCCUGCUGCUUGUGUUCUGGUUCUGUGGAAACCAGAGACCAUCUUUUCAUUGGUUGUCCAUUCUCUCAAGUCCUCUGGGACUCAGUUACGAUCAGACUAGGCCUCCCUGCAACUAUCUUUUCCACGUGGGACUCUUGAUGGAGUGGUCAAAGUCAGAAAUAGGUACUCUCCACCAAGGUGCCAACGCUUCGAUUGUUGCUGGUUCAUGCAGUGGUUUACAGUGUAUGGAUGCAAAGAAACAACUUCAUUCAUAACUACAUUGCUAUUCCUCCGGCUACUAUCUUUAAAGAUAUUGACCGGCAAGUUGUAAACUCAAUCUCAACUCGUAAGAAGAUGAACAAAUUCAGGAAUCUUAUGUCACUUUGGCUUCAUUUUUCCUAAAUCUUGUGAAUGCGUUAUUGUCUCCUUAUUUUUUAUUUCUUUUUUGGCAAGGUUUCAAAUGUAUAGUUCUUCUCUUGUAACACCUAACUUUCAUCUUAAUUAUAUUUACAUUCUUAACAAAAAAAUAAUAAUAACAACAACAAUAGUUGCUGUUUUUGCAUUAUGAAUUUUUCAUCCGACUUACGAUUUCUUCGAAUGUACUCAACUCAUCGCAGUGCUCAGAGCAUUCGAUCAAAUCAAACAUCUCUUCAAUGUUGGUUAUGUAUUAACAAACUUGUAUACAAACAAAUAGGUUCUAACCUGCGGUAUCCGUAUAAACAAUUAAGAACAAAAAACAGUAAAACGUAUAAAAAACAUCAAUUUUCCAUUUUCUCUUUAGUCCUUUAUCGUUGUCUAUUUUUCCUUUUAACCCGAAUUAUAUUUCCGUCUUAAAAUACAAUCAUGUCAAUUAGGGCCCAAGCAAAGUUUGUUGGUUUUCCUAAAUUAUGUAACUUAACAUUCUUUUUUUCUUUUUUUUCUUUUUUUUUUCUUUUUUUGUCUCAAGAGAUUUGAGAGAUUUGAGAGAAAACGAUUUGACUUCUGAAAUCAAGUUAGGGUUUUCUCUUUCUUUGUUGCCCUAGCAGAAACCGAUUCUCACGAGGAGCCGCCUCUGCUUUAUAGUUGUAUACCGAGCCAUAAAACCUAAGGAAAACAAAAGCUUAAGAGAAACACAUGGAGGAAAAGGGCACCCAAGAUGGCCCAAAACCGUCACAGGAUUCUGGCUUGCACAGGCUUUACUUCAAGGGUUUGACAAGGGAGGAAACAAGAGGGCUGGUGGCAGGAUUUGGGGUUGCAAUUUGCGGCCAAGAGGAUAAUAUCUUGUUUCAGAUGAAAGGAUCAAUUCAUGACUCCGAGAUUACGGCUUUGGAGGCUGAGCUUAUGGCAUUGAAACGAGGACUAACCGAAGCCGUGAGUUUGGGGAUCACUCAUAUCUCAAUCUACUGCGAUCAUUAUCACAUUUUUAAACUUGUAAGUUUUCUUUCCUUUAAGAUAUUCACAUUUGUCCUCACUUUCUUCAAUAUCGUAAUGGACGUUUUACCCUUGAUCAUGUUUUUAGGUCACGGGGAGUUCCGGGCCUGAGAAAGAUAGCAUUGCCUUGCUAAUGAAUGAUGUGCAACGCACCAGACAACAACUGACAUCUAGCACCCCUCUUCUGGUGACUGGAGAUCAAACUAAUAAGGUUGCUUAUAAACUUGCAUCGGAAACACUCGUUUCUGAAAUCAGCAUAAGUAUGCCUCCUUGUCAUAAGAAGAACACUUUUUGCGGUAUCUGUUUCGAUGAUGAUCUCGAAGCUGAACAGAUGUUUUCUGUUGCUUUAUGCGGUCAUAAAUUCUGCUUGGAGUGCCUCAAACUACAUAUACAAGUUGAACUAAUGGAGAGAGUACCGAGAUGUCCUCGUUACGGCUGCAAAUCGAAACUGAAUAUUGAAAGCUGUGCCCAUCUUUUGACACCUAAACUAAGAGCCAUGUGGGAACAAAGGAUCGAAGAGACAACUGUAACAGAUUGGGCAAUGUGGGCAAAGUGCCAACAAAUGGCUGGAGUAGCUCAUGGGUUUUGCCAAAUAAGUUGCAAGUAUCAUCUCUAGUCUCAUUAUUCUCUAGCUAGAUAUUACAACUAAUCCUUCUCGAGUUUUAUUAUGUCUUAGCCUCCUAAUUAACAUUGUAAUUUCAUGAUUGAUUGAUAGAUGUGGGUACUCCUUUUGCUACAUAUGUGGAGCCGAAUGGAAGCUGCUAGGAGCCGGUUGCAUUCAUCGCAACAAAGAGAUGUGUACAAUCAUUAGUUGCAUAGUUAUAUGUUAUGGAAUUUUGGUAUGUUUUCUGUUUAUUAUGAGUUUAUUCAAGUUGAUUGAUUACUCAUAACGCUUGUAAGCGGGUUUACUUGUUUGAUGCUUAUUUGUUUUCAAGAUUUUUGGAUUAUGUUGUAAGAUACACAAUGGUUUACCUGUCUAUUUCCAAAAUCAACAACCGUCUUGAUCAAGUAUAUCCGUAUGUAUCUAUCUUCUUAUAUCUAAUAGAUAUACGACGAUGGAGUCUCGUAAAACAGUAAGAAAGUUUGAGGAUACACACACACAUGUGGAGUGUUAUGAUCGAAUUUUAUUGUUUUUUUUUCGCUCACACAUCAUACUUUAAAAAUCGUUUCAUUCCAUUGGAGUCGCAUAUUUUCUCUCUGUAUCCCUCAAAAGAUAAUCGCACCCGCUUUGUAAAUAUCCGAUCUUUUUUUUCCCGCUUAUCCGCCCCCUAAGUGAUUUUAUACAAGAUAGUCAAUGUUUAGAGGUAUAAGAUUAAGAAUAGCGACAAGUUUAACAACAUGAAACUCUACGCCAUGUUGAUAUAAAACUAUCGUCGGCAUUGACUCUUGACACAAGCGGAGACUUUUUACUACGGUUUCUAACUGAGGUAUACAGUAUUCCCAUAUAUUCCUGCCAAGAACAGCAAUAGCUCUUGACUUCCUCUGCCUUUUGGACUUCAUAUGUAAUUGCUACAUACAUUCUCCGCUUUAAGUUUAAUAAUCAAAAUUUUUCUAAUUUGCUUUUGAAUUUAGCCAUAGUUUUACUUAGCCGCCUGAGACAGUAGUUAUUAGGAAGAAAUAACAUUUUGUGCUUUGGAGGAUUUUUACUUAAUAAUAAUUAGUUACCAAUGUUCUGUAGUUGGUACUUCGGUUGUGUGUGCUUCCGCUUAGAAUCUAACUUUUACGUUCUAGAUGCGUAGGCUGGUAAUCUUAGCUUCUCUUUGUCUCCGUUGAACCAUGAUAUGAAACAUUUGAUGCUUCAAAUUCAAUAAACGAGAAAUUAAACAAUUUAGAAGUUUUCUUUGUAUCGGGUUGACUCGAUCCAGAAACUUUGUAUCGGGUUUUCUUUAACACGUACGUGAGCUUCUCUUCUCUUCAUGUGCCUGCUCGUUACGUUGAUCUCUUCUCUAUAUGAGAUUGUUUAUUAUAAAGGAGACUCACAAAAAUGCCCCUUUUUUAAUACCCUUUUCAAAAAUGCCCCCUUUAGCUGUCUAUUUUUAAAAAUACCCCUUUUUAUGUACAAAAUGACUAAAUUACCCUUCUUUUAAUAAAAGAUAUCACAAAUAUAUAAAGAAAUAUAACAAAAUUAGGUCCACAAAAUACAAAAUAUUUUUUGGCGGGAAAAGUGAUCCCGCAAUUUUUCCCGCCAAAACACUUGUAAAAACUUGUAAAACCUUUAAAAUACCUUGUAAAUUUUUUGUGGGAAAAGUGAUUCCGCAAUUUUUUUGGCGUUAAAUUUUUGGCGGGAAAAAUUUUCCCGCCAAAAAUUUACAAGGUAUUUUAAAGGUUUUUUACAAGGUAUUUAUAAGGUUUUACAAUGUAUUUUAAAAGGUUUUACAACGUAUUUACAAGGUAUUUAUAAGAUAUUAUAAGAUUUUACAAGCUAUUUUAUAAGGUUUUUACAAGUUAUAAGGUUUUACAAGUUUUUUAUAAGGUUUUACAAGUUAUAAAUACCUUAUAAAACCUUAUAAGUACCUUGUAAAACCUUUUAAAAUACAUUGUAAAACCUUACAAAACACUUGUAAAUACUCUGUAAAACCUUUAAAAUACCUUGUAAAUUUUUCCCGACAAAAAUUUUCCCGCCAAAAAAAAAAAUUGAGGAAUCACUUUUCCCGCAAAAAAAAUUUUUUGGCGGGAAAAUUUUUUGGCGGGAAAAAUUUUUACGGGAAAAUUUUACAAGGUUUUUUAAAGGUUUUUACAAGUGUUUUGGCGGGAAAAUUGCGGGAUCACUUUUCCCGCCAAAAAAUAUUUUGUAUUUUGUGGACCUAAUUUUAUUUCAAAUAAGGGUAAAAUGGUCAUUAAAAACUAAAAGAGGGCAAACUUAAAAAUGGACUCUCAAAGGGGGCAUUUUUGAAAAGGGGUAUUGAAAAAGGGGCAUUUUUAACAAUUUCUCUUUUUUAUAUGUGAAAAAGGCAAAUACAAUUCCGGGGAGAAAAGGAAAAAUAGACUAAAUAAAAAUAAAAAUCACCUUAUUAUAUACAUAUUAUUUGAUCAUAAGAUAACUUUAUACCUAUCUCUACUUUUAAAAGGAAAUUAACAAAACCUUAAUCCUAAUUUAAAAAGGAAAAACAACAAACGUCUAAUACAUAUAAAUAAAAUACCAAAACCCCCUUUCAGUUUCCAUCAUCCCCUUUUCUCGAUGGCUGCCAUGUUCAAUAGCGUUAAACUCUCCAUGGGUGCCUUUUUCACGAGAAUUUCUCAAGGUUUAGCAAGUAAGGACGAGGACUUAGCGAUAGUUGCUAAUUGGAUCAAUGGUUGCCUCACGACUUUGAUGGGACUCGUGUCCACCAUCAACAAGAAAUCAACUGUUGAUAAGGAAGAGAUAAUAGAACUUUGGUCAACGAAACAUGUCGAAACGAGUCUAUUGUUCCUAUUCGCAGCAUGUGUAGCAACUGCUAUACUAGCCAACUUUUCUAGUAAGAUUUCUUAUAGUUCUUCUAAUCUUCGGCAAUUCACUCACUUUUUCUUAUGAUACAAAUUUUCUAAUCAAAUUUUCCUUUGUUUCUUCAGGAAAAAGCAACUUCCGAUUAUAUCAGUGGAGAUCUAUCGUGAUUGGUGUGAUCACCCUCUUGAUUAUGGCAGGGAAUCGUAUGAAUCUUAUGAUGAUUUGUACAACAUUGGUGGCUCCCUUAUUCACCAUCGGCUGGAGUAUAUUCAAGAUCGUAGGAGCAAAGGAAAAACCAGCUGCUGCUAGGUCGGAUUCAACUGAUGCCCCCUAGGGCACGAGAAAAGUUGAAAGUCAGACAAAAUUGGAUUUUAAUUUUUCUUUUGUGUUUAUUAGAUAUUAUUAGCUAUUUCGUCUGAGUUUUAUUUUGAUAUUAAAUUUAUAACCUAUGAAAUUUAAGAGCACAUUGAUUAACAAGAUCUCGACCGGUUUCUGAUACAUCUUUAUAUUGCAAAAAAAAAAAAAAAGAAAAAAAAACUUUUCUAGAUUUUCAAGUCUCGUUAGAGAGCAAAUUUCCACGUAUCUUCAACCAUCUUCAAACCAGAUGCCACCUUUGCCGGCGAUAUGCUCCCAUCGAUUUCAUAAAGAUCAGCCAUUGGUUCUUCCUGCUUCCAGCUCGCUCUCGUCGAAUCUAAAUCUGAUGGCUUCUCUUCCUCUUUCUCUUUAUUUGGAAUAUUUCUGGCCUUGGCAUGGUUCAGCACUACCAUCUGAGGCUGGUCUAGACAGAGCAAAUAGAGAGCAGUCGCCUCUCAGUCGACCUUUACGUGUUCCCCAAGAAAUAUCCUUGGCUAGACCUUAAUUAUUCGGAUGACCUCAUCACAGAGCCAACCUGCAACGUAACUGACCAAGAAGUUCGGCCACACCAAUUUUGCUGAGGGAAAGAUUCAAGUUACCGAAUUAUAACUUCUAUUUCAGGAGACAUGCGACAAAUAAUCUAGAAAACUAAAAAGGUCUAGCUUUGAUGAAAUUCAUAGAAUGCUUGUGUCCGUUAGUCACAGUGCUUCAAAUGGAAAACAGACUGAAUGAACUACUUAGAGUACCAGUAUAUGUGCAAUAUAGGAUAAAAGUAUAUCAAAAGGGUUACAGAUUAAAAGGACCUUCAUCCUCAUAAACUAAUGCACGUUAAAAAAACGUUUUAUAUUUCAAUCAUCGAUUUUUCGUAUCGGAAUUCGUUUUACCCGUAAAAUAAUUAAAGACGACGAUUUCUUUUCUAACGUAACUUAAAUAACAAACACAUAUACAUCUUUGUAAAAGAGUUGAUGAAGAUUUACAAAAUUUAGAUUGCUCGAAAACUAAGAAGAUGUGUGUUUGGUAAAUUUGAGAGGAUGAAGAUGAUAUCAGAAAAUAUAUUUAUAGAGAAAUAUUUUUGUAGGGUUCUGUUUAAUUUUUGAAAUUUGGAUUGCCUUCAAAAUUUGAAAAAUUAAUUUAUUGUUGAUUUUAUGAUAGAUUUAGUACUUUUGAGAAUUAAUUUUAUGAAUGUAGUUUGAAUUUAUGAACCUAGGAAAAUUUGUACUUACAAAAGUUAUAAAAAUAUAUUCUAAUAUAUUAAUUUACAUGAAUUAUACGCUUACAUGCUAGAGUUGUUAAAUAUAUAUAUAUAUAUAUAUAUAUAUAUAUGUUAGUCUUUUUUUUGUCAUCCGUAAUUAAUUAUAAGCUCAAAAGAGCCAUUCCUGAGGAAUGUUGUUUACAUAAGUGAUGUGAGACGGUUCUGAUAUAUAUGUUAGUCUGGAUUAAAAAAUAUAGACCUUAGAUCAAUUUAAUAUAUUCUUUACAUACACGAAUUUUUUAUGUAUAUAUAGAUAGAGAUAUGAUGUUUGUAUUACUGAUGUUUAAUGUUAAUUAACGAAAUAAUUAGAAUAUCAUGACACAUUUGUAACUAAUCUAGUAAUAUAUAGACCAUUAGUUUGCUCGAUUUAUGAAAUAAAAAAUGUCUGUUUGAUUUUAAGUUUAAGCUUGGACGUAGCAUGUCUUACAUUUUAAUAUUAGAUAAUACAGAUUGGUUAUUUGUUAUGCAUAUAUAGAAAAAAUGUAACAUUUGUUAUGUGUUUGCUAAUAUAGAAAUAAUAAAGUUUGUCUCGUAUAGAUUGUGUGUGUUUUUUAAUUUUUAGUUAGAAAUUCGUUUUUGAUUAGUGGGAUAUAUGGAUAUAUGAGACUAAUGGCAAAUUCUGUAAAUAGUCUAAUAAACUUUGGGUAAUUAUCUAAAUAGAAGUCAAAUCAUUGUAUGAACGACACAUCAACGUGACAAUCUUGUUAAUAACACAUGAUUGUAAGGUGUUUUUUAAAAAAUGUUUCUCUAUUAAUAUAUAGGAGAUUACUUUUAAUUGUAACCAAUAGGAAGAGGAGAGAAGUGAAACUAAAAUUAUUAAACAAACAAACAAAUAAUUAAAUAAUAUAAAAAUUAGUUUUUGUUAAUUUAUGUGCAAAACCCAAAACAUCAAAUUUAAGGAAACAGAGGGAGUAUGAGAUUGUAUUUUAAAAUAAAAAUAUAAUUUGAGUAAAACGGAAAAAAAGAAAAGGAACGAUUUUAGGAGAAAAUGCAAUAUGGAGGUCGAAAUAAAACAGGCAAACAAAAAGAAAAAUUUAAUACGUUAAUUAUUGCUUAUUCCUCUUUAAUUUUUUUUUUUCCUUUUUAAACUUUUUUUUUUUGUCCAACCUGACAUGAUAUCCUUCUCAAACUUAACUACCUUAUCACUGAUAAUUAAAUUUGAAGGCCAUGAAUUUGAGACUUUCCUUCUCGGCUUAGUCUGGUUCUCUUGAAUAUAUGUUGAUUGACUUGUAUACUCUUCUAAUAGUUGCUCAUAUUCCAUGUGCUCUCUUCUUUGAUUUAGAUGGUCUAUAAGAUCGAACAAUUAAAAUUAAGAUAUGUUCAUGUAUCAAAGAAGUGUGGAGUCUAAUGAAAGUGCUAUUGAAUGUCACUAGGUAUAAAAUUCUGUUAAAGAAAAAAUCAAGACGAUAUAUAAUAUUUUGCAAACAAAACUAACCAAUUAAAAUAAUAAUAAUAAAUUUUAAUUUUGUCUCAACGAUUUAAUUUUUCUCGUGUGGUUUAAACACUUUUUGAAUCUUUAGCUCUAUCUGGUAUUUUCUGUAAAUCUUUAACACCAACUGGUUUUUUGUUUUCGUUUGCGUUUUGGUAAACAACAGGAUCACCAAAACAGAUCACUGUCCAGACGAUUCCAAAAUAACACCAACAAAUGGACCAAUCUCACAAUAAUAGACCGCCGUUGAUCGGACCGAAAAUUAGUUUUUUCCACAAAUGUUGGUCACAAUUGGCGUUGUAUACAUGUCACGUAACACAUCAACAAAAAUCAGGCCAUGAAUGUUUGCAAGUUUUUAAUGGUUUUUGGAUUAUAGUUUUUGUUUAUGUAUUUUGAGUUUUGGUUUAAGGUUUUUAGAUAUUGUAUUAGAAGAAAAAUUAAAAAAAUAAAAAAUGAAUAGAAAAAGUUAAAUCACGUUAAAAAUGAGAAACUCGCAAAACAUAGACUUUAAAUUUUCUUUGAAAAUUGAUUUUUUUUAUCAAAAUAUAGAUUCUCUAUUUUUUUAGGAAAUCCAUUUUUCAUAAUCUUGAUUGGCUAUAAAGUAAAUUUUUGUAAAAACUAAAAUCAAAAACAAAUUUAAAAUCUACAACCAUUCAAGACCUCAAUAAUGCGGCAGCAAUUUCGUUAAUGUAUUAAGCAAUACAAAUUAAAUUUCAACGAACGAAGAAAACUUAUAAUAUGUAUGAUUAUUUGCUUAUAAUAUCAUUUUUUAUAUAAAUUUUCUUAGUGUACAAAAAAUGAUUGAACAUGAAUUAACCAAUUCUAAAUUUAUUCAUUUAAUAUUUUUCUUAACAAGAAAAAACCUUCUUUAUUCUUUUCUAAUUUUUUUUCUUUACAAUCAUCAAGUGAAAAUUGAGAAUUGCCGUAAAAACUAAGAAUUAUAACAAAAAAUUGAAAGGAAAAUCUAAGAAUUCAGUCGUAAUACUUUAUCCAUUUUUUCGUUUCAGAAUUUAUGGAAAUUUUUUGCUACUAAUUGUUCUUUGUCAUAACUAUCAAUAUAUAUAUUUAUAUAUGUCCAUAUAUUCAUUAGCGAAUAUAUCCAUUUGAGAGAUAUUUCAUUAGCUAAUAUUUUCCCUAGUUGAUAUGAUACACCUAGAAAUUAGGUAAGGUCUUAAUUAUUUAUUCAAAAACUGUAGAUAAAUUUGUGCUGCUAUUUCUACUAAAAAUAUUAAAGAAGAAGUUGACAAAAGAAAAAGAAAAAAUUAAAGAAGAAAAAAAGAAAAAGAAAAAAGAAAAUAAAUUAAUUGAUCCACUGUCAAACCAAAAAAAUUGAAAACCCUAUAUUGGUUGAAUGGGAAAAUCGAUGGUCAGAUUCGCAGAAUUCGCCAUUAGACUCUCUUCCGAGAAUCCAACCAGACCCCACAGACCUUCUCCUCCUCUACGGAACAAAGUCUUCGUCAAGAAGACGACAGACACGACACACCUCGAUUACUCCAAUCUUGUUAAGCUGGAGAAGGCGGGAUCGCACUCGGGUUCCAAUCCCGCUCCGGCUUCGGGUUCGGAUCCAAUUAAUCGGGUUCCCCUUGCUCAGGUCGUCGAGGAUUGCGUCAGACGUUGGUUCCAGGAUACGCUCAAGGAAGCCAAAUCUGGUGACGUUGGUAUGCAGGUUUUGGUUGGUCAGAUGUAUUGCAGCGGCUAUGGAAUCCCCAAAGAUGAGAACAAGGUUCGCUUUUUCAUGAAUUUUCUGAUUCAGUUUUGCUCUCAUUUUUCUGGGUUUAGUUUGUUUUCUUAAUGUUCUUCUCGAAUUCAUAUAAAGGUUUGGUUUUUCGUCUCUGUAUCUACAUUGUAUGCCUCUGAUUAGGUUUUGUUGUGAUUGGUCUACUAGAGUUUGAAUUAGGGUUCUUAAAAUGUAUGUGGUUAGCUCUGAUGUAUGUGGUUAGCUCUGAUUUGAAGAUGUAAUGGUGAUUCUGAUUUAGAAUUCUGUUUGUGUGUGGUUUUGAUUUGUAAAGGGUCGUGCUUGGAUUAACAAAGCUUCAAGAACUAGAUCAUCAGCUUGGCAAGUGAGUGAUAAGCCUCCAGGUAAUAAUAUAUGAUAGACUUGUUUUUUUGCAUCUUUUAUUGAAUUAGUGAAAUGUUUUGUGUUUUAUUUAGGGUUCUUGUUCUUCUAAUUCCAGGUUAUAAUGCAAGCGAUUCAGAUUCCAAUGAUAAGAAAGAUUGAUGAUCAUCUUUCGAAUGUUUGUAUUGCCAGUGACUUUGAUUUGUUAGUUUCUAUCUCCUUUGUUUAAUUCUACUUGAUGUAUUCAAAUUUGAAGCUUUUGUAUCAUCCCAAUGGUCAAAAAGUGGCCCUCAAGCUUUUUAUUACCACGCAGUGAAGUAAUUUAACUGUGAGUCUGUUGUAGCUGAAUCAUUGCAUUACCAAUAGAUUUUGCCACGCUUUCUCUGGUUCUUUGUCCCCAGAAGUAGAAUCAAACAGUUUGCAAAGAAUGAAUCUGGAAUCUAGAAUGUCACUUGACAAUUUUUCUCCGAGGAAUCUACAUUCUAGUUCUAAAGAUCAUGUGCAAUUAAUUUAUAAGUUUGGAUGGAGUGAAAAAGGUAAAAGUUAAACUGAGACAAAUGUUUGCAUCUCUCUAAUGAUGGAUUCUGUUCAUUGAUAUCACCAACAAUAAUAAGUCCCUGAGUUUCACCAUGAUGUUGGUUUUUCUAACAUUACAUUGGAGUUGCUUGGUUCACCAUCUUUCGAAAACUGUUACCAUUAAGUUCUAAAUUCUAAUCCGAUUCAAAAUUCACAAAAACUUGAAUCCUACCUAAACAAAUACUAGCGAAUAUCCGACCCGAACUAUAUGAUCUUCAUGAUAAUAUAAUUGUUUUCUUAAAAUUGUAGUGUGAAAAGGUUGAAAAAGUGAAUAUAUCAAAAGAACGGUUGUAGAAAAUGAAGGAAAAGAAAAUUACUUUGGUCCUAUUAUCAAACGCGGCUAACUUAGUGGAGGCCAGUGAGGUUUUCUAUUCACAAAAGUUUCCUUGACGCAAAGAAUCCCAUUCGUCAUCUUCUUCUUCUUCUCUUUUUGUCAUUUUAUAAUAUUAAAUCAUGUAUUUAUAUGUUGCUGCUACUUCUAGUUUCUCUACACAACUAGACCUUGUUUACACACAUAUACUCUGUUUUCCUCUGUUUCUCUACACGAAGAAGAAGUCUUUUUAUUCCACAAAAGUUUCUGUGAUGGCUAAUGUAAGUAAGAUCUUGUACAUGGUUUGCUUUAAUUUCAUCUACCAUGUUCUAACUGCACCGUUAUCAAGAAAAUAAACAACAAAAAGAGAGAUCGUUGCAACUAGAGUGUUCUUGCAAAUUAUGCUUGAUGCAAUGUCUAUGUUUAUUGGAUAUCUGUGUUUGACUGUUUAUGAAUUAACAAUUAACCAAAAUGACAAAAUAUUCUCUAUUGUCAGGUUGUGGAGCUGAAAGUGAAUUUGCAUUGCGACGAAUGCAUCAGGAAAAUACUCAAAGCCAUCAAGAAAAUUGAAGGUAACAAUUGUGUAAUUUUUCUCCUCAAAGCAAAUAUACCAUUUGUAAGAUAUUUAUGGUUUAUUUACAGGCUAUUAUGGUUCGUACUAUCUCUAAAUAAUUAUAUUUGAUGAAAAUUACAGAUAUAGAGACAUACGAUGUGGACACACAGCUGAACAAAGUAACAGUCACAGGGAAUGUAACAGAGGAACAAGUGAUUAGGGUUCUUCAAAAGGUGAGGAAAGCUGCUGUUAAAUGGGAUCAAGACAAUCAAACCCUCUUUGCCAACUAGAGUCUUUUUGCUUUCCUCAGAUUUAGCAAUAGUUAGGUCUAUAUGUAUGCUCAAUUGAUCUUAAGCAUCUGCUGUAGAAUUCAUGAGGAUUUCGUAUACACAGACAAUAAAAUGCGAUUUAGACUAAAUCUUCCUUCAGCAUUUGAUUUUCUAAUAUAGAGAUCAAACCUUCGGGGGUGAUGUUCAUGAAUUCAAAUACAAAUUUAUUCAACAAAAAAUGAAAGGAAGCAACUUUUCCGCUUCUAUGAGUGUACAAUUACAAAUUGUCAAUUGACCACAUUUUGGAGAAUGAAAAGUGAAGAAAGAAUUGGAUUCUUGUAAAAUCAGGAUAUUUCCAUGCUUUAGAACCUGUGCUCCAGCUUCUCUUGUUCUUUGAAGUACUGAGCAUACCUGCGUUCAUUUGCAAGAAACAAGAUUCAGAUAUGAGUCUUUGAAACAAUAACAACAAUUAAGACUUGAUAGUGACAAAAUGAGUGUCAAAGUACAAUAUGGCACAUGACAGGAAAUUUAUUUCUCAAUCAAGAUCUAAAGUUUCCUAAAUAAUUGCUAUGAGAGCGAAUGAGCGAUGAUAAUCAAAGAUAGGGAAGCUGAACAUAAUUUAACUCCUUGAGCAUAUAUUUGAAUUCCAUGAAUUACAUAAACUGUUUCAAGUAAAAGAGCAUCAUCAAGCUAAUAUACUGACUAUCUUUCUAUCAUCAUCAUCAUGAAUUCACUAUCUCUAUUUGGGGGGAGGUAUACGUGGUUCAGAUAAUCAAAUCUUAUAAUGUUGUCAAGCUAGCUAGCUACUUCUUUUGUCUUGACACUUGUAUCCUUUAGUAUUGGUUCAGCAGAAACAGUACUAAGCAUCGAAAUCGACACCAAUCUAUGAGAAUUUGUCACAAAACAAUAACCCUAAAACCAUUUUUGCUGUCAUGUCCAAUAAAACCACAACCUAACUAAAUCUACACAUAUCGCAUCAGUCACAAUCAUCAGAUCGAAUUCCACACGAUUGAUCCAUCAAAUAUGUUCGCUAAUUGACUAGACCGAGAGAGAGAAAGAGAGAAACGUACGAGUAGGUUCCGACGACGGGAGCGACGAGGAGAAUAGUGCUGAUCCAAUUCUCUGAGACCUUGUGGUGGAUCUUCUCCGGAAGAUCCUUCCAUAGACCCGUCAUGAUCUUCUGCUGAAACGGCGAUAACGCGUAAACCACCGCCUUCAAUUUCACCGGCUGCUUUCCCAUUUUCGUCGACCAAUUCUCCGAUUCCGACAAUUGCAACAAGGAGACUUUUCAAGCCGGCUAAUAUGCAUCUUCUCUGCCAACAAAACGCUGCCGUUUAAUUAUAAAGGCUUUUAAUUUCAAACCCACGUAAGCCCAAUGGACAGUAAAUGGGCCUUUUCUCUAUAAAUUUGCAAUAAUCCACGUGGACGGUGGAGAUGCUGCGAUGCAGAGAGCGGUCUAUGGUGAAGCUGUUUACAUGAGAUCAUGACGUUAACACGGGAAACAGAUUGCGUCAGAAGAAAUCAAUUCAUCCGCAAAUAAAUAAUACGUCUUUAAUCCACGCGCCUCCUUCGUAUCCCCACGCGCAGUCGUGUGUGAUGGCUAAUCCUCCAACGUUACCGAUCUCAGACCAUUCCGGUGGUGGUUCUCAAUCUCAGCAAACCGUAUCCACACCGGCGUUUCGCACGUUCCUCUCUCGCCUCUCAUCGUCGAUCCGUCAAAGCCUAUCGCAGCGGCGUCCAUGGUUAGAACUCGUAGAUCGGAGCGCAAUUUCACGGCCAGAAUCUCUCACCGAUGCGUAUUCUCGGAUCCGGAGGAAUCUCCCUUACUUCAAGGUAAACUACGUGACGAUCGUCUCCUUGGUGCUCGCGCUCUCGCUUCUCUCCCAUCCAUUCUCUCUUCUCGUUCUCCUAUGCCUCUUCGGCGCUUGGAUCUUCCUCUACCUUUUCCGUCCGUCAGAUCAACCUCUGGUCAUUCUCGGCCGUACGUUCUCAGAUCGUGAGACGCUUGGAGUUUUGGUGAUUUUGACAAUCGUCGUCGUCUUCUUGACCAGCGUUGGAUCUUUAUUGACCUCUGCUUUGAUGAUUGGUUUCGGAAUCGUAUGCUUACACGGCGCAUUUAGAGUUCCGGAGGAUCUUUUCUUGGAUGAUCAAGAACCUGCCAACACCGGAUUAUUGUCUUUCCUUAGCGGAGCCGCCACCUCCGCCGCAGUAGCCGCCGCAUCAACUCCUGCGUCAGGCCGUGUCUAAGUUUAAGGACUCUUCUCUGUAGACAACAAACUCAAUUUCUACGAUUCUUUAUAGUUUUUUCUAAACAUUGCAUAUGUGAUUAUGUGAGGGAAAUUGUAGAAUUUGAUCUUCUUGGUUUUGACCUCCAUUGAUUCAAACAUGUAAUUGAUUCAACAAUUGAUCAUAGGCACAUUACUCUCGAUUUGGAUUUCUAUGGCGUUAGGUGUGGUGUGACAAAGAUUAUUGAAUGGUUGAUUGAUUACUACUCGUAUUAUUAAGCUUUGAGACUAACUGUGUUAUCCGAACAUCAUUAGUGUGGUUAGAUGUUGGUGAUUCCACUCUGAGUUUCAUUUUCAAUUCAAUUGACUCUGAAUUUAAAAUUCAGCCCAGUGUCUAUCUCAAAUUGGUUUGGCAAACGAAAUGAAACAAACUGAUUGUUUAUUCGGGAAAUGUUUGUAAAUUACGGAUCCAUCUUCAACAGAAUGUUUCUGCACUGAGAUACAUUUGUUUCUGACGUGUAGAUACUUUUGAUUUUGGUUAUGAAAAAUGACAAGUGGGAUAAUAUCGAGACAAAGGAGAAACGUAACAAAGAAGUUUAUCGUGAAUGUUUGUUAAAAUGCAUGAUGAAAGAUUUGAAUAUUACUUCUAGAGAAAAAGGUGAUUUUGUUAUUGGCAGUUAGUUUAUUGUUUGAACGUUACACUCUAGUACAGUGCAUAUGCUAUGUUGGUUAAGAUUUUUUUGCUAAGCUAUGUUGGUUAAGAUAAAAACAAACAACAGCAACAACAAAAAAAAAUCAUUAGACCAAUAUGACCCAUUUCAUCCGUGUAUUUGAAUAUGGCAUUUGAGUUAACAGUUCCACUUUGACUUUAGGUUUUGCAUCUAGAUGUUGUUUGUAUUCCAAAUUCAUCUUUAGAGUUUGAGAUAGGCCUGGGCAUUUUCUCCGAAACCCGAAAACCCGACCCGACCCGACCCGACCCGAAAAAAGAGGUUCGGGUACGGUUUCGGUUAGACUCUAUAAACCGAACGGAUAAUAUGAUUGAUUUGCAACGGGUUCGGUUUCGGUUCGGGUGUAAACCGAAACCCGAUCGGUUAACCGGCCAUUUAUUGUAUACAUAUAUAUAUAUAUAUAUGUGUAGUUAAGAGAAGUAAUCAUAUAUUCAUAAACCCAAAAAUAUCGAGACUUGAGAGCACAUAUCUCCUGUUUCCGAUAUUCUCUCCGAUUUUCUAGAUUGCUUUUGCCGUUUCCACUUCUCCACUCCAUUGAUUCGUUUCUCUUCUUAAAGCCUAUAUAAACCCCAAAUUGGCAAACUGGAAACCCUAAAUCCCCUAAACGAUUCACGAGAAAGAGCUGCUAAACCUACUCUAUCAGCUUCUUCGACAAAUCAAUCGUCGGUUUGUGUUUCUCCUUUCUCGUAUUCUCUUAUUCAAACUUUGUAAUUCUAUCAUUUCUGUGUUUAAUUUAUUUUGUAUUUCAGUUUCUUAUGCAUCUUAGAUUGAUAGAGCUUUGUAAUUAUGUCAUUUAUGGGUUUCAGUUUCUUAUGUUUAACAAUAGGUUUGUGAAUUGUGACUUUGUGUGAAUGUGAAGUUGUGUAAUUGUGAAGUAUGUAGCCGUAGGAAUCUGUAGUAUGUAGCCGUAGGAAUGUAGCUCUAGGAAUGUAGCUCUAGGAAUCUGUAGUAUGUAGCCGUAGGAAUCUGUUCCAUUUUCUCGAUUAUGUUGCUCACUUAUCAAUCUAUCUUCUCUGUUCUCUAAUUGAGACAACGUAGAUGCAUCAUUUUUAUUGAGAAUUUGAGAUUUUCGUUUUGUUUAGUGUCAUUAGUCUCAUUUGAAAUUGUUUAACUUUUUGAUUUUUGAGACUGAGCUUGAAUUUAACUUUUACUUGUGAUAUUCUUUGAUUGUUGCAUUGCAGAUGGGUUCUUCUUCACCUCCUCAACGACAACAAGAUGAAUAUCAGAAUCAGAAUGAUGAUGAAUCAGAGAGAAGUGAAGAUGAUGUGGUGACUUGGUGAAAAUGUCUUAUGUUCUUGUUUUGUAUUAAGUUGUUAUCUUAUUCUUUAACAUGCUUUUUAUCUCUACAGAUCCUUCGACAUUGGGAUUUUGUAGCUUCUGGAUGAAGACUCAUUAAGCUUGUAUGGAAGUGAAGUGAUUCUGGAUUGAUUUUCUUUCUCUCUCUCUAAACUCUUAGCUCUUAUGCUCUCUCCCUCUUUGGUACUUUGCAUUCUGGUUUUUGAAUGUUGGAAUUGUUUCUAGGUUGUUUUUCUUUUUUACUCUAAACUCCUUAUUCUCUCUUUGUUUGGAUUUGAAUUCUGGUUGUUCUAAUACUCUUAUGCUAUGCAUUUCUUCUUUAGUUUUGAAUUGAUUUUUGAAUUCUAUUUCUGUUAUUUGUUCUUAAAUGUUCGGGUAUUUCGGGUUUUGUAUGGUUUACUCGGGUUAGUCUGGUUUAAAAACCGACCCGAAUUGUGUUUCGGUUCUACAUUGGGUUCUAUAUCAAAAUUGAAAACCGACCCAAAAUCGAUUGAACCCGAACCGAAACCGAUCCGAAAACCAGUCGGUUCCUAAACAUCCUAACCCGAAUUACCCGAAAACCGAAUUACCCGACCCGAACCGACCCGAAAACCCGAAUGCCCAACCUUAGUUUGAGAUAUGAAUCUUGAUUUUGAUUUAUAUAUUAAAAAUGAAUGGAUUUAGACCUACAUAUAUUAUUAUGCAAUAGUUAAUUUUCUUGUAAAUAAUUAAUGUUGUGAAGUUAUUGAGAGAUUCGUCUAAUGCAAAUAUAAAACUCUUUAUCCCAUUUUUUUGAGUUUGGAUAACCAAUGGAAGAUAUAACAAAUUAAAAUGAUUAAUCUGGUUAAACACAAUUAAAUGAGUGAUAUACAUGUGAGUCACAAUGAUUUUCCCGCCAAAAACGUAAAUCUGUUAUUUUCCCGCCAAAAACAUAAAUUCGUGAUUUUCCAGCCAAAAACGUAAAUCAGUGAUUAUUAUUAUUUUCUUUUUAUUGUUAAUUUAUUUUAAUUAUUAAUUUAUUUAUUACAUUAAUAGGUCAACCCAUUUAACCAUCUAACCCAUCAAAUUAAAUGAGUUCAUGGGUUGGCUCAACUCAUUUGAGUUGAGUCAACCCAUGAACUCAUUUAACUUCAAACUCAUUGUGUAAUGAGUUGAGUUGGGUUGGAUUAACCAUUUUGACACCCCUACAUGUGACCUUGGUAUUAUUUUUUUUUUGUUUGUUAAAGAGUAACCCUUGGUAUUAAAUUGCCAAAAUAUUUUUACAGAUGAUGAUUAAUGAUCUUUGUAUUUGAUAAGACAGAGAAACUUGGGAUUUAAGGAAGAAGCUUGAGACACAAGCACUAGAAUGUAGACGUGAUAUGACAUGACUUGAGUUCAAUUCAACUAAACUUUGUUGAAAUUAUGCUAAGUGUUCGGUGCAACUACUUACCUCAACUAAGUCUUUGCUCCCUUUCAAUGUCUCAAGUUCUUCUCAAUUUUGGAUGCGCAAAAAGAACUAGUUAGAUUUUUCAAGUUUAUAACUUAUGGCGUGGAAUAUCAAGAAACAUGAUUACGCAAUAUAAAAAGUAGUCAUAAAACUAAUUAUGUUUUCAUGGGUUAAUAUUUUUUAAAAUAUCAACUGUUGUUAAUAACUAAAACAAACUUUAAAGGGAUACUAGAUAUUAUCAUUUGGAGGUUAGGUGUUUAAUCUAAUUUCUAAAUCUACGUCAUAUUUUUGAAAAUGCAUGGUAUCAUGCUCCGAUGUCCAAUAACAUUUUUAACAUAUAUUUUCUGCCAACAUUUUUGAGGUUGAUCAACUCUUAAAAUAGAAGAAAACUAAACCAUGGUUUUCCAUUUGAAGUGUGAAAGGAAGCAAGAAAACAUAUCCAACGAACUGAUAAAGACACUUAAAUAUAUUGGUGACCGGUAAUUUAAAUUUUCUUUUGAAUAAUCAGCACCUAAUUCUUCCAACCCUAAAUAAUUUAGUAAAAAAAUUAACUUCCAUUUAAUUUAACUAUAAAAGGGAUCUUUCCCUCUUCAUUAUUCUCUCAAACCCUUCUCUCAUAUCUAAUCACCUUAUAAACCUUAAUCUCAAAAAUUUCAUAAGCUCAAAGCUUAAACACAUUUGAUGACGACUGUCCACACAUUCUCUAUUUUAUUGUUCCUUUGUUCCCUUUUCUCGGCUUCAUUGAUUAUCGCCAAAGUCCAACACCAUGAUUUUGUCGUAUGUUGCAUGUUCAUAUUGGUUAAAACUUAAUUAAAUUCAUUAACAACUAAUUGUCAUUACUUAUAAUUGUGUGUGUGCAAUCAUUUAGAUACAAGAGACGCCGGUGAAGAGGCUGUGCAAGACCCGUAACGCCAUCACCGUCAACGGAAUGUUUCCGGGGCCUACGCUCGAAGUCAACAACGGCGAUACUCUUGAAGUCAAAGUGCAUAACCGUGCUCGUUACAAUAUCACCAUCCAUUGGUACAUUUUAAAUACAUCAAUUUACUUUUUAAAACCUUUUAGAGAAAAUACCAUUAUGUUACUUUUUUCCAAAAAUAAUUGAACCUUUAACCAACUCAAAAAUACCACACAAAAAAAGUGAAUAAGCUUCUUCACACUAUAGUUUUUUUUUUUUUGGGUCACGGUAUAUCACAUAAUUAAGUUUUUUCGUAUAUGAUAAAAAUUGAAAAACAGGCAUGGGGUGAGGCAGAUAAGAACUGGAUGGGCUGAUGGGCCUGAAUUCGUAACCCAAUGCCCGAUCCGACCCGGAAAGAGCUACACGUACCGUUUCACUAUCCAAGGCCAAGAAGGGACAUUAUGGUGGCACGCUCACAGCUCCUGGCUACGAGCCACUGUCUACGGCGCACUCAUCAUCCACCCAACCCCUGGUUCCUCUUUUCCUUUCCCUAAACCAGACCGCCAAACCGCACUCAUGCUCGGUAUACACCAUACCAUACCGGAUUCUUUUCCUUAUUUGAUUAACAAAUUUGUUGAAAUCUCUAAAUCUAAAUUAACAAACAAAAACUCAAAAAUCAGGGGAAUGGUGGAAUGCAAAUCCGGUUGAUAUCAUUAACCAAGCUACUCGAACCGGAGCUGCUCCGAAUAUAUCCGACGCUUAUACCAUCAAUGGCCAACCCGGUGAUCUCUAUAAAUGCUCAACCAAAGGUAAACCAAAAAAAAAAAAAACUAUACAGUAGUAUAACAUAAUUUAAGUGUCUGAAUAUUAAAGUAUCUGAAAUAAUUUGUAAAAUGCAGAGACUGUUGUAGUACCGAUAAAUUCAGGGGAAACAAAUCUCGUACGAGUGAUCAACGCAGCUUUAAACCAACCGCUAUUUUUCACGGUGGCUAACCACAAGCUCACUGUGGUUGGAGCCGACGCGUCUUACCUCAAACCAUUCGCCACAAAGGUCCUUAUGUUAGGUCCAGGCCAAACUACUGACGUACUUCUAACCGCCGACCAACCGCCAAAACGCUAUUACAUAGCAGCAAGAGCUUAUCAAAGCGCCCAAAACGCACCGUUCGAUAACACCACAACUACUGCCAUCCUCCAAUACAAGAAAACGAGGGCCACUUCUAAACCAAUCGUGCCGGUUUUGCCUGCCUUCAACGACACCAACACCGUGACGUCUUUCUCAAGGAAGUUCAAAUCUCUCCGAAACGUCGUCGUACCGAAAACAAUCGACGAUAAUUUGUUCUUCACUAUCGGUUUAGGUCUCGAUAAUUGUCCCAAGAAUUUCCCUAAAAACCGGUGCCAAGGCUUAAACGGAACCCGGUUUACUGCAUCGAUGAACAACGUUUCGUUUGUUCUACCGUCGAAUUUCUCGCUCUUGCAAGCACAUUCCAACGGCAUUCCCGGCGUUUUCACAACGGAUUUUCCGUCUAAACCGCCGGUUAAAUUCGAUUAUACCGGAAAUAACAUAAGCCGGGCUUUGUUUCAGCCGGUUAAGGGUACUAAACUGUACAAACUCAAGUAUGGAUCUCGAGUUCAGGUUGUUUUACAGGAUACGAACAUUGUUACGUCGGAGAAUCACCCGAUUCAUCUUCAUGGUCACGAUUUCUACAUUGUUGGUGAAGGGUUUGGUAACUUUAAUCCCAAGAAAGAUACUUCUAAGUUUAAUCUUGUUAAUCCUCCACUUAGAAACACUGUGGCUGUUCCUGUUAAUGGAUGGGCUGUUAUAAGAUUCGUGGCAGAUAAUCCAGGUAAUGCAAAAGUUUAUAUAUCUUUAGUAAUAGUUACAUUUGAUUUGAUUUGGGAAAAUAAUAUAAUGUUGGUUUGAAACAGGGGUUUGGUUGAUGCAUUGUCACUUAGAUGUUCAUAUAAAGUGGGGUUUGGCUAUGGCGUUCUUGGUCGACAAUGGUGUCGGAGAAUUGGAGACUCUUGAAGCUCCUCCUCACGAUCUACCUAUUUGCUAGUUUCAAUAUAAAAGAGGCACUUCUAAUAGAAGAAUAUUCAGAUUUUGGUAUUGUACUGGAUUAAAUCUAUUCAUGGAAGAUAAAUGUCCUUGUCAGUUUGCGUAGAUAAAUUGUUGUAUGUGUUCAAUGUCAAUCAUAGACUAUAUAGUAUAUUGUUUCUGUCUUCUCAAUUGUUGGAGCUAUGAGAAAAUUGAUAUUGAGCACAAUGUUGUUAUUUGCCAAACAAACAAAAAAGAGAGAGAGAAUUUUUUCAGCUUAAUGGGCUUUUUCAUUCAUCUGUAACGAAAGAAUGGGCUUUAAAAGUUAUCAAAAGAUUUUAAGGGCCAUGGGGUAGGAGUACGUAGGCAAUUGCGUGAGCUUACGUUAGCGAUGGCGUUAGAGACACGUAGUGGAUGAAGUGGCCAUGGUUUGCAAAGGACACAUGAGGCACAUGCAAAGGCUUAUGACUGCUACUUUGCUUACAACUUGCAAUUCCCAAUAUUAUUAUAUGGUAAUGAACCCUGUUACUCUGCUCGAAGCUAAGCCACCCAAGUUUGAGCUUCACCAUUUGACACGUCUCUACCUAGUUAAACUAAUAUUUAAUGUUCUAGUCAUUUCUGGCUGACAUUUUCUCGAAUUCGUAUUUAUGAAUUCGUUCUAGGCUGGAAUGCAUUAAUUUUACAAUGUUAACCAUAAUCUUCUUUUAAUAUCUGUAAUCAAUAAUAAAAAUCGCAUUUAGAAAGUUUUGUAUAGGGGAAAUAAUGAGCAUAUUUGUAAAAACUUGAAAAGACAAGCAAUAAUAAACAGCUGAAGAUUCGUACUACAUCAUCCAAUUACACAUCUAGUGACUAGUAGUAGUAAAAAUGUCAUGUUAAUUUUGAUUAAUUACCACAUAUAAUGUGAUAAAUAAAGCCUUUAAAAGUGGCAAUAAAACCAAGAAAAAUCGAGAAAGAGCAUGAGACAAUUUUGUGUUGUCAGAGUUAAUAAACAAAAUGAAGAUAUUUUAAAUUUGUUAAUAUUAAAAUAAUGAAGUAGUUCCUGAUCUUAUCCAUAAAUCAAUUAAAAAAGGUUUAAAUUUUACUUUUCCGUAUAAACAGCGUGUUUCGAGAAGAUUCGGGACACUCGGCGAUUGGGAAAGAAGUCUUAGCCCUGAUAUUCGAAUCAAAAACUGACACGUCACAUUGAUCACAAACAGAAUAAUAAAAUAAUAUUAGAAAUAUCUAGAGAAGGUUAUAAAUAUUCCUCGAUACUUGUCCUCCUUAGAUAUUUUGAGUUCUGCUAAAGCUGUCUGAUAAAAAGAGUAAGGGAGAAGAAACCAACCACUAGAGAAAAACUCGAAAAAGCUACACACAAGAAGAAGAAAAGAUACGCGGAAGAACACUAAACACGAAAGCGAUUUAUCUACUCGAAGGAAGAGACUUUGGUUUUCAGGUUUCGUCUCCUAUAGGUACGCUGAUUUCUGACUUCUUACAAAUUUAUGAUCAAUUUCUCUGAUUUGGUCUCGAAAAGGGCUUCAUUUAUUGUUAAUUGGUGAUUCUUGGCUUAUUCUUCGUCUUUAGAUUUUCGAUUAUGCCUUUUAGGUGUUCUUAAUUUAAGUUCAAGGAGUUUUAAAUACGUCUGAUUUUGUACCAAUAUAAGUUCUUUUGUCUUAUGUUUCAACUAGUGUUCUGAUAUUGAAGUGUUGUUGUUGUAUUGUAGAUUUUGUUGUUUCUGGGAAGGAGAUGGCAGUUUAUGAUCAGAGUGGAGAUAUAAACAGAACCCAACUUGAUACAUCGAGGAAAAGGAAAUCUAGAAGUAGAGCUGAUGGUACCACUGUGGCUGAGAGGUUGAAGAGAUGGAAAGAGUACAAUGAGAAUGUUGAAGAAAUUUCUACCAAGAAAAGGAAAGUACCUGCCAAAGGGUCCAAGAAGGGUUGUAUGAAAGGUAAAGGAGGACCAGAGAACGGUCGAUGUAGUUUCCGAGGAGUUAGGCAGAGGAUUUGGGGUAAAUGGGUUGCUGAGAUCAGAGAGCCGAAUCGAGGUAGUAGGCUUUGGCUUGGUACUUUCCCUACUGCUGAAGAAGCUGCUUCUGCUUAUGAUGAGGCGGCUAAAGCUAUGUAUGGUCCUUUGGCUCGUCUUAAUUUCCCUCGGUCUGAUGGCUCUGAGGUUACGAGUACGUCGAGUCAGUCUGAGGUGUGUACGGUUGAGACUCCUGGUUGUGUUCAUGUGAAAACAGAGGAUGCAGAUUGUGAAUCUAAACCCAUGUUCUGUGAAGCUAAGCCGAUGUAUCGUCUGGAGAAUGGUGCAGAAGAGAUGAAGAGGGCUGUUAAGGCGGAUAAGGAUUGGCUGAGUGAGUUUGAACAUAAUUAUUGGAGGGAUGUUCUGAAAGAGAAAGAGAAACAGAAGGAGCAAGAGAUUGUAGAAACCUGUCAGCAACAGGAACAGCAGGAUUCGCUAUCUGUUACUGACUAUGGUUGGCCCAAUGAUCUGGAUCAGAGUCACUUGGAUUCUUCAGAUAUGUUUGAUGUCGAUGAGCUACUACGUGACAUAAAUGGCGACGACGUGUUUACAGGCUUAAAUCAGGACCAGUACCCGGGGAACAAUGUUACCAACGGUUCAUACAGGCUUGAGAGUCAACAAGGCGGAUUUGAUCCGCUGCAAAGCCUCAACUACGGUUACGGAUUACCUCCGUUUCAGUUCGAGGCAAAGGAUGGUAAUGGAGUUUUCGAUGACUUGAGUUACUUGGAUCUGGAGAACUAAACUAGACAAUAUGAAGCUUUUCGGAUUUGUUAUUUGCCUUAAUCCCACAAUGACUGUUGAUUCUCUAUUUCUGAGUUUUAGUGAUAUAGAGAACUUCAGAACACUUUUUUUUUUUUUGUUAUAAAGGUGAAGUGUAUAUAUAUAUCGAAACAGCAAUAUGACAAUAGAGAAGACAACUAUAGUUUGUUAGUCUGCUUCUCUUAAGUUGUUGUUCUUUAGUUUUUCUUAUGUUUUGUAACAACAGGAAUGAAUAAAUAAUACACACUUGUGAAUCAUCUUUACGGGCCUUAAUGCGUCUCAAAUCGUAAGAGGAUAAUCCCAAGCCAACGAUGAUCUCUCACAAUCUUCUCAUUUCUCACGUUGAGACAGUAUUAAUUUUAUUUAGAGCAUUACCAAAAAGUAUCUUGCUGAUAUUUUGAGUUUUGAGAAUAUUGUUAGAAAAAAGAAUAUUGCCUCAAAUUUGUAAGAGACAGAAAGAAACAGAGUAGAGCCAUAUUGGUCAGUGAAGUUUGUUGUAGUUAUUAACUGCAAGAGAAGUUUCUCGGAUCAUUUAGAGUUGCAGUAAGAAACUUGGUUAAGGAUUGACAACUAAUAACUUAAAAAACCUCAUCAUGGAUUCAAUCCAGGCUCAGCUUUCUUGCCGUUGGGGUUUACUUAGGCAUAACUCUUCAACAAUGAGCCCAUCUAGGUCAGGCGUUUGCUUCUCAACACUAGUAGAAAUGGCUUUA